rnacentral:lncRNA from 1 species
CAUAGAAAUGCCCUUCUAUGUCGUUACCGUCCGGUCAACGGGCUUUGACCGUCUUCUGAACAAUAACUCGGUGAACAGUUCAAUAAAAAAUAACACCAAAUCUGAAAUUUUGUGGGAUCAGAGUUACUUGGGUGGGCAAGGUGCGUGCAAGUUUUCAUGCUAUUUACACAUUCCACGAGCUCGUACCAAAGGAAAAAAAAUAUGUAUGCCUAUGAACAGUAAAUUCGAAAAAAUAGCAAAAUAAUUCAAAAAUAUAUGAUUUUUUUUGGCAUCAAAGAGGCAUGGGUGCACAAGGUGGUUCCAAGUUUUUGUGAUCAAAUGACAUGUGAGGAGCUCUAGCAAAAAACAUAGUGCAUUUUUUCAAAGAUUUUUCCGAGCCAAAUUUUACUUUUUUUCUCCAUGAGCUCCGACAAUGUCGAAACACUACAAAAAAUUGCAAGCACCUUGCGCACCCAAGCACCUUGGACGCCAAAAAAAUCAGAUUCUUUUGAACCUGUUUGCUUUUUUUUGAAUUUUUUGUUCACAGGCGUACAGUUUUUAUUUUUUCCUUUGGUACGAGCUCCUAGAAUGUCGAAACAGCAUAUAAAUUUACACGCACCUUGCGCACCCAAGUACCUUCGAUCACACAAAUUUUCAUAUUUUUUUGAAUUUGUUUGCUAUUUUUUUAUUUACUAUUCAUCACGUUACUGUUCACCAGACGGUCAAAACCCGUUGAGAGGAUGGUGACGCACGGAAGGUCAUUUCUAUAAGAGGAAGUAACAGAAGAGGAACAAAUUUAAGCACACUUCAAAAUUAGGGGUAAAUCUGAGUAGUGGGUUCGAGUUAGGGACAUAUAUGUAAAAACCCUACAAAUUUCAUCGGAACACAAAAAGCGUGAAAGAUAUUUUUGUUAAAUACAAGAUCUUAGUUCUAUAUUUUAUUCAACUCAUCACUGCAUUGACCACAUAUAGAAGGGAAAGGGGAGCAGAAACUAAGUGUAUAUAAAUUUUCAAAGUGCAGGAAGCAUGUAUCUUGUUCAAUCAAUUAUAAAUGAUUAAACAGUACACAACACAUGUACAUAAACUGUUGUUACGUGUUCAGGACUCGAUGACUCAUAAAAAUCCCAUCGCUAGAUUCCGUUAGAAUUCCACAGAACUAGGAAUAUUUCACAACUUAAUGGCUUAAAGACGAAGCUUCUAUUAACCAACUGCACCCUAAUGUUCACGUGAUAAAAUAAGAAUAGGGCUUAUUUAGAACUUUCAAGAUUGUAUCACGAAGAAUAAUGAUCUGAAAAUUAAUCACAUACUCAUCACAAAUAAUGUGACAACAAUUCAUACCAAAGUUUUCACUAUCGAUUUCAGCAAGGUUAGUUAGAUAAAUAAAUUUUAACCAGAACUGCAUCAAGGAACAGAUGAUAAAGGAGCAUGACUUCUGUCUCAGUUGAGUGCAGCACACGAGUAAUAGUUACUGUAGAACUACUGUUAGAGACAACUAGGCUUGAGCGGUAUUUCAGAUUUAGGAACAACAGUAUAAAUAUGACUAAAUUCCACAAAAAAUAACACAUAUAAUGGAAAACUGUCGCAAAAGUAUGAAUGAAGAUUUUAUUCAGAAAACUACUUAUUGAAGGUCAUAUUCCAAAGAACUAAAACCACUUGGCCAGAAAACUGCCACUCGCACAUCCAGUGUGCCGCCUACAAGGCUUCGGCCUGCACCUGAGGCUAAUUCAUGCCAAACUCAAUUAUGUUGAUUGUGCUUUUUAUUCUGCUUGCUUUAUUGCUGCGGUAAUCAGAAUUCCAGCUAACUAGGAGACGAGCAAUGUUUGACAAUUAAAUCAAACUCGCAAAAAAGUUGUGGCAUGAAUUGAAGAAACUUUGUUUAUUAAAACCAUUAUUUCCUAUAUCAAUUGUGGUAUGUUAUGAUGUACAACAACAAAGCUUUUCAAUCCCAAACAAGUUGGGGUAGGCUAGAGUUGAAACCCAUAAGAUCUCAAAACCUAGUAUGGCUCUUACUUGUGGAUAGCUAACUUCCACCCAUCCCUGUCCAUGGCCUAGUUUUUGGUGAUAUUCCUUCAAGUCUCUCGUAACGGACUCCCCUUAUGUCAAGUUUGGUCCAGCCUGAUCUCUCUUGCUUUAUCCUUCCUCUAUCCACCGGCGCUUCCAGAGGCCUGUGUUGUACAUGCCCAAACCAUUUCAGAUGAUGUUGGACAAAUUUCUCUACAAUUGGUGUUACCCCAACUCUAUCACAUAUAUCAUCAAUCCGAAACCGUUCUUUUCUUGUGAGGCCACAUAUCCAUCUCAGCAUACUCAUCUCUGCUACACCUAACUGUUGGACAAAUCGCCUUUUAGUAGGCCAGCAUUCUGCGUAAUAUAAAUUCGCAGGUUGAACCUUUUAGUUGGACAUAUCACUUUUGUGGUGCUCUCGUCACGGAGGAAGCCAAUAGCUCCAUACGGCUUUGAUUCCAUGGCUCACAUCUUCUUUGAUAUCACCAUUCUUCAGUAGAAAUGACCCCAAAUAUCAAAAGGUAUCCUUCUAUGGUACCACAUGCCCAUCAAGGCUAACCUCCUCGUGCCUAGUAGCACUGAAACCGCACGUCAAGUUUUAGUUUUACUAAGCCUAAAAUUUUUCAGUUCCAAAGUCUUGUCUUCACAUCUCACUUUCUAUUAACGCCCGUCCGACUAUCAUCGACUAGCACCCACGACAUUCGCAAAGAGCAUACACCAUGGGAUAUCUCUUUGUACAUCCCUUUUGACCUCAUCCAUCACCAAAGCAAAAUAUAUAUAUAAGGGGUCAAAGCUGACCCUUGGUCAAGUCCUAUUCUAAUUGGCAAGUCAUCAAUGUUGCCAUCACUUGUUUGAACACUUGUCACAACAUUAUCAUACAUGUCCUUGAUGAGGAUAUUGGACUUUGUUGGGACUUUGUGUUUGUCCAAAGCCCACCACAUGACAUUUCGCUACAUCUUACCAUAGGCCUUCUCCAAGUCAAUGAACAUCGUAAGCAGUCCUUCUUUUGCUCCUUGUAUCUCUCCAUAAGUUGUCAUACCCCGGAAAAUAGCUUUUCUGGUCAACCUCCAUAUUGUUAGGAAAGUAACUUAUCUCUAUUGAAGGCCCAAGGGACAUAUAUAUAUAUUACACAAGACUUGAGGUGGAAAGAAAGCAAACAUGGACUAAUAGGGACUCCUAGACCAAUACUAAUACUUCCUAACCCCCCCCCCCCCUCAUACUAAUACUAAUACUAAUAUGUCCAAAGAAUGUUGUUGCUCCCUCUAUGUCCACGUAUAGGCCUCUUGAACCAUACCUCUGAGUCUAUUCACAUGUUGACUUUCCACGUCACACGUGAGAGGGGGUGUUGAAGUGUAUAUAUGGAUUGCCUUAGACCUUUCCAUCAGUUCGGUCUUUUGGUUGCAUUGGCUAGUGCAUGAAGCUUAACCAUAAUUACACUGAGUUACUUGAAGAGAUUUUGGUGUUUUGGAAGCACAAAAUCACAAAUAUAAACAUCUUGUUGAGUGCAAAAGGAGGCCAAAAUCAUUCCGAUUUGGUGAUAAGGUGAUGGUCUACCUUCGAAAAGAGAGGCUGCCUUUAGGUGUUAAAGGGAAGCUUAGGAAGCGAAGGUAUGGGCCCUUCUCUAUCAUGAGGAAGAUAAAUGCUAAUGUUUAUGUGAUAGAUCUCCCAAGCGACAUGGGUAUAUCCAACACUUUCAAUGUUACGGACUUGAACCUCUACCAUCCAGAAGAAACGCUCUAUGAAGAUAAAUCGAGGGCACGUUCCAAACAACCAGGGGAGUGCAUGAAGCUUAACACGGCAUCAAAGUUUAAGGUCUUGAGUUCUAGUCAUGGCUUUCGCAAUUUAUGUCCAAAGAUUGUUGUUGCUCCCUCUAUGUCCAUGUAUAGGCCUCUUGAGCCAUACCUCUGAGUCUAUUCAUGUGUUGACUUUCCACGUCACACGUGAGAGGGGGUGUUGGAAUUGUAUAUAUGAAUUGCCUUAGACCUUUCCAUCAGUUCGGUCUUUUGGUUGCGUUGGCUAGUUCAUGAAACUUAACAAUAAUUACACUGAGUUAUUUGAAGAGAUUUUGGUGUUUUGGAAGCACAAAAUAAGAAAUAUAAACAACUUGCUGACUGCAAAAGGAGGCCACAAUCAUUCCAAGUUGGUGAUAAGGUGAUGGUCUACCUUCGAAAAGAGAGGCUGCCUUUAGGUGUUAAAGGGAAGCUUAGGCAGCGAAGGUAUGGGCCUUUCUCUAUCAUGAGGAAGAUAAAUGCUAAUGUUUAUGUGAUAGAUCUCCCAAGCGACAUGGGUAUGUCCAAAACUUUCAAUGUUACGGGCUUGACCCUCUACCAUCCAGAAGAAACGCUCUAUGAAGAUAACUCGAGGGCAAAGUUCCAAACAACUAGGGCAGAAUGAUGAGGAACAAUAGUUGAGGAUAAAAGAAAAAAGAAAAACACAUGCCAUAUUUGUUUGGCUAGUUCUAGAUACCUCGAGUCUAGUGUAGUAUUUCUCUUCUUUUCUAACCUGCCUACUGUUUUCUAGAGUCCUCUAGUUGUGAGUAGCCAUGAGUAGAAUNACACAUGCCAUAUUUGUUUGGCUAGUUCUAGAUACCUCGAGUCUAGUGUAGUAUUUCUCUUCUUUUCUAACCUGCCUACUGUUUUCUAGAGUCCUCUAGUUGUGAGUAGCCAUGAGUAGAAUGGUGUAUCUUAAGUAAUGUUUUCUGGAGUGUUCUAUUCAUAAGUAGAAGUAUGUGAAGGCUUCCCAAAGUCCUAUAAAUACAGGUCCUCGCCUUUAGUUUGUGGUACCCACUAUCUAUAAUAGAACUUGUUCUUCCUAUCUAAGAUCUUGGACUAGAUCGUGUGGUCUAGGAGUUUUGGAUUGAACUCCUGCUGCCAUAUUAGCCUCUAGAGCGAUAUCUAGCGGAACACGUUGAAGUGGCUCCUUCAACUCUAGUGUUGCACACUUCGUAGAAGCAAGUUGGAGUUGCUCCUCCACGACUUUUUGCUGCUUCAGCUACCUUCCAAACGCAAGUCGGCAUAUUCAUCCACAUACUGUUUGCAUCACCUCCUUCCUCCCAAGAGUCCUCCUUAAUAACCCCUCUCAUGUGUUGCCUCCCCCUUAAACUAUAUGUUAUAGUAUGGUCGCAAAUAAGGUGAUUUCAAUUCUUGCCCCUGACUAAUAAAAUCCUGUAAUCGAUAUGUGCUUCUGAAAUGAAAACAUCAAUAUGUGCAGUUUUGCGAUAGUUCAUUAUAGACGUAGUUUUGCUGAUUUUACUCCAUGAAUAGUGAACUCACAUACCCUACACUAUAUUUGGAAAAUAGUUGUACACAUUUUGCAAAAGUAAAUCAUGACUAGAAUGAUCAUACUGUAUGUAUAAAUUAAUCAGCACAUCCAAACAAUGCGACGCAACUAAUUUAGGUGCGAAAAGGGAAAGAUUCAAAGUAGCCACCUGUUGAUCAUGAAGACGGUUUUCACGCUCAAGAUCUUCAAUUUCUUGCUGAACAAUGAAAAGAAAAAAAAUAGUUCACACCAAAAAAGAAAGAACAGAAGAACCGAAAAUGUCUGCUAAGCUGAAACUGACUUGAAGCGCCAAGAUAUGCCUCUCUGACUGACCCAAUUCUUCUUCCCUUUGUGCUUGUUGCCGUGCAAGAAGCUGGAAUUUACAAAUUGUAAGCUGAAACCUGUGAGAUGUCAUAUCCCAGUUGAUUAGCAAGGUGUUAUAAGUUGGACGGGUAACUCAAAAGAAAGAAUGGGCAAGACAUUAGACACCAUCUCAAGUAACUAGUUUGGACUUUGGUUUCUUGGAAGUUUGCUGGAGCUCGAGUGAGCCGGAGAGGAAAUUGGCAUCGGUGCUCCCAUCCAAAGCCAACGAGCUCUAGCCGCAUCUGCCCAAGUAGCAUCUACCCAGCAUAACCUUUCAGAAGCUACGGUGGAAGCAAGGUGGGGUGCGUGCACCGAUGAGGCCCUGGUGAGCACAGACUCAGCACCGGUCCUGGACUAGGUGGGAAGACGCUGAGCUUGUGAACCAUGCUGGCAACCCGUGCGUGGCUGCUCAUCCGGAUCUUGUUUGUGUUGAAAUAUAUUUCCUGCCAUUCUCUAUCAGUUCGGAUCUUUUAGUAACUGGCUGGUGCAUGAAUUCAAUAGUUUGAUUGGAUUAGCUAUGAGUGAAUGUGUGAUAGAUUGUUCAGCUGAUUUAAUUAAGCUGUGUGAUGGAUUCCUGACAAGGUUCUAUUUGACUAUUUUUUCCUUGAUGCCAUUUUAGUUGAUCUUUUUUAUGUACAUUGCAGCUGAUGACCAGCUCUUCCCCUCUGUGGCCACGUGGCCCAUGCACAUGACCAAUAACAAGACCUUGAAGUAGUCGUUAGUUGCCAAUGUGAGACGGAGAAUAUCAAAUGAUAUAGAGCUCGUGCUUAGCUACCCACCAGGUAGAGAAUCCACUCGUAUAGCCAAAUACAGGAACAGUGGUUAGAAAUUUAUAAUACCCACAAGAUUUUUGCAACAUUUUACUAGCGAUUUCCUACUUAACAUUUUCGAAUAGUUUAUUUGAAACAUAACAUUACCAGAAUUUGCUGCUCAGCCAAUUCAAUACUUAGUGCAUCCUGUUUAACGUAUCCUGCAAAUACAAAUAGUGUCAACGGUGCCAAAUUUUAACCAUUCAAUUGAUGGGGAAAACAUAGGAAUAUUAGAAAAUGACACAGUAUUGAGAAAACCAAUUACCUGGACUUUGAUUGUCACUGUUGCUCACCUGUAGCGUCAAUGCAAUACUCUCAUCAGCAGUUUCAAAACAUAACUCCAUAUAUUUACAUGUAAUGCAAUGUGAAAUAUGAGAAGGAAACUCCCACUGUUGCAUGUUAUGAAAGCAAUCUAUCGCUAAGCCCAUGGGCAUUAUAUAUAUUACACAUGACUUGGGGUACAAGAAAAGUAAACAUAGCCUAAUAGGACUCCUAGACCAAUACUAAUACUUCCUAACAUUGUGAACCUUGAUUCGCAGUGGGAUUGUUAAGCUUCAUGCACUAGCCAACGCAACCCAAAGUCCGAACUGAUGGAAAGGGUUAGGCAAUCCACAUAUACACUUCAACACCCCCUCUCACGUGUGACGCGAAAAGUCAACACGUGGACAAACUCAGAGGUAUGGCUCAAGAGGCCUAUACGUGGACACAUAGGGAGCGGCAGCAAUUUUUGAAUAAACUGCAAAAGCCAGGACUUGAACUCAAGACCUUAGGCCCUGAUACCAUGUUAAGCUUCAUGCACUAGCCAACGCAACAAAAAGUCCGAACUGAUGGAAAGGGCUAGUGCAAUCCACAUAUACUAUAACACCAACUCUCACGUGUGAGGGGGAAAACAAUUCAACACGUGCAACCAGAAGAGAGCGACGAUGUGCGAAACUCAUGUAUAACUCAAGAGGUAUCUGUGUGGACACAAAGGGGGGCUACCAACAUUUUUUUAAAUAAAUUCUGAAAGCCAAGUCUUGAAAUCAAGACCUUAGCCCGGCAGUGGGCACGCAUCGCCUCUCUCAAGGACGGGGACGCGAACACCUCCUUUUUUCAUCGACAAUGCUCCUAUCAUCACCGGAAGAAUCGAGUGCACAGCCUAAACGUCGACCACAACACACUCACCGAUCAUGCCGACAUCGCCUCCACCACCUUUGCGCACUUCGACGAGCUCCUGGGCACCGGGAUCGACCAUGAUUGCACCCUGGACCUCUCGCAGUUGAUCAUGCCCUCCCCGGAUCUCCUUGAGCUAGACGCGCCCUUUGAUGACGAGGAGACUUGAUGCAUGUUCAAUAGAUUGUCGGCGUGCAAGGCUCCGGGGACCGACGGCUUCGCCGCCGAGUUUUUGUGCGCCUGCUGGCCCACGAUCAAGGCCGACUUCGCCAUCGUCUUCCGACAGCUCUACGACAGGCACGGACAUGGGUUCUCGUGCCUGAACUAAACAUUGCUCUUGCUGCUUCCCAAGCGUGUCGACGCGGGUUGUCUGCGUGACUAUCAGCCGAUCAGCCUCAUACACCUUGUUGCCAAGAUCUUCACCAAGGUGCUCUCGCUCCGCCUCGCGCCCCGGCUCGACGCCCUCGUCCGCAACAACCAGAACGCCUUCAUCCACGGGCGAAGCCUACAUGACAACUUUGUGCUAGUCCGCCAAUCUGCUCGCUUGUUGCACCAGCUGGGCGCAUUGCGCGUCUUAUUAAAGCUUGAUCUCGUGCAGGCUUUUGACUCCCUGUCAUGGCCCUUCCUCUUCAAGGUGCUAAGGUAGUAUGGCUUCGGGGACAGAUUUCUUGAGUGGGUGGCGAUCCUGCUAUCCUCGGCCAGCACCAAGGUGCUGCUAAAUGGGAGCCCUAGACCCCUAUUUGGCAUCGCCAAGGCCUACGCCAAGGUGAUUCCAUGUCGCCGCAGUUGUUCGUCCCGUUGCUCUUUGGCAGGGCAUCUGGGCUACGCGUCAAUUUCGCCAAGAGCACUACAACGCUCAUCAGAUGCAACGACGACACCAUGAGGCCCAUCGUUGAGAGCCUGGGCUACCCAAUUGUUGGUCUCCCCGUCACAUACCUGGGCAUCCCGCUCACCAUCAAGCGCCCAACCACAGCUCAGUUGCUCCCUCUCGUCGACAAGGUCGCUAGGAGAUUACCCACCUGGAAAGCCUAGCUCAUGAAUAGAGCGGGCCGCCUCGCUCUGGUGAAAUCGGUGCUCGGAGCGAUCCCGCUACACCAGUUGCUCGUGUUGGCGCCGCCGAAGAAGAUCCUCAAGGUGCUUGAGAGGAUCCAGCGAGGUUUCCUUUGGGCUGGCCGUGUCGAGGCUAACGGUGGCCACUGUCACGUUAGCUAGUGUCGGGUUGCACGCCCAAAAUGCCUUGGUGGGCUAGGAGUGCACGACUUGGAGCGCACCGGCAUGGCACUGAGGACUCGUUGGCUAUGGUUCAGCAAAACCGAUGACCGUCGUGCAUGGGUUGGACUCGACCUCCAGUUCUCUGCUGAGGAGCGAGCCUUCUUCUUCGCGAGCACCCACACGAUCAUUGGGAACGGCGAGAGCACUAGAUUCUGGAAGGACCGAUGGAUCAAUGGGUGCUCCGUCUACGAGAUCGCGCCCCUGCUCCACGCCUGCAUCCCCAAGCGAUGUAGGAAGAACAGGACAGUCGUUGAGGGCUCGCAGGCCCACCUUUGGGCGUGCGACAUCCACGGCGUCCUAGGAGUCCAUGAAAUCGGGCAGUACUUGCUGCUUUGGCGUCUCCUCGAGAGCGUGUCACUCUCCAUUGAGCCUGACAAGAUGGUUUGGAAGUGGAACGAGGCCGGCACCUACAUCGCUAGAUCUGCCUACCACGCAUCCUUCCACGGAUCGAUCGCCUCCGACGACUGGAAGCUCAUCUGGAAGAGUUGGGCGCCGACGAGAGUGGAAUUCUUCCACUGGUUCAUCGGCUUAGAUCGUUGCUGGACGGCGGAUCAACUCGCUCGGCAUGGAAUGCAGCACCAUGCGGCAUGCCCCUUGUGCGACCAGGCCCCGGAGACGCUGCACCACCUCCAUGCGGCAGGUAUGGCAUGAGAUCCUUGCUUGGAUGCACGUGACCUGUAGACCGCUCGACAACGAAAGCUCCCUGCUCAACUGGUGGCACCAUGCUAGGCACGACACCCAUCAGCUGAUGCGCAAGGGACUUGCAUCUGUGACGCUCCCGAGUCCUGACGCCUUGGAUGAUUUGGAAGCAUAGGAACGAUUCCCUUUUCGAUCGUGCGCAGCCGUCCGUCCACACACUCGUGGGCAGGAUCAAAGAUGAGGCCAGGCUUUGGGCCACUGCUGGUGCCGAAGGGCUUAGGGUUGUGCUGGCAGCUUCAUGGGGUGUGCACUAGUGGCCAUCCGAUAUGUGUAUCCAUCUCCUAGGAGGACUGUAAUUUCAUAACUCUCUUUUCUCAAUGGAAUGAAACGCAAAGGUCCAUUGCGUUUUCCCAAAAAAAAGCUCAAGACCUUAGCUCUGAUACCAUGUUAAGCUUCAUGCACUAGCCAACGCAAGCAAGGGUCCGAACUGGUGGAAAGGGCUAGGUAAUCCACAUAUACACUUCAACAUUGUGAACCUUGAUUCAUAGUGGGAUAACUACAGUGUUGAAGAUAGCCAGGCGGCAUGGCUGCGACAAAUUGGGUUGACGUAGGUUGGGACAAGAGAAUAAACUGGAGAGAUAAGAUUGAUUGUUCUUGCUUGCCUUAACCUGAGGCACAUGUCAUCCUUUUAUAGCAGAUGCUUAGACCAUUGACCUUUCCUAACACAAUAUCUCCCCUAAUAAUAAAGUGCGCAGCGCUUCUGUCGUACAUCGUCGACACUUUUGCAAAAAAGCCCUCGCAGUUUCAGUUAAUUAACACGCAGUCCAACUUUAAGUCAGAACGAACCGUUUUCUGUCGUUUUACAUAAAAGUCCUCACAGUUUUAGAUAAUCAACCCGCGGUCCAUCUCUUAGUCAGAGCCGACCCGUUUUUUGCAUUUUACAAAAAAAACUGAUGUUUCAGGUAAUCAACCCGCCGUCCCUAUUUAUGUGAGCCGAAACGUUUUUUUGUUUUAACAAAAAAAAACCUGACUUUUCAGUUAAUCAAUCCAUAUUUUAUCUAAAACAAAAUUAUCCAUAUCUUUUAAACCGUAACUCCGAUUUUAACAUGUUAUAUAUGAAAUUUGAUUGAAAAAAGGUGUAGAAUCUAAAUAGGAUGUUAUUUUUAGCUGUGGAAUACUUCUUAAAUAUUAUUUUUGGUGCAAACUUAAUCUGUAGUGCACGUCUUUUUUUCUCUCUUUCCGACGACCAUACGAAUUGCAAUAAAUAUCUAUUAAAUUAAAACCAAAUUGAGAGGAAAGAAAACAUCGUUAACCACACAAGCACACCUUUGGAAAAUCUCGUGGGGAGAAACAACAUAUUUCUCAUCUUAUUCCGAGUGAUUGUACAUUCAAACGCGUUUUUGUUGUGUGGGCACUGAGGCUAUCGUCGACAACACAAAUGUGAUGCCAUGUGAAAAUAUAUUACGUUCAAAGCGUGUGUUAUUUUCUCUUCCGUUGCAACGCACGGGCUUUUUUGCUAGUGACUUCCUAACGAAUUAUACUACUUUAGUCUUAAACGUCAUAAUACAAUGCUAUUACCUAAAGGACUCUUCUCCCUUCCUUCCCCGGCACGUGACCUGCUGCUGUUGCAAUAUCCCUGACCCUCUUGCCAGCCUUCUUGGCUUAUCCACUGUACUAGUGUCCACAACACUACACCCUUCCCAGACUAGCAGCAUGCCCUCAAGCUGCAGGGUGGCGGCAUUGUUGAAAUUCGAUCACAUCAUGCUGAAUUGUUUGCUUGGCAGUAUAUUUUGUUGGAUCAAUCCCUUGGUCUUCUCUCGGAUCCUUUUCCUUUGUAUGCACAGCAACCCCAUACAAAAUUCAAAGCACAACACCUCUGCAAGCUACUUUUCAAAACAAAAAAACUGUUGAAUGUGUGGCCCAUCACUGUUGGCCCAGGAGGCCCAGGUCCAUAUCCCAGGUCCAUAUUCGACCUAAAAGGAGAGGAACUCAAUCUUGUCUAGAGCUAAGCACCGCUACACCACAGUGAAGCCACAGGGUUCGCCUCUCCUCUCUCAACAUGGUAUCAGACCAGGAGGCGGUCUAGUCGCCGGUGACAGCAGGGCCCGACAAGAAGGGGGAAGGCGGCGGUGGACUUGGGUGACGGCGGGGCAGCUGCGGCACGCAGCAGGCAAGCUCGGGCGAGCGGCUAGUGAGGAGCAUGCGGCGCUGCUGCAUGCGAGCUGUGGGGAAACACUGGUGGCCGUGGCCCGACAUCUUCCUCCUCUUCUCUUCUCCGGUGGCUUGAGUUUGACUUUUCUUGUUGCUGGACUUUCCGCAUGUGCAUCGACUACACCGACCUCAACAGAGCCUGUCCAGAGGAUCCUUUCGCCCUUCCCCACAUUGAUCAAAUCAUUGACUCGACGGCGGGUUGCGAGCGUUUGUGUUUUUUGGAUGCUUACUCGGGAUACCACCAGAUCAAGAUGGUUGUGGCACACCAGGAGAAAACGUCCUUCAUAACCCCCUUCGGAGCCUUCUGUUACGUGUCUAUGCCGUUCUGGCUCAAGAGUGCGGGGCGACUUAUCAGCGUUGCAUCCAGAAUUGCUUGCAUAGACUGAUCGGACAUAAUGUCCAUGCCUAUGUUGACGACAUCAUAGUCAAGUCCCAGUAGAAGGAGUCACUCUUGGAGGAUCUCAAGGAGACUUUUGACAACUUGCUCUUAUACCAGAUGAGGCUUAACCCUACCAAGUGUGUCUUUUGUGUUCCCGUAGGAAAGUUAUUGGGUUUUCUAGUGUCAGAGCGCGACAUUGAAGCUAAACCCGAUAAAAUUGAAGAGAUUACUUCGCUAGGCAAGCCGGCCAAUGUCAAUCAAGUUCAGCGAAUGGCGGGUCGCAUCGCGGCUCUAAGUCGCUUUAUAAGUCACCUUGGGGACAAAGCCAUCCUUCUUUAUUAGUUACUCAAUAAAACUGAUCGUUUUGUUUGGACGGAUGAAGCCAACGAAGUCUUUGAAGCCCUGAAGCAACAAUUAGCUAAGCCGCCAGUAUUGGCUGCUCCAACAGACAAGGAUCCUAUGCUCUUGUACAUCGCGGCUAAUUCUAAGGCAGUGAGCGUGGCAGUGGUCAUCGAGCGAAAAGAAGAAGGAAAGGAAUAUCCGGUUCAGCGACCAGUAUAUUUUAUCAGCGAAGUCCUGACCCUUUCCAAACAACGCUACCCGCAUUGGCAGAAGCUGGUCUUUGGGGUGUUUAUGGAGAGCCGGAAGCUGAAACACUACUUCCAAGAGCACCCCAUCACGGUGGUCAGUUCUGCCCCCCUUGGUGACAUUAUACAAAAUCGAGAAGCGAGUGGACGGAUUGCUAAGUGUGCCAUCGUGUUAGGACCUCAUCAUGUGCGAUAUACCCCUCGUACAGCCAUUAAGUCGCAAGCACUAGUGGAUUUCAUCAACGACUGGACCGAGUUGCAGAUUCCAGAAGACAGGCCUGAUCACACAUACUGGACCAUCCACUUUGAAGGGUCUAGGCAGUUCGAAGGUUCGGGGGCUGGCAUGGUGUUAACUUCACCUCAGGGCGACAAAUUCUGCUAUGUCCUCCGACUCAUGUUUCCAUGUACCAACAAUGUAGCAGAAUAUGAAGCUCUGCUCCACGGGUUGCGACUCGCCAAAGAGAUGAAUCUCACCCGAGUCAGAUGUUUGGGUGACUCAGAUUUAGUGGCACAGCAGGUUUCUGGCACUUGGGAUUCCAGAGAUCCCUUGAUGGCGGCUUACAAGCGAGCUGCGUCGGACGUGGCGGGUAAUUUUCAUGGUUAUCAGGUGGAUCACAUCGAUUGGCGACUUAAUGAAGCGGCAGAUGCCCUUUCAUGCCUCGGAUCACAAUGUAAGCCGGUUCCCCUCAAUGUCUUUUUGGAUGUGUUACAUAACCCAUCAGUAAGGCUGCCUUCAGAAGAAGAUUUGGCGGUGCCAGAUCCUGAGUCUCAACUUGUGGCGACUCUUCGUGCUACCCCGGAUUGGGUGGUUCCCCACAUGGCAUAUCUCACAUGAGACGAGUUACCCACUGAUGAGUUGUUGGCUCGCCAAAUCGUCCGUCGAUGCAAAUCCAUGGUCAUACAUAACGGCGAGUUACAUAAGGGAAGCACUUCAGGAGUAUUUCAAAGGUGUGCCUCUUCCGAGGAAGGAUGUAUGAUGCUCAAGGAAAUUCAUGCAGGAGACUGUGGUCAUCAUGUCUGAUCACGCUCCCUGGUUUCCUAAGCUUUUAGGCAUGGGUUUUAUUGGCUGACGACCCAUGCAGAUGCUGAAGAUAUAGUUUGUCGAUGUGAUGGUUGCCAAAAAUUUGGACGUCAGAUGCACGUGCCGGCUCAGGAAUUACGGAUGAUUCCAAUUACUUGGGCAUUUGCGGUCUGGGGGCUAGACAUGGUUGGUCCUUUUAAAAUGUUGUCCAACAAAAAGACUCACCUAUUGGUGGCAGUUGACAAGUUUACUAAGUGGGUCAAAGCAGAACCAGUUAGUAGCUGUGAUGCAGAAACGGUUGUCAAAUUCCUGAAGAAGUUGAUCUUCCGUUUCGGAUAUCCUCAUAGUUUCAUUACUCAUAAUGGUACUAAUCUAUCAAAGGGCGCAAUGCAAGAGUUUUGCGGAAGAGAGCAUAUCCGGCUUGACGUUUCUGCAGUCGCACACCCCCAGUCUAAUGGACAGGCAGAGAGGGCGAAUCAAUAAAUAUUGCAAGGAAUCAAGCACCGGUUUAUGGUACCUCUGUAGCGUACUCCGGGAUGUUGGGUUGAAGAAUUGCCCUUAGUUUUAUUGAGUAUCAGGACCACCCCAAAUCGCUCCAUGGGUUUUACUCCUUUUUCCUUGGUCUACGGGGCAGAGGCAGUAUUGCCAAGUGACAUCAGUCACGAUUCACCAUGAGUCGCCGCUUAUGUGGAAUAGGACAACGAGUUGGCACGUCAAGAUUCAUUGGAUGCUUUGGAGGAAGAGCGAGACUUGGCUCUAUCACGAUCGGAUAUCUAUCAAUAGGACUUGCGACGCUAUCAUAGUCGUCGCGUCGAGAGUCGGACUUUUCAAGAGGGUGACUUAGUGCUCCAUUUGAUUCAAGACCACACUGGUAUGCAUAAGUUAUCACCCACAUGGGAAGGACCGUUUGUCAUCCGCAAGAAUCUUCCGAAUGGUUCAUACUACUUGGUGGAUCAUCGCCCUGAUAGGCCAACAACAGAGGUUGAGACAACUCGCCCCUGGAAUAUCGCCCACUUGUGGCCUUACUACACCUAGAGCCAUGGGCUCCUUUCUUUUUUACAAUCUCAAAACUUGUAAUCUUUUAUUUAUAACGCAAUAAAGCCGGCACCCACGAUCUUGGGGGUCCUUUUCCGUUUCAGCUUUUAGAAAGCAUGAGUCUUUAUUGUUCCCUAAGUCAUCCAAGCAUGGACGCUAUUAGUACCAAAGAGCAUAAGCCGCCACGUUGCACUUAUUUCAAAACUGGGUACUGGUAUGCCAAAGAGGACCAAAAGUUGCUGCGUUGCACGGUGCAAACAUGGGCGCCUUAUAUGAUUUUGAGAACUAAGCCGGCUUACUUGGGGGCUACUAGCUCCCAAGUCGUUUUGCAGUAAGAGCGGAUACGCUUCUGUAAUCCUAUGCCUGGUUUUUUCCCUAAUCAUAGAUCACUUGGGGGCUUCCACUCACUGAGUUCACCCUGAGUACCCUCUAGGCUAGCGAAAAAAUACCGCAUUACAAAUGGUUAUACUGGACUAUGUGUUGGACGAGUCGCCUUAUGGACCCAUGUACUCUUGGCAAGUCAAUCCACUUUUUGGACCCUGAACUCGCCUUUGUUAAAACAAGAAAGGUACCGGCCAGAGCCACACAUGGAAAAUAGAGAAACCAUUGGUUCACUGAAUCUGCUUCACUGAAGCUUGACUCACGCCUGAUCAGCCGGUCUAAAUAACUUGGGCUGUUGCAAAAGCCUUCUUGGGGUAGCACUAGAGUUUUGCAAACUCGUCCUAUCCUGUCGUAACUCAUCGAGGCGACAAAUUUUUAUGAUUAUCUUCGUGGCACUGCCGCAAGGUUUCGUAAAGUAUUUUAAUGACUCACCGCGACUCACUGAGCCGUCUCCUUAUUUAUAACUCGCCAUGACCCACUGGGUUGGUUUAUCUCUUCCUAACUAUCAAACAUAAGGAUGGAGAAAGGCGAUUCAUGAUUCACAAAAAUAAUAACAAUUCAGAACUAUCAAGCAGAAGGCAUGGCUGGAAGAUUGUUUCCCUGAAACCUAAAGACUAUUACAUGGCUCACUAGGCCAUACCGGGCAUCAUAUCCCGGUCAAAACAAAAAAGAUCAAAUUGUUUUUGAAGAACCAAGUACAUGCUGAGUAAACCCAAGACGCCUCCGGGUCACCCUGCCUUGAGCUCUCUCCAUCUUUGAUUAUUAAGUCGCCCAGUUUCCAAUUGCACUUGGACAAGGCGACAAAUUCAUCUUCAUCGCUCAGGAAGACAGAUAGAUCAGCUUCAAAUUCAAAGGGGUUCUUACGCCAGCGGGGAGUCGGGCUAGUAACUUUGAACGAAGGAGGAGUCAUCUUUUUAUUAUAGUCAUCAUACACAGCCUGGUAUUUGUUCAAGUCCAAGCUGGCCGCUAGCUGAGUCGCCGCAAAGCGAGACUCUUUCACAACCCGGUGGUAAUCAUCUUCGGUGAACUCCGACUCGUCAUCUUAAAACUUCGGAUAACCAGCAGCUACCUCCUCUGGCUUAAGUUCGAGAGCGUACGCCAGGCACCGACUUAGGGUAGUCAGUGCUCCCUUGCGGGCGGCUGAUCUCUUCAGUUCUUCUACUUGAGGUGGCAGUGUUGACAAGCAACCCAGCAUAUGCUUGAUGGAUUUUAUUGGCUCCUUGUUGCCCAUCACUAGCUUCAUCGUCAUCAUGCCUCCCGUAUACAACUGCUCUAUAAAGGUGUAAAUCGCCUUCAGCUUCAGGAUGCAAUCAUUUUGGAGAUUGGCGGCUCACGAACAUUACAACAGAUAACAUGUGACAGUCAGUAUUUGCAAAAAUAUAUUGAACCUUCUUUUUAGACGAAGGAAAUUGAUUAUUACCAAAGAUGGCUUGGCUCAUGUUGGAGAUGUGCUUUUUUAACCCGGAGAGCUCUUGCAGAGUGGCUUCUAGCUUCUCCUCGGCUUGUUCCGCCCGCUUCGUGAUGGCGGCUUGGUCAGCAUGGGCUUUCUUCUCAAAUUUUUGGUGAUUAGCCUUCAUUUUCUCCAUAUCAGCAAGGGCCAACCGAUAUUUCUCUUCAGAUUCGGUCCGAGCAUUCUGUUGUUCGGCUAAGUCUUUCAUCAAAUCAGGUAAGGAUGACUCUGCCCGGGUCAAGGAUUCCUGCAAACAAAUUUUGGGGAGGCAAGUUUCAGAACUGUUACAAGCAACAUCCCUGACACUUGGGGGCUAAUGUAUGAUUCUUUUCAAAGUCGUACAAAAUUCAAGACCCGACUCAUCUUUCAAAAGAUGACCCGGUCCUUGGGGGCUACAAGGUUGAAGUUUUUAUCUUAUUCAAGACUCGGCUCAUCUUUCAAAAAGAUGACCCGACCCUUGAGGGCUGUAGGUUGAAGUUUUUAUCUUAUUCAAGACCCGGCUCAUCUUUCAAAAAGAUGACCUGGCCCUUAAGGGCUACAGGUUGAAGUUUUUAUCUAAUUCAAGACCCGGCUCAUCUUUCAAAAGAUGACCCGGCCCUUGGGGGCUACACGUUGAAGUUUUUAUCUAAUUCAAGACCCGGCUCAACUUUCAAAAGAUGACCCGGCCCUUAUGGGCUACAGGUUGAAGUUUUUAUCUAAUUCAAGACUCGGCUCAUCUUUCAAAAGAUGACCCGACCCUUGGGGGCUACAGGUUGAAUUUUUUUAUCUAAUUCAAGACCCGGCUCAACUUUCAAAAGAUGACCCGUCCCUUGGGGACUUACGAAGCCAGAGCAGAGUUGUUGAAAUUCAAGCUUAUCAUAAUUAGGAAGCUUCAGCUUGGUGAUGUCUUGCUCUGUAGAGGAAUGGGUCUCUUUGGAUGCAUGUUUUGAUAGCACCGUUGUUGCAGGCUUAGAGUACCCGGUACCAGUAACAAUUACGGUAUCUGGGUCUUCAGCCGCCUUGGAAGAGCUUGGCGGGUUAACGUUUUCAGUGGCCUCCUUCAGAGGGCUUGGAGGGUCAGUCCGGAUGUCAGGAAUGUCAUCCACAAGGUCAUCAUGAGUCGCCGCUGGGUCUUCGUCGAAUUCUGGCACAGAGGUGCUCAUACCAAACACCUCAGUUGUUUUAGGAGUAGAAGACAAAUCGCCAAUUUUUCUCUUCUUCGCUUGUGCUCUGAGAUGAAAAGACAUCAAAGUUAGGACAAGUAUCAUUAUUGGGAAGGAAAAAGGUUAAUAAAUAAUUUAACCUUGUAAACGAAUCAUUGGGGGAAGAGCCGACAUUACUGAGUCGCCAGAUGAAGGAGGAGGAACCUGAUGGACAAAAGUUCAAGGAGUGAACGAAUUGCGAAUAACAUUUUCCACAAGAAGGGAAAGGUGUUAACAGGAGUAUACCUCACCGUUUCCGGCCAGUUGUUUUUUCGGGUAACCCAGAAACUAAGUUGCCAGAAUGGCUUUGGGUCUGAUGUUUGGGGGUAUAUCCCGCCUUCUUUAAAAGGAAAUGAGGGUCCAGAUGAGCAUUUGGGUGAGACAUGGGAACUUUUCAACAAAUCCGCCUGGCUGGCCUAGGAGAAGAAGAAGUUGAGUCGGAAGAAAUGGAAAUUACCUCGACGACGUCAUCUUGGCUCUCAUAGUCAUAUUCCUACGAACAAAGGUAAGGAGGCAUAAGCAUAAGUCGGAACAUAGUGAUGACAAGCAAAAGGGUAAAUUUUUACAUCUGAAUGUUCUUCGCCGGCUCGAGACUCGCCCAUGACGGAUGACUCGUUGGCGGCGGCUUUGCCUUUGUUCUUCNNNNNNNNNNNNNNNNNNNNNNNNNNNNNNNNNNNNNNNNNNNNNNNNNNNNNNNNNNNNNNNNNNNNNNNNNNNNNNNNNNNNNNNNNNNNNNNNNNNNCCACUGGAAAGCGCUGGGCCCAGGAGGCGCCUGCAGGGAGGCACCCCCAAGCCGCGGGGAAUGACCCAGCCGCCACCCCCGCGGAGGAACUGCGAGGAACCGGAUUCCCGACCUCAGGAGGACGAUUCAGAGAAAGCGACGAGACACAAGUGGCGCGGGCCGCCCGCGAAGACUACGGUGCUGCUGUGGGCAUCGAGGGCCGGGCCUCAGAGGCACCCCCUGACGCAGAGAAGCCAUGCGAGGUAAUUUUUUGGGUUCACCGCCCUUGGGAGUGUCUUCUCACCACAGGAACUUCAAGUGUUCAGGGCACACCUUUACGCGUGCUUCCAUAACUUCUGCUGCCCCCAUUCGGCGAUCUGACAUCUUGCCUUACUUGCAUCUUUGGACGAUCCCCCCCCACUCGGGGGCUCCGGCUGGUGCGCGUUGCCAUGUCGUGGGACCUGGGGAGGCCCCACGGCUUCCCAAUGCCACAAUCAACAGGAUGAAAUGGGGGCCGCCUAAGCGUUAAAAGGGGGCUCCGCAGCAUCGAGCCUCAGGGGAUUUACCGGUCAUAAGGACACCUGCCACCCUUGAUGUCGUCCAUGGACAUUCGGUCGUUAUCAUGGGUGGCAGGGCUUGACCCCGUAGCUGCGUUCGUUCAUUCGGUCGCAAGCAACGACGGUUGCGAAAUGUGCAGGACUGGGUCUUGGCGACGCACAGCCGCUCGAACGUUAAAGGGGGCUCUUGAGCAUCGAGCCUCAGGAGCCUUACUGGCCAAAAAGCCACUUGGCCACCCUGGUGCUGUCCAGGCACAUUCGGUCGGUAUCAGGGGUGUCAGGGCCUUGCCCCGUGAGGCGACUCACGGCGGUAGGGGAAUGUGUGGGACUGGGACCUCCCAACGUAGAGCAGUAGAAAAGCCCUCAAUCAGUCUGAGGAGAAGGAGCGCGCGGGACCUGCAUCAACCCGCGACAUCUCUGCAUCGUCCUUCAGUCCUUUCGGAACCUACUUUAUCCCGUGACACUCUCAUGUAAUAACGAGCCAAGGCUGUAUAUGUCCAGGGCCCCCUCGAGGACGCGGAGGAAUCGGAGGGCACCGAUCUUGCCGUUGAAGAUGUGAAUCUUGCUGAAGUGGACCCGGUAACCUGAUUCGAUUGAACCAGCCUCGAGACCCAACUCGAAUUGUCGAUGUAGCACUUUCCAUGGCGGCUUUUGGUUAUGAGACCAACCGCGUAGCUCCCAAACCCUGGAAGGGCUCCCUUUGAGAACUCAACUCCACCAUGCACUAGCCCCAAUCACGACAGUUGUCCUCGUGAAAAUACUUAGUGGUGAAUCCAUCGCAACUAUGUGGCGACUCAAAGGGGUUGAUCGGGAACGAGAGACGAGUUUACCCAGGUUCGGCCCCUCCGAUGGAGGUAAAAGCCUACGUCCUAGUUUGUGUGUAUGGAUGAUGAAAUCUAUUACGAGGGUGCGGUUUCGCUUGACCUAGAUCUCGAUUGUUUGUAACUUAAGUCUACCUGCCCUAGAGACUCGCCUUUAUAUACAGGUCGAGACCCUUAGGUUUACAAGAGUCCAGGUCACAUUAUGAUUCGUGAUCUAUUAUGUCUCUAACUCGCCUUGCUCCUUAAGCAAGGACACUCCCAACGACCUUCUCCCUUGUGGGCCAUGACCCGCCAUCUUCGUGUCUUGGGCUGCUGCCGACUCUCGUUGGUAAACCGCCUUGUGUCUCCCGCUUUGUAGGUCAGGGCCCAUCUCGAGUAUGAACGAAGAGCCGCCACCAUCCUGACCCGGCCUCCUACGACCGAUCAUAUGGCGGGACAAUAUCCCCAACACCCGGGGUUCGAGGAUCCCGAGUCCCCAAAUCAUGUUUACAUUCUCGGUAAGACACUCUAUGGCCUUAAACAAGCCCCACGAGCGUGGUAUAAGCUCCUUACUGAGAUGUUACAUGAUCGUGGAUUUGAAAUUGGGAAAAUUGACCCCUCAAUUAUCUUUGGUUCUCCUAACAAAGCUUUUCUUGAAGAGUUUGCCGACUAAUGACCAAAUAAUUUGAGAUGUCUAUGCUGGGAGAGUUGAAGUUCUUCCUUGGAUUCGAAGUCAAGCAACGAAUUCAAGGAACCUUCACCAAUCAAGCUAAAUAUACCCAAGACAUUCUCAAGAGGUUCAAGAUGGAUGAUCUCAAACGAGCCAAGGCAAACACCCCCAUGCCCCUCAAAUGCCAACUUGACUUAGAUCCCAAUGGCAAAGCGGUGGAUCAAAAGGUAAAUCACUCUAUGAUUGUCUCUUUGCUUUACCUUUGUGCAUCUAGACCGGAUAUUAGGUUGAGUGUGGGAAUUUGUGCACGAUAUCAAUCUGCACCUAAGGAAAGCCACUAUGUGGAGGUCAAGAGAGUAUUUGGCUCAUUCCCCAAACUUCGGAUUAUGGCAUCCCAAAGUUUUUCAUUUGAUCUCAUAGGGUAUUCAGACUCAGAUUGGUGGGAGACCAUGUGGAAGGUAAGUGAACUUCCGGAGGUUUCCAAUUCUUUGGUGACUCUCUAGUAAGUUGGUCUUCAAAGAAACAAAACUUUGUUUCUCUCUCGUCCACCAAGGCCGAGUAUGUUGUGGCUGCAAGUUGCUGUGCUCAGUUGCUUUGGAUGAGGCAAACUUUCAAGGCUUACAGUGUCAAUUGUGACAAAGUGCCUCUUUGGUGUGAUAAUGAAAGCGCUAUCUCGAUCUCCAAUAACCUAGUUCAACACUGCAAGACGAAACACAUUAGUAUUUGUCACCACUUCAUCCGGGAUCGUAUCAAGUGUGGGGAGAUUGAUCUCAUUCAUCUUAACACUAAGGAUCAACUUGCAGAUAUUUUCACGAAGCCAUUGAAUGAAGCAAUAUUUCACGAGUUAAGGCAUGAGCUAAAUAUUAUUGAUUUGAGCAAUGAGGACCAAUCUUAGGCACACCCCACCAUGUUCAUCAUAUUAUCUUGUUUAGAUGUAUGCACGAAUUUAGGGGAGUGUUGUUAUCUCAAUGAACUCUCCCUUCCCCUAUUAUGCGUAAAUCGACCAAGUCUUUCACAUUAGUCAUUUUAGAUCGAGUUUUGGUCUUGGGCCCAAGGUUAAAAUCUUCGUGGUGACAUACCAAUUGAAUCAAACAUAGGUGGCUUCGGGCACCGCCAUCUUCUAAGUGAGGCAUUUGAUUCUUGAGAGCAUGUUCUAAUUUUUGUGGGUCAUCCCAGGUUAAUUUUCUCUCUGGUUUACUUUAUUCAUAACUUGGGGUAUCACCUUUAUCGUGACUAUGUUUCAUGUCUCAUUCCACUUUGGGUUGACAACUAUGUUAUUUAUUUGCGUGCACCACCUCUUGGAAUUGUUUUGGGUCCAUCUCGGGUGGUACUACCGCUCUUACAGCGGUACUACCGAUCAUAAUAGGUACUACCACUGUUAGUAGAGGUACUACCACCAGGAAAUACUAGCGCUCCUAGCGCGGUACUACCGCUUAUGUGAAUCCACAGGGGGUUAUGGGGCAUGGGCAAGGGCAGUUUCCACUCCCCAUGCCCAUUCAUUCCCACUCCUCAUGGUGUUCUCUCUCCACGCAACCCAAGGGCUCCGGUGGCCGCCACCGAUCUCCGUUUUCGGCCGCUCUUUCGUGAUUCCAACCGGUGGAAUCGACCCUCACCCCUUUCUCCUACCAUGGAUACCAAUAUUGCCCCUGUUCUCUCUCCUUUUGGUCUAAUUUCCAGAUCUUGGUUUUGGGCAAUGCGAGAUGUAUCCCUCGCUUUUUUUGUCAAAAAUCGCGGCAUGGGUAAGAUGAGGAAGGCGGCUAGGGAGUAGACUUGAUGUUCUAACUAGGAAUUAGGUGCUCUUGGCAUCCUUAGUAGUACCAGAUCUGACUAGUGGUGGUUUUCACCCCGUGGUCUCUACUGUGAGUGGUACUAUCGCUCCUAUGGGCAGUACUACCGAUCGUAAGAGGUAGUACCACUCCUGGCAUCGGUACUACCGCUUUGGGCAGUCAAGAACACAUACUUCCUACUGUUCCAUCACCUUCUUCUCCCAUUUCUUGGUUUCUUGUUGAAAUAUGCACAUCGUUUACUCUCGUGUUUUCCUCAGGUUAUGUUUUGGAUCUCAGGUUGUGGCAGCUCUGCUCAUCAGGAGCGUAGGAUGCACUCCAGCUGUGGAAGCACACAAUGUUACAGUACAUCAGAGGCAGAUACCUCAAGUCAACCACAUGGGUUUGUUUUGAAGAGGAGAGUGCUAGUCCGGCUGCUUCCAAGUCUAAGGGGAAGGGCCCUACUUUCAGGCCUUUGAAGUCCCAAUCCAUGGCCACUCUGAAUGCUAAAGACUUCUGGAUGUCCCGCAAGGCCUAUCCCUAUGGAUAACCCCACAAGCCAUCUAUGGGCAACCGCCCCUUCUGGAACAGGAAGUAACUGUCAGUCUAUAAUGACGUUCUGAAGAGAAAGGCGAACAUGUAUGUUCCAUAUGCCAAAUCCAUCGACGUUGAAUAUAUAAAGCUGAAUGCCAGGUACUUCGGGACUACUCUUUCUCUCUGUGAAAAGAUGGUCAUUCUCAACAUUAUGAAGUUCAACAAAGACUUAGAUGCCGAUAUUAUUGAUGUCUUCUUUGCCAUGGUGCAUGUAGGAACUGAUGAGGACAUGAGUUUGACUUGGAUGACGAAUGACAAGUUACUUUACAAGUACAGUACGGAGAAGAUCUCCUCCACCAUCGGCAAGUCCACCUGGGUGCUGGAAAAAUUCCUAGACAUUAUGCACCGCAUUUUCAGGCACACUCUCUUUCCCGUGCAGGGAAUCUGGAUCAGGUACACUCAUAAUUGGUGGAUAUGCUCUUUUUUUGCGAAUUUCAUAAGUUCAAGGUUAAUGUGAAGCCAUUUGAUGUUUCUCAUGUUUUGUGGUCUGAGCUAUGUUCUGUUGUUUCUAAGCGUAAGUGCCCCAUCUACGGGCCCUAUCCAAUGCUUCUGAUUGAGAAAACUUGGGAUGUGACUUUUCGUGACAAUAUGUUUGAGUGUGGGGAGCUAGUAUCACACAAAGUGGUCCAACUUUGUCAGAAGGAUAAGUGGGCUACUCACACUUCUCCGGAGCAGGAUGUGCCAGAAACUCAGGAUGAUUCUGAUGAGGAAUAAGCUAAUGAGGAAUUUGUGGCUGAAGGUGACACUGCUUCCUGUGGCAUGCCCCCUGCGGCCGAACCAUCUUGGGCUCAGAAGCUCAAGGAAAAGAUGAAUAAGCUAUUCUGUAUGUAGGCCAAAGGUCAGUACAUGGCCCAUGCGGCUGAGAAGACGGCUAUCAGUCGUCACAAGGCUCUUGGUAGGCACGUUGGUUUUGAGAUUGAGAGCGGUUUUGAAAAUAGACUUACUAAUGAGGACACGUGGAUCGCUCAACACUGCCCAUGGGAUUUCAAUGCUGAGUUGCCUGGCUCUCCCGCUCCUCCUCGCACCAUUCAUCUCAGCUCUGAGUCUGGAGAGUAUUGAAGUUCGUCACCAGAGUUACCACCCUUCAUGAAUCCUCUUUGUUCUCUUUGUCCUUUCUGCCAAAGGGGGAGAGAGUUUAGGGAUUUGCAUUUGCGAGGGUCAUGAGUGUUUUUUCGUUGCCCAUUGUUUAUUCGCUCGUGAACUCCUUUAUCAUUUAUUUGCUUUUUUUGUAUGUGUGAGACUAUGUCAUAUGGUGUGAGACAUUUGCUACCUUAAUUUUAUCCUAUGUGUUAGUUUGUGAGAUAUUUAUACUGUGCCCUAUUAUUAAUGCUCACAUUACCUCUUGCAUCUAUAUUACAUUCUGAUUACCCUACUUGCAAGUAGUGGCUGUCUACAAAAUAUAGGGGUAGUGUUGAUCCUAGUGUGUGUGUGUACUCCAGAAGCAUACUUAAAUAGUGUACGCAUCUAGGGGGAGCCUGUCUAUAUUUGUGGAGAGUGGGGUUUGCAUUAUAUAUCUUGUUUAUAUCUUCUAUGCAAAUCCCGUGUUGUCAUCAAUCCACCAAAGAGGGGAAAUUGUAAGGGCAUAUUUCUAGCUUAGUGGUUUUGGUGAUUGAUGAUAAUGCGUUUGCGGACUAAUCAUGUGCACUACGCCUUUCAUGCAUUUUACCAUUUGGCACAAGACGAUUCAUACCCCUCGUUAUAUUAAUAUGAAGACGGUUUUCCCUCCUUCUUUUUUUGUUGGUGGACUUGAGUCGUAGGAAAAGCCGUACUAUUAAGAGGGGAUCCACAUCGGAAAGGUUUGGACGGAAUCAUCACGUACACAUUCCCACACACCCUCUUUCCUACCUCAAUGGAGCAUCUAACCUUGCCCUAGCCCUGGCUAGAAGGAUCCAAGCGGUAGUAACACACCUUGGAGCAGUACUACCUCUUAUGAUCGGUAGUAACGCCCUGGUGGCAAUAGUACUGCUCUAGGGCAGAUUUGCUCUGGCCAGUUUCGCUGCCCGUGGGUCUCAACACUCUUCGUGCGGACUGAGCGGUUUCUUGAGUGGUAGUGAUGGGCGGUAGUACCGCCCAACAAGCGGUUGUAUCGCUUGUUACUAGCACACCAGAUUCCCUUGUUCUUCUGGAUAGGUUUUGCAGCAUGAUCUGAGCGGAUAUAGGAGGUGUUACUACCUCUUAUGAUCGGUAGUACCACUCGUGGCAGCGGUAGUACCGCUCUAGGGUACUGCGAGCCUCUGCCUCCCGCAUGGACUGCUGCCCUCCGCCCCAAGCGGUAGUACUGCUCCCCUUGGAGCGCCAUUACCUCUUAUGAUCGGUAGUACUGCUCCCUGGAGCGGAAGUACCGCUCAUGUGCGGGCUGAGGAGGUGGGUAACGUUUGGAUUUGUCCUCCCACUAUAUAAAGGGGUUCUUCUUCCCAUAGAAUCUCACAUUUCCCAACCCUAAGCUCCAUUCUGGCUCUAAGAUCCAUUUUCACCCGAUUUCUCUCCCUAACUAACAAAAUUUGUUGAUACUCUAGGGUUUGCUUGUCAUGGUCUCGAUCUACACUUCCACCAAGAGAAGUUGUAUUUCUAUAAUUCCCCAAGAGUGUAACUUGCCUUAUUUGGAACCUUUUGUAUGUGGGUCCAUCUUGUCAUUGCAAUUAGAGUUAUAUUCCAUGUGGUAUUUCAUGUGCUCAUGUCUUGUUUUCCUUUGCAUGCAUGCAUCCUUAUCAUUCCAUGUCUCUUGUGUUUGUGUUAAUGUGAUCAAUGUAUGUGGUGUGACAUGUGAUGAUGUUAUGUGAAGUGAUGUGGGGUGUUGUUUGAAAGUAGGGUGCAACUUAUGCUAGGUUUCCAAAAGGAUUUCAAAACUUCUUCCUCUCAAUUUAUAUCAAGCUCAAGUUUCACUUGCUCCAUCCCUCUUUCAAAAAUGCUCAUGUUUUAGUAUGAAUUGUGGUGGAUGUGAUGCUAUGUUUUUAGUGUUUUGAAACUUAGUUUUAGUGGUGCAAAUAUUCACAAAACAGCUCAAUUAAUUCUGUUUUGUAAAUAUUUAGAUGCUCCAAAAAUUCCUUUUCCAUUUUAUUUAAAUAGGUCAUAAUUCUUUAUGACCAAGGGCAUUUUUGUUUUAUUUUUAGCUUCAACAGAUUUGCCUGUGCAUUUGUUUUGCCUCUGUUUGUUUUGUAAAUAGAAAACCCAAGUGGUUUUAUUUUCUCUAUCUGGCGCAUCCAGGUGGGCCUUCUCCCCCUGGCUGGCCCAACUCCCUCUCGCGUGUAGCCCUUCCCUGUAGACGCUGUCUUCCUCCCUCCUUCUUCCGUCAGUUUAGCCAGUGAGGAGAUGAGACAGAGAGCGACGCCGUCAUGGACGUCGAGGCCGCGCGUCCCUUGCCUCCUCCUCCUCCUAUAAAGAACCCUUGGCGUCCGUGCAGGGCUUAGGGUUCCUUCAAGCCGCCGCCACUUCUUUCCCCAUCUCCUCCUCCCUCUCCCUCGUCGGCAGCAGGUAAGCGCGCGCCUCCUCCGCCAUGGCCGAGUCGUAAGAAGCUCAUCGCCGUCGCUGUCGUGCCCCUGCGUCCUCUCCAAGCCUUCGGCGAGCGCGUGGGACCUCCAGGGGACUCGUUCCCGCAGCUAGGAGGAGCAUAUCGGGUCUGCUUCCCCUACAUCGACGACAGCUUCUUCCUCUCCGACGAACCCCUCCGCCGCGGCUUCUUCCACUUCUUCCUCUACUUCCUCUCCGACAGGCACGGCGUCCUCAUCCAGUGGGUGAGCUAGCAUCUUCCUCCCCCUUCCUCGUUGCCAGAUCGUGAGUAGGAGCCCGUAGCCGCGCCGUGUUCUUCUCUCUGUCGCCGGCGCCGCCGCGCGUUGUGGAACCGUAGCAGUAGGCCUUCCCGUGGCGCGUUUAGUGUAGAAAUGGAACCCUGGGAGCCCCUUCUCCGUUCCAUCGAUGAGCCGUAGGCCAAUAUAAAGUAGAUCGCCAGCCUGGUGCUUCCCCUGUUCCGGCCACCGUCGGGCAGAGGAAGGACCAGAGGGGUUGCUCAAUAGAGAUUCCUCCUCUUCUUUGUUAAGAUCCGUAGCAGCAGCGUAGUGGUAGGGGUGUUUUGUUGCAUCAGGUGGUCGUGGGUUCGAAACCCCGCGGCACCACCAUUUUUGGUGUGUUAUUUCGACACAGUAGCUUCAGGGGUGGUUUAUCCUAUAUUACCACUCUCUUCUGUCGAGCCAGAUGGUGUAGUGUAGUGGUGCUAGUUGCUCGUGGUGAACCACGGGGUCUUGGGUUCGAAUCCCCCAAGCCCUUUUAUUUUUUUGCCUAUUUCCUUUGAUGUUUUUAUUUGUUGCUAUGUUAGUUGAUGUGGUGUGCUACGACAGCAUGAGUGGUAUUUCUUUUGCCUCCCAACCAGCAGGUUGUCCUUGAUUAUGUGCUAGAGAGCAUGUGUAGGUAUAUCUAUGUGUAGUGUAUGUGUAGGUGAUGCUAGUGUUUCUGUGACCAAGCAACUAUGUGCAUGUGUGCUUGUGUGGUGCAAGCACCCCAAAGUUUGUGUAGAUGUAUAUCAUCAUGUGCAUGUGUGUGUGUUACUCAUGUGCAUGGGUGUUGAGCUCAUGCACUAGCUUGUGCAAGUGUGUGAGUGUGUGUGUGNNNNNNNNNNNNNNNNNNNNNNNNNNNNNNNNNNNNNNNNNNNNNNNNNNNNNNNNNNNNNNUGUGUGUGUGUGUCACACAUACCCAAGGCAUGGUUUUCCUUGAUAAGCACUUAUGUGCAAGCUUGAUGUGUAGGUGUAGGAAUGCAUGUUGUGAGUGUAAGUAAGUGUGUGUGUUUAACUAGCAUGUGUAGGUGCUUGAUAUAUGUGUGCUUGAUGUAUGUGUGGUGUGGUGGUGUGCUAAGGCACAUGAACAUGAGGUCCACCCCUCAUGUGCCUCAAGGGAUUGAUGAGAGUGUGCAAGUGCAUGUGUAGGUGAUGAUCUAGUGAGAGCUCAUAUGAUAUGGCACUAUUUGCAUCAUGUGAUUCCAUGUAGAUUUUCCUUUCAAGUUUGUGCCUAUUUGUUCUAUGGAAGUACCNCAAAUCAGAUUCCACUUUGGAACAAUUUCUGGGAAUGUCAUAUUUCUGUUUUGUUGAAUGUUUAGAGCUUGGUUCCAUGUGAUGUGAUGAGCCCAAGAGGAUGGUUCCUUGUUGUGAUAGUAGAGGAUGAACCCCUCUAAAACAUGGUGGUUUUGUUUCUCGCUUAGGAGUUUAUAUGUGCAAGUUGUGCUUAGUCAAAGUAGGCAUGUGGCUGAAAUUUCAGGUUAGUGAAAAUCUGUGAUUUUCACUAAGUCUGAGAAACAGUUGUUAUUUUCUUCCGUUGUAGUUGUGCUUGCAAAAGUUCAUGUGUUGGGAAUCAGCCCUUGCAAUCAACUAGAAAGUUGGAGCUUUUGUGUUUGUCUAGCUCGCUGUAAAUUUUCAUUCCAUUUGACUUCUUGUAGAUAUUGUUUUGGGUGCUGUCAAAAUUCUUCAGAGCAUAAACAACUAGUGAGAAUCUGAGAAUUUCACUAAGUCCGUGAAAACUGAUGUUUUUGUCCGAGUUAGCAACUGUAGAUCUUUCUAUGUGUAACUCCUUUGUAUUAUCUUUUUGCUCAUGCUUGUAGAGCUUUUGAAUAGCUUCUGCCACAUAUCUUAUUUGUCACAUUUGGGGUGGCUGUAGAUGCUUUGCAUGUAGCUCUCAAACUGCUAUGAUGCUGUUUAGGACAGAAUAUAUAGUUUUGAUGUUUUGAUGUUUGUGAGUGCAUAGUUGAUGGUGUGGUGAGAUUCCUUGCACCACCUCAUCCAUACUUGUUUGUUUUGUGAUUUGGCAACCUGGGAAUACCAGAAAUAUGCCAUUGGAGUGUGUUGUGAUGGAUUUGAUCCGUAGGACUCCAUUUCUUGUUUCGUUGUUUCCGGUUGAUCCGUAGCUCCGUUCGUAAUGUUCUUUAUAUGUUUUUGCAUUGUUUUCGCGUGAUGCAUCUGUUCAUGUCAUCUAAAUGCAUGUCAAGAUAGCUUAGAGUGCAGUUCUGUACAGAAGAUUGUAGUUUCUUCUCAUGCAUGUGCAAGUGACUAGAAUAGAGAUGCAUGUCAUUCUCAUCUCAUGCAUCAUGUGUUUGUUGCAUCAUGUGGUGCUGUUGUUCAUUGGAUGCUAUUUUUAUGUUGGGUAGCACCAGGAUCGGAGAGCGAGUACGUGGAUCCGGGAGAGUACGUGCAGUACGAACAAGAGCAGUUCCAAGCUGAAGACAUCACACGCAAGAUGAUUUGACCUUGAUACCAUCUCUAGUCUUGUUGUGCCUUGAUUCACGUUUCCUUCGUCAUAUGCUCGCUGCCUACCACUGACAUAAUUGCCACCUGAUAUUGCGAUGAAACCCAAACACUUCCCCUCCUUGCUAAUAUUGAAUGGCUAAGUAGGCUUGCUCAACUUCUAAUGUCAGCGUUGCUAGUUGCAGGUGCAAUUGUCUCAUGUGAUAACAUCAGUUUGAUAUCAUUAUGUUAAAUCUAUUAUUUAAUUAAUGCACCUAUAUACUUGGUAAAUAAAGGAAUUCCUAGCCUUUUGCCGGGUGUUUUGUUCCAUUAUUGCCGCCAUAGUUUCCAGCUACCAGUGUUUGAUUCCAUAACUGAGAGCUCCUAACACGUUCGUGGUUGUUAUGGGGACCCCCUUGAUAAACCGUGUAGUGUUAAGACUUGUACGGCAUGACCCGACAUUGGUUUUAAUUUUCUAAUCACUUAAUAAUAAUCUGCAUAGGGAAUAGCUACCCCGAGGAAUUAAUCAACAACCCGGGCCAGUGCUCCUCAUGAGUGUUGGUCCAAACUAGAGUCAUGUGCGGGGCCAACCCGAGGCAACUCGGGAGAUGUCUAUCAGGCCACAGUACGCUGUGGUCAUACGGCGUGUCCUGAGACUGAGAUACGCGGCUCUUAUCGGGGUCAUUGACACGUGGGGAGGUCCUGCUAGUCUUGUCUUACCUUAGCGAUAUAUCUUGCGUAUAGGAAUCCCGGUGAAGCUUUGGUUCUCCCCAGAGUUGAGGUUUUCCUCUAAGGAAUCCGACGAGAUCACGAGAUUCGUGAUAGAGGAUUACUUUGCGGCUCGUGACCAUUUGUGAUGUACUAGUUGGAGCACCCCUGCACGGUUUAAUCUUUCGGAAAGCCAUGCCCAAGGUUAUGUGGCAACUUGGAAUAUUUGUUAACAUCCAGUUCUAGAUAACUUGAACUAAUUCUAAUAAAAUUGCCAACUAUGUGCGUAACCGUGACUGUCCCCUUCGAAGACUUCUCUUCGAACGGGAACACGGUGGGGUUAUCAUUGACGUAAGUAGGUGUUCAGGAUCACUUAUUGAUCAGCUAGUCUUCGCCCGCUAGUAUAGACCAUCUUCAAUUAUUUGUUCUACGUAAGUUAGCCACCAUAAAUGCUUAGGAUGCUGCAACCUAAACACUGAGCCUUCCUUACCUAAUAACUUGACUAGUUCUGGCACCGAGGUCAUAGAUUGCUGAGUCCCCAUGGCUCACAGAUUACUUCAACACCCCAACAGGUACAGGUACGCCCGACACAGGUGAUCCCGAUGGCACGCAGCUGGCGUGGCAGUACGAUGAGGAGAACGACCGCCUAUACGUGAACUAUCCAGAAGACUGAGGCGUGGUCGUGAUCGUGGGCAAGCAUGUAGGGUAGCAUAGCCUUUUCUCAUGUUAUGUAGUCUGUAGCGGAACUACCUUGUUUGGAUAAAAGUGUGAUGUAAACUCUGAUUUAUCUAUGAGAUGGCAAACGAUUCCCUAUUUGUCAUUCUUUAUUAUGCAUGUGCUAUGUUAUCGUGCUUGCCAAACGCUUAGAUGCGCUUCUUUCCAUUUUGGGGCCUCGUUCCCUAAAUCGGAAUGGACCACAUCUUAGUCGUUACAAGUUGGUAAUAAGAGCCUUACGAACAUUGGAGCCUUUGUGUGAUCGUACUUGGCCGAGUCGAGUCUAGUAAAAUGUUUUGAGUCUUAGUUAUAUCGGAGAGUAGGAUUCUUUUUUCUCCUCUUCCAUGUCUGGUGAGGUUCCCGACUUAGGAAAUCUUAAUUCUACUCCUCUUCUCGCUCAAAAUUUUUUUGGGAUCACGCGGGUAUUUUUGAAGUCUAUAUGAUAUCGAUGUGAUGGAGUUCUGUCUUGGUGCCUCCUGUUUGCCUUGAUUUCUUCCGGGGAGUUGAGCUCCAGGGGAUUCUUGUGCACAUCGCCAUCAUUCAGAUUUCUAAGUAUCUCAGAACGAAGGAUGUUCGUAAUUGCUUCAAUACUAGUAGUGGCGAGAUAACCCCGAUGUCCCCAGUACUGGUGCAGAUUGUUCGGGAGUACUGCCAUACUUUGUAUCGUUGUGAUCACGAGGGUCUGUAGUAGAUGAAGGUCCGAGAUGCUGGUUAUGUGUUGAUGGAUGUGAUACAGUGGACGGGUUAGUAUAGGAGUUGUGUGAAUAUUACUCCUUGUAUCCGUGUACCAGAUUGCAUGACCAGAUAUUUUGGGAAUUCAUAGGUGGGAUAUCAAGUAGUGACUUAUAGGACAAUCAUCCUACAGAUGCAUGAUGUGAGGUUGGGGUUCGACAUUUAGUGGGUACGUUUGUUCAUCGUCGUCUUACAGCGGUUCUCGUUGUGUCUUAAAGAGUUCUUGUAGCUUGCUACGACUCGGGGAUACUUCAUAAGUCGUGUACACUACCUUGCAUUGGAUGGCUACUGUAAAUUCGAGCCCGUGCGAUCUUAUCCACGAAGAUAUCACAUGUAAUCUCGAUCAUAUGUUUGUUCCGAGCAGUUCUAGCUCAUAAUUGUUUGCAAGUGGUCUUAAUCAGAAUUUUGUCGACAAUCACUUUGAGGAAGCAUUCCUACUAUUUUGUUCAAGUGCAAUUGCUAUAUUCCUGUUCAGAUAUUCCUGCUCUUUUGAUUCAGCUAUACCUUCAAUUUAUUUUGUGGGCUAAUGUGUUGUCCGUCUUCAGGAUGGCUCCACCAACUCGUCAGAAUCCAGGUCGUGAGGAUGUGCCGCCACCACCUCCUCCUCUGGAGAAUCCUCCUCCGCUGCCGCCUCCUCCUGCAGAGGCUUGGCAUGCGGUGAUGGCUGCUACAAAUGCAAACACUCAGAUGCUGAUACAGUUGUUGCAAGAGAGGACUAAUCAGCAGCAAGGCAACUUCAAUCAUGGUGGCAAUCAAUUUGCUAAUCUGAGUCAGUUCCUGUCAAAUCAGCCGAAGACUUUCACUUCGUGUGACCAGCCGUUUGAUGCUGAGGAUUGGAUCCGUGACAUGAAUAAGCACUUUGAAUGCAACAAUGUUCGUCCAGAGGAUUUCGUCAAGUUUGCAACAUUCCAGCUGAAGGGGCAAGCAUCUAUCUGGUGGCAACAGUUGAAGGAUUCUAGGGGUGCUAGAGUCAUCACUUGGGAUGAGUUCUGUCGUGACUUCAGAUCCCACUACGUUCCGUCCAGCUUUGUGGAGGAAAUGCGUGAGAAGUUCAGGCGGUUGAAGCAAGGUGGUAACUCCGUGUACAAGUACAACGUCGAGUUCCACGAGCUAGCCUGAUACGCCUUGCAGGAUACCCGUGAUCAGAAGAGCAAGAUUUAUCAGUUCAGAGGUGGCUUGAAAGAAGAUUUGCAGUUAGCUCUCGUUUUGCACGAUCCCGAGGAGUUCGAUAAGUUCUACAACUUAGCUCUCAGGGCUGAGGCAGCUUUGCUCAGGGUGGAGAAUUCUAAGAAGCACUUUAGAGAUUCCAGCACGUCUUCCUCAACUCAAGUGGUUCAGAAGCAACAGAAGUAUUGGGUGUCUCCUCCUCCUCCUCGGCACACGCAGCAGUUCAAGCAUUUAGGUGGCCGUGGUUCUUCCCACCCACCCAACCCAGCUUUUCCGCAGAGAUUCCAGCAGCAGAAGCAAGGGCCUCCUCAGAUAUAGUACCGUCAGCCAACAUAUGUUACUUGUCACAAGUGUGGGCAGAAGGGUCACUAUGCCAACAAGUGCACUUCUCAGCUCCGUCUUCCGCCUCCUCCUCCAGGCAAACCUCCAAGCAAUACUCUCGUGAAGUUCAAACCCAGGUCUGCUCGAGUCAACGUGGUGAAUGCGGCUGAGGCAGAAAACUCGUCAGAUGUAAUUAUGGGUAACCUCCUCGUCAAUGAUAUUCCUGCUAAAGUGUUAUUUGAUUCUGGUGCAUCGCAUUGCUUCAUGUCCCGUCCAUUCUUUGCAAAGCAUGAGUUUGUUUUUCAAGAUUUGCUUAAGCCGGUCUCAGUAGUUUCUCCUGGGAGAUUGAUGAAUUCCAAUUGUCUGGUCCCGAAUGUUUCUGUCAAGAUGGGUAGUUAUUCUUUUCUGGCGUCUCCUAUUGUCUUGGGGCAAUUCUGACAUUGAUUUGAUCCUUGGUAUGGACUGGCUGGCCAUGAACAAGGCAUCGAUUGAUUGUGAAGCUAAAGAAGUGAAGCUUACUCACUCUUCAGAGGACGUGAUUAUCUUCGCGGCACGCGAUGACACAAUCCGUCUGUUCUCUUUGAAUGAAAAGGGUGAGAUUAAUCCUAUUUUGCAAGUCCCAGUGGUCUGUGAAUAUGAAGAUGUGUUUCCAGAAGAACUGCCAGGAAUGCCUCCACACCGAGAAGUUGAAUUUGUUAUUGAGCUUGAACCAGGUACCGAGCAUGUGUGCAAAUGUCCGUACAAAUUGGGUCCAGAAGAGCUGAAGGAACUUAAGAGGCAACUCGAUGAGCAGGAGCGUUUGGGUCUAAUCACACUGAGCUCGUCUCCUUGGGGUUGUGGAUUUCUGUUUGUCAAGAAGAAGGAUGGCACGGACCGAUUGUGUGUCGAUUACCGUCCAUUGAACAAGAAGACAAUCAAAAACAAGUAUCCACUUCCGAACAUAAAUGAGUUGUUCAAACAGUUGAAAGGGGCUAAGGUCUUCUCCAAGCUCGAUCUCAGAAUGGGCUAUCAUCAAAUUCGCAUUCGCGAAGACUACUUUCAGGACUAGUUUUGGCUCGUAUGAGUAUACGGUCAUGUCUUUUGGUAUGGCAAAUGCUCCACCGACAUUUUGUCCUAUGAUGAACUACAUAUUCUCUCCGUUCAAGAAUGAGUUCGUCUUGCUGUAUCUCGACGAUAUUUUGGUCUUUUCAGAAACUGAGGAAGAACAUGAAGAACAUCUCAGUCGGGUGCUUGAUAAGCUGAGAGAGCACAAAUUCUAUGCCAAGUUUUCCAAGUGUGAGUUCUGGUUGAAAGAAGUCGUCUAUCUUGGGCACGUCAUCUCUGCCGAGGGCAUCAAAGUUGAUCUGUCGAAGGUGCAAGGCAUUGUUGAGUGGGAGCCUCCGCAAAAUGUGAAGCAGCUUCGAAGCUUUCUCGGGCUUGCAAGUUAUUGUAGAUGGUUCAUUGAGAACUUCUCCAAGAUUGCUAAGCCUCUCUCAAGUCUUCUUUAGAAGGGUGUGAAGUAUGUCUGGUCUCCAGAGUGUCAGUUGGCCUUCGACACACUCAAAGAGAAGGUCACCUCUACUCCAGUCUUGGUUCCUCCUGAUGACUCCAAACCUUAGCAAGUGUUCUGCGACGCCUCUCUUCAAGGUCUUGGUGCACUUUUGAUGCAAGAGAAGAAAGUGGUUGCUUAUACCUCCAGGCAGUUGAAGCCAGCGGAAAAGAAUUAUCAUGUGCAUGAUCUUAAGCUGGCAGCAGUGGUACAUGCUCUAAUGACUUGGAGAUACCUCUUGUUGGAAUGAAAGGUUGAACUGUUCACCGAUCACAAGAGUCUCAAGUACAUCUUCACCCAGCCUAACCUGAAUCUCCAACAAACUCUUUGGGUGGAAAUGCUCCAAGAUUUUAAUCCGAGCGUUGAGUACACGCCAGGCAAAGCUAAUGUCGUGGCAGAUGCUUUGAGCAGGAAGGCUUACUACAACAGUCUCAUUCUGAAGCCUCUCCAGCCUGACCUUUGUGAGUCUUUGAGAAAGCUCAACCUUCAGUUAGUACCUCAGGGAUUUCUUGCAAAUCUUCAGAUCUCUCCUACCUUGGAAUAUCAGGUCCGAGCAACACAGCUUCUUGAUGCAAUGGUGAAGAAAGUUAAGAUUGGCUUGGCAAAGGGACUUCCCAAAUAUAAGUGCUUCAGUGUUGAUGCCAAAGACACGUUAUUUUUUGAGGAUCGUCUUGUCGUUCCGAAAGGUGAUAUCAGAAAGGUAACCAUGGAAGAAGCUCAUAACUCUCUGCUCUCAAUACAUCCAGGAAGCUCCAAGAUGUAUCAGGACUUGAAACAGACCUUGUGGUGGACUCGCAUGAAGCGUGAGAUUGCUCAGUUCUUAAAUGAAUGUGAUGUAUGUCGAAGGGUGAAAGCAGAGCAUCAACGUCCAUCAGGUCUUUUGCAUCCAUUGCCCAUUCCCGAGUGGAAGUUCGACCAUAUUGAGAUGGAUUUCGUCACCGGGUUUCCGAAGUCCAAGAAGGGUAACGAUGCCAUCUUCGUCGUCAUCGACAAGUUGAGUAAAGUGGCUCAUUUUCUUCCAGUCAAGGAAUCCAUCUCCGCAGCUCAGCUUGCAGAGAUGUAUGCUUUGAGGAUAGUGUCUUUGCAUGGCGUGCCUAUGAUGAUUUCUUCGGAUCGUAGAAGUGUCUUCACUUCCAAGUUCUAGGACUCUUUUGAGUCUGCGAUGGGCACGAAGAUAUGCUUCAGCACAGCUUUUCAUCCUCAGACUAGUGGUCAAGUGGAGAGAGUCAAUCAGGUCCUUGAGGAUAUGCUGAGAGCCAGCGUUAUCUCUUUUGGCAUGAAGUGGGAAGACUUCCUGCCUUUUGCUGAGUUCUCAUAUAACAAUAGUUAUCAAGCUAGUUCAGGCAAAGCUCCGUUUUGAGAUUCUCUAUGGCAGGAAGUGACGUACCCCGAUCAACUGGUCCGAGACCGGUGAGCGUCAGAUUCUUGGGAAUGACUUGCUAGAAGAAGCUGAAGAGAUGUGUCGGGUCAUUCGGGAUAAUCUCAGAGCAGCGCAGUCCCGUCAGAAGAGCUAAUAUGAUAGCAAGCAUCGUGACAUGUCUUACGAGCUCGAUGACUUCGUCUAUCUCAAAGUGUCGCCUAUGAAGGGUACACAACGUUUUGGUAUCAAAGGCAAGCUUGCGCCUUGUUUCGUGGGUCCUUUCAGAGUUGUUGGCAAGAGAGGCGACCUUGCGUAUCAGCUUGAGCUCCCUUCAAACUUUGCAAAUGUGCAUGAGGUGUUCCAUGUCUCUCAGCUCCAGAGGUGCUUGAAGACUCCCGAGCACACUGUUCAUCUUCAAGAUAUCGACCUUCAACCCGACCUAUCCUAUCGUGAGCAUCGAGUUGCGGUUCUCGAGGCGACUGAGCGCAAGACCUGCAACAAGACUGUCAAAUUUCUCAAGGUGCAGUGGUCACACCAUUUCGAUAAAGAGGCCACUUGGGAACGCGAGGAUCACCUCUGUUCUGAAUUCCCAGAGUUCGUUCAGUCCUAGAUCUCGGGGCGAGAUCUUUUUGUAGUGUGGGAGAGUUUGUAAUGCCCCAAGAGUGUAACUUUCCUUAUUUGGAACCUUCUGUAUGUGGGUCCAUCUUGUCAUUGCAAUGAGAUUUAUAUUCCAUGUGGUAUUUCAUGUGCUCAUGUCUUGUUUUCCUUUGCAUGCAUGCAUCCUUAUCAUUCCAUGUCUCUUGUGUUUGUGUUAAUGUGAUCAAUGUAUGUGGUGUGACAUGUGAUGAUGUUAUGUGAAGUGAUGUGGGGUGUUGUUUGAAAGUAGGGUGCAACUUAUGCUAGGUUUCCAAAAGGGUUUCAAAACUUCUUCCUCUCUAUUUAUCUCAAGCUCAAGUUUCACUUGCUCCAUCCCUGUUUCAAAAAUGCAAAUGUUUUAGUAUGAAUUGUGGUGGAUGUGAUGCUAUGUUUUUAGUGUUUUGAAACCUAGUUUUAGUGGUCCAAAUAUUCACAAAACAGCUCAAUUAAUUCUGUUUUGUAAAUAUUUAGAUGCUCCAAAAAUUCCUUUUCCAUUUUAUUUAAAUAGGUCAUAAUUCUUUAUGACCAGGGGCAUUUUUGUUUUAUUUUUAGCUUCAACAGAUUUGCGUGUGCAUUUGUUUUGCCUCUGUUUGUUUUGUAAAUAGAAAACCUCGGUGGGUUUUCUUUUCUCUAUCUGGCGCAUCCAGGUGGGCCUUCUCCCCCUGGUUGGCCCAUCUCCCUCUCGCGCGUAGCCCUUUCCUGUAGACGCCGUCAUCCUCCCUCCUUCUUCCGUCAGUUUCGUUAGUGAGGAGAUGAGACAGAGAGCAAUGCCGUCAUGGACGUCGAGGCCACGCGUCCCUCGCCUCCUCCUCCUCCUAUAAAGAACCCUUGGCGUCCGUGGAGGGCCUAGGGUUCCGUCAAGCCGCUGCCACUUCUUUCCACAUCUCCUCCUCCCUCUCCCUCGUCAGCAGCAGGUAAGCACGCGCCUCCCCCGCCAUGGCCGAGUCGUGAGAAGCUCCUCGUCGUUGCUGUCGUGCCCCUGCGUCCUCUCCAAGCCUUCGACGAGUACGCGGGACCUCCAAGGGACUCGUUCCUGCAUAUAGGAGGAGCAGAUCGGGUGUGCUUCCCCUACAUCGACGGCGGCUUCUUCCUCUCUGACGAACCCCUCCGCCGCGACUUCUUGCACUUCUUCCUCUACUUCCUCUCCGACAGGGAUCGCGUCCUCGUCCAGUGGGUGAGCUGGCAUCUUCCUCCCCCUUCCCUGUCGCCGGAUCGUGAGUAGGAGCCGUAGCCAUGCCGUGUUCUUCUCUCUAUCGCCGGCGCCACCGCGCAUCAUGGAGCCGUAGCAGUAGGCCUUCCCGUGGCGCGUUUAGUGUAGAAAUGGAACCCUGGGAGCCCCUUCUCCCUUCCAUCGACGAGCCGUAAGAAAAUUUGAAGUAGAUCGCCGGCGUGGUGCUUCCCCUGUUCCGGCCACCGUCGGGCAGAGGAAGGACCAGAGGGGUUGCUGAAUAGAGUUUCCUCCUCUUCUGUGUUAAGAUCCGUAGCAGCAGUGGAGUGGUAGGGGUGUUUUGUUGCUUCAGGUGGUCAUGGGUUCGAAACCCCACGGCGCCACCCUUUUUGGUGUGUUAUUUCGGCACCGUAGUUUCAGGGGUGGCUUAUCUUGUAUUACCACUCUCUUCUGUCGAGCCAGAUGGUGUAGUGUAGUGGUUCUAGUUGCUGGUGGUGAACCACGGGGUCUUGGGUUCUAGUCCCCCAAGCCCUUCUAUUUUUUUGCCUAUUUCCUUUGCUGUUUUUCAUUUGUUGCUAUGUUAGUUCAAGUGGUGUGCUAGGACAGCAUGAGUGGUAUUUAUUUUGCCUCCCAACCAGCAGGUUGUCCUUGAUUAUGUGCUAGAGAGCAUGUGUAUGUAUAUCUAUGUGUGGUGUAUGUGUAGGUGAUGCUAGUGUUUGUGUGAGAAAGCAACUAUGUGCAUGUGUGCUUGUGUGGUGCAAGCACCCCAAGGUUUGUGUAGAUGUAUAUCACCAUGUGCAUGUGUGUGUGUUACUCAUGUGCAUGAGUGUUGAGCUCAUGCACUAGCUUGUGCAAGUGUGUGAGGGGGGGGGGGUGGGUCCCCCCACAUACUUUGUGUGUAGUUGUAGGUGAUCAUGUGAUAUAUGUGUGUGUGUGUCACACAUGCCCAAGGCAUGGUUGCCUUGAUAAUAACUUAUGUGCAAGCUUGUAUGUGUAGGUGUACGAAGUCAUGUUGUGAGUGUAAGUGUGUGUGUUUAACUAGCAUGUGUAGGUGCUUGAUAUAUGUGUGCUUGAUGUAUGUGUGCCGUGUUGCUGUGCUAAGGCACAAGAACAUGAGGUCCACCCCUCAUGUGCACAAAUGGAGUGAUGAGAGUGUGCAAGUGCAUGUGUAGGUGAUGAUCUAGUGACAGCUCAUAUGAUAUGGCACUAUUUGCAUCAUGUGAUUCCAUGUAGAUUUUCCUUUCAAGUUUGUGCCUAUUUGUUCUAUGGAAGUACCUAGGUAUUAUACAUGUUUUUGGGGUAGAAUCAUCCUAGGAAUCCAAUGGUGGAAUCAGAUUCUACUUUGGAACACUUUCUGGGAAUGUCAUAUUUCUGUUUUGUUCAAUGUUUAGAGCUUGGUUCCAUGUGAUGUGAUGAGCCCAAGAGGAUGGUUCCUUGUUGUGGCAGUAGAGAGUGAACCCCUCUACAACAUGGUGGUUCUGUUUCUUGCUUAGGAGUUUAUACAUGCAAGUUGUGCUUAGCCAAAGUAGGCAUGUGUCUAAAAUUUUAGCUUAGUGAAAAUCAUAGAUUUUCACUAAGUCUGAGAAACUGCUGUUAUUUUCUUCCCUUGUAGUUGUGCUUGCAAAAGUUCAUGUGUUGGGAAUCAGCCCUUGCAAUCAACUGGAAAGUUGGAGAUUUUGUGUUUUUCUAGCUCUCUUUCAAUUUUCAUUCCAUUUGACUUCCUAUAGUUAUUGUUUUGGGUGCUGUCAAAAUGCUUCAGAGCAUAAACAGCUAGUGAGAAUCUGAGAAUUUCACCAAGUCCGUGAAAACUGAUGUUUUUGUCCAAGUUAGUAGCUGUAGAUCUUUAUGUGUGUAACUCCUUUGUAUUAUAUUUUUGCUCAUGCUUGUAGAGCUUUUGAAUAGAUUCUACCACAUAUCUUAUUUGUCACAUUUGGGUGGUUGUAGAUGCUUUGCAUGUAGCUCUCAAACUGCUAUGAUGCUGUUUAGGACAGAAUGUAUAGUUUUGAUGUUUUGAUGCUUGUGAGUGCAUAGUUGAUGGUGUGGUGAGAUUCCUUGCACCACCCCAUCCAUACUUGUUUGUUUUGUGAUUUGGCAACCUGGGAAUACCAUAAAUAUGCUAUUGGAGUGUGUUGUGAUCGAUUUGAUCCGUAGGACUCCAUUUCUUGUUUCGUUGUUUCCUGUUGAUCCGUAGCUCCGUUCGUAACGUUCUUUAUAUGUUUUUGCAUCGUUUUCACGUGAUGCAUCUAUUCAUGUCAUAUUCAUGCAUGUCAAUAUAGCUUAGAGUGCAGUUCUGUCCAGAAGUUUGUAGUUUCUUCUCAUGGAUGUGCAAGUGACUAGAAUAGAGAUGCAUGUCAUUCUCAUCUCAUGCAUCAUGUGGUGCUGUUGUUCAUUGGAUGCUAUUUUUAUGUUGGGUAGCUCCGGGAUCGGAGAGCGAGUACGUGGAUCCGGGAGAGUACGUGCAGGACGAACAAGAGCAGUUCCAAGCUGAAGACAUCAUAGGCAAGAUGACAUGACCUUGAUACCAUCUCUAGUCUUGUUGUGCCUAGAUUCACGUUUCCUUCGUCAUAUGCUCGCUGCCUACCACUGAAAUAAAUUCCUCCUGAUAUUGCCAUGAAACCCAAACACUUCCCCUCCUAGCUAAUAUUGAAUGUCUAAGUAGGCUUGCUCAACUUCUAAUGUUAGCGUUGCUAGUUGCAGGUGGAAUUGUCUCAUGUGAUAACAUGAGUUUGAUAUCAUUAUGUUAAAUCAGUUAUUUAAUUAAUGCACCUAUAUACUUGGUAAAUAAUGGAAGGCCUACCCUUUUGCCUGGUGUUUUGUUAUGUUAUUGCCACCAUAGUUUCCGGCUACCGGUGUUUGAUUCCAUAACUGAUCGCUCCUAACACGUUCGGGGUUGUUAUGGGGACCCCCUUGAUAAAUCGUGUAGUGUUAAGACUUCUCCGGCAGGACCCAACAUUGGUUUUAAUUUGCUAAUCACUUAAUAAUAAUCUGCAUAGGGAAUAGCUACCCCGAGGAAUUAAUCAACAACCCGGGCCAGUGCUCCUCAUGAGUGUUGGUCCAAACUAGAGUCGUGUGCGGGGACAACCCGGGGCAACUCGGGAGAUGUCUAUCAGGCCACUAUACACUGUGCUCAUCCGGCGUGUCCUGAGACUGAGAUACGUGGCUCUUAUCGGGGUAGUCGACACGUCGGGAGGUCCUGCUAGUCUUGUCUUACCUUAGUGAUAUAUCUUGCGUAUAGGAAUCCCGGUGAAGCUUUGGUUCUCCCCAGAGUUGAGGUUUUCCUCUAAGGAAUCCGACGAGACCGCGUGAUUCGUGAUAGAGGAUUACUUUGCGGCCCGUGACCGUUUGUGAUGGACUAGUUGGAGCACCCCUGCAGGGUUUUAUCUUUCAGAAAGCCAUGCCCGCGGUUAUGUGGCAAGUUGGAGUAUUUGUUAACAUCCGGUUCUAGAGAACUUGAACUAAUUCUAAUAAAAUUGCCAACUGUGUGCGUAACCGUGACUGUCCCCUUCGAAGACCUCUCUUCGAACGGGAACACGGUGGGGUUAUGAUUGACCUAAGUAGGUGUUCAGGAUCACUUAUUGAUCAGCUAGUCUUCGCCCGCUAGUAUAGACCACCUUCAAUAACUUGUUCUACGUAAGUUAGCCACCAUAAAUGCUUAGGAUGCUGCAACCUAAACACUGAGCCUUCCUUACCUAAUAACUUGACUAGUUCUGGCACCGAGGUCAUAGAUUGCUGAGUCCCCAUGGCUCACAGAUUACUUCAACACCCCAACAGGUACAUGUACGCCCGACAGAGGUGAUCCCAAUGGCACGCAGCUGGCAUGGCAGUACGACAAGGAGAACGACCGCCUGUACGUGAACUAUCCAUAAGACUGAGGCGUGGUCGUGAUCGUGGGCAAGCAUGCAGGGUAGCAUAGCAUUUUCUCAUGUUAUGUAGUCCGUAGCGAAACUACCUUGUUUGAAUAAAUGUGUGAUGUAAACUCUGAUUUAUCUAUGAGAUGGCAAACGAUUCCCUAUUUGUCAUUCUUUAUUAUGUAUGUGCUAUGUUAUCGUGCUUGCCAAACGCUUAGAUGCGCUUCUUUCCAUUUUGGGGCCUCGUUCCCUAAAUCGGAAAGGACCGCAUCUUAGUCGUUACAAUUUGCUCCAUGAAUCCCUCGCGAAUCUUGUUAUUCUCGGGUGUUUGAGCACCCUAGAUGGUUGAGGUCACUUCAAAGCCAUAUUCCAUUCUGGUGAAGCUUCGUGGUUUCGUUGGGAGCCUCCAAUUCAGUUAUGGAGAUUGCCCCAACCUUGUUUGUAAAGAUUCGGUCACCACCUUCAACGACACCACUAGUGGAAUCGUGGCGCCUCACAUUGUUUGAGGGCGUGAGGAGAAUACGGUGGCCUUAGUGGCAUCUUGGGGAGCAUUGUUUCUCAAUACCGUUCCAAUGGUGACAUACUUCCCCUCAAAGGGAACGAGCUUUGGAAACACAUCCUCGUCUUCAUCGGCUCCACUUGUGGUUAUUUCAUAGCUUUACUUGUAUCAGUUACUUACUUGUUGUUAUUGUUGCUAGCAUCACUAGGUUGAUCACUUAGUUGCAUAUCUAGACAACCUAUUUGUUGCUAAACUUAAUUUGUCAAAGAUAAGCUUAAAAUUGUUAGUUGCCUAUUCAGCACCCUCCAGUCAACCAUAUCGAUCCUUUCAUCUUGGACUAACAAUUUUACCUACUAUAUUUCACAUAUAGUCCACAGAGAGCAUUGGCCUAAAGGAUUGUGAGGAGAAACCCCUUGAUGCAAGGAAAGGAAUAUGAUUGGCCAUGCUUCAAGCAAGAGGACUCUACAUUCUACAUUUGUGAGAAAUCACCUUUGAGUCCAUAGGAAAGCCAAUACUAUUAAAUGGGGUCAGGUAUCUAUGAUGAAUUGGUUUCUCAAGUGCUUAGAGAUAGCCACCAAAAAUACUCAUCAAUUAUCUCAAAAAAUAUCUGUCCAAAGCCUACACAUAAAAAAUCGGUGCCACCACGAAUUCCAUUUCAACCCUACCGAUUUUCCAGAGACACAACCUUUGCCAAACCCUAAUAUCUCGUUACCACCAACUUUCAUAUCGGUGCCACCGAAAGACAGCGACUAACUUUCUGGUAUCUCUAUUUCAAGAAUAAGAAUUUCCGAGAUUGUAAUUGGUACCACUGAGAUUUGGAAACUACCCUAGGUCAUCGUAUCGAUACAACAAAGAUUUAUAUAUCGUUCUCACUAAGAAUUCAAAAGUUGCCACAUUUAGUGUAACUCAGUACCACCGAUAUUCAUUUUGAUGUAAGUGAGUUGGGGAAUAAUGUUGUAACGGUUGGAUUUUGGGGGAUGCCUAUAUAUACCCCUCCACCCCCUCUCAUUCGCAAAGGAAGCACUCAGAACACGCACACACACACUUGUGAGAUCCAUUUUUCUGAGAGAGACACCUACUCAUGUGUUGAGAGCAAAAAAUUCGAGUCCAUCCAUUUGAAACUUCAUCUCUAGCCUCCCCAAGUUUCUUUCCACAAAAUCAAUCUCUCCUACCCCCAAAUCUAUGAGAGAGCGAUUGAGUGUUUCAGAGACUAUCUUUUGAAGCACAAGAGCACGAAGUACAUUGUUCUACCGCAUUUAUUACCUUUUGGAGGGUGGUGCUUCCUAGAUUGGUUAGGUGUCCAUUAGGAGCCUCCUACUUCGUGUUGUGGAGUUGAACCAAGAAGUAUGUAUGGGCAAGGAGAUCACCUACUUCGCGAAGAUCUACUAUUAGUGAGGUUAGUCCUUCCUGGACGUAAGACAUGGUGGAGUAGACAAGGCCGCUUCUUUUUGAACCCCUUGUGGGUGGAGCCCUCCAUGGAAUCUUGUAGCCAUUACCUCCAUCACUGAAGUCUCCACUAACGUGGAUGUAUGAUAGCACCACCUAUCGAAACCAUGCCAAAAAUCGUCGUGUUCAUCUUUGCCUUUGAUCUUCCUAAACUCUACUCCUUACUUACAUGUGAAUGUAUUUACUCUCCGCUGCCAUCUGUGCAUGUGUAGGGUGCACUAGACUUGUUAGAAUUGCUAAAAUCUGCCAGCCGUUAAAAUUGGGAAAAGGAUAGGAUUUUGAUUUAUGCAAGUAGUCUAUUCGCUCCCCCUCUAUACACCCCUUCUAGCGAUCCCACAUGUAAGAAAAAGGACAAUGACAUACAAAAAGAACGAGGACAAACUCCUAUGUGAAUGUUGGAGGGACAUUGGACAAGACCCCAAGGUCGGUGUUGAGAAAUAGGAAUCAACCUUUUUACUAAGAGUUCAUCGUCAAUAUCAUGAAUGCAAGAAGUUCGUGCCGUAUAAGAUGGAGAGUACACAUGGGUGGGUGUCUCUCUCGAAGCGUUGGAGGGUCAUAAAAUAAGAGUGCAACAAGUUUUGUGCCACCUUUUUAUGAAAAGGAGGACGACCCCGGCCUCCGCAUGACAACAAUGCAUGCAACCAUAUAUUAUGAAUAAUGGAAAAUCCAGCAGCCAAACAACUUUGACGUGAAAAUAAAGAAGAAAAUAAACCCUGAGGCCGUAUACCUCGCGACAAUAGCUCCCCUAGAUCGACACUAAACUUAUGUUACAAGACACAUCAGAAAACGAAAAAUACACAACUCCUAGGCUACCCCUUCAAGAAGGAAUCACCACACGUGUGACGAUGAUCGCGAGUCCACCACAAGGUUGGACUCCAUAUUCUCAUCCCCAAAUACAAGCUUAAAUACACCACUUUUAGCGAGGACACGACGCAUGCACGACUCGACAUAUCCCAAUCAGAGAUCUUGUGUUUUGACCAGAGUGCAUAAACUCAUCGUUGAAGCCGUCUAUACCAUCCAUCCUUAUCCGUCUACCUACGCCUCAAUAGCCGCAACAGAAGACAAAGAUGUCUCACACCACUUGCCUCCCGCUACUGUCGCAUCACCUUUGACCCAACAACAAUAGACUAAACAUGGAACGACUGCCACAACCACCAUGAAUUACCUGCCAGUAGCACGCAUGACUUGACGUCUUCCAGUAAUAUGUCUCACGUAGCAUCCGCCGGUAGCCCAUCCACCGGUGACUUCACCUGCCAGCGACAGGCACACCUGACAACUCCGAAAGAGUCACAUGUGUCACUUGUAGAGCCGCAUCGAACGUGAUCUGUUGAUGGAGGGGACGUCACAUACGUGCCACCAGCCUCAGAAAGGCCGUCACCACCUUGAGAUCCAAAUGACUCGGGAAUCCGCUGCCUUUGAGAUAGAAGAGUUUUUGCUCCAAUUUCAGGAACUACAGAAAGCACCCACCAUCUCUACCGCCAUUGUCAUUGCCCAUACAAUGAAAACUGCCACCGUGAUCGUGCAUCAAGUGUCGUCGAUGCCAAAGGAAGCCUCAGCCACCACAUGCGUCCUGCGAUGCCCCUGGAUGUGGGUUCCCAAGAUCCACCAUCACCGGUGCCGCCAAAGUUACACAUAUGAAUAUGUGCCACCCUUGAGAGCAUGGAGGGUCCACCCGUGAGUGGCCCUGACAUCAAUGAUGAUGAAGUCAUCCCUAGUUUACCUCAUUUGUCGUCUUCUCCUCAUGAUAACUCUCAACUAUCAAAUGAAGCUUUUACAAAGAAGACCUAUUUGACUCUCAUGACAAGGAGCCUUGCCGAACAAAUAUAACAAGAGUUGAAUGCGCUCAAAACCGAUCAUAAUUCAACUAUGCAUGAGAACUUUAUACUACCUAAAUCUUGUGUGCUGAUUUUACUCAGGUACAAUGUUGAAGGCAACCAACAACUUUCAACACUUGAAUAAACAAGUUUUGAGGCCCAUACAACAAGUUUGAAGCGAACAAGUUUCACCACUAAUGUAAAACAUGUUCUGGUGAGAAUGCCAACUAGUUACACUUCACAGAAGAAUAACAAGACACCUCACCAAUCUUUUGUUGCAUGCACCGUUUUAGAAUUCGUCCCAGAACUUGCUGCAUCAUGCAACACAAAUACUCCCUCCAUCCCAAAAUAAAUGACUCAAAAAUGAAUCAGUUUUGUACUAACUUUAGUACAAAGUAGAGUUGCUUAUUUUGGGACGGUGAGAGUAUAUGAGUAUCCAACACGUGUUGCAGUACAUAUUGCACAACAUAUGAAGUCUACAUCUAGGAAAAUCAAACAGUGCAUCAUUUGGAGUCGAUAGUUAAAAGGAUAUGAGCGUUGCAAUGCAAGUUGUCCAAAGCAUUAGUUACCGCGCUAGGCUCCAUGAGUUUGCUCCCUUGACCACAUGGUUACCAUGAAUUUGAGCCCCUCUUCUGGAUUGGUUUCGCACCUAAACUAGGAGGGAUGUUCCUAGUAUAAAUACCCUCCCCCACUACAUCCACAACACUUUGGCAAUUUUAUUUCAGCAUAGGUUAGCUAAGUGCAACCAUAAUCUUGUUUGAGAGUUCACUUCCUCCUUAGCUCUUGUAAUAUUGCCCUUGAGAGAGGGUAAAAACACUUUGUGAUUGUACAAUAGAAGCCGUUGAGCUGGCUACCAGUUUGUGCUUCCAACUUAAUCCGUGGUUGGUUGGAUUGGAAUCUUGAGAGUGUGGUUGUGUGAAUACUUGUUGUUGUUUGUUGCAUAUGUAGUAGCUAUCUUCAUUCUCGUUAGGUUGCACUUGUUAUCCAUAACAUGACAACGUUGUUGGCUGGGAUCCAGGGUUUACUUUCUACCCAUUAGGUGGCAUUGAUUCGCAUCAUCGAGCAGAUCCCCCAUGAAGAUCAGGCAACCCCAUGUCAUCUUGGUAUUAGAGCUUCAGUUCACAUAGUAGGAUUUUCUAUCCCUAGUUUAGUUCGUGUUCUUGUUCGUCCUAAAGUCCAGAAAAUAGCCCCACAAAAAUUACUUUUACCAGCCUUUAAUGUAUUAUUUGGUGAGUUUUAUGAAGUUCUUAUCCACUAGAUGUUUUGUUUUUGGUUGUUGAGUUUCCCCCGUCCAUUAUUGUGUGUUUUUGCCCAUUUUCGUGCACAUGUUCCAAAUCUGAAUGCUUCCUCGUAUGCCGGCUUAUUCCAAUACACCGGCUCAUUUGGUCAUUCCGACUUGUUUUUAUUUUCAUUCUUGUAGCGUUUCUGUAAUAAUAGUGAUGACCCCUAACACGAGCAAAGCCUACGGCUGGAUCAGGACCAAAGUGCCAGCGCUUACCUUGGAGGACCUCAUAGGCCAAGGGCUCUUGCGGAUUCAAGAAGAAAUUGAUUGGCGAGCCCCCAAAGAGGAAACUAUUCCAAGGACCGAACAAGGAGAAUUUUUCAUCUUCAUAGAUCAUCUCCACAAGGGCUUUCGGCUGCCCAUGUCAAAAUUCUUUAGAGAUCUGCUCCAUUUCUUCCAGUUUAGGCCACAAGAUAUUGGCCCUAAUAAUAUGACCAACAUAUGCCAAUUUCAAGUUCUUUGCAAAGUAUAUCUCGAGAUCAAACCAACGGUCACUCCCUUUAGGCAUUUCUUCUAUAUAAACUGUCAAACUGAAGUGAAGAAUGGUCCUAGUGUAGAGCUUGGUGGGAUUUCGAUUCAGAAAAGAAAGAACAGUGCCUUUCCUGAAUCAAAACUGGCGAGUCAUCCUAAAGGUUGGAACACCACUUGAUUUUAUUGUAAGUGUACUUCUCUAGAGGGUUAGAACCCCCUACUGGGUUACAGACUGGAUCGUCUUGACGAUUCAAGUGAAUUCCCGGGUUGGCCAGAUGAAGAAGGGAAAAACUGUUGGCACCCAUACUCUUAAGGUUGAGAGCUUUGAUUGCUCAUGGUCUCAUCGGAAUUGAUCCAAUCCGGUGCUAGAUAAGCUCGAGAAUUCAACCACUUAGUUUAAGGGGCGAGUUGAUGUGUAAUUGUACCGACAAGUUGAUAGAUGCUCAACGCUUCAGCGAAGCGGAUUUGAUUGAGAAUGAAAUCAAUAAAGCCACCAUUUUUUGGUGACUCAAAGGAGAAAUGCAGCAUGACCGGGUUAGCUCCAUUUUUCUUGACCAACCCGGUUCCACUAGUAAGUAUUCUUUAAACUUGUCUACUUUCUUCAUCAAAACUUCCUCACGUAUCAUUCUCAUGUUUUUGGCUUGUAUUAUGGUUGCACACAAAUUUUGAUUGGUUGAAAGCCAGGUCCCAGACCCCUAUUCUUCCUUCAUCUGGACAAACGUCUCACCGAACACAUGAGGCCUCCUCGGGAGAGGAAUCUGAGGUAGAACUUGACUCGCUUGGCUACCUCUUUGUUGAACUUGCUAACGCUUCUUCUCCCGAGGGUAAUACUGAAACUAGUCAAGCCGACAACAUUGAGGUAAUUUUUAUCUCCUCCAACUCCUCCAAGGUCAGAUUCUGAAGAGGACGAGAUGAGAUGUUAGAAAAGUUAAGUUUUCACACCCAACUGCUUACUUAGAUCUGAAUUUUCUUUUGAAUAAAAAUCAACACGCCGCUCAAUCGAAGUGCAAGACCUGGAGCAACUCGCUGGAAUUGUCCCCCGGCUUAUCUCUCGAGCCGGCCACCCGCAAGCAAAGUGUUGAGGUGACACAUAGUCCAACUACUUCUCAUCCCCAAGAUGGCCUUUUUAAACAACCUCCCAGUCCUUUUGAUUCAAUUUAUCACGCAUCACCAUCCUAUUCUCGCGACUCAACAACAACACAACUUCCAGCUUUUACCAUUGAAAGUGUGUUAUAUCGACUAGAGGGGGGUGAAUAGGAUAUUUUUUACAAUUUCAUCACAAAGGAAAAUCCUAGUGAGGAAAAUCCUUAGUCAUGAACUGAGUGCAGCGGAAAUAGUGCUUAGUCAGAAGUGCAAAAACAUCCACAACAAAAUACUCAGCGUGGAUUGAGAGAACCGGUUUGCACAGGUCACGAAUACAGGAUAAGCAGGUGAUGAAUAACUUACGUGAAGAAUUUGAGGUGAGGAAUUCACAGAAAGUCUUCAGUCAAAUUCUUCAAAAAGUACAAAUGAAAGUCGUCAACAUGUAAUUGAGGAAAUGAAAAGAGUUGAGGAAAUAGAACGAGUGGCUCGAUGAAGACAAUUGUUGAUGACCCAGUUCCAACUACUGUGACAGUUGUACGUCUUGUUUGGAGCGGCUUGGUAUUGAAACAAAAGGACACACGGUCCCGGGACACAACUUUGCUACCGUAUUCUCCUUGAGAUAAGGACACACAAUCCUCGCCCAACACUCGUGGUAAGUCUUCAGUGCAUACUUUCAAACCCUCACAAACUCGAUCACUCGGCGAUCCACAAUUGACUGAUGGAUGCUCUAAACCAUGACGCCUAACCGUCUGGAGGAUGCACAAUCCUCAAUGGUAAUAAGUAUCAGUUCCACACAGGAAUAAAUUCUUCAGUGAUGCUCAAUCACUUGGGUUUUGGUUUGGGUUUGGGUGUUUGGGGUAUUUCCUCACUUGAUGAUUUUCGCUCAAAGGCUUUGAGGAAUUUGGUUGCGCUAAAUGACAAGUGUCAGUUUCUCUCGGAGUAGCCAACCAGCUAAUAGUUGUGGGGGACGACUAUUUAUAGCAUGGGAGCAUCCCGACAUGAUUUCACAUAAAUGCCCUUAAUGAUAUGACCGUUGGGUGGAUAAGAUUUGGGACACGUGGCGCGUGGCGUGGCAAUGGUUGGAACUUUUAACUGUGAAAGUCCUCAUGUCUCUCAUGUUCCUCACUUUGAGGAUUUGGUAGGUGUAGGUUUGGGUUGAGCAUCAUGAGGGAAGUCUUUCCAUAGUUUUACCUCGACCCCCUUUAACAAUAUGGUGUUCCUAUGACUCAAGAACGGAGAAUAUGAAACAAAAAGAGUAAUUAUUCAAGCUUCAAAGUCUUCAGAGUAUUUUCUUCGGGACACACCAAAUUCCUCAUCUUCAAUAUAUUCAUGAGGAAUAUCAAUUUUUUUGCAAUUUCUUCACGAUAAAAUUCUUCAAGGAAUGAGCGAAGUCUUCACCCGAAGACAUACAUUUUUAGGGGUCAAUGUUCUUCGAAUAACUCAAACUCCUCAUCGACUUAUAGAGCAUGUGUACACUUACAAACAUAUCAAUCUCUUAACAUAUAAGUCUUCAAUCCACCAAAAUCUCUAAGGGGCGCUAGAUGCACUUAUAAUCUCCCCCUUUUUGGUGGUUGAUGACAAAUAGGUUAAUUUUUCAACGGGGAUAAUAAUAUGAAAUGUAAGUACAAAGUUUGAGGAAUUCGAAAGCAAGAUACGGAGAAACUCUCCCUGGAGAUGUGCAUAUUUUGAGGAAUUUGCGUUGGACAGCAAAUGCACAUCGAUGUUAUAUAUCAUGGAGAUACCCCCUGUAUCUUGUAAUUCAUGCAUGCAUUUGACAUAUAGUUUGAGGAAUUUGAAAUGCAUGAUGAAAAAUAGGGUCUGACGAAUUUCAGCAUGCAUGCAUUAAUUAACUUAAGGAAUAAGCAUGCAAAGAAAAACGUUCAGAAGUGUUAGAACACCAUCGGGCUUAAGUUACAACUCAUUACAUCAAACACUUCAAAAGAAACAAGAGUUUGUAACUUAAUAAAGUUUAUAAGCCCAUAAAUUUUUCUCGCUUGAAGACUAACUCAGAUUUCUCCCCCUUUGUUAUCAAGUGAUGAAAAGUGACAAAGCUGAGGACUAACGCCCAUGAAGAACUUCACUUCUGUGUUGGAGGAGACGUGUCAACAUUCUUCGUGUUAGUCUUCCUGAUUGGGCAUGUUGCAGUAUCAGUAGGUUGUUCAUCACAAUCAGGAGAGUGGAAUGAGGAAUAUGAGCUAUCCACCAGGCCAGGAACUGGGAUCUUCUUGAAUUUCUUCUUCGAUUGACAUGACCAAUCAAAGUAUUGAGUGAAUUCAUGUUCUUUGAGUUCCUUAGGAGUCUUGAGAUGUGACAGUAUGGCCCAACUGCGAUCAAAUACCUCAUGAAGAUAAUAGUGAUUUUUCUUCACUGCAUUUUUAGUAUCAUUGAGGGUUUUCACAAUAGAGCCAAGCUAAAAUUUAAUCCACUUAUGGUUUUGAUCAACUUUCUGACGAAGACUAAGGAGAAGCUCUCUAUUAGUCAUCACCCAUGGACCAGUUGGACUAGGAGGUUUUGCUCUACCAUCAGAUUCUUGGGUGGCAAUGUCAUCAUAGGAGGAGUAGGAUGCAACCUUGCAAAAUUGACCAUCCAGCGGCCGAUAUUCUUCAUCAAUCACAUACUUCCCUUUUCCCUCAACUGGUUCAAAAGAUUUCUUGAUGACUUUGAGAGGAGGCAGAUAGCUGAGGUGAUUCUCAAAGUCAGCAUGAUAGUUGAUUGCGGAUCUAGUUCUGGUGAAUCUCAUGAUCAAAGGCGCUUAAAUCUUUAGCUCAAUGGCGACAAGGCAUUGUUGGCCAAAGUCCUCAAGAAGAAGUUGUGAAGGUUCAUUUUUAUUCCGUGAAUGACGUUGAACAACAUGUUGUUCAUUAUUCCGACGACAUCUUCUUCAUUAUCAUGCCCUUUGAUCGGGGCAAAGAAAUAGGCCAAUAUCCUUUAGACUGUUCUGGGCACAUACUUCAAUUCCUUCACCAUGAAUCUAGUCCUUGGAGGUUGCCCGGAGCUAAGGCUUCAUGAGGGCUUCCAUUAGAUGAUUUGGCAACUUUUUUUCAUCAUAUAUGUUUAUUGCUUCAUCUGAAGUAAUUGAGAUUGGUAGAGCUCGAAGCAAUUCAGUGGCUGGUGCUGUAAAGUGAGUGUGUUGUGUCAUCCAGUCCAAGACCCAAGAGUUGACAUUUUUGGGGUCACCUCAGAUGUGCAGAGCGGCAUAAAACCGAAGAAUUAUGUCUGUGUUCCAAUCACAAAUAUCUGUGCAGAAUGGCCGUAGCCCUGUAUCGUGUAGAACACUCAGAACAGGGGUAAAGCAUGGAAUUUCCUCCAUAUCACAGUGAGGAAUGUGUGUGUGAUGGAAUGUAUUCUUCUUCUUCACAAGAACAGAAGCAUAGUAGUUGAGUUGCGUUCUGGUCCAGAACUUCCUGUGCUGAUACGAAGCUUGUCGUAUGGGUUUGCCCUAGUGACGAAAUGAUGUUCAUCCUAGAAUUCUUCUUUCUAAAACUUUGGCCUUUUUCAGUCUGACUGUCUCGGCUUUGGCUAAAGAUUUUGAUUUUGAAUUUCAUCACCUUGAGGAAUUCUUGCCACCACAAUUGCUGAUUCUGGAUUUGCAACAAAUGGUCAUCAGUUGCUUCUUUAUGUUGUGCCGAGGAAGUUUCUUCAGGCACAGGUUCUUCACACUAAGGAAUCUACUGUGAUGUUGGUGCAGUUUUUGGUACAGCAGAUUCAUCAACAUUUGCAUUUUCAUGAUCUGAUGCAGCCGAUUCUUGGUCUGGUGCUGAUUUCACAAGUGAGCUAUUUUCUUCAAAGCCAUUCAGAAUUUCUGUAGUUGCCGAGGAUACAGUAUUUUAGGAAAUUGAGAAGUCAUUGGCGAGAUGAGUCUUUUCCCUGGAUUCAUCAUGGAUUACACGUGUGGUGCAGCGAAUGUCCACAUUGGCCUCCUUUUCUUCAGUAGCCAUCUCUGGGUUUUGAGGAGGAGGUGUUGAGAUUUGAGGAAUUUGAUCAACUUGAAUUUCCUCAUCUAUUGGUGUGGAUGCUGCAGAACGAUUUUCAUCCAUUUCUUCAUCCUUUUCUGGAAUGGUAUGUUCUUCACCAAAUGGUCCAAUCAUGUACGAUGGUGCAACACUGAGAGGGGUUGCGUCAACUGGAGCCGAUGAUGAAGUAGGCAAAGUCUUCAAAUGUUUUGCCUCUGAAGAUUUUGAAGGUGUUGAAGCCUUUCUAUUCUUGGCUUCCUUCUCAGUAGCUUUUGUUUUCUUCACAUCUAAGACAUAAGGAAGUGCCACUGCCUUCACUUUUGAAGACAUUGGUGAAGGUGCAUUUUCAUCAGGCAUUGCAUAGGCAGUUGAGGCAUGGCAGAUUCUUCAGCAGUUGCAUUCUGAGCAGAUUCAUCAGCAGCAGGUUCUUCGUCUUCAUCAGUCAGUUGUACUAUGUAGCUGGCUUGAGGAAUAGUUGGUUGCUUUUUUGCUGCAACCCUAUUGUUGUAUACAGUAACGACGUCAGUUGCGACCUUGACAAGCCUCACUUUGACACCCUUUCUGUCUGCAUGAAGACUCGUGUAUUUGUAAGUGAGGGUUUUCAACUCAGCUUGAGUAGAGACAAGUUGCUCUGGCGUCAGGUUGCAGAGAUUUUGUUUCAAGUACUUCUCCUUUUAAGCUUUAUUGUCCGAGCUUGUUUAGCUUGUUGAUCCUUCCAUUUUGCUUCAUUUAUGAAAGAAGUUACCAUGUGGCUCGGUCCAGGUGGAAGCUUCAAGUUAUGAAUUGAUGUGUUUGGAUCUUCAUACCAAAGGUCGAUGAAGUCCAACACAACUUUUGGAUCUAGUGCAAGGGGAAUGGUGUUUCCAGUGGCUUGUGCAACCCUUUCUUUUUUGUUCCUGAUGAUGGCUUGAAGAGCUUCAUCAUCAUAUUCCCCACUUUCCUCUGAUGCAGAAGGAAUAUUGAGGACAACUUUGUUUGGGCUUGGCCUUGUUCCUCUCCCAGCCUUCAUCUUUGUCUUCAGAAUGCAAGUUGACAAUUUGUGACUAGAGCCAUAGGAUGAUAGCAUUGAGGAAAUUGGAGUCCCUGUUGGAUGCUGACUAGGUUGUGGCUGCAGAGGAAGUGAAGACUAUGCUGCAAUUGAGGACUUGGCACCCGUUGUUGCUACUGUGUGAGGAAUUUCCUCUUUGGAUAAUGCUGUUGAGGGUUUUGUUUUGACACCAAAUUUCUUCACCAGUGUUUUCUUGAGAGGUUGUUCUGUAGUAGAAGCCUCAGUGGUAGAGGAGGAGGCAGCAUUAAUUUCAGCAGCAACAGAAUCCUCAUAGAACUUAGUUACAACCUCAUUUGCCAUUUUCCUCAGCUUUGCCAAAUACAUGGCUAUUUCGUCAGGAUAAUCUUCAACUGUGACCAUGCAGGAGGGAUGUGCACUUUGUUGAUCUCCCAAAGGCAGUCUUUUGCAAAGAGGUUUGAGAGCAAACUUCUUUGCAUACUUGGGAGUGUUAUACUUGUAUUUCUUCCAUUCCUGAGCUCAUCUUCGUUCAAUCCUCCGAAGCCUGAUCUUGCGUUUUGCUGUUGUUUCUUUCCCAUGAAUUUGUUCAUCUGGUGUGCAGUAAUCAACAUAGACAUCUUCAGGGAUUUCAAAGGCAGUGUUCUGUUCUAGCUUCUUGCCACUCUUGUUUUUUCUGUCCUAGUCCAUUUUCUUUAGUUGAGGUUUUUGCUGAGGAAUUUUUAUUCUGGAGGAAUCUGAUGAUAGAGCUACAUUUUCUUCAAGAAAUGCUGUGAAUUAGUUAAGUUGAUGAGAACCUAGUGAUUCAUCAGCUGAUAUUUUGUACCUGUGAACAUAGUAUAGGUGCGAAGAGUUUGGAGAGGUCAUAUGUGUUGCCCUAUUUGAGGAAAUUGAAAUAAAAUCAAGUUGAGGAAUUUGACCAAUAUAGUGCUGAGGAUUUUUGACUAAGAAUUCCCAUCUUGGGUUCUAGAGUUGUGCUGAUUCGAAAAUUUACACAAUUGAGGAAUCUCGUUAAGAAUUUAGUAACUUAGUGAAAUUCAUCAAGUGUUUAAGACAUGGGUGUGCACAACUGAAGGAUUUUCCGAGGAAUAACAUAUUUCACAUAGAUAAAGAAAAUGAAUGGAUCAACAGAGGCAGUAAAAUAGGAUUUUAAUUACCCUGCUUGAUGAACUCGAUGAACUAUGGAAGUAAAAACUGAAGCUCGUUGGUUCAGAUCUUCAGUGCCCUAACUUGGGGACUCAAUACAGCUACGACGGCAGCGGAGGAAGAUGAUCCGUAGUCGGCGUGAGCCCGGCGAUGGCGAGGUCCAGGCAGUGAAGAUGUUCCUCACCGACGAUGAAGAUUUCUAGUGGCGGCACUAGGGUUGAGCUUGAGCGGAGAAGACAAGAGUGAGAGAAGAUUUUUUUGACUGAAGGGGGUGAGGGGAUAUUUAUAGCUCAGGUAAAAACGGUCCGAAGCAAAAUAUUCUGACGAAACCGACUCUGUUCUUUCGUCUCCGCAUGACACAUGCUACCCACGUACAAAGCGGUGUAUGUCGUGGUUUUGUCACGGCAGAUGUCCUCGUGAAAGGACUUAAUGAAGGAGAACAUCGCACCUUGGUGGCGACUCAAAGGGGGUGAGCGAAAGCGAGACUCACGUUUACCAAGGUUAGGCCCCUCGUGUGGACGUAAAAGCCUACGUCCUGCUUUGUGUAGACUGAUGAUGGAUUCGAUUACAAGGAGGGCGUAACUCGCCUGACCUAGCUCUCGAUGAUUUCUAACUUGCCCUAUCUGCCCCAGAAACUCGCCUUUAUAUACAGGUCGAGGCCCUAGGGUUUACAAGAGUCCUAUCCACGCUACAGAUCGUGGUCUUCCAUAUCUCUAAGUCGCCGUGCUUUCCAAGACCGGAAACCUCCUUCGCCGCUUAUCUUCUGUAUCAAUCAUGAACCGCCAUCCGGCUCAUGGGCCCCUGGGCUAAGGCUUGUAUGAACAAAGUAUGAGUCGCCCCUUUUGUGACCCGGUCCAGUUAAGGCGGGUUACACCGCAGGUAAUAUCCCCAACAUUAGGCCCCAGAUUAUCUUUAAUUUACUCAUGCUAAUGAAUUUCCACGCUCACUUUGGGCGACUUGUAUUACUUUCAUCUUUUGUCGAAUGACAAGCCGCCAUCCCUCAUAAAUUGUCUGAGCCGCCAAGUAGUUAUUGACGACAUCACCUUUUCCCUCCAGUUUCGGGAUUCGUUGACGUAAUUGCCCAACGGAUCUUUUUCAUCAUCACUUUGUUAUCCCGAAAAUCCAAGCGCCAUCAUUGCGAAUUUUCAAUAUGUCGCCUCUAUUCCCGCGCCUGCCCGUUUCACUCCCAGUGCCCGGCCUUUAAAUAGUCGCAGGGGGAGUGGGGGCUCCGUCACCUACCCCCAGUUCAUCUCCCUCGUCAGCUUCGUCUUGCUCGCACCUGCGCUUUGGCCUCCUCGCUGUUCUCGAAGCUCCAUCGCCAGCCACUGCAGUCCGGGCGUCUCCAGGCCAGUCGAAGGCGUCGUCUCCACCGCGGAUCUUCCACAUCCAUAUCCCGGCAUCGUCCUCCUCUCUCAGGUAAACACCCUUCCUCCAUUAGGGUUAGACCUCGAACCCAAUGUUCUUCUAGGUUAGCCUCGGAAUGCGAUGAACUUCUCCCCUCUAUCUUGGAUCCGUCAAUAUGCUUACGAUAGAUCCUUCGUAGUAGUAAAUCACGGUAGUAUCACCGCAUCCCCCGACCAUUUUGAUGUUUACUUCAUAGAUCCAUAUGGCAUCACUGUCGCAUUCUUGCGUUCAUAGCCUUUGCAGUUUUGACAUGCAUCAUUCUUUCAAUUUGGUCCACCCGUAGAUCCAUAGUUUAUUGCUUGCUUUUAGAAACAUGUUUAUCCUCCUUCCAGGAAUAUCCCUAAGGAAAAACCCCUUUGGAAUUGCCGCUCACCUUCUUCCUAUCAUGGCGAGUUAUAAUAUCUCCAUAGCUACGCCUUUGAUUACUGAAUGGCGAGUCAUUACGUCCAUAUAGACAUACUGUAGAUCACUCAACUAGCGAGUUAGAAUAUCCCCAUAGCUACGCCUUUGGUUACCAAAUGGCGAGUCAUAAUGUCCCUGUAGAUAUACCGUAGAUCAUCCAACUGGCGGGUUACCACUUUCAUGGUUUCUAAUAAUCCGCCUUCUUCCUUCCUCUUGUAGUAAUGAGCAAUAUCUCGAAAUGCAGUUGGUUACCAACCAAGAUCACCGAUGCCUAUCUUGAGAAAUAUGUUUUGGCGGGUUAUCUUGAUCGUAAAGAAGUCCUUGGCUGGUGGACUGCCCCAGGCGAGGUGACUCCCAAUCCUGCCGAGAGGGAGGUAGUCGUCUUUGUUGAUCAUCUUGAACGAGGCUUCAAGCCUCCCAUGUCAAAGUUCUUCAGAGACACUCUGUACUUCCUCAAUGUUCACCCUCAAGACUUGGGCCCAAACUCCAUCAGCAACAUCUGCCAAUUCCAAGUAUUUUGCGAGGCCUAUCUGUAGAUAGAACCCACAAUGUUACUGUUCUGGAACUUCUUCUAUAUGAACCGCCAGACCGAAUUCACCAGCGGGCCUAACUUGGAACUUAGGGGGGGGGGGGUUAACAUCUAGUGACGUCGCGAAUGCGGGUUCCCAUCUGUCAUUCUGCCCAACCAUCCCAAAGGCUGGGCCGAGUCAUGGUUCUAUUGUCAUGACACAUCUCCUCCCGGCGAGAAUCCACUUUUGGGUUAUAGAGAAGAUCGCUUACCCAUGGAUUUCAAGCUGCCAGAAAAGCUUACCAAAGAAGAAGAAUCAACCUUCAUCCCCGUCUUCUCCCAGCUAAGGUCUUUGACCAACAAUGGGCUUACUGUGGUUGACCUAGUCCGUUGUUGGGUGGAGUGGAGGAUUCUUCCUUUGAGUAUGAUGGCAGCGAGAACCAUCCCCAAUGUUUCUUCCAUACAAGAUUCACCGAAGAAGACAUCGUCGAAAUGAUCAAGAAGUUAACUAGCGAGCCCUUGGAGAACUGCACCAAGAUUGGGCUCAAGCCUUUCUGCCUCUCCAACCCGGCUCCAGCGGUAACAAUCUAAGCCGCCUCCUUUCAUUCUUUGAAUACGUUUCCCAAUGUCCCUGAUCUGAACUGUCAUUAUAUCAAUGAGAAAGGAACAACAUUUUGGUCUCGAAGGCCCAAGGUAACUGCAUAGAAAACAACCAAGUCGCCUCCUAUGAAGAAGAAGAAGAGNNNNNNNNNNNNNNNNNNNNNNNNNNNNNNNNNNNNNNNNNNNNNNNNNNNNNNNNNNNNNNNNNNNNNNNNNNNNNNNNNNNNNNNNNNNNNNNNNNNNAACGACAUGACGUUUGAUGCACACGCCAACACACACCACCAAGACCAGGUCGGGCCCCGACAACCUGGAGCGGCCAGGCGGGAGCACUCCCUCAGGCGCAUCCAGCAGAAGGUGCAUGCGUUGGUGCAGGCGAACUACGGCAACAGAGACACGCCAGGGUACCAAGGGGGGAGUCCGCACCGAGCAAUGCUGGGACCACCCAACGGCGGCAACAGGAGCAAGCGACUUCGUGCGGAGUCCCAUCACAAGAAGAUCCUCGAGUAAUGCGACCGGGGGGGGGGAGGGGUCCUCCCCCAUCGUAGAGAGGGAACGCCACCCUCGCACUGUUAAACGGCUUUGGAGGUCGAUCGAACACAUACAUGUUGGCUUACAUGGAGCCUACGUACCAGAUUAUCUAAUACCACCUGACCCUCCCGUCGAGGAAGAGCCUCAGGCAUCCACCCCAGGCGCCCGUCCUCCUCAGGACUGAGGAACACGCUGGGGGUCCCCCUUGAGCCGGCCUCUAGGCCCCCACUGGAAAGCGCUGGGCCCAGGAGGCGCNNNNNNNNNNNNNNNNNNNNNNNNNNNNNNNNNNNNNNNNNNNNNNNNNNNNNNNNNNNNNNNNNNNNNNNNNNNNNNNNNNNNNNNNNNNNNNNNNNNNCCUCUGGUCACCCGGAGGUUUAGCGAUCCCGACGUCUAGCUCAUCCGCCGUGUCCUGAGAACGAGGUACGGGACUCCUGUCGGGAUCAUCGACACGUCGGGCGGCCUUGCUGGAUUAGUUUUACCUUUGACGAGAUAUCUUGUGCAUCGGGAUUCCGGUGAUGCUUUGGGUAAUCUCAGAGUUGAGGUUUUCCACUAGGGAAUCCGACGAGAUCGCGAGCUUCGUGGUUGAGGAUUUCUAUGCGGCUUGUGGUAAUUUCUGAUGGACUAGUUGGAGCACCCCUGCAGGGCUAAAUCUUUCGGGAAGCCGUGCCCGCGGUUAUGUGGCAACGUGGAAGCUUUGUUUAACACUGGUUCUAGAUAACUUGAAGUAACUUAAUUAAAACAUGCCAACUGUGUGCAUACCCGUGACUGUCUCUUUCGUGAGUUCCUUCUCCGAUCGAGGACACGGUGGGGUUAUGUCUGACGUAGGUAGGUGUUCAGGAUCAUUCAUUUGAUCAUCAGUAGUUCACGUCCGUUAUGCGUAGAUCUUCCCCCUCUUAUUUCUUGUACUCGUAAGUUAGCCACCAUAUAUAUAUGCUUAGCCGCUGCUGCAACCUCACCACUUAACCUUACCCCACCCAUUAAGCUUUGCUAGUCUUGAUACCUUUGGAAAUGAGAUUGCUGAGUCCCCUGUGGCUCANNNNNNNNNNNNNNNNNNNNNNNNNNNNNNNNNNNNNNNNNNNNNNNNNNNNNNNNNNNNNNNNNNNNNNNNNNNNNNNNNNNNNNNNNNNNNNNNNNNNGAGAGAGGGUCAAACCUCCCUUGUUUCUAUGACAAUGUUGGUACCCAUGUGCAACCCGAAAGAAACCCUUCUCGCAUACAAGCUUUUCUUCAAGCACAUCGUGAGAUUGAGGAUGGAACCACUCAUGGUCGGCUCCGUGAUGAUCUAGUAGAGCACCACUGGCAUUUGGAUGGGCGGCGCAUUGGCCCAUGAUGUAUCUUUGUUUUACUUUUCUAUGUCCUAUUUGAUUCGAACAAUUGUUGUAAUUUGGUCAAACAUUGUUGUAAUGAUUUGAAUGAUUAUUGUUUUAUUCGGUGGUGUAAUAAUAACUAGAAUGAUUAUUGUUUUAUGUCAAAUGUGAUUGAAUUUGUGAUAUGUCAUAUGAUGAAAUGUGUGAUAUAUGAAAUGGCAGUUUUAAGGGUUGGGGUUGGGGCAAAGACUAGAACCCUCAAACCCAACCCUUAUAAUGGAAUAUUCCGUUAUAAGGGUUGGGUUUGAGGGUUCUAGUCUUUGCCCCUGUUUUUCAACCCUUAAAAGUGUCAAAAAUGGUCAAUUCUCAACCCUUAAAACUGGUUUUAGAUUUAAGGGUUUGAGGGUUCUACUAGAGAUGCUCUUAUAAAGGGAAUAGUAUGUGGUUACCGAAGGUUGUUCGGAGUCCCGGAUGAGAUGUGGGACGUCACGAGGAGCUGCGGAAUGGUCCGGAGGUAAAGAUUGAUAUAUAGGAAGUCCUGUUUUGGUCAACGGAAAAGUUUCGGGCUCAUCGGUAGUGUACAGGGAGUGCCAAGAGGGUGCCGGAGGACCCCCGGGAGGGGUGUGACGACCAAAAGGGUGCAUGGGCUGUUAGAGGAGGUGGACCAACCCUUAUUGGGCUGGCCAAGGCCUCCCCUAAAGGACAAUGCGCAUAGGGAUAGAGGAGAUAAGGCAAAAGGCUUAAAAGGAAAAGGAGGAAGAGUCCUACCAAGGUAGUCCACCUCCCUUGUGGGAGGUGGACACCUCCCUAGCUUCGACCGAAGCUCCUCCUCCUUUGAGGAGGGGCCAAGGCAGCCUCCCUCUCCCUCCUCCUAUGUAUAGUGGAGGGUUUUGGCCUUUUGGAGACACGCAAUUCAUCUCCCAUGGGGCAACCCUACUCCUCCUCGUCCUCGUCCUCUACAACGCUUAGCGAACCCUGCCGGAGAACCACAUAGCUCCACCGCCACCAUGCCGUCGUGCUGCCGGAGCUCUCCCUCAACUUCUCCUGUCUCCUUGCUGGAUCAAGAAGGAGGAGAAGUCACCGGGCUGUACGUGUGUUGAACGCGGAGGUGCCCUGAUUCGGCACAUAGAUCGGAAUCCACCGCGAUCUGGAUCGCUGCGAGUACGACUCCAUCAACCGCGUUCAUAGUAACGCUUCCGCUUAGCGAUCUUCGAAGGUAUGAAGAUGCUCUACCCCUUUGCUCGUUGCUGGUUUCUCUAUAGAUAGAUCCUUGCAUGACAUAGGAAAUUUUUGAAAUUACUACGAUCUCCAUCAGUGGCAUCCGAGCCAAGGUUCUAUGGGUAGAUUCUAUGCACGAGUAGAACAUAAACGUUAUGGGCGCUGAUUUGUCAAUUUGAUUGCCGUUACUAGUCUUAUCUUGAUUCGGCGGCAUCGUUGGAUGAAGCGGCCCGGACCGACUUUACACUUGCUCUUACGUGAGACUGGUUCCACCGCCUGACAUGCACUUGGUGCAUAAGGUGGCUAGCGGGUGUCUGUCUCUCCCACUUCAAUCGGAUUGGAUUCGAUGAAGAGGGUCCUUAUGAAGGGUAAAUAGCAUUGGCAUAUCAACGUUGUGGCUGUCACGUAGGUAAGAAAGGUUCGUGAUAGAAACGUAACCAGCCACGUAAAACUUGCAACAACAAUUAGAGGACGUCUAACUUGUUUUUGCAGGGUAUGCUAUGUGAUGUGAUAUGGCCAAAAGGAUGUGAUGUUACAUAUGUGAUGUAUGAGAUUGAUCAUGUUCUUGUAAUAGGAUUCACGACUUGCAUGUCGAUGAGUAUGACAACUGGUAGGAGCCAUAUGAGUUGUCUUAAUUUAUAGUAUGAGAUGCAACGCCAUGUUGAUUACUUCACUUUAUCGCUAACGGUUAGCUAUAAUAGUAGAAGUAAUAGUUGGCGUGACGACUUCGCUACGACACAAUGAUGGAGAUCAUGGUUUCAUGCCGGUGACGAUGAUGAUCAUAGUGCCCCGAAGAUGGUGAUCAAAGGAGAUAGAUGAUAUUAGCCAUAUCAUGUCACUAUAUGAUUGCAUGUGAUGUUUAUCAUGUUUUACAUCUUAUUUCUUAGAACGACGGUAGCAAAGAUAAGAUGAUCCCUCAUUAAAAUUUCGAGAUAUGUAUUCCCCUAAGUGUGCACGGUUGCGAAGGUUCAUUGUUUCGAAGCACCACGUGUUGAUCGGGUGUGAUAGAUUCAAAUGUUCGCUUCCACCUAGCUAUAAAGGCUUUGUGAUGAAUUAAAACAUGCAAGGGAUGGAAAAUACUAUUCCCGAGUUGUAUUCAAUGCUGAAAUCUGCGAAGGUAGAAAUCAAGAAAGAGCAUCAAGUGUUGAUGGUCAAUAAGACCACUAGUUUCAAGAAGGGCAAGGGUAAUGUCACAUCCGUGGAUUCCCUAUUAGGCUUUAGUAACUUGUGCUCAUAUCUUCUUUCAUUGCAUUCAAGAAAUGGAAAUAACUCAAAAGAAGUGAUGGAAUCCAAAGCAAAAUCCUAGCCACUCCUUAUUCAAAAGAAUUCCAAAAAUUGCAAAAUCAAUGAAUCCAAAAUGGCCUUCAUAAAAGUUCAAUAUUUCUGAUAAAUGUUGAAAACAAGAUAUGAGAGAUGAAACUUAUUUUCAAACUAUCUUUGGCAUUUGAAAAUUAAGUUAAAAGCUACUAAAAUCAAUUAUAUAUUUUAUUUCAAAUAAUNNNNNNNNNNNNNNNNNNNNNNNCAAAAAUGUUGAAAACUUUAUGAGUGGUUGGAAAUAUUCCAACUAACACUCUAGUAUUUUUCAAACUAUUUUAGGAAUAGUUUGGAGCCAAAAAUAAAACAACACAAAUAACAGAAAGAAUAAAACAGAAACAUAAAAGAAAAGAAAUGCAAAAAGCUUACCUGUCGCUCACCUGAGGCCCAACCCACCUAGCUCCUGUNNNNNNNNNNNNNNNNNNNNNNNNNNNNNNNNNNNNNNNNNNNNNNNNNNNNNNNNNNNNNNNNNNNNNNNNNNNNNNNNNNNNNNNNNNNNNNNNNNNNCUUCUCCUCUUGUCCCCUUCUUCGGGCUAAAUUGGCUUAGAAUGCCUUUUUGGAGCUAAUUAAUGCCCCCCCUAAGGAGUUGGUAUAUGUCAAGCAACCCCAGUGUCGUGGUUUUGUCACGACAGUUGUCCUCGUGGAAGGACUUAGUGGUGAAGCCAUCGCGACUAGGUGGCGACUCAAAGGGGUUGAUCGGGAACGAGAGACGAGUUUACCCAGGUUCGGCCCCUCCGAUGGAGGUAAAAACCUACAUCCUGCUUUGUUUGUAUUGAUGAUGAAAUCAAUUACAAGGGUGUGGUUUCGCCUGACCUAGCUCUCGAUUGUUUGUAACUUAAGUCUACCAGCCCUCGAGACUCGCCUUUAUAUACAUGUUGAGACCCUUAGGUUUACAAGAGUCCGGGUCACAUUAUGAUCCAUGACCUAUUAUGUCUCUAACUCGCCUUGCUCCUUAAGCAAGGAAACUCGUGGCGACCUUCUCCCUUGUGGGCCAUGACCCGCCAUCUUCGUGUCUCGGGCCGCUGCCGGCUCUCGUUGAUAAACGGCCUUGCGCCUCCCGCUUUGUAGGUCAGGGCACAUCUUGAGUAUGAUGAAGAGCCGUCACCAUCCUGUCCCGACCUCCUAUGAUGGGUCAUAUGGCGGGAUAAUAUCCUGAACAUUAGGACCUAGAUUGACUUAAAUUUAUUCAUGUCAAUAGACUUUGCUUUUAAUCUUGGCGACUCAUAUUCAACACGAGUUUUGCCUUCCAAGGCAGAAAUGCCGGCUUCAGAUGUUCCCUGAAGUUCUUUUUCUGUUUGUCAGUGGCAUCACCCGCCCCGAGAUUUUAGGGAUUUUAGUGAUAUCAUUCCAACAGAUCUUUUGGCUUAUCUUCUUAGCUAGAAAAUCAAGCCGCCACCAGUUCCAAAAUUUAUUGCGCCUCCUUGAUUCCCGCGCCUACCGUUUUCACUUCAGCUUUGGCCUUUAAAUACUCACGAGGGCAUAUUUAUUUUUACCUCGCUCCCAUGUUCUUCUUCCUGCUCGAGCCCGUACCUUCACCGCCCCAUCGCUGGAGAACCCCCAUCGUCCAUUGAUCUGGUCCAGGAGCCAUUCGCCGUGCGACUCCUCCUUCGAGCCGCGGGUCUUCUCCGCUACCAUCAACGCUAUCUAGUAAGCGAUCUCCUUCCCUAGAUUCAUUCGUGAAUCCAUCAUGGCUUAGUAGGUUCGCCGGAGUUCAUCCUGUUCAUCGCCAUUAUAGACUUGCUUAGCUCUUCGAAUGAACUUUCCCCCUGUUUACGUUGCAGUAGAUGUAGGGAUCUAUUUACGGCAUUCUUCUGUAAUGCCUUGCGGAAUCUAGAUUCAAAUAAUGAACUGUUGUUGUUCCAUACUAUACUGUCAUUCAAGUGGCAUUGAAUUUUUUCUUUUUAUGGAACCAUAGGUAGAUCCACAUUUUUAUGCCCUUUGGUAGAAAUCUGUUUGUCCUGCACUUAGCACAAACUAAAGUCAUUAUUCUCCUAUAAGCCGCCCUUAUAUUCACACCAGCUUGCUUGAUAGGAUUGUAACUCGCCAUCUUGGGGAAAAUGUCUUUACGUUAGGGCGAUUUGAACAUUGCAGGCUACCUUCUUUCUCGAGUUCUUUGUUUUUCAAGACAAAUCAUGUUCAUCCAGAUAACCCGCCAGCAUAUUUUUGUAGCUCUUUUACUUUCUGAACCUGUCAUUAUGUCAAAGCCUUCCAAAUGCGACUGGCUGCUGUCAGAAAUUUCUGAGGUCUCCCUUCAACAAUGCGUGACCACGGGAGUCUUGUCACCUAAGGAAGAAAUUGGGUGGCGAGUCGCCGCUCGAGAAGUUCAUCCGCAACCCACCGAAGGAGAGGUUGUGGUCUUGAGUGAUCACCUUGAACGAGGCUUUUCACCCCUGGAUCAAAAUUCUUUCGAGACACCCUGCACUUCUAAAACCUACACCCCAAGAUCUGGGCCCCAACUCAAUCAGCAAUUUAUGCCAAUUUCAAUUUUUUUGUGAAGCAUACUUGGAGAUAGAACCCACUGUUCCCUUGUUUAGGGCAUUCUUCUACUUGAACCGCCGGACGGAAUGGGCCGAUGGACCAUCCUUAGUGUUGGAAAUAUGCCCUAGAGGCAAUAAUAAAGUGGUUAUUAUUAUAUUUCCUAGUUCAUGGUAAUUGUCUAUUAUUCAUGCUAUAAUUGUAUUAACCGGAAACUGUAAUACAUGUGUGAAUAUAUAGAUCACAAUGUGUCCCUAGUGAGCCUCUAGUUGGCUAGCUCGUUGAUCAAUAGAUGAUCAUGGUUUCCUGAUCAUGGACAUUGUAUGUCAUUGAUAACAGGAUCACAUCAUUGGAGAAUGAUGUGAUGGACAAUACCCAAUCCUAAGCAAAGCACUAGAUCGUGUUCUUCGUCUGCUAAACCUUUUCUAAUGUCGAGUAUCAUUUCCUUAGACCAUGAGAUUGUGCAACUCCCGGAUACCGUAGGAGUGCUUUGGGUGUUCCAAACGUCACAACGUAAUUGGGUAAUUAUAAAGGUGCACUACGGGUAUCUCCGAAAGUGUCUAUUCAAUUGUACGAAUCGAGACUGGGAUUUGUCACUCCGUGUGACGGAGAGGUAUCUCUGGGCCCACUCGGUAAUCAUCAUCAUAUUGAGCUCAGUGUGAUUAAGGAGUUAGCCACGGGAUGAUGUGUUACAGAACGAGUAAAGAGACUUGCCGGUAACGAGAUUGAACAAGGUAUGUGGAUACCGAUGAUCGAAUCUCGGGCAAGUAUCAUACCGAUAGACAAAGGGAAUUGCAUACGGGAUUGAUUGAAUCCUUGACAUCGUGUUUCAUCCGAUGAGAUCAUCAUGGAACAUGUGGGAACCAACAUGGAUAUCCAGACCCCGUUAUUGGUUAUUGGCCGGAGAGAUGUCUUGGUCAUGUCUGCAUGUCUCCCGAACCCGUAGGGUCUACACACUUAAGGUUCGAUGACACUAGAGUUAGAGCAUCUCUAGUAAAACCCUCAAACCCUCAAACCCUUAAAAAUAACCGCUUGUUUACAAUUUUCAUCGGAAAAACGGCGUAGACUAGAACCCUUAAAACCUUAAACCCGUAAAAAAAUUUAGAGGUCCAACCCUCAAACCCCUUCCCAGCCUGUAGAAGUGAGGGUUGGGAGGGAAAACUGCCCCCAACCCGCACUCAUUUUCCCACCUCGCNNNNNNNNNNNNNNNNNNNNNNNNNNNNNNNNNNNNNNNNNNNNNNNNNNNNNNNNNNNNNNNNNNNNNNNNNNNNNNNNNNNNNNNNNNNNNNNNNNNNAACUACUUGAAUUCCCACCUAUGAAUUCCCGAAAUAUCUGGUCAUGCAAUCUGGUACACGGAUACAAGGAGUAAUAUCACACAACUCCUAUACUAACCCGUCACCUGUAUCACAUCUGUCAACACACAACCAGAAUCUCGGACCUUCAUCUACUACAGACCCUCGUGAUCACAACGAUACAAAGUAUGACAGUACUCCCAAACAAUCUGCACCAGUACUGGGGACAUCGGGGUUAUCUCGCCGCUACUAGUAUUGAAGCAAUUACGAACAUCCUUCGUUCUUAGAUACUAAGAAAUCUGAAUGAUAACGAUGUGUUCAAGAAUCCCCUGGAGCUCAACUCCCCGGAAGAAAAUCAAGUCAGACAGGAGGCACCAAGACAGAACUCCGUCACAUCGGCAUCACAUAGAUUCCAAGAAUAUCCGCGUGAUCCUAAAAAAUUUUUGAGUGAGAAGAGGAGUAGAAUUAAAAUAUUACGUCAAGAUUCCUCACCAGAGCAUAGAAGAGGAGAAAAAAGAAUCCUACCCUCCGAUAUAUAACUAGACUCAAAUAGUUUUUCACUAGACUCGACUCGGCCAAGUUCGAUCAAUCAAGGGGGCUACUAGGUCGGUCCUUGCUCUGAUACCAACUUGUCACGCCCAAGAUGCGACCCUAUCCUCAAUUUGGCACGAAGGCCUCGUCAGGGAUAGAACCGCAUCUCGUCGUGUCGCAAGAAUGGAUAUCGUUACAAGUACAUGUACUGAAAAGAAGAGAUAUAUAAAGAGUUGGCUUACACUCGCCACAAGCUACAUCAGAGUCACAUCAGUACAUUACAUAAUCAUCAAGAGUAAGAGCAGGGUUCGACUACGGACGAAAACAAACGACAAAAGAAGAACGACGUCCAUCCUUGCUAUCCCAGGCUGCCGGCCUGGAACCCAUCCUAGAUNNNNNNNNNNNNNNNNNNNNNNNNNNNNNNNNNNNNNNNNNNNNNNNNNNNNNNNNNNNNNNNNNNNNNNNNNNNNNNNNNNNNNNNNNNNNNNNNNNNNUUAGCUAGGGUUCCACCUAGAUGACAUGAUUAGCUUAGUUAGCUCCUAAAUGGUCUAUUUAAUAAAACAUGACCUAUACUUAGCUAAUUAUCCUCGAAAUGACAUAAUUAGCUCCAAAAAGGCAUUCUUAGCCAAUUUAGCCCGAAGAAGGGGACAAGAGGAUAAGAAAGAGGAAAAAUGAAAGGAAGNNNNNNNNNNNNNNNNNNNNNNNNNNNNNNNNNNNNNNNNNNNNNNNNNNNNNNNNNNNNNNNNNNNNNNNNNNNNNNNNNNNNNNNNNNNNNNNNNNNNNNNNNNNNNNNNNNNNNNNNNNNNNNNNNNNNNNNNNNNNNNNNNNNNNNNNNNNNNNNNNNNNNNNNCCUCCUUCUUUUACUUCUUCUUAUAUUUCUCUUCUUCUACGUAGCUUAGACUCAUCCAAGAAAGGCUAAAUUGGCUAAUUAUCGUACGAAAUGACAUAAUUAGCUUAGUUAGCUCCAAAAUGACCUAUUUAAUAAAACAAAUGACCUAUAGUUAGCUAAGGUCUCUCCUAAAUGACAUAAUAAGGCUUAUGUAGCUGCAAGAUGACCUAUUCCCCCUAACUUAGGUACUAAAUGGCCUAUAAUUGGCCUAGCUAGAUCCAAAAUGGCUUAAUAAGCAUAGUUUGCUCCGGAAUGACCUAUUUUACCAAAGUUAGCUCCGAAACGACCUAUAGUUAGCUAGGGUUCCACCUAAAUGAAAUAAUUAGCUUAGUUAGCUCCUAAAUGGUCUAUACUUAGCUAAUUUCUCUCCGAAAUAACCUGUAUAUACACUUCUUCAUCUAGUAUUAUUCUUCUAACUUUCUUAUUUGUCAUUUUGCAGAUCACCUUCACUUCACGGGAAGCUUGGAUUAUAUUGAUGGAAUGCUUGACUAUGAUUUCUUGUACCAUGGCUUGUAUUGAAACUAUUGUAGUAUAUGGAUAUAUAUGAAACUUUGUAUGCAUGUGGAUGAAACUGUUGUAAUAUAUGGUUUGGUACGGAUGCAACUUGCAUAAUAUGUAUGCACUAUGGAUGAGAGUUAUUUUAAUAUGGUUAUGAGUACGGAAAUAAAUUUAUUUAUGUCAAAUAUAUAUAUAUCCUGAUUAUUGUUAAAAAUGCUGGAUAUAAUAAAAAAUAAAUUAAAAAGGGGUUGGUUCCCCCCUUUGCCGUCUGCCCCCACAUGGCAAAUGGGGGAUGGCAGACGGCAAAGGGGGGAAUCUGCCCCCUCUCUCCCCUCUUUGCCGUCUGCCCCCACAUGGCAAAGGGGGGUAGGCAGACGGAAAAGGGGGGAAUCUGCCCCCUCUCACUCCCCUCUUUGCCGUCUGCCCCCACAUGGCAAAGGGAGGUGGGCAGAGGGCAAAGGGGGGAAUCAGCCCCCUCUCUCUCCCCUCUUUGCCGUCUGCCCCCGCAUGGCAAAGGGGGGAUGGCAGACGGCAAAGAGAGGAGGCAUGCCGUUAACACUUAAUGGGUCCGUUGCACUAUGUGUCGUCCCAUUUUGUUUGCCGUCUGCCCCCUCAUGGCAAAGAUUCUUUGCCGUCCGCUUUACAAAAGCAAACAGCAAAGAACCUCUUCACCGGAUUUUUUUUACCGUCUAGUUUGUCGUGUGCUGACCGACGGCAAAGCCUUUGCCGUCUGUGGUUCCCCCCUUUGCCGUCCGCCAUGGCAAACGGCAAAUUUCUGAAUUUCAGUAGUGACUCUUCAAAGCCUUGUGAGCCUUGUCAAGUGUGGCAAACUCUUCAUGGAGUCUAUCAAAGUCAGCCCCAAGUGCAACCUUUUCGUAUUGGAGCACACGAAUAAGAAUAAGAGCAUGAUCAUGGCCCUUUUGUAAUUUAGCAAGGUCAUCAUUGUGUAACUCCUCAAGAGCCAAACGGUGACCUUGCUCUUUCUCAAGAGCAAUGUAAAGAUCCCUAUCUCAUCGGCAUAGUCACGACUAUGUCCUUGUACCAUAGAGAUAGUUUCUUCAUGAGUUUCAAUUAGGUCACUACCUCUCCUAGUUGUUCCAAGAGAGCAAUAAAAUGCUUCUUGGCUUUACCCUUGACUUUCCUCAUGAAUUUAUCAAAGGAAUUUUCCUCAACAUUUACCUCCUCUUGUUCAUCUCCACUAUCCAUAGGAGAAGGGGUAGUGGCAAUGCGAUUCUCGUUGGGGGCGUCGAACAGGGACACCUUGCUUGGGGAGGAGGAUGCAAUAGCCACCGAGGCCAUUCUUAUAACCUCACCACUUUCGGCAUCGUCAUCAUCCUCAUCGAAGAGGUACUCUUCUUGAGCGACAAACACCUUUUGGGUCAUCUUCUUGGAGAAGUUGUUCUUGUUGGGGAACGACUUGGCUUUGUAUUUGUGAAUAAGUUUUCCACCAUUGUCUUCCCUCUUCUCAUAAGGACAGUCUUCCACAAAGUGACUCACGUUGCCAUAGUUGUAGCAAGUCCUCACGUGUUGCUUGCCUUUAGACGCACUUGAGCUGUUCUUGGAGAAAUUGGGCUUUGAGUUUCUCUUGUUGCCCCAAAAUUGUCUUAACGCACGAGCCAUGUGCUCGUGAUAAGCAUACUUGAUGACUUCGGGGCAAAUUUCCUCUUGGGGGAUCAUCAUCCAUAAUAGCCUUGGCCUUCAAAGCAAGGUUGGGAGUCUUUUCUUGACCGUUGGACACGAGCUAGAGCAUUGUCAACGGUCUUGUUCAGUAUGUUCAUGGUAAUGAACUCAUCCAACACAUCGCUUGAGGACAAGGAGUGAAAGUCCGGCAGUUGACGGAUGACGGAGGACAUGGACUUGUUGAAAGGCAUUAUAGCCUUGAGAAACUUACGCUUGAUCCAAUUGUCAUCCACAUCCUUGCUUCCGUGAUCUUGAAGAGCAACCGCAAGCGUUGUCACACUUCGGUAGAGCUCACGAGGGUCCUCAUCCUCGAUCAUAACAAAUUCAUCGGCCUCAUCAAGUAUCACUUCAUAGUUAGACCGUUGAAUACUUGAUCUUCCCUUGUACAUGGAAAUGAUGUGGUCCCAACAAUCUUUGGCACCAGUGAAGGGACGCAAAUGAGCAACAUCUUCAAUGGAAACUGCAGCUGGAAGGAUGAACAAGGCUGAGUGAUUGAGCUGAUUGUUGACCUCUUCUCUUGGAGUGAGGUUGCUUGGAUCAUGUGGGUAAUAGCCUUGCUCAAUGAUUCUCGAAAGUUGUAUUGAGCUGUGAUUCAAAUGAGCUUUGAUACAAAAAACCAAAUUAGCAAAAUCAUUCUUAACAAGUUCAGGAGGAGGACCGAGGUUAAUAAUAUGCGGUGGGUGAACCGGUCCUCCAUAGACCACGGGAGGAGGAAUUGAAUGUAUUUGCCCCACUCGUUCCUUGAGGCAAUUUAUUUCUAUCACUACUAGCAUUUUACUUUUCGGAAUUGGUCCCCGAAUCCGAAGUUGUGGGAUUAACCACAUGCAACGGAUCGGCAGACAUUUUGAAGCCAUCAAGGAAAUCUUUGAGCAUGUUUUUGACCUCGAUAGCCAUUAAGGAUCUAAAGUGGACAUAGCCUCAUUUAGAUCCUCUCGGGUGACCGAGUUCGCAACUGUUGCCUGGGGAAACUCCACAACCCGUACCUCGCUGUCAGCCAUACUCUUUGGAUGGUGAAACCCACAAUACAGAGACGUAGCUCUGAUACCAAUUAAAAGGAUCAAUAUGAUUAACUAGAGGGGGUGAAUAGGCAACUAACAAUUUAAAGAUUUUAUUUAACAAAUUAAGUUUAUCAACAAGUAGGUUGUCUAGAUGACGCUAGCAACUAAGUGAGCAACAAUAACAACAAGUAACCUAUAUGAGCAACCUAUAUGAUGCUAGCAACAAUAACAACAAGUAAGUAACUAACACACGUAAAGGUAAGAAAUAACCACAAGUGGAAUCGAUGAAGACGAGGAUGUGUUUCCAAAGUUCCUUCCCUUUGAGGGGAAGUACCUCUCCGUUGGAGCGGUGUGCAAGCACAAUGCUCACAAGAUGCCACUAAGGCCACCGUAUUCUCCUCGCGCCCUCACACAAUGCGAGGUGCCGUGAUUCCACUAGUGUUUCCCUUAAAGGUGGCAACUGAACCUUUACAAACAAGGUUGAGGCAAUCUCCAUAACUAAAUUGAAGGCUCCCAACAAAACCAUAAGUUUCAUCACAAUGGAAUAAUGCUUCGAAGUGACCUCAACCGUCUAGGGUGCUCAAACACCCAAGAGUAACAAGAUCCGCGAGGGAUUGGUGGGGGAAUCAAGUUUCUCUUGGUGGAAGUGUAGAUCGAGACCCUCUCAAGCAAACCCUAGAGUACCAACAAGUUUUGUUGGUUAGGGAGAGAGAUCGGGUGAAAAUAGAGCUUGGAGCAACAAUGGAGCUUAGGCGUGGCAUUGAGAUCAAUGGCCAUGGGUGCGAGCAUGGCCGGCGCUACCACGUUGACCUGAGACUAACCGGAGCCCGAAGAGGUGGAGCAAAGGGAGGCUUGCGCGUGGGCAUGAAACCCAGGCAUCUACGGUAUUGUGGGCGUUCGCGGCGACUCCGACAUGGUGGACAUUCGCGGUGACUCUGGCAAUGGCAGAUGAACAACGGACGAGCCCAUGUUGAUCGCAGCCAUGGCGACAACGACGACUCCAGAUGCUUCAUGGCCACAGCCAAAGCGACGAGGGUCUUCUUUUCCACAUUGAUGGCCUCUCGUUGUGAGGGAGGCGGCCUCCAGCUUCCCGUCACCUCGCUUUCUCUUGACUGACUUAGUAGCCCACUACACGAGUGUGAGCACCUUCUUCGUCUUGGACACCGCCGCCUUUUGCAAGGUAUGACGACAAUGAAGCCAAGGGAGGCAAGGUCAACGACGGCAUCAAGGAACAACGAUUCGUCCAUGGUGAGCAGGCAGGAGUUUUUUGCGAGAGCGCUGUGACAGCCCGAUGCCGACGUUCCAGAAGAUUCCCCUUUCUUUCCGUUUUCGUCAUGUGGGCAUUUUCAUUUGUCGCAUCAUCAUCGCAUCAUUCACAUCAUCUGCAUUGCAUCGACGUCUCCGUUGCCGCCCGUUUUCAAAACUUGCAUCCGUUAGUAGUUGCCGGUUCUCGUCGUUGCCCGUUCUGAGCCCGACUGCACACGCACGCGCACGCGGCACCGUCGAAACCCUGUUUUUAAAGUGCGUUUAAAACUUUCUCUGAUCGGGUUGAGAUUUGACGUGCGAUCGUGAUUAGUUAUAGCGAGGCCGCCUGUCGAAUUUCGUCGCGAUCGGAGACCGUCUGGUACCCGAACGGUCGCCCGUAGCGGCACCGUCUCCGGUUAUUCGUCCCACGUUUGUCGGUGUUUUAAAAAUCGUUGUCGCGCCGCCCGUUCUCCCUCUCGUCUACGGACAUCUACACAACACNNNNNNNNNNNNNNNNNNNNNNNNNNNNNNNNNNNNNNNNNNNNNNNNNNNNNNNNNNNNNNNNNNNNNNNNNNNNNNNNNNNNNNNNNNNNNNNNNNNNCCUGGCGGUAGUACCGCCAGUUCUGGCGGUAGUACCGCUGGGAGUCCUGGCGGUAGUACCGCCAGUCCUGGUGGUAGUACCGCUGGGGGUCAUAGCGGUAGUACCGCUACCCCUGGCGGUAGUACCGCUGGGACCUGGCGGUAGUACCGCUACCCCCUGGCGGUAGUACCGCUGGGGGUUUGACUGUCAGAUCUAGACAUAUAAAACUCGUAUUCUAGGGCAUGGACUGAAUAUAUAAUCAUUAAUACGUAUACAUCAGCCCUAUUGUCAAAAGGAACACAUAGUAACACGAGGUACAAACAUGCAUAGGCAAGAGAGAGCACGUUUUAGAUCUAAUAAAAAAGGUUCAAAUAUCCGAUCUAAGACGAUGAAACCCUAAACCACGGCAGCAAUCUUAGCAACAAGCCAUUGGAUCAACAAGAUGAAUGCAAUCCCCAAUGCUCCUAACCCUAGAACACGAAAAACAACCAAAUAGAAGAGGGGAGGAGCUUUUGUUACCGGGAUUCAUGGCUUUGGAGGAGGAAGAAGAAGUAAAUCAGCCCUUCCACACCAACGGGAAGAGAGAGCUCCUCCAAGAAAGAUCCAAACAACGGGUUUUCGGGGUAGGGGAGGGAGGAGCCGCGAGGAAGAAGAAACAGAUUGAAAAUCGGGCUCCCCCUCCCUUUAUAUAGCCCAAGGGGUAUGGNNNNNNNNNNNNNNNNNNNNNNNNNNNNNNNNNNNNNNNNNNNNNNNNNNNNNNNNNNNNNNNNNNNNNNNNNNNNNNNNNNNNNNNNNNNNNNNNNNNNUGCAUGUGGCCUUGAAGAAGAGUGGAGUCAGGUGGCCUUCUGGGAAAUGGUGAUCAGCUCCGAGAUGUGGUCCGCCCAGGCGUCGAAGCCCCCUUGCGUCGGUCGAUAGUGGAUCAUCUCGCUCGCCAUCUACAACGCAUCGUGCGCAUCAAGGUCCCCCAAGUUGAUGUGGGGUGUCGUGGACACCGGGGCCGCCGCCCAGCCACCGUGCGCCUGGGUGGCAUGGGUGGUUGAAACGGUGGAGGUGAUGUUGACGAUCUGGUACGAGCCGCAUAUUACCACAACGCUCGUACAUGCGCUUUCGGAUGCCGUGGUGUGACGGUUCGAAGACAUCUUGAUGAGGCUCAAAGAAGCUUAUUGGGCACCGGUCAUAGGAGCAGCGGGGCUUAGGGAAGGCGAAGCACGGAGAAGACCUUGACACGCCCCCUACCUGGCGCGCCAAAUAUCGGAUUUCGGGCUCCGCAAAACCCUAAAGAUUCGAACUCGGGGGCGUGUACAAAGAUCUCUCUCGGGCUCACCUCACCUAACUCGCUACUUGUUGGGGAUGGCGAAGAACUCACUCGAUUGUGAGGAAGACACAGAACACGGCAGUUUACCCAGGUUCGGGCCGCUGAGAAGCGUAAUACCCUACUCCUGCUUUGGUGGAUUGCCUCUCGUGGAGGUUGGUCGAUGAACAGUACAUUUUUCGAGAGCCUCUGGAGGCUAGGUGGUCUUUGUGUGGUGCUGGUGGGUGAAUGAAUGGAUCCGAUCCUCCUCUACGAAGCAGCCUACCCUCUAUAUAUAGUGGCGGCCCCGGUCCUCUUCCCUUAUCAUUUCGGCGGGAAGGGAUCCCACAACGGCCAAUUUCGAAGGGGGACAGGGGAACAUGCUCCCCCUGUCCAAAAGUAGUCUUCGCGUGCAAAGUGGCUGCCAGNUCAAGGGAUGACGUCCGUCCUGCUGGCGGGCGGGGUGGCCUUGUUGCACCAGAAUGGAAACCUUUGGGCGAUGCCUUGGAGACCUACAUGCGUCCUUGCCCCCUUUGCACUAAACGGGAAAUUGUACCAUCAUGUUGUCUGCUGCUCGCAUGUCCUUUACCCGCGUCAUCCUAGACUCCUGAGGUCGGGUUUCACCUCGGAAUAUCCGCUGCUCUAGAGGGGUCCUGAGGAGGCCCGCUCCGGGUCUAGAUGUUGUUCCUCCUCACGAGGCUUGGCCCCUCAUGAGGGCCUUGCCUUGAGUGGUGCCGGGAUGCUCAUUUUAGGUCGAUGAAGUGGGCCAACCCUGGACCGCACGCAGGCAGGUCUGGGUACCCCCAUUCCCAGAACACCGACAAAGGCGGUUCGAAUAUUAACGGCAGACAACAGUCUGGCCAUGGUAAUCAGCAGUACAACAAUCAGGGCGGCUUUCAGCAAUAGAACAACCAAGGUGGUUUUCAACAGACAAAUAACCAGGGCGGUUUUCAGAGCAACCCUAAGCAGCUCAACAAUGGUCAGUACCAUGUUUUCAUCACUAACACCUGCAAAAGGGCCAAGAAAAUCAAACAGAGGGCGAUCAACAUGGUUGAGUUGGCGGUUCCCACAUAUCUCAAUUGGUCUGAACAGCCCAUCACAUGGACUAGAGCUGAUCACCCGACCGAGGUUGAUAAUCCUGGGGACUUAGCCUUGGUGGUGGCACCAAAGAUUGGGGGAUACACCCUCUCUAAGGUCCUCAUGGAUCGAGGUAGCAACAUCUGUUGGGGAACGUUGCAUGGGAAACGAAAUUUUUACUAUGCACAUGCAAUACCUAUCCAUGGUGAUGAUCAUCUACGAGAGGGGAGAGUGAACCAACAUACCAUUGUAGAUCACUAAGCGAAAGAGUAUAUAACGCGGUUGAUGUAGUGGAAUAUCUUCGCGAUCCAAAAGACAGCCUAUCUCGCGAUCUCAUCACGAUCCGUCCUGUGAUCCCAUCACGAUCCAUCCCGAUCUAGUGUUGAACGGACGGCACCUCCGCGUUUAGCACACGUACAGCUCGAUGACGAUCUCCGCCUUCUUAAUUCAGCAAGAGGGGCGGAGAGGUAGAUGAGUUCUCAAGCAUGGCGGCGUGGUAGUGGUGGUGGUGAAGUAGUCCAACAGGGCUUCGCCUAAGCACUGCCGAACUAGACUAGAGGAGAAACAGAUCUAGAGGAAGAAGAGGGCAGCACGUGGCAAUUAGGGUUAGGGGAUGACCUCAAAAUCCCUCAAUAUAUAUAGGAGGAAGGGGAGUGGAGGCAACCUUGGCCCCUACUCCAAGCAGGUUUGGCCGAACCAAACAAGGGAGGAAUCCACCUCCCACAAGGGAGGUGGAAUCCUAUUAGGACUCCUUCCUAAUUUGAAAACUCUUUCCACCUUUUUGCUUUUUGCCUUAUACCUCCACUCCAGCCGCAUGGGCCCUUAGGGGAGGCUUCGGCCAGCCCACCAGGGGCUGGUCUUCCCCCUCUCACAGCCCAUGAAGCCCUUGGGUCGUCACACCCAUCCCGGUGGUCCCCCGGUACCCUCCCGGCACUCCGCGUACAUUACCGAUUUGCCCAAAAAAAAUUCGAAGACCAAAACAGGACUUCCUGUAUAUCAAUCUUUACCUCCGGAGCUCCUUGUGAUGUUCAGGAUUUCAUCAGGGACUCCGAAUAACCUUCGGUCACCAACACCUAUAACUCAACUAUACUGAAAUGUCACUGAACCUUAAGUGUGCAGACCCUGCAGGUUCGAGAACUAUGCAGACAUGACCUGAGACACUCCCCGGUCAAUAACCAAUAGCGGGACCUGGAUGUCCAUAUUGGCUCGUACAUAUUCUAUGAAGAUCUCUAUCGGUUGAACCUCUAUGUCAAGGAUUCAGUUAAUCCUGUAUGUUGUUCCCUUUGUCCUUCGGUAUGUUACUUGCCCGAGAUUCGAUCGUUGGUAUCUCUAUACCUGGUUCAAUCUCAUUACCGACAAGUCUCUUUACUCGUUCCGUAAUACAAGAUCCCGUGGCUAACUCUUUAGUCACAUUGCUUGCAAGGCUUGUUUGUGAUGUUGUAUUACUGAGUGGGCCCCGAGAUACUUGUCUGUCACACGGAAUGACAAAUCACAGUCUUGAUCCUUGCCAACCCAACAGACACCUUCGGAGGUACAAGUAGAGCACCUUUAUAGUCACCCAGUUAUGUUGUGACAUUUUAUACACACACGGCAUUCCUCUGGUGUACACGAGUUGCAUGAUCUCAUGGUCAUAGGAACAGAUACAGUGACAUGCAGAAAACAGUAGCAAUAAACUGAGACGAUCAUAUGCUACGUUCAUAGUUUGGGUCUUCUCCAUCACAUCAUUCUCCUAAUGAUUGAUCCCGUUAUCAAGUGACAACGCUUGUCUAUGGCCAGGAAACCUUGACCAUCUUUGAUCAACGGGCUAGUCAACUAGAGGCUCACUGGGGACAGUGUGUUGUCUAUGUAUCCACACAUGUAUUUGAGUUUCCAAUCAAUACAAUUCUAGCAUGGAUAAUAAACGAUUAUCAUGAACAAAGAAAUAUAAUAAUAACCAAUUUAUUAUUGCCUCUAGGGCACAUUUCCAACAGUCUCCCACGUGCACUAGAGUCAAUAAUCUAGUUCACAUCACUAUGUGAUUGUAAUGAAUCUAACACCCAUAUAGCUCUGGGGUUUGAUCAUGUUUUGCUUGUGAGAGAGGUUUCAGUCAACGGGUAUGAGUGUUCUUUACAAAUCUCUAUGUCAUCCUGUAGGUGCUGCUACCAACAUGCCAUUUGGAACUAUUCCAAAUGACUGCUCCACUAUACGAAUUCUAUUUACUACUUAGAGUCAUUCGGAUUAGUGUCAAAGCUUGCAUUGACGUAACCCUUUACGACGAACUCUUUUAUCACCUCCAUAAUCGAGAAAAAAUCCUUAGCCCACUAGUUAGUAAGGAUAACUUUUACUGUUGUUCGGUGAUACAAUCCUGGAUCACGCUUUGUACCCCUUGACAGACUCAUGGCAAGGCACACAUCAGGUGCGGUACACAGCAUGGCAUACUUUAGAGCCUACGACUAAGGCAUAGGGGAUGACCUUCGUCCUUUCUCUUUCUUCUGCCGUGGUCAGGCAUUUGAGUUCUACUCAAAAUAACACCUUACAAUACAGUCAAGAACUCCUUCUUUAACUACUCCGUUUUGAACUCCUUCAAAAAUCUUGUCAAGGUAUGUAUUCAUUGAAAGUUUUAUCAAGCGUCUUGAUCUAUCUCCAUAGAUCUUGGUGCUCAAUGCUCAAGUAGCUCUAUCCAGGUUUUCCUUUGAAAAACUCCUUUCAAACAACCCUUUAUGCUUUACAGAAAUUCUACAUUAUUUCCGAUCAACAAUAUGUCAACCACAUAUACUUAUCAGAAAUUCAAUAGUGCUCCUACUCACUUCUUUGGAAAGACAGGUUUCUCAUAAACCUUGUAUAAACCCAAGAGCUUUGAUAAUCUCAUCAAAGCGUAUAUUCCAACUCCGAGAUACUUGCACCAGCCCAUAGAAGGAUCGUUGGAGCUUGCAUACUUGUUAGCAUCCUUAGGAUUGACAAAACCUUCUGGUUGUAUCACAUACAACCUUUCUUCAAGGAAACCGUCGAGGAAAUAAUGUUUUUACAUCCUACGUGCAAUAUUUCAUAAAUAAUGCAUCAACUGCUAACAUAAUGCCAAUGGACUUUUAGCACCGCUACGAGUGAGAAAGUCUCAUCAUAGUCAACUCUUUGAACUUGUCGGAAACAUCUUUGCGAUAAGUCGAGCUUUUCUUAUUGGUGACUUUUCACCAUCAUCGUCUGUCUUCCUUUUAAAGAUCCAUCUUUACUUAAUUGUCUUACGACCAUCAAGUAGUUCUUCCCAAGUCUACACUUUGUCUUCAUACAUGGAUCCUCUCUCGGAUUUCAUGGCCUCCAGCCAUUUGUCGGAAUCUGGGUCCACCAUCGCUUCUCCAUAGCUCGUAGGUUAAAUGUUGUUCAAUAACAUGACCUCAAAGACAGGCUUACUAUACCACUCUCUAGUAGUACGCGACCUUUUCGACCUACGAGGUUUGUAGUAACUUGAUCCGAAGAUAAUGAUCACCAUCAUCAGUUUCCACUUCAAUUGGUGUAGGCGCCACAGGAACAACUUCAUGCGCCUUGCUACACAUUGGUUGAAGUGAUGGUUCAAUAACCUCAUCAAGUUCCACCACCCUCCCACUCUAUUCUUUCAAGAGAAACCUUUCCUCGAGAAAGGACCCAUUUCUAGAAACAAAGACUUUGUUUCCGGAUCUGAGAUAGGAGAUGUACCCAACUGUUUUUUAUAUCCUAUGAAGAUGCAUUUAUCCGCUUUGGGUUUGAGCUUAUCAGACUAAAACUUUUCACAUAAGCGCCGCAGCCCCAAACUUUCAAGAAACGACAGCUUAGGUUUCUCCAAACCAUAGUUCAUACGGUAUCAUCUCAACGGAAAUACGUGGUGCCCUAUUUAAAGUGAAUGUGGUUGUCUCUAAUUCAUAACACAUAAACGACAGUGGUAAUUCGAUAAGAGACAUCAUAGUAUGCACCAUAUAAAAUAGGGCACGGCUAUGACGUUCGUACGCACCAUCACACUAUGGUCUUCUAGAGGCAUGAAUUGUGAAACAACUUCCACAUUGUCUUAACUGUAUACCAAUACUCGCAACUCAGAUAUUCAUCUCUACGAUCAUAUCGUAGACAGUUUAUCCUCUUGUCACGACGAUCUUCACUCCGAAAUAGCUCUGAACUUUUCAAUAUUUCAGACUUGUGAUUCAUCAAGUAGAUACUCAUGUAUCUACUGAAAUCGUCAAUGAAGUAAGAACAUGACGAUAUCCACUGCGUGCCUCAGCACUCAUUGGACUACAUACAUCCAAAUGUAUUAGUCCCAAUAAGUUACUUUCUUGUUCCAUGUGGUAUGAUUUGCAUGUCUCAAGUGAUUCAAAAUCAAGUGAGUCCAAACGAUCCAUCUGCAUGGAGUUUCUUCAUGCUUUUAUACAAAUAGGUAUGGUUUGCAUGUCUCAAACGUUUCAAAAAUGAGUGAGUACAAAGAUCCAUCAGCAUGGAGCUUCUUCAUGCAUUUUACACCAACAUGACUCAAGCAACAGUGCCACAACUAAGUGGUACUAUAAUUACUACUUUGUAUCUUUUGGCAUCAAUAUUAUGAAGAUGUGUAUCACUACAAUCGAGAUUCAAUAAACCAUUGAAGGUAUUUAUUCAAGCAAAUAGAAUAACUAUUAUUACUUUUAAAUGAAUAAUUGUAUUGCAAUAAACACGAUCCAAUCAUGUUAAUGCUCAAUGCAAGCACCAAAUAACAAUUAUUUGGGUUUAACACCAAUCCCGAUGGUAGAGGAGUGUGCGAUGUUUGAUCACAUCAACCUUGGAAACACUUCCAACACAUAUCGUCACCUCACCUUUAGCUAGUCUCUGUUUAUUCCGUAGCUUUUACUUCGAGUUACUAAGAGUUAGCAACUGAACCAGUAUCUAAUACCCUCAUGCUACUAGGAGUACUAGUAAAGAACACAUCAAUAUCAUGUAUAUCAAAUAUACUUUGUCGACUUCGCUAGCCUUCUUAUCUACCAAGUAUCUAGGGUAGUUCUGCCUCAGUGACUGUUCCCCUCAUAAUAGAAGCACUUAGUCUCAGGUUUGUGUUCAACCUUGGGUUUCUUCAUUAGAGCAGCAACUGGUUUGUCAUUUCACGAAGUAUCCCUUCUAGCCCUUGUCCUUCUUGAAACUAGUGGUUUUACUAACCAUCAACAAUUGAUGAUCCUACUUGAUUUCUACUUUCGCGGUGUCAAACAUUACGAAUCGCUCAAGGAUCAUCAUAUCUAUCCUUGAUAUGUUAUAGUUUAUCACAAAGCUCUAGUAGCUUGGUGGAAGUGGCUUUGGAGAACCAUCACUAUCUCAUCUGGAAGAUUAACUCCCACCUGAUUCAAGCGACUGUUGCACUCAGACAAUCUGAGCACAUGCUCAGCGAUUGAACUUUUAUCCUUUACUUUGUAGACAAAGAAUCUUGUCGGAGGUCUCAUACCUCUUAACAAGGGCAUGAGCAUGAAAUCCCAAUUUCAUCUCUUGGAACAUCUCAUUUGUCCCGUGGCGUUUUCAAAAUGUCUUCGGCGCCUCAAUUCUAAGUCGUUUAAAUAUUACGCACUGAACUAUCACGUAGUGAUCAAAAACAUGUAUGUCAGAUGUUCGCAACAUCCACAAAUGACGCUCGAGGUGCACCACACCGGACGGUGCAUUAAGGACAUAGGCCUUCUGCGCAGCAAUGAGGACAAUCCUCAGUUUACGUACUCAGUCCGCAAAAUUGCUACUAUCAUCUUUCAACUAAAUUUUCUCUACGAACAUAUAAAAACGGUAGAGCUACAGUGCAAGCUACAACAUAAUUCGCAAAGACCUUUUGACUAUGUUCAUGAUAAUUGAGUUUAGCUAAUCAUAUUACUAAUAACUCCCACUCAAAAUAUACAUCCCUCUAGUCAUUUGAGUGGCACAUGAUCCAAAUCUACUAACUCAAAUCCGAUCAUCACGUCAGUUGAGUAUAGUUUCAGUGGUGAACAUCUCCAUGUUGAUCAUAUCAACUAUAUGAUUCAUGCUCGACCUUUCGGUCUCAUGUGUUCCGAGGCCAUGUCUGUACAUGCUAGGCUCGUCAAGUUUAACCCGAGUGUUCCACCUGUGCAACUGUUUUGCACCCGUUGUAUGUGAACGUUGAGUCUAUCACACUCGAUCAUCACGCGGUGUCUCGAAACGACGAACUGUCGCAACGGUGCACAGUCGGGGAGAACACAAUUUUAUCUUGAAAUUUUAGUGAGGGAUCAUCUUAUAAUGCUACUGUCGUUCUAAGAAAAAUAAGGUGCAUAAAGGGUUAACAUCACAUGCAAUUCAUAAGUGACAUGAUAUGGCCAUGAUCUUGUGCUUCUUGAUCUCCAUCACCAAAGCACAGGCAUAAUCUCCAUCGUCACCGGCGCCACACCAUGAUCUCCAUCAUUGUGCCGCCAUCGAGGUUGUCGUGCUAUCUAUGCUAUUACUACUAAAGCUACAACCUAGCAACAUAGUAAACGCAUCUGCAAGCACAAACGUUAGUUCAAAGACAACCCUAUGGCUCCUGCUGGUUGCUGUAGCAUCGACGUGCAAGUCGAUAUUUUACUAUUACAAGAUGAUCAUCUCAUACAUCCAAUAUAUCACAUCAUGUCUUUGGCCAUAUCACAUCACAUACAUACCCUGCAAAAACAAGUUAGACGUCCUCUAAUUUGUUGUUGCAUGUUUUACGUGGCUGCUAUGGGUAUCUAGUAUGAUCGCAUCUUACUUACGCAAAACCACAACGGUGAUGUGCAAAUUGCAAUUUAACCUCUCUCCAAGGACCGCCUCCGUCAAAUCCAAUUCAACUAAAGUUGAAGAAACAGACACCCGCCAGUCAUCUUUAUGCAACAAGUUUCAUGUUAGUCGGUGAAACCGGUCUCUCGUAAGCGUACGAGUAAGGUUGGUCUGGGCCGCUUCAAUCCAACAAUACCGCCGAACCGAGAAAAGACUAAGGAGGGCUGAAAAUCGAACAUCAACGCCCACAAAAAAAUUUGUGUCCUACUCGAGAUUACAUCUACGCAUGAACCUAGCUCAUGAUGCCACUGUUGGGGAACGUUGCAUGGGAAACAAAAAAAUUCCUACGCACACGAAGACCUAUCAUGGUGAUGUUCAUCUACGAGAGGGAGAUCGGAUCCACAUACCCUUGUAGAUCGCUCCGCGGGAAGCGUUAAGAAACGUGAUUGAUGUAGUGGUGCAGCUUCGUGAUUCAAAUCACCGUUGUCCCACGAUCCGUCCCAGGAUCUAGCACCGAACGAACGACACCUCCGCGUUCAGCAGACGUACAGCUCGAUGACGAUCUCUGCCUUCUUGAUCCAGCAAGAGAGACGGGGAAGUAAAUCAGUUCUCUAGUAGCAUGAUGGCGCGCCGGCGAUGGUGAUGAUCUAUUCCUGCAGGGCUCCGCCCGAGCUCCGCAGAAAACCGAUCUAGAGGAAGAACUACGAGGUAUAGGUUUGAGUUGCACGUGGCAAACUUGUGUCUCAAAAGCCCUAAACCACUAGUAUAUAUAGGAGGAGGGGAGGGCAGCCUUGGCGCACCAAGGAAGACCUUCUUGGGUCGGCCGAAGUGGGGAAGGGAGGAGUCCUCCUCCAAUCCCACUUGGAUUACGACUCCUUCCUUAUUUUCCCACCUCUUUUGGAUUUUCCACUUUUUCCUCAUGGGCUUUCCUUGGAUGACUUUGUGAACCCAUUAUACCUUAUUGUGCAUCCAAUAAACCCAUGUGGGCCCCUUGGGGCGUGGUGUGCCACCCAGUGGGCCCCCGGAACCCAUUCGUCACUCCCGGUACACUACCGGCAAUGCGCGAAAACCUUCCGGAAUCCAAAUACCAACUUCCUAUAUAUCAAUCAUUGUUUCCGGACCAUUCCGGAACUCCUCGUGACAUCCGGAAUCUCAUCCAGGACUCCGAACAAAACUUUGGUCACCAACACAUACAGCUCAACUAUACCGAAACGUCACCGAACCUUAAGUGUGCAGAUCCUGCGGGUUCGAGAACUAUGCACACAUGACCUUGAGACACUCUCUGGUCAAUAACCAAUAGCGGGACCUGGAUGUCCAUAUUGGUUCCUACAUAUUCUACGAAGAUCUCUACCGGUUGAACCUCUAUGUCAAGGAUUCAUAUAAUCCCGUAUACUAUUCCCUUUGUCCUUCGGUAUGUUACUUUCCCGAUAUCCGAUCGUCGGUAUCUCUAUACCUAGUUCAAUAUCGUUACCAGCAAGUCUCUUUACUCAUUCCGUAAUACAAGAUCCCGUGACUAACUUCUUAGUCACAUUGCUUGCAAGGCUUAUUGUGAUGUUGUAUUACCGAGUGGGCCCCGAGAUACCUCUCCGUCACACGGAGUGACAAAUCCAAGUCUUGAUCCAUGCCAACCCAACAGACACCUUUGGAGAUACCUGUAGAGCAUCUUUAUAGUCACCCAGUUACGUUGCGAUGUUUGAUAACCCACAAGGUAUUCCUCCGGUGUCCGGGAGUUGCAUGAUCUCAUGGUCAUAGGAAUAGAUACAUUGACAUGCAGAAAACAGUAACAAUAAAUUGACAUGAUCAUAUGCUACGUUUAUAGUUCAGAUCUUGUCCAUCACAUCAUUCUCCCAAUGAUGUGAUCCCGUUAUCAAGUGACAACCCUUGUCUAUAGUCAGGAAACCUUGACCAUCUUUGAUCAACGAGCUAGUCAACUACAGGCUUAUUAGGGACAGUGUUUUGUCUAUGUAUCCACACAUGUAUUUGAGUUUCUAAUCAAUACAAUUAUAGCAUGGAUAAUAAACGAUUAUCGUGAACAAAGAGAUAUAAUAAUAACUAAUUUAUUAUUGCCUCUAGGGCAUAUUUCCAACAGACUCGUCAAUAGAUGCUUUGUUCCUCUUUUUCUUUGUCGGGGUGUCUUUGACCUUCUUGACAGUCGUUUUUCCUAGCUUCCGUUUCCAGAAGGCCGAGUUUUUCUACGGCAGUAUUAAUAAGAAAGAAAGUUUUCAAAGGCGCAAAGGAAAGAACAAGCAAGGCAAGUAAUGGUUAAAGAUAUCUACCUUAGGAGCCGGAUUUUGGAUGUACAAUGGCUUCAGUCCAGGUUUGCAACAGAUUUCUUUUGGCUCGCCACAUAGCCUCUUCACAAUGUUAUUGACUUCAUCAGAGUCAAGCAUAACAUUAAUUAAACAUUGUGCAUUAUUUGAAUCACCUUCAUAUUCGCACAUCAAUCCAUCCCGCCGGCUCAAGGGCAUAAUUCGCCACUCCACCCAGCACCGGAUCAAGUUAAUCCCGGUUAAACCAUUGACGGUUCAGGCCCGAAGCUUCGGCCAGACAAAAGCAAGGGUGGCCUGCUCUUUUGUAGUUAAUGAGCUGGGAAAUUUAAAGUACAUUGGAAAUAAAACCAAUUUUUUUGCCCAGCCCUUGGGGUGACUGGGCAGGGUAACAGCAGGAAAGCCAUGUUCUUGCCGCCUUUGGAUUGUGACUCCACCAAGUUCUAAGUGAUGGAGAUUGUAGUACUUUCAAAUUUUCCUACGCCAUACAAGGAUCUAUCUAUGGAGAAACCAGCAACGAGCAAACGGGUAGAGCAUCUUCAUACCUUUGAAGAUCGCUAAGCGGAAUCUUUACUAUGAACGCAGUUGAUGGAGUCAUACUCGGAGCGAUUCAGAUCGCGGUGAAUUCCGAUCUAUGUGCCGAAUCACGGCACCUCCACGUUCAACACACGUACAGCCCGGUGAUGUCUCCUCCUUCUUGAUCCAGCAUGGAGAGAGAAGAAGUUCAGGGAGAGCUCCGACAGCACGACGACGUGGUGGCAGUGGAGCUAUGUGGUUCUCCGGCAGGGCUUCGCCAAGCGCUGUAGAGGACGAGGUUGAGGAGGAGUAGGGUUGCGCCUUGCGAGACGAAUUGUGUGUCUCCAAAGGCCAAAACCCUCCACUAUAUAUAUGAGGAGGGAGAGGGAGGCUGCCUUGGCCCCUCCUCCAAGGAGGAGGAGCUUUGGCCGAAGUUAGGGAGGUGUCCACCUCCCACAAGGGAGGUUGACUACCUUGGUAGGACUCUUCCUCCUUUUCCUUUUAAGCCUUUUGCCUUAUCUCCUCUAUCCCUAUGCGCAUAGGCCUUUAGGGAUGGACUUGGCAGCCCAAUAAGGGCUGGUCCACCUCCUCUAACAGCCCAUGCACCCUUUUGGUCGUCACACCCCUCCCGGGGGUCCUCCGGCACCCUCCCGGCACUCCCGGUACACUAGCGAUGAGCCUGAAACUUUUCCGGUGACCAAAACAGGACUUCCUAUAUAUCAAUCUUUAAAUCCGGACCAUUUCGGAGCUCCUCGCGACGUCUUGGAUCUCAUCCAGGACUCCAAACAACCUUUGGUAACCAUAUACCAUUCCCUUUACAACUCUAGCGUUAUCGAACCUUAAGUGUGUAGACCCUACGGGUUCGAGAGACAUACAAACAUGACCGAGAAAUCUCUCCGGCCAAUAACCAACAACGGGGUCUCGGUAUCCAUGUUGGUUCCCAUAUGUUCCAUGAUGAUCUCAUCGGAUGAACCACGAUGUCAAGGAUUCAAUCAAUCCCGUGUGGAAUUCUCUUUGUCUAUCGGUAUGAUACUUGCCCGAGAUUCAAUCGUCGGUAUCCCCAUACCUUGUUCAAUCUCGUUACCGGCAAGUCUCUUUACUCGUUCUGUAACACAUCAUCACGUGGCUAACUCCUUAAUCACACUGAGCUCAAUAUGAUGAUGAAUUACCGAGUGGGCCCAGAGAUACCUCUCCGUCACACGGAGUGACAAAUCCCAGUCUCGAUUCGUACAACCCAACAAACACUUCCGGAGAUACCCGUAGUGCACCUUUAUAAUCACCCAGUUAUGUUGUGACAUUUGGUACACCCAAAGCACUCCUACGGUAUCCGAGAGUUGCACAAUCUCAUGGUCUAAGGAAAUGAUACUCGACAUUAGAAAAGCAUUAGCAAACGAACAACACGAUCUAGUGAUAUGCUUAGGAUUGGCUCUUGUCCAUCACAUCAUUCCCCAAUUAUGUGACCCCGUUAUCGAUGACAUCCAAUGUCCAUGAUGAGGAAACUAUGAUCAUCUAUUGAUCAACGAGCUAGCCAAAUAGAGGUUCACUAGGGACACAUUGUGAUCUAUAUAUUCACACAUGUAUUACAGUUUCUGGUUAAUACAAUUAUAGCAUGAAUAAAAGACAAUUACCAUGAACUAGGAAAUAUAAUAAUAACCACUUUAGUAUUGCCUCUAGGGCAUAUUUCCAACAGUCUCCCACUUGCACUAGUAUCAAUAAUCUAGUUACAUUGUGAUGAAUAGAACACCCAUAGAGUUUUGGUGCUGAUCAUGCUUUGCCCGUGGAAGAGGUUUAGUCAAUGGAUCUGCGACAUUCAGAUCUAUGGUGAUGAAUAGAACACCCAUAGAGUUUUGGUGCUGAUCAUGCUUUGCCCGUGGAAGAGGUUUAGUCAACGGAUCUGCGACAUUCAGAUCUGUAUGUACUUUACAAAUAUCUAUAUCUCCAUCUUGGAUGUAUCCACAUAUGGAGUUGAAGCGGCGCUUGAUGUGCUUGGUCUUCUUAUGAAACAUGGGCUCCUUUGCAAUAGUAAUAGCUCCAGUGUCGUCACAGAAGAUAGUCAUCAGGCCCGACGCACUUGGAAUCACUCCUAGGUCGGUGAUGAACUCCUUCAUCUAGACUCCUUCGUGUGUUGCUUUCGAAGCAGUUAUGUACUCUGCUUCACAUGUAGAUGCCGCCACGACGCUUCGCUUGCAACUGCAGCAGCUAACUGCCCCAUUAUUCAAAAUAUACAUGUAUCCCGUUUGUGACUUGGAGUCAUCCGGAUCUGUGUCGAAGCUAGCAUCGACGUAACCCUUUACGACGAGCUCUUCGGCACCUCCAUAAACGAGGAACGUAUCUUUAGUCCUUUUCAGGUACUUUAGGAUAUUCUUGACCAUUGUCCAGUGAUCCACUCCGGGAUCACUCUGGUACCCCCCUACCUAACUUAUGGCAAAGUUUACAUCAGGUCUGGUACAUAGCAUGGCAUACAUAAUAGAGCCUAUGGCUGAAGCAUAGGGGAUGGUACUCAUCUUCUCUAUAUCUUCUAUCGUGGUCGGUCGUUGAGUCGCACUAAACCCCACACCUUGCAAUACAGGCAAGAACCCCUUCUUAGCCUUCUCCAUAUUUAACUUCUUCAAUAUCUUGUCAAGGUAUGUGCUUUGUGAAAGACCCAUGAUGCGUCUCGAUCUAUCUCUAUAGAUCUUGAUGUCUAAUAUGUAAGCUGCUUCUCCAAGGUCCUUCAUUGAAAAACUCUUAUUCAAAUAGGGCUUGACGCUUUCCAAUAGUUCUAUAUCAUUUCCCAUCAACAAUAUGUCAUCCACAUAUAAUAUGAGAAAUGCUACAGAGCUCCCACUCAUUUUCUUGUAAAUACAGCUUCUCCAUAAGUCUGUAUAAACCCAAACGCUUUGAUCACCUCAUCAAAGCGAAUGUUCCAACUCCGAGAUGCUUGCACCAGCCCAUAGAUGGAGCGUUGGAGCUUGCAUACCCUGUUAGCAUUGUUAGGAUCGACAAAACCUUCCGAGUGUACCGUAUACAAUUCUUCUUUAAGAAAGCCGUUCAUGAAUGUUGUUUUGAGGUCCAUUUGCCAGAUUUCAUAAUCAUAAAAUACGGCAAUGCUAACAUGAUUCGGACCGACUUCGGCAUCGCUACAUGUGAGAAGGUCUCAUCGUAGUCAAUCCUUUGAACUUGUCGAUAACCCUUAGCGACAAGUCGAGCCUUAUAGAUGGUCACAUUACCAUCCGCGUCAGUCUUCUUCUUGAAGAUCCAUUUAUUUUCUAUGGCUCGCCGAUCAUCGGGAAAGUCCACCAAAGUCCAUACUUUGUUCUCAUACAUGUAUCCUAUCUCGGAUCUCAUGGCCUCAAGCCAUUUGUUGGAAUCCGGGCUCGCCAUCGCUUCUUCAUUGUUCGAAGGUUCACUUUAGUUCAACAACAUGAUUUCCGUGACAGGGUUGUCGUACCAUUCUGGUGCGGAACGUACCCUUGUCGACCUUCGAGGUUCAAUAGCAACUUGAUCCAAAGUGUCAUGAUCAUCAUCAUUAACUUCAUCUCUAGCUGGUGCAGGCGCCUUAGAAACAUUUUCUUGCACUGCGCUACUCUCCGGUUCGAGAGGAGGUGCAAUUACCUCAUCAAGUUCUAUUUUCCUCCCACUUACUUCUUUCGAGAGAAACUCUUUCUCUAGAAAGGAUCCAUUCCUAGCAACAAAGAUCUUGCCUUCGGAUCUAAGAUAGAAGGUGUACCCAAUAGUUUCCUUAGGGUAUCCUAUGAAGACGCAUUUUUCCGCUUUGGGUUCGAGCUUCUGUGGUUGAAGUUUCUUUACAUAAGCAUCGCAGCCCCAAACUUUCAGAAACGACAACUUAGGUUUCUUGGCAAACCAUAAUUCAUACGGUGUCGUCUCAACGGAUUUAGACGGUGCCCUAUUUAAAGUGAAUGCGGCAGUUUCCAAUGCAUAGCCCCAAAAUGAUAGCGGUAAAUCGGUAAGAGAAAUCUUAGAUCGUACCAUCUCCAAUAGAGUGCGAUUACGACGUUCAGACACACCGUUACGUUGUGGUGUGCCAGGCGGCGUGAGUUGUGAAACGAUUCCACAUUUCCUUAGGUGUGUGCCAAACCCGUGACUCAAAUAUUCUCCUCCUCGAUCAGAUCGUAGAAACUUUAUUUUCUUGUCACGUUGAUUCUCCACCUCAUUCUGAAAUUCCUUGAACUUUUCAAAGGUUUCAGACUUGUGCUUCAUUAAGUAGACACACCCAUAUCUACUCAAAUCAUCAGUGAGGGUGAGAACAUAAUGAUAGCCUCCGCGAGCUUCAACGCUCAUUGGACCACAUACAUCGGUAUGUAUUAUUUCCAAUAAGUUGGUCGCUCGCUCCAUUAUUCCAGAAUGGUGUCUUGGUCAUCUUGCCCAUGAGGCACGGCUCGCAUGUGUCAAAUGAUUCGAAAUCAAGAGACUCCAAAAGUCCAUCGGUAUGGAGUUUCUUCAUGCGCUUUACACCGAUAUGACCAAGGCGGCAGUGCCACAAGUAUGUGGGACUAUCAUUAUCAACCUUGCAUCUUUUAGCACUCACACUAUGAAUAUGUGUAUCAUCUCGAUCGAGAUUCAUUAGGAAUAAACCAUUAACCAGCGGGGCAUGACCAUUAAACAUACCACUCAUAUAAAUAGAACAACCAUUAUUCUCAGGUUUAAAUGAGUAGCCAUCUUGCAUCAAGCGAGAUCCCGAUACAAUGUUCAUGCUUAAAGAUGGUACUAGAUAACAAUUCUUAAGGUUUAUAACUAAUCCUGAAGGUAGAUGUAGAGGUAGCGUGCCGAAGGCGAUCACAUCGACCUUGGAACCAUUCCCGACGCGCAUCGUCUCCUCGUCCUUAGCCAGCCUACGCUUGUUCCGCAGUUCCUGCUUAGAAUUGCAAAUGUGAGAAACAACACCGGUAUCAAAUACCCAGGAGAUACUACGAGCGCUGGUAAGGUACACAUCAAUAACAAGUAUAUCACAUAUACCUUUGACGUUGUCGGCCUUCUUGUCCGUUAAGUACUUCGGGCAAUUCCGCUUCCAGUGACCGGUUCCCUUGCAGUAGUAACACUCAGUCUCAGGCUUAGGUCCUUUCUUUGACUUCUUCCCGGUAACUGGCUUACCGGCGCGGCAACAGCUUUGCCGUCUUUCUUGAAGCUUUUCUUACCUGUAGGGACCCCGAUCCUAAGGCAUAGGAAUCCAUCCUGUAACACAUCGCAUCUCUUUGCGGUCUCACGCACGGUUAACCCCACGGCUGCAGCCUUACCUUAGCCGGGACCGUUUGCACCUUUUGACUCACGUAUGCAAUUGUGUCGCUAGCAAUCCAAUGUCAAAGAACCCGGAUCGACAUGUCUAGUCAUAAACUAAAGUGGCAGUUCCGUACGGGGACAGGCAUACAUGACCCAACAAAGCAGGUGUCGGUCAUCAACGAAUGUAGACGAGUCGUAGCAAGCUACAAGGACUUCAUUACAUACGUGUGACAUUUCCCAAAGGGACAGACACAGCAGCUAAGAAGGACACAUAUGCCGGUCAACCAAUGUGUCCGGAGCAGUAGCGAACUACCAUGGCUCGAUGGAAUCACAAAGGGGCAUUUCCCCGUGUGGAGUGCUACUAAAGCAUACGACUAGGUAUUCGAACCCCAUACAUAUCAAGCACAACACACGUACGCAUGGCAUACCGAUAUGCAUAGAUACAUCGAUGGCAUCACAACAUAACCAUAAACAUACAAACUUUAUUUAGAAGGCUCAAAAGAGCCUCACACAUAAUAUUACACAGAUAGGGGCCUCACGGCCCAUCAUCAUAAUUCAUACACACAAGUCUUACAAGCCAGCGGAAGAGUAAAAUUAUCUGAGUACACACAGAUGGAAAGAUAAAAGCACAUGUCCUGACUAUCUACAAACCCAUCCUAGGGCCAGAUCGUAGCUGGGAUACCAGCUACUCGUCGUCAUCGAUGUCUAGGUAGAACCCUCCAUUAGGGUCAGUAACAACCUCUGCAACAAUUUAUUAAGCAAACGUGAGUAUGAAAGUACUCAGCAAGACUAUAGAAAAUCUAUCUACUCAUGCAAUGUAUCAACAAGGAGUUGUGGGGUUUCAUGCGGAAAGCUAGCAUUUGACUCUUGGCUAAACAACUUGCAUUUUUAAAUAGUUUUAACAACUUUGAUUUCUCGCACACGAGUCCACUAACACCACAACAAUACUCCAUCAUGGAAUCAUUCCGUCUCCCUACGGAAAUGUCGUCCACGACACUCACACUUAUCUUGCCAAUUUUAUGAGUAGCCAUUAUAGUUAUCUAUGAACAACAUAUGUUUCCAAUUAGUCCAUAUCCGCGAACGCGGCUAUUCAAAUAGAUCAUAACCCUGCAAGGUUGUACUUCUUCACACACGCUCUCACCACUUAUCGCCAUGUGCACGUCAUGAACCUCGGCAACCUUCAAGCGGAAGCCCAGCGAGGGAGUCGGCCACGACCGUUAACCAUGUUAAUACUUAGUCUAGGUCUAUCGCCUAUCUGAGGGUAACCCGCACGGAAGUCCGGCCGAGGUUUCCGCCACGGCCCCAAACGAUGUGCGCAGGGUUCCCAAGCCCACCAUCCGGGUGCCACUUGGUACACUGUGCCACUGCCUACCGCAUCAUAGCCCACCUCUAAGGUCAGCGCUACGCACGGCCUCCAGCAUGACUAUAAACACCAGAAACUACUUGCAACUCCUGGACCGAGUACUAAGCGGUUAAUAAGUCGAGCGGGGUCAUAUUUCAGGGCCCAGCAUGAGGUAGUAUCUUGUCUUGGAUUACAUACACGAAACUCAGUUCCUAAGGACGGUUCCAAUGAAACAACCCGCCAUGUACUCCUACAUAGCCUUUCACCGGUACCUUUACCAAAUCAGGUUCAACACACGACCUUUACCGACUGAACACAUUCUCACGAUCCUGUUCAUCACCCAGAUGACAGACCAUACACAACUCUAAGCAUAGCAUGCAUAGCCGGAUAAGGCACAUCAUGGCUCAAGCAUCUACCAGGUAUGCUAGGUUGCAAGGUUCAGCUAUUUACUGUGACAAGGACAGGUCAUGCAAAGGAAGUGGGUUCAACUAACGUGAUAAAAGCAGUGAAAGCAUUUUGACCUAGUACAACAAGUAAGAGCAGGAGAAAGAACAUGGGAUUUAUCGGGAUGAUCAAAAUGGUUGCUUGCCUUGUUGCUCAGCAGAGGGGUGAUAUCCGUCAGUCGGAUAAUCAGACGUAUCCGGAAGGGCGGAGCCUACCGGAAUAACAACAAUCCAUCGAUAUCAAACAUAUGCAACAAAAUGAUGCAUGAAAUGCAAUGUAGCAUGGUUUGAAAUGACUAGCAGAACCCUUUGGGGUGAUCUUGAUUUGAAAUCAUAAUUCAAAUAUCAUUUGAAUUAUAAUUUAUCAAAUUCUUUUAAUUGAUUUGACAUGAUUCUAUUUCAUAACUUUGUUUUUCAUGCAUGAAAAUAGCACCAUUGGAUUCCUGGAAUUUUUCUGAUCCAUUUACAUAUACUAUUUGUCAAAUUUGGAGUUAUAUUCAAUUGCCUAUGAAUUUCCAAAGUUUUGAACUUAUUCUGGAAUUAUUUUUAACCAGAAAAGGCUUUAUUGCAUCUGCAUGACAUCAACAGGUCCAACUGGCAGUUGAAAGUCAAACUGAACCAGUGGGACCCACUGGUCAGUGUCCCUGGCCAGUUUUAAUUCAGAUUUAACUUAAUUAGUUAAUUAACAGAGAAGGACCCACCUGUGAGUGUCUGUUUAAGUUAAUUUUUAAGUUUUACUAAACUUAAUUACCUAGGGGCUGGACCCACCUGUCAUAGGCUCAGCGGGGUCAAAUCCACCGGCGGCGAGGUCGAUCUCGCCGGCGGUGAGCCUCCGGCGACCACCAGAAUGGCGGAGGGGCUCGGGAAUGCAUCUCCGACGACCAAAUGCACGGCGGAGGGCACCAAACGAAUCAGCUCACAGCCGCAGUUCCAUUUUUGCAAAGACCCGAGGCUAAGAUGGCCGGAGAUGACGCCGGCGACGAUCUUGGCGGCGGCCGAAGCUCGGGCAUCAUCGGGGUCAUCGAAACAGAGGGCAUCACGCGCGGGGCUGAGCUCCUACAGCAUCUACGCGACGCACUGAAGCCAUUGGUGGCCUCAGAUGGACCAGCCGAUCACCGGAGAGCUACCGGCGACGAGGUCCCGCGGCGGAUCUCGUCGGGCUCUGGUGGAAUCAGGGCCUAGAGGAAGGGAUCGAGGGGGAAAACUUAGGGGAAAGGACCCUGAGCUCNNNNNNNNNNNNNNNNNNNNNNNNNNNNNNNNNNNNNNNNNNNNNNNNNNNNNNNNNNNNNNNNNNNNNNNNNNNNNNNNNNNNNNNNNNNNNNNNNNNNUGUUGUAGGAAUUACCAUAAUUAUUAGAGGCCUAGGAUUGAAAUUACCUUUAUACGUGUUAUUGCCAAAAUUGUUCCUACCAACAAAAUUCACAUCCAUAGAUUCAUUAUUAUUUACAAUCAAAGAAGACAAAUGCAUAUCAUUGGGAUCAAUAGGAGCACUCUUACUAGCAAACAAUUUCAUCAAUUCAUCCAUCUUUCCACUCAAAGUAUUUAUUUCUUCAAUAGCGUGCACUUUUUUACUAGUAGGAGAUCUUUCGGUAUGCCACUGAGAGUAAUUUGCCAUAAUAUUAUCUAGGAGUUUAGUAGCUUCUACUAAUGUGAUUUCCAUAAACGUACCACCCGUGGCGGAAUCUAAAAGAUUUUUAGAAGGAAAAUUCAAUCCCGUAUAAAAAUUGUAUAAUCAUCCAUAAACUCAAACCAUGCGCGGGGCAAUUCCUAAACAUUAGUUUCAUCCUCUCCCAAGAUUGUGCAACGUGAUCAUGAUCAAGUUGCUUAAAAUUCAGUAUAUCGUUCUUAAGGGAGAUAAUCUUAGCGGGCGGAAAGUACUUGGAAAUAAAAGCAUCUUUACACUUAUUCCAUGAAUCAGUACUAUUUUUAGGUAAAGAUGAAAACCAAGUUUUGGCACGAUCUCGUGGUGAGAAAGGAAAUAGCUUCAAUUUAACAAUUUCAUUAUCCACAUCUUUCUUAUUUUGCAUAUCACACAACUCAAGGAAGGUAUUUAGAUGGGAUGCGACAUCUUCACUAGGAAGGCCGGAAAAUUGUUCUUUCAUAACAAGAUUGAGCAAAGCGGAAUUAAUUUCACAAGAUUCCGCACUAGUGGCGGGAGCAUUCGGAGUACUAGUAAAAUCAUUAUUAGUAGUAGUGGAAAAGUCACAUAAUUUGGUAUUCUCUUGAGUUGUCGUGACAAAACAAGCAAUCUAGCACACAAGCAAGCGGACAAAAAGACGAACGGAAAAAGGGCGGAUAAACGGCAAAUCUUUUUGGUAUUUUCUGAAAAUCGUUUUAGAAGUGGGGGAGAGGAAAACGAGAGGCAAAUAGAAAAUAAAGUAAAUGCAAGAGAUGAGUUUGUGAUGGUUACUUGAUAGGCUUCAUCUUGCUAUGUAUCCUCCCCGACAACGGUGCCAGAAAUCCUUCUUGCUACUUCUUAAGCUUGCGUUGGUUUUCCCUUAAAGAGGAAAGGGUGAUGCAGCAAAGUAGAUAAGCAUUUCCCUCAGUUUGUUGAGAACCAAGGUAUCAAUCCAGUAGGACGAACAAGCAAGGCCCCAAUUGUAGUACCUAUACAAAUAAUCAAACACUUGCACCCAACGCUAAAAAGAGGUUGUCAAUCCCUUCAGAGUUAUUUGCAAGGAUGAGAUCUAAUAGAGGUAGAUAUAAAAGAUUGCGAAAACAAAAGUAAAUAAAUUGCAGCAAGAUAUUUUUGGUAUUUUUGGUUCAUAGAUCUGAAAGUAUAAUAUGGAAAAUAGACCCGGGGCAUAGGUUUCACUAAAGGCUUCUCUCAUAAAGGAAAAUAAUACGGUGGGUGAACAAAUUACUAUCGAGCAAUUGAUAGAAAAGCAAAUAAUUAUGAAGACAUCCAAGGAAAUGAUUAUGCAUGUAGGCAUCACGUCCGUGUCAAGUAGACCGAAAUGAUUCUACAUCUACUACUAUUACUCCACACAUCAACCGACUCGUGCCUGCAUCUAGAGUAUUAAGUUCAUGAAGAACACAGUAACGCAUUAAGUAAGAUGACAUGAUGUAGAGGGAUAAACUCAAGCAAUAUGAUGAAAAACUCAUCUUUUUAUCCUCGAUGGCAACAAUACAAUAUGUGCCUCGCUAUCCCUGCUAUGUCACUGGGUGAGGACACCGCAAGAUUGAACCCAAACUAAGCACUUCUCUCAUUGCAAGAAUUACCAAUCUAGUUGGCCAAACCAAACCAAUAACUCGAAGAGACUUGCUAAGAUAUGAAAUCAUGCAUAUAAGAAUUCAAAAGAGAUUCAAAUAAUAUUCAUAGAUAAUCUGAACAUAAACUCACAAUUCAUUGGAUCUCGACAAACACACCGCAAAAUAGUAUUACAUCGGAUAGAUCUCCAUGAAGAUCAUGAAGAACAUGGUAUUGAAGAUCAAAGAGAGAGAAGAAGCCAUCUAGCUACUAGCUAUGGACUCGUAGGUCUGUGGUGAACUACUCACGCAUCAUCGGAGGGGCAAUGGAGUUGAUGUAGAUGCCCUCCAUGAUCAAUUCCCUCUCCGACAGAUUAGCGGAAAAGGCUCCCAUAUUGGAUCUCACGAGAACAGAGGCUCUCGGCGGCAGAAAAGUAUUUUUGUGGCUCUUGUUUGCGAUGGGGGAAUAUUUGGGAAUUUAUAGGCCGAAGAAUAGGGUUAGGACACCUGCAUGAGACCCACAAGCCAGGGGGCGCCCCCCCCCUAGGGCGCGCCCUACAGGCUUGUGGCCUCCCGACAGGUGCCCUGCCCCCUACUCCAAGUCUUCUGUGUUUCUUCUGGUCCAAGAAAAAUCAUUCCGGAGAUUUUGUUCCGUUUGAACCCUGUUUAAUAUUCCUUAUUUGCAAUACUCAAAAGCGUGGAAAAAACAGAAACUGGCAGUAGGCUCUAGAUUAAUAGGUUAGUCCCAAAAAUAAUAUAAAACAGCAUAUUAAUGCAUAUAAAACAUCCAAAACAGAUAAUAUAAUAGCAUGGAACAAUCAAAAAUUAUAGAUACGUUGGAGACGUAUCAGCGUGCGGGCCUUCUCUUGCCGUGCAGGCUGGGGGACCUCGCGGACCGACCCGCCAUCAUCUCUAGACGGAUGUUCGCUCCGGCGCUGGGAGCGCCGUCCGCGACUUCCCUCGGCCUUUCGGUCGGAGCCAUGAGGGGACGAAGAGUGCUGAGCCUGCUAACGGCCGUCGGGCACUUGGUAACCCUCGUAGUCGAAACCAGGGGAUUCAGAGAAAGCGUGGUCCGGGUCGAGGCGACUCUGUUGUUCGUUGGCGGCUGCGAGAAGGUCAUUAACGUGCUUUUCCUACCGUUCUCGCUCCUCGCCCUCCAAGGCGAACAUCUCCUCAACAGCCACCUGGGCGGCCCACAUGUUGGCCGCACGGGUGUCGUAGACACGCAGCUUGCCGCCUAGGAUGUCGGCAACAACCUGAUCGCGACCACAAACAUCUCCACGUCGGUUGGGUCCGCCGAGGGCCGGAGUGAAGUCGUAAGCGGAGUUGUACUCGCGCUGCGCGGCCUCCAUCCGGCGCUUGGCGGCUGCGAGGGCGGAGCCCUCUACAAACAGUUGUUUGCGAGCCUCCUCCAGCUCAGCCCUAGUCGAUGCCGGAUUGGCAGCCGACACGAUGGGCGUGCUCAGCCAUGCGAGGGUGGCGUGAAGUGGGUCGAAAGGACCCGCACGGAGCGAGGCCGCCUCCAUCGUGGCCUUGGCACGACCUGAGCUAGUGCUGGAGCCAGUGACCAUCACCUCCAUGAGGUCGAAGGAGACGGCGGCGGCGCACGGGGCAAAAGAUCCCGCGAACGCUGGUGGGUCGCUGUAGUCGAGUACGUCGCUAGGGUACUCGUCGGACGCAGGCGUAUCCUCGAGACUGAGCUUGCUGAAGAACGCGCAGAGGGCGUCGACGUCCCAGCCAGGGUGGCGAGGUUCAUCAUCAAGGCGCAUGUUGUCGAAGAAGACGCAAAGGUGAUCGACGUUAGGAACGAUGUCGUCGCAGCGCGUCUCGCCGAUAGGCUCGGCGGCGAAACCUACGGGGCAGGUGGAGCUGACGAUCAAUAUCGCGGAAGCCUCCGCGAGGGCAGGCUCCACGGGCGUGUUGACCAGUCCGGACGCGAGGCGUCCGGUGGGGUUGGCGAGGGGUCUCACCCGGAGCGUAACUCCGACUGGCGCCACGGACGGCCCCAAGGUGGGCGCCGAGUGUCAUCGUUUACUCACGACAGAUGCCAUGGUAGGCUUAUCGAGAGUGGUUGGGACCGAAAGAACACCAGCGGGCUCCGGGAACGGGAUUGGUAACUAGCGAUGCAAGACGCACUAUGUACCCAGCUCGGGGCCCUCCGCCGGAGUGGUUGAUGAACCAAUGGAACUACAAUGUGCUUCUUGAGUUGUUCGACGGAGGAGGAAGAUGGAGUAGCCGGCUCGCAGUCUACCUAUCAUGUGUGAGUGUGUGUGUGCGCGCAUAAGAAUGACCGACCCUCUGCAUGGAGGAGGGCCAGGGGGUUUUAUAGACGAACCCCCCGGCCUACAAUAUGGGUGUAAGGUACUACAAGGGGGGCCCAACUGGCAGCCUCUCCGGCUAGUCAGAGGGCCCGCCACUGAUUAGUCUUGUCGCUCGCGGGGCUCGUCGGCCACGAGGUGCCAUCAGGCUCUGGGACCCGUCGGCUGGCCUAUGGGAUUGGUGCGUGCUCCUCACGCGGGGCACGAGGGGUACGGUGGUCUUCGUCUUGCGGGAUCCGACGCCGGCCAGCGGUACGGCCGCCUCCACUGUAGCCAUGCCGGACCAAGUAAUGAAGCAGGUGGUGGCUUGCGGGCACUGUACACGGUUGACGGGUCACAGCCGGCGUCGGUCAGCGGUACAACCGCCACCACUGUAGCCACGCGUAUUCCACUCCAUCGUACUCGAGCUGAUGUACUUUCGCCUUUAAUCGAAGGCCUCCGUCACAUCAUAGGGGUUGAUGCAACGGGUGCUCCCGAGUCGGCUGGCGGCUAGCCAUCCGGUCAAAGAGUAGACGGCAACGCUCCUAGCAGGCGCGGGCCACGCAGCCAGCCAGGAGGAGCCGGCGUGUGAGGAGGCUUUCGCCCCACUCUAUGUCGAAACAUGAAGGAAUAGGCUUGGUGAGCCUACCCGACUUAUCCCCCCAUUAGUAUGCGCGCACGUGUGUGUGUGCUGCUGCAUUUGUGUGUGCUGUUUGUCAUGUGUGUUGUUACAUGUGUGUCUGCUGCGUUUGUAUGCGUGUGUUGCUGCUGUUGUGCGUGUUGUUACGUGUGUGUGAUGCAUGUGUGUUGUGUGCGUAUAUGCACGCGUGCAUGUAUGGUGUUACGUGUGUGUCAGUUGUGUGUGUAUAUUGAUGUGUUGCUGCGUGUGUGCUAUUGUCGCUGCAUGUGUAUGCUAUUGCCCCGCACUCACGUUAUAUCAAUUAUUAUCCCGCACAUACACAUACUACAUGAGGAGCAAAAUGGUCUUUUCAGGUGUUAUUUAUGUUUAAAAUGGACAAAAGUGUUAUAAAGGGCAUAAAAUUUAAACUCGUUCUUAAAUAGCGGAGAACUUUUUUUCCAGCGUUAAAUAAGGAAACGAAAUUUAAGAUAAAUAAGGAAUUGUUUUCGUGGUAAUAUACCAUUCCUUGCUUGGUCAGUCAUCUUCAAACUCCAGAUCCGCGUUUGGCCAGCGAGUCGCACAAGGGGGGCCUGAUCCGAUGGGGGCUGUGGUGACCGCUGUGAUCGCGAUCGCGGCGGUGGUGCUGGGCUGGAUCACCAUCGAGAUGGCCUGCAAGCCCUGCCUCGAGACCGGCCGCCGCGCCAUGGACCGUGCCCUCGACCCCAACUACGAUCCUGACGACUCCCCCGCAGCCAACUCCAACGCGCCACCCACUAGCGAGCCGCUACUCGCCGUCGCCGACCUCUCCGCCUCCGCCGCCGCGCCAGCCAAGGCCAUCUGAUGUGUUUCUUAGCUCCCAACGUCGUCAGUGCACCAGUGCUAGGCUUCCCUUUCAUCCUUACUUCAGCCAUGUUUAUCUAUCUAUGACUAUGAGUUUGCAUGUUUGGUUCUUUUGGCUUUGGUUAUUAUUAUGUGACAAGAGCUUGCUUUAUGUUAUACUCCCUCCGUUUCUAAAUAUAAGUCUUUUAGAAGUUUCAUUAAUGAACUAUAUACGAAUGUACAUAAACAUACUUUAGAACGUAGAUUCACUUAUUUUGCUUCGUAUAUAGACUUUUAGUGAAAUCUCUUAAAAGACAUACAUAUAGAAACGGAGGGAGUAACAUGUUACGAAAUGAGAUAUGGUGGUGAUCUGUAUAUAGAAUGGCCUGUAUUUAUUUGCGAUCCUGAAUUCCUGAUUGAGAGUUCAACUUCCUAUGCGAAACAGAUUGAUACCCUGAUCUACAUUUCUGAAUUGGCAUUUCAGUAUGUUGCGGUGUGCAUUGAAUGUACUCCCUCCGCAAACUAAUAUAAGAGUGUUUAAAUCACUACUUUAGUGAUCUAAACGUUCUUAUAUUAGUUUAUGGAGUGAUCUAAACGCUCUUAUAUUAAUUUACGGAAAGGGUACUACUGUACAUACAUGUCAAGAGUAAAAUCGGUGGACAAGAUAUAUGAUUACACUGGAGACGUUUGGAGAUUGGCACCGUGGGUGAGGUCAAUCCUCCAACGGUGUUGCCUCGUUUUCUGUCACAUCAUCAUCCACCAUCUUGUCAUUUUCUUCGGCUGGAGUUUCAGGAUCAGUCUCCAUCUCUUCUUGUUCUACAUCAUUUGAUUUGUCAUCCACGUUGCCGUACACCUGAGAGCUUACCACAUGCCCAUGCAAGUCCUUGUGUUUCAGAUUACCUAUCACAGAAUGGAGAAAAGUAGUUGGCAUUGCUGAAAAUCGUAGAUCCAAAUGAGAUAUGGCUGAUACUAGUAUUGUACUAGUAACUACUUCCUGCGUAAACUAAUAUAAGAGUGUAUCUAGUCUCCUAAUGAGUGACAUAAUUUAGAGUGUAUAUUCACUCAUUUUGCUCUGUAUCUAGUCUCCUAAUGAAAUCUCUAAAAAAAAACUUAUAUUUAGGAACGGAGGGAGUAGCUAACUGCGGUCUGUGUAUAGCUAUAGGCAUAGUUGUGAAGAAAUUGCAAAUCAGAUAGCAGUGUUUACCAAUCAUAGCAUAGUUGUGAAGAAAUUGCAAAUCAGAUAGCAGUGUUUACCAAUCCAGCAACGCUCCACAUUAGAGCAGUGUUCCAGGAGGGCCUUCACUUGAAAGAGAAACCGCUCCAUGGAUCUCUUUGUGGCAGGUAUCUUGCUCGUGAUCAUUGUUCGCUUGUAACCCUAAGCAAGAUCAAAAUGCUGUUCUAAGCAUGGAACACAUAAUUUAUGGUAUGAACGUCAUGGAUAUAUUAUUGAUUGUGCCCGGUGACAAUUAAAAGGUUAUCAAUUGUACCUUUGCCUCUGCACAUAUAGUUUGGAUUGUUCUUGUUGCUUUCUGAACUUCUUUUAUCUGCAUAUAAGUUUUACUCGUCAGUACUGACAGUAAACAGCCACUCUAAUUUGGCAGGACACAAGGCAGCUACUGAGUGGUGCUAAAAGAAGUAAAUAACAAAUAGUAAUAUUUACAGUUAUUUACCAUGUGAACUAUAUUGUCACCAUGUUGCCCAAACUGCGUCUCUAGAAAGUUGAAAGCUGCAGCAAAAAUAAAAAGGAGUGCUAAACUAACCAUGUUCUCACUCUUAAGGCAACAAUAAGAAUAUACCUAGUGAAAGUAUAUGAAAGCUUAUCAGUUCACAAGUUCUCGCCUUUAAGAAAUGCAUCAAUGAAUCGUCCCCCAUAUUUAACUGCCAUUGCAUGCAUAGCAACCUAUAUUUUGUGAUUCGAUGUGAGAUGCAACAUUUUCAACCAGCAGUCUCAUACAUCACAGUACACCAUUUCCACCUCAACACGGGUGACUUCAUUGUAACUUACCUUCUCGUGAAUCUUACAUGUAUUUGUCAGAGAAACAAACACAUUUACUGAUUUAAGAAUUUCAUCCACAACGUUUUCCACUGCUACUCCUGAUUGUGAUCUAGUCUUCAAGGCUUGCUUGAUCUGGAGAACAGGGAAGAAAUUGCUCAAACAUUAAGGGAUACUUUUUAAUAUGUUUAGGGACAACAAAUACAACAUAGUGCUGACAGUAGAUUAAAUAUUAGCAACUAAGUGUAGAAUGCGUAGUUAAACAACUUACCAUCUUGUUCAAAUUCCCAAUGUUCUCCUCAUGCUGCAUUUGUAACCCAAAAAAUACAAGAGAAGACAAAUAAACAUCGCAUAUUUGAAAAAUGCUCUGGACAUCAGAUACUUACCAGCACACGGUACCAUGAGUGGAAAGUGGAAGAACACAAUGUUGGAAAACCAUGCGUCAGUUCUUGCGCGGUACUUCUACUUUUGAGCGGAGUUACCUUCAGUGAUGGAAUAAAAUUCUAAAAAUGAACAACAAUCCAAUUGGUAUGGACUCUGAUUGCAUGACCCAACAAGUCGAGAUGGACCACCUGAGGCAACACCGAGCGAGCCAGCUCAUCAAGCAGAACUGAAGUCGACUCACUAUUCCUGAGGUAUAUUUGUAAUAUCCUUGGUAUAAGAUCACCCUGACAAGCAACAAACAAGGAACUUGUUAGCCUCUUAGGAAUUAGUCAUUGAUGCUUAUAGGCGUUGCGCAUUUAUAUGUUAAAAAGUUUUUUAGCUUACUUUACUCUGCCAUCCAUUUUCAGUAUCUUCAUUAGGGAAAUCAGAAGUUAGCAGCUUAUGAGCUGAUAACCCAAGAUGCUUCUUUACAAAGGGAAUAACCUCUUUGGAGCAUCCUACGUGCAUAUUCUUCCCAUUUGAUUCCCCAGAUUUUUCCAACAGCACAAUAAUGGAAUUUAAAAUAGAUUGCAUGGUAAUUAGCACGUCAGAGGCCAAAAUGUGUGAGAAUAAACACACUGCAGUAAGACAUGGUAUUGAGAUUAGGAAAAAGGUCACAUAAUCUUCUAUCACUUUUGGCAGUUGGCACAGAUUGCAACCGCUGAUUACCUGCAUCCAUAAUAGCCUCAAACAUUUUUAAUGCCCCACAGUACAGAUAAUCAACAUUACUAGGAACCAGAGGUGGACGAAACUCAGAAAGAUCAUCAUCGAAAUUUUCAGUUGGCUGGAAAGUCUGUAGUAGCUCCUUCAGAGCUGACAUAUUUGCUUGAUUCAAUAGAUCUGGAGUGCCAAGUAACUGCAAAAGCUGUCAUAUUAUGUUAAUGCUACAAUUUGUGUCAUCUUUAAUACUCCCUCCGUCCCAAAAUAAGUGUCUUAAGCUUAAUACAAGUUUCUACUAGAGCUAGUACAAAGUUGAGUUAUUUUGGGACAGAGGGAGUAUCAGAAGUAAGAAAAAGAUAUCCAUGCUACAACCUUCCUGUAGCAGCUAAGAACCUCCUUAAAUAGGGAAGUGGCUAUUGAAGACUUGGAGACUAUCACAUAUGGAAUGUGCGGGUUUCCUGCUGAAUCCGAAUGUGAACUCCAAUUGUCUGGGCUUCUAUCUGAUCCUACAUAACAAUAGUAGUGCCCCAUUGUGUUAUUGAUCAAAGCAAAGGAAAGGAGGGGUACAACAGUACAAUGCAUUGUGGUAUUAUAAAAAAAUCCUACCAUUCAAGAUAGAAGGAAAUAGAAGCAGAAAAGGAUAAUCGAAGCUUACUGUCUUUCAUCAUUGAAACUGAUCCAUCUAGAUGCUUCCGUAGACUCGAGAAUAGUGGCUGGAUUUUGCUAAGAAGAUCUUCUGCGCUCUUUUGGCAAUGAGCGCGAGUGGAUUUUGCUUGAGAAUUAUUAAAGAAUGGCUUGCUUGAUGGGUUUACAUGAUCUAGUUUGUUGUUUAGAUCACGCAGAAGAUAGAGAUAUAAAGGCAGCUGAAUAACGAAAACAGAAAGACCUCAAUAAUGACACCAUACUUUGGUAGCUAUAUAUUAUGUGGUUGAAAUCAGGUACCUCAGAUUCAUGAUAUGGAUAAGUUGAAUCUUGAAACUGUAAAAUAAAUAAAUGAGAACUUGAUAAUAAAACUUUGAAAGAAUCAAAGAAUUAAGUCAAACUGGACGAAUGCAUACCUCUGAAUACUUUAAUAAGGAUAAACAAGUCACAUGGAGUGUUCUGAAUUUAAAUCUUUGCAUAUCCAGCUGAACUGGUGCUGCCAUCAAAUCUAUAUGCCCAAGCUCACCAAGAUUAUUAGCAUCGCUUUCAACAUCCUUCGACGUCAUUCCACUUGGCAAUGGUCGUGAAGAAGCUUUCUUUGUUUCUUGGGUGAUCGUUACACCUGCUCUUUUGAAAGCAUCCACUAUCGUAGAUUGCUUGAGCUUCUCAUCAGAAUUCAAUUUAUCUGAAGCUGCUUUGUCCUUGCAGCCCUUUUGUCUUUUGUUGGAAGAUGGGCCCUCCAUGUUGUCUUCCUCCAUUUUCUUCCCAAUGUUGAACUUGCCGGUGCUAGUUGACCCAGAAUAAUUCCCAAGAUAUCGCAGCUCAGGUAGAGAUAGAGGAUAAAUUUUAAGAAGGGUGUUUAACAAAAUCUCGAGUAAUCUGCAAUUUUUUAAAACAAAAGAAGUCAGGUGCAUUUGGCAAUCAUGUCAUAAUAUUAUGAAGGGUGCAUUAGACAUGAAAAUCCUAGACAUAUCUUAACUCAUACAUAUGUUCCUUUUUCGUUAUUAAGCUCUCUAACAUCUAAUGCAAGCAGCUCAUGACAAGAUUCAGAGAUAGUAAACUGUAAUAAAAUGUUUCAGUUCACACUUACCAUAUUUUUUACCUAGCAAAGAUGAAAAAACACACCUGACAUGCUUGAAUCAGAAUUUUUAUUGAAAGAGUACAAAAAUUCACCAUCCAAUCCCCCAUUAAUAGUACUUGGUGAAAGGUUGGUUAUUUGAUAAAUGAUGAUGAAUACAGUACAAGUAGCAUGCAGUAUCUAUCCAAGUGUAAUAUGGUACUCUCAUCACUGUUCAAGCAAUACACUCACAUUAGAUUUCUCAGACGCUUCAAAAGUUUAACUGCAGUCUCAUCCCUUACUCUAUGUGACACAUUAUCAACUCUGACCGCAACUUGUGUGCUGAAAGCAUUAAGCUGCCAAUGAUGCCACCAGUUUCAGAUAUCAUAUAAUUUCAAGCGUUCAGUCAGUAAAACGAGAAGAUUCAAAACAUACCAAUUCCCUAAUCCAGUUUAUCGCAAAGUACAGUGAGUGACACACUGUUUUUUUCUCCAGUUCUGACAAGAGUCCCCAUCUAGAUUCAUCCAGGUUCUGUCGGUUCUCAAAUCCAAACCAAGAUUAAUUACUUUUCAGUCACCAAAGGACAUCUCUCUGAUAGUAUAAAAAAUAAUUUUGGAAGUUAUCUAUAUUACAGAAGUAGAGACACAUUUGCACUAAUGAUAUAAGAGUAAUAUAUUUGCAAUUGUUAUGCUUUUCAAAACAACUUUAAACCCUUGAUAUCUGCAGAUUGAUAUUUUUUAUAUGAAUGGUGGAAAUUGAUUAUAUGAACCCGGAAUUUGUGAUUUACCAUUUAUUAUGAGAAACUAUUAUAGUAUUGUUGAUUACAUGUAGGCCAGUUCAAGAGAAACUUGCAAUUUAUCUCUGGCAUCAUUCUGUGUGUGUUCUGGUUGGGCAAAGGCAGGUUGCAGAAUAAUAUUUAAUGAGAUAUAUAAUGCAACAAAACUAAGACUUGAAAGAAUGGUGUUCCUGCAUAAUUAACAAGUUACGGGUAUUGCUUCAAGUUUCUAGAGAGCAGACUGAGUGGUAUAACCUUGGUAGAAGGAAGAUGCAAAGGACAGCCAAGGAGUGCAUUUAUUCCACCAAGUGAGCCUUCAUUUCCUGAACGUUCAAUCUUCGAUAUAAACAAGAAAAUUAGUUUGACCAUUAAGACAUGCUGGAUUACAAGGCUAUGGCACUUACGGUAGUUAGAAGUGAAAAUUGGGAAGGAAGUAUCUGCAAGCAGGCUUGAGACCUGGUAUGAGCAUACGUAACAGUAUUAAAGUAGACCAAUAUAGGUCAUAUUCAGACUAGUUAGUAACCAACGAAAUAAUGACCAUUAAGGACUUAACAGCUAGAAUUGUACCUUUGUUGCGAGGUGGACACUAGUGGCAAAAUGUUUACGCAUACUGGGGAGAUAUUUCCAUCCAAGUUCAUCCAUAAUUCCCCUGAAACCAAUGUGUUGCCAAUUACACUUGUACUUUCAUCAUAUGUCAAGUAGAAAUGUACAAAUCCAUGGCUAGGCAGUAACUGUCAAAGCAUUUUGCUAACCUUCAAUGCUCUCACAGAGAUAUUUUUCUGAUAGCUGGCCAUCCUCAAGAUCAGCAAGAAAAAGGGUAUCAAAUUCUGCAACAUGUUCUACAACCCUGAAAAGGCUAGUUAGUGACAUGAGCUAUCUUACAUGAAGAAACAUGGAUCAUCUCCUUUUUUCCACAUGCAGUAGCAACCAUUUUAUGCUUACCACUCAAUAAUUGCAGAAUGAAGAACACUGCUCUCAAAUAAAGCAGAUAAUUCAUCGUAGAGAAGAAUUAAGGGCAACGUCACAAAUUUGCAGGAGUUAACAGUCAUAUUUAGCAGUCCCAGGGCCUCCUCGCAAUUUGGUUGCUGCCAGAUAAAAUAAAUUUACAACUAACAAAGCAACACCAGUAUUUCAUGAACACAGAAAAGGUAGCUGCCGUGAUCUCAGAUAUUUUAGAUGCAAGAAGCACAGCUUGAGACAAAAAGGGAAUCCAGCACCAGGUUAGGUAUACAAUUUAGGUGUGUGUUCUUAAUGCUGAGGCUUGCUUCACUUGUAUAAAACCACGGUACUACUUUGUCCACUGCUCAUGUUAUUUUUUAAGCAUCCAACUAACAGAGUGUUUCUUUAAUUAUUAGUAGGAAAUUCUUAAUUGUCUGAAAUGCUAUGAUUCAUAGCGUAUAAGUAUCACUUUCGAAUGAACCAGCACAGGACAUUACAAGUUUUUGGCUAAUUUUAAAGAUAAAUAGGCGAUGUUACAGAUGCUCCUGUAAAUGCUAGCAUUCAUAUACAGAUGUAAUGCAUUUUUAUAUACCCAAGAGGUCAGAAAAUGAUAGAAUCAUUCGGCAUGGUUGUUUUAACACGAAAGCAACAUUUAUCUUGAAUUUCAUCAUGAUCAAGCAAACCUGAGAUGAUGAGCAGUUCACAGCAGCAUUUGCAUCUGCAAUAGUUGAAACUAUCCUUAAAGCCCCAAUUAUUCCCAUUCUCUUAUACUUCAUAUCUGGAUUGCUAACCUACAAAGUGCAAGCAGACACGGAAAAAAUAAUUGAAAACCAUAAACCCUAAAAAGCCUUCUUGGAUGAAAGAUAAAUGGAAGUGAUACCCUAGUCAUAAAUGCAAUCAUACCUGCUUUCUCACUACCAUAAGAAGUUCAUUAGCAACAGAAGAGCCACCUGAACUAGUAUUGAAGCCAGCAGCCAGUGCCAAUUGACAGAAUAUCUCGUAAACCUACUUUUUUCAUAACUGAUGUUUAUGAUGGGAAAAAAUAGGAGAAACAAAUUAAAAAAUAUUUCACAAACCUUUCGAAGAUUAUCUUCAUGAAAACUCUCCAGAUAAUCUAAAAUACCUAUGUAGUAAAAGUCAAUGUAAUUCAAAUUAUUCCUCGGUAGCAAGCACUAAAUACAUAAGACUUGACAAAUAACAAUACCAGUUAUAUGUGAAGCUAUAGGGAUGAGUUCCUCAGAGUUGUUGGAUGUCAAAGAAAUCAUAAUAUCCAAAGCAGAAGAAACUUCAUAGCUGACCCCAGAACCUAUAUGAGUUAUCAAUGAGCCUACGAGCUGCACAAAAUGGUAGGGCAUUACCACACAAAGAACAGAUAAAAUAUACAAAGGACAGAAAACUGGGUAUGAAACAUAAGAGAAACUGGUAUAUGCGCCAAGAAAGUUUAAUUGGAUGGAUCUCCCAACAGAAGGAUGAUAGUCUGCCUAAGCCUUAUAGUUUUCAGAUAAACAUAGAAAAUUCCAGCUACAAGCCAAUAGCUGCCCCAUCAUCACCUCAAAUGGUACUACUGCAGCUAAUCUGAUGAGUGACACCACACAACCUUAUCACUCAGAUGUUUCGUUGGCACAACAGUGAUGCUAUGGCAACUACGACGACAAUUGCACAGAUUACUUCAUGAAUUAGUUAAGUAGUAGUUCUCAAAUGCAAGCCAGCUGAUUGAAAACAGCAAAACUAUACAAAAUAGGUAGCAGUAUCAGAAUCAGAAUUUCUAAACAGCCCUUCCAAGAUUUAUAUUCAUUAGCUGGACUUAUGCAUAGGAAUUCAAUAGAGCAGUUGAUCAAGUUUUAUUUCACCCAAAAAAUGUAAAUAUAUGUGAUAUGCAGCAAAAUUCGGAAAACAGCCUACCUGAAAUCCUGAAUUAUAGGGAAAUGGUUUUUUUUUCAAAAAUCAACAGUGCAUAUUAACUCAAUUUGCCUACGUUAGUAAGUUCUUGAUUUUCACUACAUUGACGACAGCAAACACAAGUGUUGGCAACAAAGAGGUACCUCUUGCCUGGAGAAAGUAUCACUGAAUUCUUCAAACAAAGCCGUGAACAAAUAGGUAGCAAAUCCUCUAGCCUUGUCUUCCUUGCAAGCCAAGAGGUAAUCACUCACUGAGAGAUAUGACAUAAAAUGGUCCUAGUGCAAGUUUUUAUGUCUCAGUCAGCAUGGUAAGGCAAACAUACAUGGUCACUUCACAGUCAUUACGAGAUACCGAAGAACUGACCUUUACUAAUUCAGUAUUUCCAUGAAUGCAUUGGUGAAACAAUGUCUCCCGGAUAUAUCCUUGUAAGAUCUUGGACUUCAGUAUUUUCUUAGCACUUUUCUGCAGGGCACCCCCAUUGGCAUAUAUGAGCAUGAUGAGCCAAACAUCAAUCACUUUGUGAUCCCUUGCAUGGUCAACUAAUUUCAACUCCUUUAAGAAGGCCUCACAAAGCAUCUGCAUCAAUAACAAAGCAAAUUCCAGUUGAAACCCCAACUUGUAGUGCUGCAUUUGAAGAUACGGUGUAGAUUAAGAUAACCUACAUUCUUAAACCGGAGGCCUGAUCUCAAGGCAUCAAGGACUGCCCCAUCAGUGCUAGUUGCUGAUGCCUUCCCUUUCAGCUUCUUGCUCCGAGCAGCACGUGGAUCCACCACACCAACAAACUUCAGUUGCUCGCGGAUUUGCGAUAUAAUCCUGCCAACAUUGACUGGUGUGGCAGACAGCAACAAGAACCUGAGUAAGUGUGGCAUCUGAUCUGCAUGAAUCGUCCGGAUGCAUGAUAUUGCAACGGUAACCGCCUUAAAAUAUUCCCGUAGAACAAGACAACUGUUAAGCCACAAUGUUCAUCAUCAUACACAAAACAAGAAGAAAGAAAAUCGUUGCAACAAUACCUGCUCCUGCAGCUGCGCAUCGAGGUUAAGGUUUGACAAAGUGUCGAGCACAGCAACCACAACUUGGGAGUCCUCCUGCAGCAACUUCUCCAGAGCGGAGACCACAGCAGCGUGGCUCUGGUCGCCGACAAUCUCCGGGAUCGACCCGAUGAUCUCCUUCUUGAGCCGGGGUGGCGCUACCGAGAGCACCUCUACAAGCUUGGUGACAAAGGUGUCGGCGUCGACAAGGAAAUCAAGCCAGCGGAACUGAGCAACGAUAAGCCUCCCCACGUCGUCCUGCAGAGACACCCCAUCGAGCGCGUCGUCGUCGAAGUGCUCGGGCAGCUUAUCGAGGAGGAGCCCCAGGAGACCGGGCUGGAGCGCGGGGACGGAGAGGAGCACCUGCGCCAGGCUCUGCGAGCGCGGGGAGGUGGGCAGGAGUAGCUGGCGCAGCCGCGCGGGGUACUCGGCGAAGGCGGCGAGCCCCACGAGUAGGCACUGUCUCUUAUACACAUCUCUGAGCGGGCUGGCAAGGCAGANNNNNNNNNNNNNNNNNNNNNNNNNNNNNNNNNNNNNNNNNNNNNNNNNNNNNNNNNNNNNNNNNNNNNNNNNNNNNNNNNNNNNNNNNNNNNNNNNNNCUUCUUCGGGAUUUUGGGGGGAUUCGGGGGAAUGAAAGUUUCGCGCCACAGAUAGAAGCCUAGCAACAAGAACCUGAGUAAGGGACUGUUCGGGAACCCACCACCGUCGGAAAUCACGGGAUCCACCAAUUUCCUCGCUCCGCUUUUUUUAACUACAGUUCCUGCUCCUCCGGAGCAGAGUGACAUGGAGCGGAGGGGCGGGUGACGGGAUAUUAAGGUUUGGGUUAUCGAAGCAUCCGUGUCAGACUUCUCUUGCGUAAAUACAAUGAUAGAAGAUAUCAACGUUGUCCUGGUCGUGUAAGUAGGAGAAGCAGGCGGAGGGUUCAUCCUGUAAUCCAUGUCUGGCUCUUCUGUAAUCCAUGUAUGGCUCUCCUGUCACAUGUCCAAAGCUUGUAUUGCAUCAUGAACCACGCAAAGAUUUUGCAGCGAAGGGAUGUCCAGCUCUUCCAAAUGCAAUCUGCUGAUGCAGCUCUUUCCUUUCCCAUGCAAAGUCUGUUGUAAGUGUUGUAAGUGCCCUUUACGGUGUAGACUUCUCUCAUCCCAGCAGGACAAUGAAAUUGAUCUGGCACACCUACAUUCAUUGGAACAGUGGAGAUUGCAAGGCAUAAGUUAGUGAUCUGAAUGUGCAUCAUGAAGUUGAUAUCACCAACCGCAUCCUCGGUCCAAGCAUUAUUAGUCAGCGCUUGCUGAACAAUCCUUUGUGUUGCGCGUCCUGGUGGCUACCAUCUUUCAUAAGUCAGGUGCAAUCUCGCCAACCGUGAAAUCAUGCAGCCAUCUAUCCUUCCAGAAAAGGAUUUGUUCUUCAUUUCUGAGAGUGAUCUUGACCAUGCUAUUGAAGACCAGUUUGGCCUCCUUAUCCUCCGUCAUUGGAAUCCCCUGCCAAGGCCUGCUAGGGUCAGUUCUUUUAGCCAUUCCCAUCUAACGCAAAGUGCGAUUGCGUGCAAGCGCAGGUCCCUCGCACCCAGACCUCCGAGGCAAGUGGGGCGGCACACCUUGUCCCACGCCACGAGGCAAAAGCCCACCAUUGGCCUUUUCCUUACCAGCCCAGAAGAAGGUCUUCAUCCACUUAUCGAUUUCCUCAAAGACCCAGUUUGGCACAUUGAGCACAAGAAACUGGUGAAUAGGUCUAGCAGAGAUAACUGACUUAGCGAGUAUCAAACGUCCUGGUCUCUGGAUCAUUCUGCGUUGCCAUGCAGGAAUUAGCUUUCUAACCUGAUCCAGAAGUGGUUGCCAGUCUGCGCGGGAGAGCUUCUUGAUGGCCAUCGAGAUACCCAAGUAUUUGCAAGGGAACUUGUUCAGCCUGCAGUGCAGCACAUCCGUGACCCUUAGACCAUCCUCCUUUGAGCCCCAAAUAAGUAUGGCCGCAGAUUUGGUGUAGUUGAUGCGGAGCCCCGAAGUUUCACCAAAUAUGUCAAGCAACUCUUUCACACAGAUGAGGUCCAUAUUCGUAGGCCUUAUAAACAUAGCCACAUCGUCAGCAUAGACCGAGAGGCUUUGGAGAGGAGAGAUGCCUCGAAAAGAGUUGAGUAUGCCGACCUCCGAUGCCUUGCACAUGAUUGCCGAGAGCGCAUCCAUGGCUAUCACGAAAAGCAACGGUGAGACCAGAUCGCCUUGUCUGAGCCCUUGCGCAUGGGCAAUAAGUCUACCCGGGACACCGUUGACAAUUAUUUUGGUGCACGCAGCGGAAAGUAAAGUGGACACCCAAUGCAGCAAUUUUCUGGCAAAGCCUCUCCUCUUGAGAACCUUGAAUAGGAAUGGCCGGGAGAGGGAGUCAAAAGCCCUGGAGAUGUCAAGCUUGAGGAAGGUACCCGACACUUUCGAAGCGUGAAUCUUGCGGGCCACGUGAAAGCUUACUUUACCAAGAACAAGUAUUAAACCAUUUUACAGGAAUAAAACAAGAAGUAUUUAAUAGGUGUAAUAGAUAGUUUUGCAAUAAAAUAAAGAACAAGUAAAUAAAAGUUAGGGAUUGUUUAGAUAAAGAUUAAUUAAGUCAGCUAUUUAGUAUAAAGCUUUUUUGUAACACAAGAGCCGGAUUUAUCCCUAGGCAGUCGAUAACUAGAUCGAUAAUUAUUAUUGGAUUUUUAUAUGAGGGAGAGGCAUAUGUUAGCAUACUUUUUGUACUUAGAUCACAUGCACUUAUGAUUGGAACCCUAUCAAGCAUCUACAACUACUAAAGAUCAUUAAGGUAAAACCCAACCAUAGCAUUAACACAUCAAGUCAUCUUUACUCCCAUACGCAACAACCCCAUUACUCGGGUGUAAGCUUCUGUCACUCUAGUCACCCACUAUAAGAGAAUCAUGAACGUAUUGCAACACCCUUCAGCAAGACUCCCGCACGUGUGCACGACACGGGAGGCACCUUAGUACAACACCAAAAUAAAACAUACAACUCAAACCAAUCACGAUCAUCAAUCAACCCAUAUGACAAAACAAAUCUACUCAAACAUCAUAGGAUAGUCACACAUCAUUGGAUAAUAAUAUAUAGCAUUAAGCAUCAUAUUUAAGUAGAGAUUACAAUGGGUAAAAGAGUUUUACACCGAUGCAUAGAGGGGUAGAGAGUUUGUGGUGACAACGGUGAAGUUGUUGGUGUAGAUCACCGUCAUGAUGGUUGUUGUGAUAGCCUGGCUUAUUAGGGAUGAUAGCCUACUCAUAUCAAUAAGGGAUUCCUUAUUUUCCGGGAGCCCAUUCGAACAGAACUCCCAGGUUAAGCGUGCUUGGCUUGGAGUAGUUCUAGGAUAGGUGACCGACCGGGAAGUUGAUCCCGGGUGCGCAUGAGUGAGGACAAAGUGCGCAGAAAAUACUAGUAUUGAUAUGUGGGGCCAGUCUAGAUCCCGCCAGGAGUAACGACCGUCGGCGGGUGUGUCCGGGGUGUUACAAGUUUGGUAUCAGAGCCCACCCUCGCGGUUACACGGAUGUUUGCGGACAGGUGUGCGGUCAUGUUGUUCAUGACGUUUGUGACCCGUCGUGACACACGGCAUGGUACAUGUACUGGACUGGAUGCACAGACGUUUGUACCAAGAGGGAACGAUGUUGUGGCCCGACGAGGACGUCGGUUCCUCUGAGUGGUGGUGUAUGUGAUAGCCUGGCUUAUUAGGGAUGAUAGACUACUCAUAUCAAUAAGGAAUUCCUUCUUUUCCGGGAGCCCAUUCGAACAGAACUCCCAGGUUAAAGUGUGCUUGGCUUGGAGUAGUUCUAGGAUGGGUGACCAACAGGGAAGUUGAUCCCGGGUGCGCAUGAGUGAGGACAAAGUGCGCAGAAAAGACUAGUAUUGAUAUGUGGGGCCAGUCUAGAUCCCGCCAGGAGUAACGACCGCCGGCGGGUGUGUCCGGGGCGUUACAGUUGCCCAUGGAGCGCUCUGGCACCACCAGGAGAGAAGGGGAGAGAGCCCCCCUCCUUUUUCUUCCUUGGUCUCCCCCUAGAUGGGAGGAGAGUUUCCCCUCUAUUCCAUGGUCACCAUGGCUCGUGGAGGGCAAGAGCCCCUCUGAGAUUGGGUAUCUCUCUCUCUCUCUCUCUGAUUCUCUCAUGUUUUUACGACUAUUUUAUGACCCCUUCACCGUUUGUUAAAUAUCCACAGAUUCGUAACUCCGUUUGGGCUAAAAUUUUGAGGGGGUUUUAUUGAGAAAAUUAUCUUUCUUGCGAGAAAAGAAGGGCCCCAACCGACUUAAGGGGUGGCUCUAAGCCAUCAGGGCGCGACCACCCCCGUCGAUGUGCCUUGUUGGCGUGGGAGAACCUCGGGCAUCGUGUUACGUUGAUUCUUAUUCUCAAAAUUCAAAUAUAUUCCAAAAUAAAUCUCCGUAAUUUUUUAUCGCGUUCGGACUUCAUUUGAUAUGGAUUUUCUACAAAAAACACACACACACAAAACAGGAAUUGGCGUUGGGUGACGGGGGGAUAACCCCGGGGUAGGCUCACCAAGCCUACUCCACCACGUUUUGGCAUAGAGUGGGGCGAAAGCCUCCUCGCAUGUCGGCUCCUCCUCGCCGGUUGUGUGGCACGCGCUCGCUAGGAGCAUCGUCGUCUACUCUCUGGCCGGAUGGCUAGCCGCCAGCCGGCUGGGAAGCACCCGUCGCAUCAGCCCCUACGAUGUGACGAAGGCCUUCGAUUAAAGGCGAAAGUACAUCAGCUCGGGUACGAUGGAAGAGGUAUACGCGUGGCUACAACGGUGGCGGUCGUACCGCUGACCGGUGCCGGCUGCGAGCCGUCAACCGUGUAUAGUGUUGAUACGUCCCAAACGUAUAUAUAAUUUCUGCUUGUUCCAUGAUCUUCUGGGUGACAUUGUUAUAUGUUUGGCCACACUUUUAUAUCAUUUUACACAUAUUUGGACUAACCUACUAACUCAGUGCACCCAGUGCCAGUUCCUGUCUGUUGAUGUCUUUUUUGCAAGGGCUUUUACCCAAUUUUCUGAAGCCCGGAAAAUUCCAAGAAAAAUAUAUAAAAAAUCAGCGUAACGGAAGCUUACAGAUCAUCGAAGAUGGGCCAGAGGGGGCCAGGGGCCGCCCAGGCGACUUGUGGGCGCGGCCUACCCCCUGGCCGCGCCAAGAGGCCACCUGGGUGGGUCCCACCUCCUCUGGUUCCCUCCUUUGGCCUAUAUUUACUCCUCCGUGAGAAAACCCUUCCAUCACAUCCAGAAUCGCGAAUUUCUCCAUCGUUCCCCCGCCCCAGCGCUUCCGAGAUCGGGAGCAUCAGGAGACCUCUUCCUGGCACCCUGCCGGAGGGAGGAUUGACCUCCGGGAGCUUCUCCACCGCCAUGGAUGCUUCCCGGACGUGUCGUGAGUAGUCCUCCUUGGACCAUGGGUCCAUGACCAGUAGCUAUGUGAUGUCUUCUCUCUAAUCUUGUGCUUCAAUGGUUAGUCCUUGUGAGCUGCCCUACAUGAUCAAGGCAUCUAUGUAAUUCUCUUGCUAUUGCUAUGCUCGGUUUGUUGGGAUCCGAUGGAUUAUGAGAUUAUGUUCAGAUUGUUAUGAGUUAUAUAUUUGAUUAUCCUUUUAUAUUAUGUUCCUUAGUGAUUCAUGCAUGUUCUCCGUUGCUAUUUAUUGCUUUGGCUGAGUAGUAGAUUGUAACUCCAAGAGGGAGCGUUAUGCAUGAUUGUGGGUUCAUGCCCCUUGAUUUCUAUCUUGAGUGACAGAAACAUGAGACUAGAGGAUGUGUUGUUGCCACCAUGGAGAAAACAACCGUGCUUGUGACCACGGUUGCAAGGAUUGUUUACCUUACGCAUAGUUCGUUAUGCAGUUGUUCGUUGCUUUGAGUUUACACUUUGGGUGGGGCUCGCAACUUAAUACCGGCGAGAUGUUCUGGAUAGAUAUCUCAUGGUGGAUGAUUAGUAAGUAGAUGCUGAUGAAUAAAUGGUCUACUUGUCUUGGCGUACCGCCCAUUACUAUUGAACCUCUAACUAUCAAAUAGCAUAAUUAGCAUUGCGGUGCGUUCAUAAUUCUGUCAAUUGCCUAGCUGUAAUUUGUUUACCCAAGCAUAGUUGUUUAUCAUCUUUUGGGAGAGAGACAUACACAACAUGACAUACAUUAGAGAGCCUACGGCUGAAGCGUAAGGGACAAUACUCAUCUUCUCUCUAUCUGCUGCCGUGGUCGGUGACUGAGUCUUGCUCAAUCUCAUACCUUGCAAAACUGGCAAGAACCCCUUCUUUGAGUUUUCCAUAUUGAACUUCUUCAAUAUCUUGUCAAGGUAUGUACUUUGUGAAAGACCUAGGAGGCGUCUCGAUCUAUCUCUAUAGAUCUUGAUGCCUAAUAUGCAUGCAGCUUCUCCAAGGUCCUUCAUCGAAAAACUCUUGUUCAAAUAGGCCUUUAUGCUCUCCAACAUCUCUAUAUUAUUCCCCAUCAAUAAUAUGUCAUCCACAUAUAGUAUGAGGAAAGCUACAAAGCUCCCACUCACUUUCUUAUACAGACAGGCUUCUCCAUAAACCUGUAUGAACCCAAACGCUUUAAUCACCUCAUUAAAGCGAAUGUUCCAACUCCGAGAUGGUUGCACCAGCCCAUAGAUGGAGCGUUGGAGCUUGCACACUUUGUUAGCACCCUUAGGGUCGACAAAACCUUCUGGUUGCAUCAUAUACAACUCUUCCUUAAGAUUCCCGUUAAGGAACGCUGUUUUGACGUCCAUUUGCCAAAUUUCAUAAUCAUGAAAAGAGGCAAUUGUUAACAUGAUUCGGACUGACUUCAGCUUCGCUACGGGAGAGAAAAUCUCCUCGUAGUCAACUCCUUGAAUUUGUUGAAAACCCUUUGCGACAAGUCGAGCUUUAUAAACGGUCACAUUUACGUUUGCAUCAGUCUUCUUCUUGAAGAUCCAUUUAUUUUCUAUGGCUCGCCGAUCAUCGGGCAAGUCCACCAAAGUCCAUACUUUGUUCUCAUACAUGGAUCCUAUCUCGGAUUUCAUAGCCUCAAGUCAUUUGUUGGAAUCCGGGCCCGCCAUUGCUUCUUCAUAGUUCGAAGGUUCACCGUUGUCUAACAACAUGAUUUCCAUCACAGGGUUGCCGUACCACUCUGGUGCGGAGCGUACCCUUGUGGACCUUCGCGGUUCAGUAGCAACUUGAUUUGAAGCUUCAUAAUCAUCAUCAUUAACUUCCUCUUCAGUUGGUGUAGGCGCCACAAGAACAGUUUCCCGCGCUGCGCUACUUUCCGGUUCGAGAGGGGGUGUAAUUACUUCAUCAAGUUCUACUUUCCUCCCACUUACUUCUUUCGAGAGAAAGUCUUUCUCUAGAAAGGAUCCGUUCUUGGCAACAAAGGUUUUACCUUCGGAUCUAAGAUAGAAGGUAUGCCCAAUAGUUUCCUUAGGGUAUCCUAUGAAUACGCAUUUCUCCGCUUUGGGUUCGAGCUUCUCUGGUUGAAAUUUCUUCACAUAAGCAUCGCAGCCCCAAACUUUAAGAAACGACAGCUUAGGUUUCUUGCCAAACCAUAGUUCAUACGGUGUCGUCUCAACGGAUUUAGAUGGUGCCCUAUUCAAAGUGAAUGUUGCAGUUUCUAAUGCGUAUCCCCAAAAUGAUAGCGGUAAGUAGGUAAGAGACAUCAUAGAUCGUACCAUAUCUAAUAAAGUGCGAUUACGACGUUCAGACACUCCGUUUAGUUGUGGUGUGCCAGGCGGCGUCAGUUGUGAAACGAUUCCACACUUCCUUAGGUGUGUGCCAAACUCGUGACUCAAAUAUUCUCCUCCACGAUCAGAUCGUAGACACUUAAUUUUUCUGUCACGUUGAUUCUCAACCUCACUCUGAAAUUCCUUGAACUUUUCAAACGUCUCAGAUUUGUGCUUCAUCAAGUAGAUAUACCCAUACCUGCUCAAAUCAUCGGUGAGAGUGAGAACAUAACGGUAGCCACCGCGAGCUUCAACGUUCAUUGGACCACACACAUCAGUAUGUAUUAUUUCCAAUAAGUCGGUCGCUCUCUCCAUUGUUCCUGAUAAUGGAGUCUUAGUCAUCUUGCCCAUGAGGCACGGUUCGCAUGUGUCAAAUGAUUCAAAGUCAAGAGACUCUAAUAGUCCAUCAGUAUGGAGCUUCUUUAUGCGCUUAACACCGAUAUGACCAAGGCGGAAGUGCCACAAGUAUGUGGGACUAUCAUUAUCAACUUUACAUCUUUUGGUACUCGCACUAUGAAUAUGUGUAACAUCACGAUCGAGAUUCAUCAAGAAUAAACCAUUCACCAGCAGAGCAUGACCAUAAAACAUAUCACUCAUAUAAAUAGAACAACCAUUAUUCUCUGACUUAAAUGAGUAGCCGUCUCGCAUUAAGCAAUACCUUGAUACAAUAUUCAUGCUCAAAGCCGGUACUAAAUAAAAAUUAUUAAGGUUUAAAACUAAUCCCGACGGUAGAUGUAGACGUAGCGUGCCGACGGCGAUCACAUCGACCUUGGAGCCAUUCCCGACGCGCAUCGUCACCUCAUCAUUGGCCAGUCUCUGCUUAUUCCGCAGUUCCUGUUUUGAGUUGCAAAUGUGAGCAACAACACCGGUAUCAAAUACCCAGGAGCUACUACGAGCGCUGGUAAGGUACACAUCAAUAACAUGUAUAUCACAUAUACCUUUAAUGUUGACGGCCUUCUUUUCCGCUAAGUACUUGGGGCAGUUCGCUUCCAGUGACCUUUUCCCUUGUAAUAGAAGCAAUCCGUCUCAGGCUUGGGUUCAUUCUUUUUCUUCUUCCCGGUAUUUGGCUUACCGGGCACGGCAACGGCUUUGCCGUCUUUCUUGAAGUUCUUCUUACCCUUGCCCUUCUUGAAACUGGUGGUCUUGUUGACCAUCAACACUUGAUGCUCUUUCUUGAUUUCUACUUUUGCAGACUUGAGCAUCGAGUACAACUCGGGAAUGGUCUUAUCCAUCCCUUGCAUGUUGUAGUUCAGCACAAAACCUUUGUAGCUUGCUGGGAGAGACUGGAGGAUUCUGUCAAUUAUAGCAUCAUCCGGAAGUUCGACUCCAAGUGAAGUCAGACGAUCGUGUAACCCAAACAUUUUGAGUAUGUGCUCACUGACAGAACUAUUCUCCUCCAUCUUACAGCUAAAGAACUUGUCGGAGACUUCAUAUCUCUCGACACGGGCAUGAGCUUGAAAAACUACUUUCAGCUCUUGGAACAUCCCAUAUGCACCGUGUUGCUCAAAAUGCCUUUGGAACCCCGUUUCCAAACUGUAUAACAAGCCACACCUAACCAGAGAGUAGUCAUCACUCCGCGUUUGCCAGACAUUCAGAAUGUCCUGGGCUGCUGCGGGAGCAGGAGGGUCACCUAGCGGCGCAUCAAGGACAUAAGCCUUCUUAGCUGCUUCAAGGAUGAGCUUCAAGUUGCGGACCCAGUCGGCAUAGUUGCUACCAUCAUCUUUCAGCUUGUUUUUCUCUAGGAAUGCGUUGAAAUUGAGGUUGACGUUGGCCAUCUACAAUAUUUAUAAAGACAACUUUUAGACUAAGUUCAUGACAAUUAAGUUCAUUUAAUCAAAUUAAGUAUGAACUCCCACUUAAAUCGACAUCCCUCUAGUCAUCUAAGUGAUACAUGAUCCAUGUUGACUAACCCGUGUCCGAUCAUCACGUGAGACGGACUAGUCGUCAAGGUGAGCAACUUCAUGUUGAUCGUAUUCAACCAUACGACUCGUGUUCGACCUUUCGGUCUCUUGUAUUCGAGGUCAUGUCUGUACAUGCUAAGCUUGUUGAGUCAACCUAAGUGUUUCGCGUGUGUAAAUCUGGCUUACACCCGUUGUAUGCGAACGUUAGAAUCUAUCACACCCGAUCAUCACGUGGUGCUUCGAGACAACGAUCCUUCGCAACGGUGCACACUUAGGGGAAUACGUUCUCGAAAUUUUUAAGAGGGGUCAUAUUAUUAUGCUACCGUCAUUCUAAGAAAUAAGAUGAAAAACAUGAUAAACAUCACAUGCAAUCAUAUAGUGACAUGAUAUGGCCAUUAUCAUCUUUGCUCUUUCGAUCUCCAUCUUUAGGCAUCGCAUGAUCAUCAUUUUCACCAGCAUGACACCAUGAUCUCCAUCAUCGUGUCUCCGUGAAGUCGUCACGCCAACCACUACUAUCACUACUACUAAAGCUAACCGUUAGCAAUGAAGUAAAAGUAGUAAACACAUGGCGUUGCAUCUCAUACAAUAAAUUAAGACAACUCCUAUGGCUCCUGCCGGUUGUCAUACUCAUCGACAUGCAAGUCGUGAAUCCUAUUACAAUAACAUGAUCAUCUCAUACAUCACACAUGCAACAUCACAACUUUGGCCAUAUCACAUCACAUGUCAAACCCUGCAAAAACAAGUUAGACGUCCUCUAAUUGUUGUUGCAAGUUUUACGUGGCUGAUUUGGGUUUCUAGCAAGAACGCCUUUUUACCUAGGUGACAGCCACAACGAUGAUAUGCCAAAGCUAUUUACCCUUCAUAAGGACCCUUUUCAUCAAAUCCAAUCCGACUAGAGUGGGAGAGACAGACACCCACCAGCCACCUUUAUGCACGGUGUGCAUGUUUGUCGGUGGAACCAGUCUCACGUAAGCGUACGUGUAAGGUCGGUCCGGGCCGCUUCAUCCGACAAUACCGACGGAAAAGAAUAAGACUAGUAGCGGCAAGCAAUUGAAAAAUCAUCGCCCACAACCUUUUGUUUUCUACUCGUGCAUAGAAUCUACGCAUAGAAAACCUGGCUCGGAUGCCACUGUUGGGUAACGUAGCAUAAAUUCAAAUUUUUCCUACGCCAUAUUCAGAUCUUCCUAUGGAGAGACCAGCAACGAGAGAGGGGUGAGUGCAUAUUCAUACCUUUGAAGAUCGCUAAGCGGAAGCAUUGCUAGAACGCGGUUGAUGGAGCCGUACUCGCGGCGAUUCAGAUCGCGGUGUGAUUCCGAUCUAGUGCCGAACCACGGCACCUCCGCAUUCAACACACGUGCAGCCCGGUGACGUCUCCCGCACCUUGAUCCAGCAUGGAGGAGGAAGAGGUUGGGGAAGAUCUCCGGCAGCACGACGGCGUGGUGUCGAUGGAGAGAUACGAGGUCUCCCGGCAGGGUUUCGCCAAGCACCGUGGGAGAGGAGGAAGGAGGGGAGCAGGGCUGCGUCGAGGGAGAGGGAAAACUGUGUCCAAAACAGCCCCAGAACCCUCUCUAUAUAUAGGAGGAGGGGAGGGGGUGUGCCACCCCUAGGGUUCUCACCCUAGGUGGUGCGGCAGCCCCCCCAGAUGGGAGGUGCGACGGCCAAGGAAGGGAGAGGAGCUGGCGCACCCCUAGGUGGCCCUUACGCCCACGAGCGCCUAGGGUUUCCCCUCCCUCCCUCUUGGUUGAGCAUGGGCUGGGUGUGGGGGGCACACCAGCCCACCUAGGGGUGGUUCCCUCCCGCACUUGGCCCACAUAGCCCUCCGGGGCUUGUGGCCCCUCCCGGUGGGCCUCCGGAACCCUUCCGGUGGUCCCGGCACUUUGCCGGUGGUGCCCAAAACAUUUCUGGCGUCCAAACCCAUCCAUCCUAUAUAUCAAUCUUUACCUCCAGACCAUUCCGGAGCUCCUCGUGACGUCCGGGAUCUCAUCCAGGACUCCGAACAUCCUUCGGUAACCUCGUAUAACAAUUCCCUAUAACCCUAACGUCAUCGAACCUUAAGUGUGUAGACCCUACGGGUUCGGGAAGCAUGUAGACAUGACCGUGACACUCUCCGGCCAAUAACCAUCAGCGGGAUCUGGAUACCCAUGGUGGCUCCCACAUGUUCCACGAUGAUCUCAUCGGAUGAACCACGAUGUGAAGGAUUCAAUCAAUCUCGUAUACAAUUCCCUUUGUCUGUCGGUAUAAAACUUGGCCGAGAUUCGAUCGUCGGUAUACCUAUACCUUGUUCAAUCUCGUUACCGGUAAGUCUCUUUACUCACUCCGUAGCACGUAAUCCUAUGACCAACUCCUUAGUCACAUUGAGCUCAUGAUGAUGUUCUACCGAGUGGGCCCAGAGAUACCUCUCCGUCACACGGAGCGACAAAUCCCGAUCUCGAUUCGUACCAACCCAACAGACACUUUCAGAGGUACCCGUGGUGCACCUUUAUAGUCACCCAGUUACGUUGUGACGUUUGAUACACCAAAAGCACUCCUAAGGUAUCCGGGAGUUGCACAAUCUCACGGUCAAAGGAAAAGACACUUGACAUUAGAAAAGCUUUAGCAUACGAACAAUACGAUCUAGUGCUAUGCUUGGCAUUGGGUCUUGUCCAUCACAUCAUUCUCCCAGUGAUGUGAUCCCGUUAUCAAUGACAUCUAAUGCCCAUGAUCAGGAAACCAUGAUCAUCUAUUGAUCAACGAGCUAGCCAACUAGAGGUUUGCUAGGGACACAUUGUGAUCUAUUUAUUCACACAUGUAUUACUGUUUCCCGUUAAUACAAUUAUAGCAUGAACAAUAGACGAUUAUCAUGAACAAGGAAAUAUGAUAAUAACCAUUUUAUUAUUGCCUCUAGGGCAUAUUCCCAACAUAAGUGACAUGAGAUAUGUUGACUAGGCUUCCACCAAACCAAAUGAAAUUUGCUUUCCCCAUGUGCAAGAAAAUUUCAAGUCUAUGGACAUUGAAGAUUUUGUUCGAAAAGAGAUGACCCCAUGGAAUGAUGAGUUGAUCAUGCAAUUUUACUCAACUGUUCAUUUCUAUGGAGAUGGUUCUAUUGUGUGGAUGACUAAUGGUCACAAGUAUGAGUCUACGAUUGAUGAGUGGGCCACUAUCAUUGGUGCCCCUAAGCAGAAAGAGAGUGAUGUUGAUGUGUAUUCUAAAGCAAAGAUGAGCCACAACUCCAUGGCCAACAUGUACAAGCCAAUUCCUCACAAGAUGGGCUCAAUAUACUUCUUGCAAGCAGGGAUACCCACAACUAACACCAUUCCGAGACACACCUUGAUGCCUAAAUCAGGUGAUGAUAGGAUGAUUUGAGGGCACUCCAUCAAUCUGCUGCACCAUUUGGACUCUCACACUAGAUUCAGAGUGAUGGACUUGAUAGUAGAGACUAUCCGAAGGACUGUUGUUGAUCAGAAAAGAUCUCGUGGAUAUGCCUUGUACAUUCACAUGCUUAGCAAUGCCAAGCUAGGCAAGCAUGCAUAUCUCCUUGAUCGUCUCCAUCUAACCCUUCAACCAGAAUUUGAAGACAAUGUAGUGGUGAUGGAUCACAAUGAUCCCAGCUCAACUGCAUCUAGAAUGGCAGCAGAGGCAACAAAAGCUGAGGCUAUUAGAAAUGAUCCACCACCAGUUCCACAACUUAGAACUCAAGCUGAGCAAAUGGCAUUUCUAGUUAGCUUUGUCCAACGUAUGGAGAAGAACAUCCAAGAGAUGCUGCAAAAUCAGAAAAGCCUUCAGAGAGUCGUGGAAACAAAGUUUCAUGACAUGUAUGUGAAGGUAACGGAGUUGGCCACUAUAGUAAAAUAGCUUCAACAUGAAGUUGACUCCGUUGAGAUUCCACACUCAAAUGAUGAUGGUGAUGAUGAGUCACCUCCUCUCACUACCACUCGGUUCAGAACCAAGCCUAGAUCAGCUGAUGUACCUGCUCUAGAGACAAGACAAACUUCAUCAGCUCAAGCAUCUGCACCUUCAGCUCCAGCACGAGCUCCAGCUCAAGCACCUCCAGUAUCCACUCCUCUAGCUCCAGGAAACUCAACAGAUUCCUUCAUGGACGCUCUUCUGUUGACUCCGUCAUCAGCUACCCAAAGAGACGAGAAGCUCUAUACUUUUUGAACUUUUUGGUAACUUGUUUCCAAAGGGGGAGAAAUGUAUAGAUCAUAGGGCUCCGGGAGAGAGAGCUUUUUAAUUUAUUUGCUCUCAUUUGUUUUUACAAAACUUUGGUAUUUUGGAUGACUUUAUCCAGUUAUCUGUGUUUGAUUAUACUCUUUGCUUGGUUGAUGCUAUGUCAUUAUCCUUUUAACUAUCUAUGUGAUGAUCGUUCACUUAUCUUGUUGGUGUCAUGUGCAUUACUAUUCAUUCUUAUCUUGUAUGCGCACCACCAAGAUGUAUGUGACAUGGAAGAGUGACCCUUGAUCCUAAUCAAUUGUGCAUUUGCAUUCAAAUGCAAAUUUUAAAUAAUGCACAAAUUUUGGGGGAGCCCUUGCUUUUCACAUACUUCUCAAAGCGUCAAUGCUAAUCAUCGAUUAUAUCUUUUUUCGAAGCUAUGAUCUAUAUGUUGUCAUCAAUUACCAAAAAUGGGGAGAUUGAAAGCACAAUAACUCCCUAGGGUGGUUUUAAUAACUGAUCACAACAUAUGCAUCAUUGGACUAAUAUGUUUUUCCAAGUAUAUUUCAUAAAAGUUCAAAAGAUGCUUUGGCUAAAGGCUUAUGUGGAGAUGCCCCUUAAUGAUGGAAAGGAAUAAGAUUGGCUCAAGUUUUAAGCUAGACGACUCGUCAUUUUAUAUUUGUCAGAAAUCACUUUUAUGUCCAUAGGAAAGCCAAUACUAUCAAAAGGGGGUGAGGUAUUAAAAUGAACUGGUUGCUUGAUGACCCACAAGUAUAGGGGAUCAAUCGUAGUCCUUUCGAUAAGUAAGAGUGUCGAACCCAACGAGGAGGAGAAGCCUCUGAUAAACGGUUUUCAGCAAGGUAAUAGCUGCAAGCACUAAAAGUAGCGGUAACAAGUGAUGGUGUAGUGAGGUGAAACGUAGCAAGCGAAAAGUAACAAGUAACAAGUAGUAGCAACAGUGCAGCAAGUGGCCCAAUCCCUUUUGUAGCAAGGGACAAGCCUGAACAAAGUCUUAUAAGAGGAAAAAACGCUCCCGAGGACACACGGGGAUUUCUGUCAUGCUAGUUUCAUCAUGUUCAUAUGAUUCGCGUUCGUUACUUUGAUAGUUUGAUAUGUGGGUGGACCGGCGCUUGGGUACUGCCCUUACUUGGACAAGCAUCCCACUUAUGAUUAACCACUCUUGCAAGCAUCCGCAACUAUGAAAGAAGAAUUAAGACAACGUCUAACCAUAGCAUUAAACUAGUGGAUCCAAAUCAGCCCCUUACGAAGCAACGCAUAGACUGGGGUUUAAGCUUUUGUCACUCUAGCAACCCAUCAUCUACUUACUACUCCCCAAUGCCUUCCUCUAGGCCCAAAUAUGGUGAAUUGUUAUGUAGUCGACGUUCACAUAACACCACUAGAGGAAAAACAACAUACAUCAUAUCAAAAUACCGAACGAAUACCAAAUUCACAUGACUAUUAUUAGCAUGACUUAUCCCAUGUCCUCAGGAACAAAAGUAACUACUCACAAAGCAUAAUCAUAAUCAUGAUCAGAGGUGUAAUGAAUAGCAUCAAGGAUCUGAACAUAAACUCUUCCACCAAGUAAUCCAACUAGCAUCAACUACAAAAAGUAAUCAACACUACUAGCAACCUUACAAGUACCAAUCGGAGUCGCGAGACGGAGAUUGGUUACAAGAGAUGAACUAGGGUUUGGAGAGGAGAUGGUGCUGAUGAAGAUGUUGAUGGAGAUGCCUCCCCUCCGACGAGAGGAGUGUUGGUGAUGACGAAGGCGACGAUUUCCCCCUCCAGGAGGGAUGUUUCCCCGGCAGGAUCGUCCUGCCAGAGCUCUAGAUUGGAUAUGCUCAAGUUCCGCCUCGUGGCGGCGGAGAAUCCACGAAAAAGCUCUAUCCUGAUUUUUUCCGGAUGAAACCCUUCAUAUAGCAAAAGAGGGGGGCUAGUGGGCCACCAGGGUGCCCACAAGCCCUGUUGCCGCGGCCAGGGGGGUAGGCCGCGACAACCAGGCUUGUGGGCCCCUGGUUGCUCCCCUCUGAAACUUCUUUCACCCAGUAUUUUUUAUAUAUUCCCAAAAAAAUCCACGUUGAUUUUCAGGGCAUUUGGAGAUGUGCUGAAUAGAGGACUCAGACUUGCUCCUUUUCCAGUCCAGAUUUCCAGCUGCCGGUAAUCACCCUCUUCAAAUAAACCUUGCAAAUUAAGAGAGAAAAGGCAUAAGUAAGGUUCCACAAAGUAUAAUAACAGUCCAUAAAGCGAUAAAUAUCAACAUGAAAGCAUGAUGCAAAAUGGACGUAUCAACUCCCCCAAGCUUAGACCUCGCUUGUCCUCAAGCGAAAACCAAGACCCAAAACAUGUCCACAUGUUUAGGGAUGAAGGUGUCGAUAAAACAUAAUACGGACAUGAGGGCAUCAUGAUCGCACAUAGGACAUCAAUACAUCAUAGAGAUUCUUAUGGGAAAGUAACAAUUCCUUCACAAAACAAAGUAUGAAACAAAAACCUUACCGAGAAGUAGCCAACAACAGUGCAUAGUCAUUGAAGCAAUUGCAAUUUAUCAUAACAUCAGAAAGAGUCAAAUAAGAGCUUGUAAGGCAAAUCCUCAUACUCAAUCAUCUCUUUUGUUUUCCACAAUUGUUACAACUCACGUGGUACUCAUGAUAUCAAAGUUUCAGUUGGACACGGAGGAAGAUAGGGGCUUGUAAUUUUGCCUCCCAACCAUUUACCUCAAGGGUAAAGUCAACAAUAAUAAAGCAUAAGUACUCAGCUCCAAGUUGAUAUAUGAAUAUAGAUCUUUCCAAAGCAUAUGACGUUCACCAAGAAAAAGGCUAAAUAAGGAACUGGUGAAGAUCACCAUGACUCUCAUAUGGACAAAAGUAAAGGUACAAGAUAUGCCCUUCGCAGAGGGAAGCAGAGUUUGUCAUGCGCUUUUGAGGUUUGGAUGCGUGUCCUCUUAGUGCGGAGGAACGUCACUUUAUAUUGCCUCCUAUGAUAAAGAACUUUAUUAUGCAGUCUGUCGCUUUUAUGUCUUCCUCAUCACAGGUUCGUACAAAGCUUAUUUUCCACACACUAAUAGAUCAUACAUAUUAGAGAGCAAUUUUUAUUGCUUGGACCGAUGACAACUUACUUGAGGGAUCUUAUUCAAUCCAUAGGUAGGUAUGGUGGACACUCAGGGCAAAACUGGGUUGAAGGUUUAUGGAUGCAUAAGUAGUAUCUCUACUUGGUGCAGGAGUUUUGGCUAAUAUGAGGUGGAAGCAAUCGUCACAUGCUAAGGGAUCUCUAAUCAUAUAACAUUGUUUGGAACUAAGCAAAUACAAUUCAUUAUGUUGUCUUCCUUGUCCAACGUCUACGUCUAAGUAUGUAAUAGUUUGGUGAGUGCUCACAAUUAUAGAAAGUAUCUAAGAUGAUAUAUUUAUAUGUGAACCUCUUUUUCCUUAUUACUUCUUAUUAAUUGCAACAAUGACUGGGGUCUAUGUUGGUCUAUUCUCAACAAGUUUCAAUCAUCAUACUUGUUAUAUGUGAAGCUAUCACUUUCCAUAGGAUCAUCUCAUGAUCUUUCAUGCUAUCGUUCUUUUCAUACUUUUGAUCACGGCACAAAACAAAGCCAUUGACUAAGAUACUCUUUAUUAUAAAGCUCGCAAGCUCGAAUACAUCAGGGGAGACAUAAGGCAAAAGACUAAAACUAAACACUAAAGACUUAUUCCACUAAGAGAAGAAAUAAAACUGAAAAGGAAAGAACUAAAACAAAGGUAAAAUCAAAAGAUAUAAAGGUGAUACGAUACCAGGGCAACUCCCCCAAGCUUGGCAUAAGCCAAGGGAGUUGCCCAUACCAAUGCUUAGUUGUCUUCCUUUGGUGGUGAUGGUGGUGGUGUUGUUGAAGUAGUCUGAUCCUCCGUCUUCCAAGGCAUAGGUGCUCCAUCAUGGAAGGAUGAACGAGUCGCCAGAAUCCUCAAAUCUGCAGCCAACCGUAUUGAUUUAAAUCUAUACUCAUACUCACAGUUUUGGUUCUGCAGGUCAUAGAUCUGGCCCUGGAGUUGAUCAACCCUGUCAUAGAGCCUCGAGAGGUGCUUCCCAAUGUCAAUGGCAUCCAUCUUGUGAUUUCUAGUGAACUCCGUGAUCAUCAUGUGGUUGGCAUUGAGUCCACGCUCCACCAUCCCUUGGCACUUGAAGACUUGUUGCUCCAUUGCUUUGAGCCUCGUCUCCACGCUUCCGGUCUUCUUAGGCCCCUCAACAUCACGGAUGUGCAACAUCCCCUCACUCAUCUUAAUAGAUUGAGGGUGUUUCAACACUUCCGUGAGGUAGGGAUUGAUGACCUUCUCGAAGAUCUUGUCCUUAGGAGCUUUUGGGGAAGUCGUGAUGGUCUAGAUCUGCGACAGAAACAAGCUCGAAACGAAAACAGAGGAAAACUGCGCGAUACGGAGAUCAAAACCCUCGGGCGUAUAUAUAAUGAUUUUUUCUAGACCAGAAGGAGUGCUCCGCAAGAAAACGGAGUCCGGGAGGCACACGAGGUGCCCACAAGCCCUGUUGUCGCGGCCAGGGGGAGGCCGUGGCAACCAAGCUUGUGGCCUCCUCGUGCGCUCUCUCAACUGCUUUUUAUUUUUCUAAUUUUCCAAAAAUUCCAAAACAGAGAAAAUUUCCUAUUGGAAAAGUUUCGAAGUCCAAUUACUUACCAAAACAGAUACCUCUUCGUUUUCAGGGUCUGAAACAGGUUGAUAAACAUCCCUUAUGUACUCCUCUGGAGUUAUGAUAUUGAUGAUAUUGGUCUCAACAUUUAUGGGAGUACCAGAGAUGUAAUGCUUCAUUCUUUUCCCAUUUACCACUCUAGGAAAAUUACCUUCGUGUUAUUGAUUUUGAUGGCACCGGAACGAUAUACUUCCUCGACAACGUAGGGACCUUCCCAUUUAGAGAGAAGCUUGCGUGCGAAGAAUCUUAAACGAGAAUUGUAUAGCAGGACAUAAUCGCCUAAAUUGAACUCUCGUUUUUGUAUUCUUUUUUCGUGCCAUCUCUUAACAUUUUCCUUGAACAACUUGGCAUUCUCAUAUGCCUGGGCCCUCCAUUCAUCUAAUGAGAUGAUAUCAAACAACUGCUUCUCACCGGCAAGUUUGAAAUCGAAGUUGAGCUCUUUGAUUGCCCAACAAGCUUGUGUUCCAGCUCAAGGGGUGAAUGACAUGCCUUACCGUAAACCAUUUUAUACAGCGACAUGCCCAUGGGAUUCUUAUAAGCAGUCCUAUAAGCCCAUAGUGCAUCGUCAAGUUUACUAGACCAAUUCUUUCGAGAUCUAUUGACGGUCUUUUGUAAGAUCAAUUUGAUCUCCCUAUUACUCAACUCCACUUGGCCACUAGACUGAGGAUGAUAAGGAGAUGCAACUCUAUGGUUGACAUCAUACUUAGCGAGCAUCUUGCGGAAAACACCAUGAAUGAAGUGUGAACCGCCAUCAGUCAUCAGAUAUCUAGGACUCCAAAUCUUGGGAAAAUGACUUCUUUAAGCAUCUUAAUAGAGGUGUGCUGAUCAUCAUUUCUAGUGGGGAUAGCUUCUACCCACUUAGUGACAUAAUCCAGAGCAACUAAGAUGUGAGUAUACCCAUUGGAACUCGGGAAAGGUCCCAUAUAAUCAAAGCCCCAAACAUCAAAUGGUUCAAUGACAAGUGAAUAGUUCAUAGGCAUUUCCUGACACUUACUGAUAUUCCCUAUUAUUUGGCAUUCGGCACAAGACAAGACAAACUUACGGGCAUCCUUGAAGACAGUGGGCCAAUAGAAACCUGAUUGCAAUACCUUAUGAGCAGUUCUGUCUCCAACAUGGUGUCCUCCAUAGGCUUCGGAAUGACACUUCUGCAGGAUAUGUCCCUGUUCAUGUUCAGGCACACAAUGUCUAAUAACACCAUCUACUCCUUCCUUAUAAAGGUGAGGAUCAUCCCCAAAGUAGUGUCUCAAUUCUUCUUCUGCUGGUAGGUGAAACUGGGUGGUAUGUAUUUGGCUACGAUAUAGUUUGCGUAAUCAGCAUACCACGGUGCAAUAUGUGAAGUACGAAUGACAUUCAAUUUCUCAUCCGGAAAGCUGUCAUCAAUAGGUCGUGGGUCAUCAAGGACAUUCUCUAGCCUAGACAAGUUAUCUGCUAUAGAGUUAUCAGCACCCUUUCGGUCAACAACAUGCAAAUCAAAUUACUGUAGCAGAAGAACCCAUCUGAUUAGCCUAGGCUUAGUGUCCUUCUUCUCCAUAAGGUACUUAAUAGCAGCAUGAUCAUAGUGAAUAGUGACUUUGGAGUCAACUAUAUAAGAUCUGAACUUUUCACAUGCAAACACGACUGCUAAAAAUUCCUUCUCCGUAGUGGCAUAGUUUCUUUGGGCACUGUCUAGAGUUUUACUAGCGUAGUGAAUGACAUUCAACUUCUUGUAAACUCUUUGUCCUAGAACAGCACCAACGGCAUAAUCACUAGCAUCGCACAUGAUUUCAAAGGGAAAGUUCCAAUCAGGUGGUUGAACAAUAGGUGCGGUUAUUAAGGCCUUCUUAAGUAUUUCGAAAGCUUCCUCACAAUCCUCAUCGAAAACAAAAGGAACAUCCUUCUGCAAGAGGUUGUUAAGAGGCCUAGAAAUCUUAGAGAAGACUGUAAUGAACCUUCUAUAGAAACCAGCAUGACCUAGGAAACUUCGUAUACCUCUGAUAUCUGUGGGGCAAGGCAUUUUAUCAAUUGCAUCUACCUUAGCCUUAUCAACUUCAAUGCCUUUCUCAGAGAUUUUGUGUCCUAAGACGAUGCCUUCAUUAACCAUGAAGUGGCACUUCUCCCAGUUCAAGACGAGGUUGGUAUCUUUGCAUCUCUGUAAGACUCGAUCAAGGUUGCUGAGGCAAUCAUCAAAGGAAGAACCAUAAACGGAGAAAUCAUCCAUGAAAACCUCAAUAAUCUUUUCACAAAAGUCAGAGAAUAUAGCCAUCAUACAUCUUUGAAAGGUGGCAGGUGCAUUGCACAAGACAAAAGGCAUACGUCUAUAAGCAAAGGUACCGAAGGGGCAUGUGAAGGUGGUUUUCUCUUAAUCAGAUUGUGCAAUAGGUAUUUGCGAGAAACCUGAAUAACCGUCUAGAAAGCAGAAGUGUGUGUGUUUAGAUAGCCUUUCUAUCAUUUGGUUGAUAAACGGCAAAGGAUAAUGGUCUUUCCUGGUUGCCUUGUUCAGUUUCCGGAAGUCUAUCACCAUCCUAUAGCUAGUAAUAAUCCUUUGUGGAAUUAGUUCGUUCUUAUCAUUAGGAACGACGGUGAUACCUCCCUUCUUAGGUACGCAAUGUACUGGACUUACCCAAUCACUAUGAGCAACAGGAUAGAUGAUUCUUGCUUCCAGAAGAUUUAAUAUUUCUUUUCUCACGACCUCUUUCAUCCUCGGAUUUAAUCUCCGUUGAUGAUCAGCAACUGGCUUAGAAUCAUGAUCGGUUUUAAUCUUGUGCUGACAUAGAAUGGGACUAAUACCCUUAAGAUCAUCAAGAGUAUAUACAAUAGCAGCACGGUGCUUCCUCAAAGUCUUUAAUAACUUCUUUUCUUCGUGAUUCGAGAGACGAGCACUAAUAAUAACAGGAUAUAUCUCCUUCUCAUCAAGAUAGGCAUGCUUAAGAGUAUCUGGUAACUGUUUUAGCUCGAACACAGGAUCACCCUUUGGUGGGGGAGGAUCCCCAAGCAGUUCAACAGGCAGAUUAUUCUUGAGAAUAGGGUAUUGUUCUAAAACAAUUUUAUCUAUCUCAUCUGUUUCAUCCAUAUGCAUAUCAUUUUCAUGCUCAAGUAGAUAUUGCUCUAAAGGAUCCGUAGGAGGUACGGCAAUAGAGGCAAGAGCAAUGAUUUCAUCCCUACCAGACGACUCUUUUUCAUGGGCUUGUCUUCCAAACUUGGAGAAGUUAAAUUCAUGAGACACACCCUCGAAACUAAUAGUGAUAGUUUGUUUAAUGCAAUCAAUCUGAGCAUUGACAGUGUUGAGAAAGGGUCUACCAAAUAUGAUGGGACAAAAGCUAUCUUGUGCAGUAGCAAGGACGAGGAAAUCAGUAGGAUACUUCGUCUUACCACACAGGACUUCUACGUCUCUCACAAUUCCCAGGGGACAGAUAUUGUCUCUAUUAGCUAGCGUAAAAGUGACAUCAAUGGGUUCUAACUCAGCAGGUGCAAUCUCAUCCUUGAUUUCAUCAUAUAGGGACCGGGGUAUUGCACUAACACUAGCACCCAUAUCACAUAACCCAUGGUAACAGUGAUCUCCUAUCUUGACAGAAACAACGGGCAGGCCAACUACGGGUCCGUAUUUGUCUUUCGCGUGAGGUUUAGCUAUUCUAGCGGAGUCCUCACAGAAUUUGAUAACAUGCCCAUCUAUGUCUUAGGCUAAGAUAUCUUUGAUAAUAGCAACACUAGGUUCAGCUCUAAUUUUCUCAGGGGGUGCAAGUGGUCUAAUGUAACCCCUACCUAUCACAGUUGGAGCUUUAGAAUAAUCCUUUUUUCCUAGCAGGGUAAGGUGGUUUCUCAGUGUAGGCACAAGGAACAAUAGGAUCACUAAAGGCAAUGACUUUCUCUUCAACUAAAUUGGGUUUAACUAUGUUGACUUCUAUAGGCGGAUGAUACUUAAACCACUUCUCUUUGGAAAGAUCAACAUGAGCAGCAAAAGAUUCACAUAGAGAAGCUACUAUCUCAGAGUCAAAUCCAUACUUAGCGCUAAAAUCUCUAGAAUUGUUUGUUUCAACAAAAGAUUUAACACAAUCAAACUGGAAAUUCAUACCUGACUCCUUACCUUCUUCAAGCUCCCAAUCUUCAGAGUUACGUUUGAUUCUUUCCAAUAAAUUCCACUUGUGGUCAAUAUCCUUCUUCAUAAAAGAACCGGUACAAGAAGUGUCAAGCAUGGUACGAUCUUCAUGAGAAAGCCAAGCAAAAAAGUUUUGAGUGAUAACUUCUCUCGAGAUCUCAUGAUUGGGGCAUGAAUAUAGCAUUGAUUUAAGCAUCCCCCAAGCUUGAGCUAUGCUCUCCCUGUCAUGAGGCCAAAAGUUAUAAAUAUAAUUCCGAUCACGAUGUACUAAAUGCAUAGGAUAAAACUUUUGAUGAAAUUCCAAUUUCAACCGAUUGUAGUCCCAUGAUCCAGUACCAUCACAUAGCCUAUACCAUGUCAACGCCUUAUCCUUCAAAAAUAAAGGAAAGACUUUCUUCUUUACCUCAUCCUCGGGCAAACCUGCAAGCUUAAAUAAACCACAAACUUCAUCCACAUAGAUUAGAUGCAAGUCUGGAUGUGAUGAUCCAUCUCGUGUAAAAGGAUUAGCCAACAGUUUCUCAAGCAUAACCGAAGGAAUUUCAUAAAAGAUAUUUUCAGUAGGUACCUCAGGUUGAGAACAACUCCUCGUGCUUCCGUUCGUGGUGAAGAUACCCUGAACAAACUCUUCAAAGGAACAGUCUCCAUAGUGACAAGUGAGAAUAAAUUUCAGCACAAUAUAUAAAUGUUUCCUUACCAAAUUCCACUUACCAAAGGUGCUUUCCUCCCCGGCAACGGCGCCAGAAAAGAGUCUUGAUGACCCACAAGUAUAGGGGAUCAAUCAUAGUCCUUUCGGUAAGUAAGAGUGUCGAACCCAACGAGGAGGAGAAGGCUCUGAUAAACGGUUUUCAGCGAGGUAAUAGCUGCAAGCACUGAAAGUAGCGGUAACAAGUGAUGGUGUAGUGAGGUGAAACGUAGCAAGCGAAAAGUAACAAGUAACAAGUAGUAGCUACGGUGCAGCAAGUGGCCCAAUCCCUUUUGUAGAAAGGGACAAGCCUGAACAAAGUCUUAUAAGAGGAAAAACGCUCCCGAGGACACACGGGGAUUUCUGUCAUGCUAGUUUCACCAUGUUCAUAUGAUUCGCGUUCGUUACUUUGAUAGUUUGAUAUGUGGGUGGACCGGCGCUUGGGUACUGCCCUUACUUGGACAAGAAUCCCACUUAUGAUUAACCCCUCUCGCAAGCAUCCGCAACUACGAAAGUAGAAUUAAGACAACGUCUAACCAUAGCAUUAAACUAGUGGAUCCAAAUCAGCCCCUUAUGAAGCAACUCAUAGACUGGGGUUUAAGCUUCUGUCACUCUAGCAACCCAUCAUCUACUUACUACUCCCCAAUGCCUUCCUCUAAGCCCAAAUAUGGUGAAGUGUUAUGUAGUCGACGUUCAUAUAACACCACUACAGGAAAAACAACAUACAACAUAUCAAAAUACUGAACAAAUACCAAAUUCACAUGACUAUUAUUAGCAUGACUUAUCCCAUGUCCUCGGGAACAAAAGUAACUAUUCACAAAGCAUAAUCAUAAUCAUGAUCAGAGGUGUAAUGAAUAGCAUCAAGGAUCUGAACAUAAACUCUUCCACCAAGUAAUCCAACUAGCAUCAACUAGAAAGAGUAAUCAACACUACUAGCAACCUUACAUGUACCAAUCGGAGUCGCGAGACGGAGAUUGGUUACAAGAGAUGAACUAGGGUUUGGAGAGGAGAUGGUGAUGAUGAAGAUGUUGAUGGAGAUGCCUCCCCUCCGAUGAGAAGAGUGUUGGAGAUGACGAAGGCGACAAUUUCCCCCUCCGGGAGGGAAGUUUCCCCGGCAGGAUCGUCCUGCCGGAGCUCUAGAUUGGAUAUGCUCAAGUUCCGCCUCGUGGCGGCGGAGAAUCCACGAAAAAGCUCUAUCCUGAUUUUUUCCGGAUGAAACCCUUCAUAUAGCAAAAGAGGGGGGGCCAGUGGGCCACCAGGGUGCCCACAAGCCCUAUUGUCGCGGCCAACGGGGUAGGCCGCGGCAACCAGGCUUGUGGGCCCUUGGUUGCUCCCCUUUGACACUUCUUUCGCCCAGUAUUUUUUAUAUAUUCCCAAAAAAAUCCACGUUGAUUUUCAGGGCAUUUGGAGUUGCGCAAAAUAGAGGACUCAGACUUGCUCCUUUUCCAGUCCAGAAUUCCAGCUGCCGGUAAUCUCCCUCUUCAAAUAGACCUUGCAAAUUAAGAGAGAAAAGGCAUAAGUAAGGUUCCACAAAGUAUAAUAAAAGUCCAUAAAGCGAUAAAUAUCAACAUGAAAGCAUGAUGCAAAAUGGACAUAUCAUUGCUCAAGUGCUCAAAGUUAGCCACCAAAAUACUCAAUCAUUUUCCCAUCAACCAUUCUGUCCAAUUCCGCAUACUCAAAUUCGGUGCUACCAACUUCCCUAUUUCGGCCCACCGAGUUUGAACUCAGACAGAACCCUAGUCAUUCCCACCAAAUCGGUGCUACCGAGUUCAGGGUGACCAACUUUGUGUUGCCUCGGUACACAAAAUCAGAAUUUCCUAGUUUGUGUAUCUGUGUCACGAGUUGUGUCAUCUGACUGUUAGCCACCUUUUCGAUGCCACCGAGUUGUGUAUAUCGGUCCCAUCGAGAUUCAAAAGUUGCUGCCUUUUGUGCGAGUCGGUACCAUCGAGUUUAUGACUUUGGUGUCACCGAGUUUGCCACUUUAGGUGUAACAGUUGGAUUAUGUGUUCUGCCUAUAUAUACCCCUUCACCCACCUCUCAUUCGUGGAAAAAGCACUCAAAACACACACUUCAUUUCCAGAUCCAUUUUUCUGUGAGAGAACCACCUACUCAUGUGUUGAGACCAAGAUAUUCCAAUCCAAUCAUUUGAAACUUGAUCUCUAGCCUCCCCAAACUGCUUUCCACCAAAUCAAUCUCUCCUAUCCAUGCCUAGUAUGUGAGAGAGUGAUUUUUUGUUGAGGAUACUAUCUUUAAAGCACAAGAGCAAGGAGUUCAUUGAUCUACCACAUCUAUUACCUUUUGGAGGGUGUUGCCUCCUAGAUUGGUUAGGUGUCGCUUGGGAGCCUCCUACUUCGUGUUGUGGAGUUGAACCAAGAUGUUUGUAAGGGCAAGGAGAUCGCCUACUUCGUGAAGAUAUAUCGUGAGUGAGGCUAGUCCUUCGUGGGCGGAAGACUUGGUGAAUAGACAAGGCCGCUUCUUCGUGGACCCUUUGUGGGUGGAGCCCUUCGUGGACUCUCACAGUCGUUACCCUCCGUGGGUUGAAGUCUCCACUAAUAUGGGCGUACGAUAGCGCCACCUAUUGGAACCAUGCCAAAAAUCCCCUUGUCAACCUCAUGCGUUUGAUCUCCCUACCUUACUCCUUUACCUUACACUUGCAUGUUUUACAUUUCGCUGCUACACUCUUAGAACUGCAUGCGUACGGUGUACUUGACUUGCUAUAACUGCCAAGACUGCCCCUCAACUAAAACUAAAAUUGGGAAAAGGCAAAAAAAUUAUCUUGUCAAGUAGUUUAAUCACACCCCCUCUAGACAUACUUUCGAUCCUACAACAACGCAUGUUUCAUGAGGACCUGAUUUCUUUUUGUGUUAUUGGCAAGAUAUGUGCAUUGACUCUCCCAAGAACUCCAUGAGGCUGGUGGCCAAGUUGUUCAAUUUCUCAACACCGUUCAUUUUUGUCAUUGCCCGCCAUCGCGUACACUCAGAAGAGAAGGGUGUUUGUCCUGAAUUUCCUACUCUAGAUAACUUCUACUCAUAUAAUUGAUCUCUAAUAUCCUGUCCAAAACAUUAGAGUUGUCUCGACAACUUUUUAAGCCAGAUUUGUGGGAAGUGGAAUGCAUGUGUAACCAAACUGGACUGGACGUUUUCCAUGAAUGCUUAUAAAAAUCGUCCUUAAACAAGGCACUAGAAAAUCAUGGAUAGCUGAUCUAUUCAGGGUGUGUCCCCCUUUGGCUAUAAUAUAUAGUAGGGAGUGCUCAAAAUAAAAAGUGAGAUCAGAGCUGGUACAAAAAAUAAACCAAGAUAGUCUUGUUUUAUCUACGAAUGACUUGUUAUGGCAUAUUGUUCAACGUGAUUCCGACUCUAGAAUGUCUAUAUUAGACAUUUGAUGAGUCAACUAGAAACUUCAUAGGUUUUUAGUAUAUCUUCAAUUAUGUUGUCAUGGGUUGUGCUCAUGUAUUAUUUUGAAAAUAAAACCAUCCAUGAACUAGUUGUGUUUACUUCUAUUUUAACUCAUACUGACACAUAUCUCAAUAGUAUACAUAUGAAAUUACUUGCGAGCGUCUCAUGUGCAAGAAAUGUAAUACUAUACAAAGAUGUGAUCAGGACCAACAAAAAUUUGAUAAGAUGCCGAAAUCAAAUUUCUCGCAAGGGCAUUCUUUCAAUGGAUCUCUAUCUUAUAGAUCAUUAAUCCUUUGCAACAAUUUGAUAAGAUGUUGAAAUCAAAGGUGCAUGAGGACUAACAAGGAAAAAUGACUUCAUAAUCAAAAAAAGAUUUAUGUCAUCAAAUGAUUCCUGGAAGAAACAACUUUUUUAAGGGGUAAGCGUUUCAUGAUAUUUACCAACCUUCUGGUAUGUGUAUGUCAAAUGAAAAUAAAAUAGUAAAUCACCUCCUUGUCAGCAAGAAGUUUAUUGCUGAGAACAUUUGGCGACUGAUUUAUAACAUUGGAAGUCAUGGCACUCUAACCAUGUUGUGAACAAUGCAACAUUUUUCUUACUAUUUUUAUGUAUAAAUAUUCUGUCAGAAAGAAUUGUGCAACUAUCCCUAUAUAUUAUAACUCUUGGAUGCAAAGUUUUGCACGAUGUUUUUUGUUAGGAUGUAUUAAUACUUUGAUGAAAAUUUACGUGUUGAUUUUUUCUUUGCAUCUCAGAUUUGUUAGCUAAAGAUAUAGUGCCUUGUAUCAUGCAUUCCCAUUUCGGUAUUUGAUUGUGACAUUUCUCUUACUAUUUUUAUGUAUUUUUGCCAUGCUAAUAGGUUAGUUUAACUUGUUGUUAGAGAUUGCAUCUUUUAUAUUUCUAUGUAUGUUUCUAUGUAUACUUUAACUUCUUGUUACAAAUUGCAUUUUUAUAUUUCUAUGUAUGUUUAUUUUAACUAACAAACCAAUCUACUAAUAUAUUGGUAACUAUAACCGCUUAACAUUCUUUUGGGACAUUGAAUCAUAUUCACCUAUUCAGUUGUCAUGAUCCAUUACAGGAAUCACCUUUUAAGCAAUCUGUUCAUUGUGCAUUUUUGGUGAGGUUUGCAUGCGAGCCGUGGGAGGAGCACAUGAGAGGCGAAGGAACCAGCGACAAUGAUUCCGGCCAUGCCGCCUACUAGCGUCCGUGGCGUGAUCCGACCGUGCCACCUGAUGUCGGCUUCUUGAUCGUGCUACUGCACCAAGACUUACCCGUUUUGUAUCCCCUUUCGCUUGCCACAGGACUCUCACGGUCAGGCCAAGAAAGAGGGCGAUAGAGACAACAUCUUUGUAGGAAUGAACUUCCAUGGAGGAAUCAGAGCGACCAAGGCCGAGCCCGCGGAUGAGCCCUCUUGCUGGGUGCGGUGAUGAGGUUCGGGGGCUCAUCCGCGUCGUUGGUAGCAAGGAUGGAGGAGGUGGCGGGGCUCACCCUCGGUCGUCCGACAAUCACUUAGUAUACUUAUAUGUCUCUUUUGUCUGUUUCUAAGAAUCUUAUAUUAUUCUAUAACCAUUUAUAAAUCUGCGAGAACAAGUCAUGGGAGCUUAAUUAUGUUAAGCACCAAUAUUUUACCCUCAUCAAAUCAUCCUAUCGUCACUUGUUGAAUUAUUUUUCUUAUUUCUUCAACCAGCAACUUGCACCUGACUGUGCUAUUGCAUAUGAUGUAUCACAAAAGUCACAAAGAAGCGGGAGAAAAGAGCGGAGUCUACCUGACACCGCAGCGGCAUGGCUCAGGCGAUGCAGCAAGACUGCGCCCCAACAGCUAGUAUAGACUAUUUGAAUAGUCAAUGCUGCUUAUGUGGAUAGGUUGACUAGUCAACUGACAGAAUAGAGAGCUAUACAGCGAACAAGCGACCGUAUAAUCACCUUAACACGUAUACAAUGACCGUAAUAACUGCAUGCUAAACUUUAAUGAUAUGGUAUACUUUUUUUGAACCGGGUGAGCCCCUUUCCAUUACUCAACAUAACAAAAAUACAAAAUGUUGAUCACCCAAGGAAACAGGAAAGGGGAGCUGGCUUAAAGCAUAUUUGGGAAACCCACCAUAGGCACUCGUCAUCGAGAAGCCUACCAUGGGGCGAAAACCCAAAAACACCAUAUAGAAUCGACUAGCCUAACCUCAAACAUCAAGGAGAAAACAACCCAACCGCUGACAAGUAUAAGAAAAUCGAGGGAAACGCGAAACAGACUCACAACCGAGUCAUCAGCUUAAUGCCCACGCAUGAGCAGAUUGCAAAAGGGACUAAAAACAAGGAGCACACGCGUGAAACGUCCAUGGCUUUGAUGGCUUCAGUUGGUGUUAUUUGGUUCCACGUAAGUCCGCAUCAUGCUUGAGGCAUUGCUCUUCAACAUCUUUGCUCCACAUUCCAUCGCCUCCCGAGCAUCUCCAGUUAGCAGACCUGCCCACAUCAAAAACGGAACUCGGCUUCUUGUCUUCAAAAGUGAUGGAGUUGCGACAAUUCCAAAUUGCCCAACAAACAGUAGCCAAGCCAACAAUGUAAAAUUUGGCACCGUCACAGAGAAACAUAUAACACCACUAGAAAUAUUGCCAAAUAUUAUUCGGGCCCAGGCUAGUAGCAAAAACACAACCUACUGUUCUCCAAACAACCCUGGCCGCACGACAAGUAAAGCAGAGGUGUUGAUAUGUCUCUCAUUCAUUACAGAAUGAACAUCUAGGAUUGCUAGCCCACUUCUUUCUUUUCAUCACAUCUCUAGUAAGGAUAGCAUCCUGGAAGAGUUGCCAUAGAAAGAUCUGAAUUUUAAGAGGGAUUUUGGAACUCCACAUCCAUCGAUAGUCACAUCCCGCAAUAUUUCUCUCUAAAUAUUCAUAGUCAGACUUGGUUGAGAACACUUUUUUCUUCCCAGGGGUCCAUACAAUCUGGUCCGGGGUAUCAGAGGUUUGUCCAGCUCUCCACCAUGUUUUAAAGAUCCCCCCACCGACCCACGAGAUGAUGGUGAAGUUGUCUCCUGAAGAAAGUAUCAUCAACACCAUUUCUAAACUGCGCCACCAUAAUCACCAAAUGAUUACAUAUGUUGAACAAGUUUGCAUAUGUGUUAUUCAGCGAUGGAUUGCCGCAAAUAGGAUCAAACCAGAGUUUGGCAAUGUUGCCAGAAUUUAAAAUGACUCCUCUACCAGCCAUGUAGUAUUCUUUCACCUUCAUAAUGACCUUCCAAAUCGGUGAAUCAGCGAAUUUACUUUUCGCCAAGGCGACAUCAUCUUUUCUAAAAUAUUUAGCUUUUAUUAUAUACUGCCACAAACCAUUCUGAGUUUCCAGCUUCCACCACCAUUUGGUGAGAAGGCUGAUACUUUUUUAUGAAGAUCUUUCACCCCAAGCCUCCGUUUUCUUGGAUCUACAAAUAUGGUUCUUUCACCAGAUGAUAUCUCUUGCGUCCUUCAUGUUCUUGCCAACAGAAUUUUCUGCGAUGCAUGUCCUGUUGGAAAUAUGCCCUAGAGGCAAUAAUAAAGUGGUUAUUAUUAUAUUUCAUUGUUCAUGAUAAUUGUCUAUUAUUCAUGCUAUAAUUGUAUUAACUGGAACCGUAAUACAUGUGUGAAUACAUAGACCACAACAUGUCCCUAGCGAGCCUCUAGUUGGCUAGCUCGUUGAUCAAUAGAUGGUCAUGGUUUCCUCAUCAUGGACAUUGGAUGUUAUUGAUAACGGGAUCACAUAAUUCAGGGAAUGACGUGAUGGACAAGACCCAAUCCUAAACAUAGCACAAGAUCAUGUAGUUCGUGUGCUAGAGUUUUUCUAAUGUCAAGUAUCGUUUCCUUAGGCCAUGAGAUUGUGCAACCCACUGAUACCGUAGGACUGCUUUGGGUGUAUCAAACCUCACAACGUAACUGUGUGAUUAUAAAGGUUCACUACAGGUAUCUACGAAAGUGUCUGUUGGGUUGGUACGAAUCGAGACUGGGAUUUGUUGUUCCGUGUGACGGAGAGGUAUCUCUAGGCCCACACAGCAAUGCAUCAUCAUAUUGAGCUCAAUGUGACUAAGGAGUUAGCCAUGGGUGAUGUGUUACGGAACGAGUAAAGAGACUUGCCGGUGACGAGAUUGAACAAGGCAUAGGGAUACCGACGAUCGAAUCUCGGGCAAGUAUCAUACCGGUAGACAAAGGGAAUUGCAUACGGGAUUGAUUGAAUCACCGACAUCGUGUUUCAUCCAAUGAGAUCAUCGUGGAACAUGUGGGAGCCAACAUAGGUAUCCAGAUCCCGUUGUGGGUUAUUGAUAGGAGAGGUGUCUCUGUCAUGUCUGCAUGGUUCCCGAACUCGUAGGGUCUACACACUUAAGCUUCAAUGACGCUAGAGUUGUAAUGGGAAUAGUAUGUGGUUACCGAAGGUUGUUCGAAGUCCCGGAUGUCACGAGGAGUUUCAGAAUGGUCCGGAGUUAAAGAUUCAUAUAUAGGAAGUGGAGAUUUAGUCGCCGGAAAUGUUUCGGGGAUCAUCGGUAUUGUAUCGAGACCACCAGAAGGGUUCCACGGGUCCACGGGGAGGGGCCACCGGCCUCGAAGGGCCAUGUGGGACAAAAGUGGAUGGGAACCAUCCCCUAGAUGGGCUCGUGCGCCACCCACCAAGGCCCAAGGCGCCUAAGGAAGCAAACCCUAGGGCGUGGUGGCUGCCUUGGGUGCAAGCCACCCCUAGGGCGGAGCCCCCUCCCCCUCUUGGGCUGCCGCCCCUCCAUCUAGGGUGCGCCGCCCCUCCUAGGGUUUUCCUAGGGUGGCCGGCCAGCCCUCCCCCUCCUCCUAUAUAUAUCCCAAGGGUUUGGAGCUGCAAACACACAAGUUUUCUCUCUCUCUUUGCAGCCCUGCUCUUCCUCCUCCUCCGUAGCGCUUGGCGAAGCCCUGCCGGAGUACCACGUAGCUCCACCGUCACCAGGCCGUCGUGCUGCCGGAGCUCCCCUUGAACUUCUUGUUGGAAUUAUGCCCUAGAGGCAAUAAUAAAUGUAUAGUUAUUAUUAUAAUUCCUGUAUCAAGAUAAUAGUUUAUUAUCCAUGCUAUAAUUGUAUUGAAUGAAGACUCAUUUACAUGUGUGGAUACAUAGACAAAACACCGUCCCUGGCAUGCCUCUAGUUGGCUAGCCAGUUGAUCGAUGAUAGUCAGUGUCUUCUGAUUAUGAACAAGGUGUUGUUGCUUGAUAACUGGAUCACGUCAUUGGGAGAAUCACGUGAUGGACUAGACCCAAACUAAUAGACGUAGCAUGUUGAUCGUGUCAUUUUGUUGCUACUGUUUUCUGCGUGUCAAGUGUUUAUUCCUAUGACCAUGAGAUCAUAUAACUCACUGACACCGGAGGAAUGCUUUGUGUGUAUCAAACGUCGCAACGUAACUGGGUGACUAUAAAGAUGCUCUACAGGUAUCUCCGAAGGUGUUAGUUGAGUUAGUAUGGAUCAAGACUGGGAUUUGUCACUCCGUGUGACGGAGAGGUAUCUCGGGGCCCACUCGGUAAUACAACAUCACACAUAAGCCUUGCAAGCAAUGUAACUUAGUGUAAGUUGCGGGAUCUUGUAUUACGGAACGAGUAAAGAGACUUGCCGGUAAACGAGAUUGAAAUAGGUAUGCGGAUACUGACGAUCGAAUCUCGGGCAAGUAACAUACCGAAGGACAAAGGGAAUGACAUACGGGAUUAUACGAAUCCUUGGCACUGAGGUUCAAACGAUAAGAUCUUCGUAGAAUAUGUAGGAUCCAAUAUGGGCAUCCAGGUCCCGCUAUUGGAUAUUGACCGAGGAGUCUCUCGGGUCAUGUCUACAUAGUUCUCGAACCCGCAGGGUCUGCACACUUAAGGUUCGACGUUGUUUUAUGCGUAUUUGAGUUAUAUGGUUGGUUACCGAAUGUUGUUCGGAGUCCCGGAUGAGAUCACGGACGUCACGAGGGUUUCCGGAAUGGUCCGGAAACGAAGAUUGAUAUAUAGGAUGACCUCAUUUGAUUACCGGAAGGUUUUCGGAGUUACCGGGAAUGUACCGGGAAUGACGAAUGGGUUCCGGGGGUUCACCGGAGGGGGGCAACCCACUCCGGGGAAGCCCAUAGGUAUUUGGGGGGGUCACACCAGCCCUUAGUGGGCUGGUGGGACAGCCCACCAAAUCCUAUGCGCCAAGGAAGAGAAAAUAUCAAAGGAAAGGAAAAAAAAGGGAGAGGUGGGAAAGGGGAAGGACUCCCUCCCACCAAACCAAGUAGGACUCGGUUUGGGGGGGGGAGUCCUCCCCCCUGGCUCGGCCGACCCCUUGGGGUUCCCUUGGACCCCAAGGCAAGGUCCCCCUCCCUCCUCCUAUAUAUAUGGGGCUUUUAGGGCAGAUUUGAGACGACUUUCUCACGGCUGCCCGACCACAUACCUCCAUAGUUUUUCCUCUAGAUCGUGUUUCUGCGGAGCUCGGGCGGAGCCCUGCUGAGGCAAGAUCAUCACCAACCUCCGGAGCGCCGUCACGCUGCCGGAGAACUCUUCUACCUCUCCGUCUCUCUUGCUGGAUCAAGAAGGCCGAGAUCAUCGUCGAGCUGUACGUGCGCUGAACGCGGAGGUGCCGUCCGUUCGGUACUAGACCGUGAGACUGAUCGCGGGAUUGUUGGCGGGGCGGAUCGAGGGACGUGAGGACGUUCCACUACAUCAACCGCGUUCUCUAAUGCUUCUGCUGUACGGUCUACAAGGGUACGUAGAUCACUCAUCCCCUCUCGUAGAUGGACAUCACCAUGAUAGGUCUUCGUGCGCGUAGGAAAAUUUUUGUUUCCCAUGCGACGUUCCCCAACAGUGGCAUCAUGAGCUAGGUUCAUGCGUAGAUGUCUUCUCGAGUAGAACACAAAAGGUUUUGUGGGCGGUGAUGUGCGUUUUGCUGCCCUCCUUAGUCUUUUCUUGAUUCCGCGGUAUUGUUGGAUCGAAGCGGCUUGGACCGACAUUACUCGUACGAUUACGAGAGACUGGUUUCAUCGUUACGAGUAACCCCCUUUGCUCAAAGAUGACUGGCAAGUGACGGUUUCUCCAACUUUAGUUGAAUCGGAUUUGACGGAGGAGGUCCUUGGAUGAGGUUAAAUAGCAACUCAUAUAUCUCCGUUGUGGUGUUUGCGUAAGUAAGAUGCGAUCCUACUAGAUACCCUUGGUCACCACGUAAAACAUGCAAGAACAAAAUUAGAGGACGUCUAACUUGUUUUUGCAGGGUAUGAUUGUGAUGUGAUAUGGCCAAUGAUGUGAUGUGAUAUAUUGGAUGUAUGAGAUGAUCAUGUUGUAAUAGAAAUAUCGACUUGCACGUCGAUGGUACGACAACCGGCAGGAGCCAUAGGGUUGUCUUUAUACUAACAUAUGUGCUUGCAGAUGCGUUUACUAUUUUGCUAGGAUGUAGCUUUAGUAGUGAUAGCAUAAGUAGCACGACAGCCCCGAUGGCGACACGUUGAUGGAGAUCAUGAUGAUGGAGAUCAUGGUGUGGCGCCGGUGACAAGAAGAUCGUGCCGGUGCUUUGGUGAUGGAGAUCAAGAAGCACGUGAUGAUGGCCAUAUCAUGUCACUUAUGAAUUGCAUGUGAUGUUAAUCCUUUUAUGCACCUUAUUUUGCUUAGAACGACGGUAGCAUUAUGAGGUGAUCUCUCGCUAAAAUUUCAAGACGAAAUUGUGUUCUCCCCGACUGUGCACCGUUGCUACAGUUCGUCGUUUCGAGACACCACGUGAUGAUCGGGUGUGAUAGACUCAACGUUCACAUACAACGGGUGCAAAACAGUUGCGCACGCGGAACACUCGGGUUAAGCUUGACGAGCCUAGCAUGUGCAGACAUGGCCUCGGAACACAUGAGACCGAAAGGUCGAUCAUGAAUCAUAUAGUUGAUGUGAUUAGCAUAGGGAUGCUUACCACUGAAACUACUCUCGACUCACGUGAUGAUCGGACUUGGGAUAGUGUAAGUGGAUCAUGAACCACUCAAAUGACUAGAGAGAUGUACUUUUUGAGUGGGAGUUUAGCAUAUAAUUUGAUUAAAUUGAACUCUAAUUAUCUUGAACAUAGUCUAAGUCCACUUUGAAUAUAUUUGUGUUGUAGAUCAUGGCUCACGCAAGUGUCAUCCUCAAUUUUAAUACGUUCCUAGAGAAAGCUAAGUUGAAAGAUGAUGGAAGCAACUUUGUAGACUGGGCUCGUAAUCUUAAGCUAAUCUUACAAGCUGGAAAGAAGGAUUAUGUCCUUAAUGCUGCGCUAGGAGAUGAACCACCCGCUACGGCUGAUCAGGAUGUUAAGAACGCUUGGCUAGCACGUAAGGAGGACUACUCAAUAGUUCAAUGUGCAGUCUUGUAUGGCUUAGAGCCGGGACUUCAACGUCGCUUUGAGCGUCAUGGAGCAUUUGAGAUGUUCCAGGAGUUGAAGUUUAUCUUUCAGAAGAACACCCGGAUCGAGAGGUAUGAGACCUCCGAUAAAUUCUAUGCUUGCAAGAUGGAGGAAAGCUCGUCUGUCAGUGAACAUGUGCUCAAGAUGUCUGGGUACUCAAACCGUCUAGCUGAACUAGGGAUUGAACUCCCGCAAGAAGCUAUCACUGACAGAAUCCUCCAAUCACUGCCGCCAAGCUAUAAAAGCUUUGUGUUGAACUACAACAUGCAAGGGAUGAACAAGUCUCCCGGCGAGUUGUUUGCGAUGCUGAAAGUCGCAGAGUCUGAACUCCGUAAAGAGCAUCAAGUGUUGAUGGUGAGCAAGACCACUAGUUUCAAGAGAAACGGCAAAGGCAAGAAGGGCAAUUCGAAGAAGAGCGGCAAGCCUGUUGCCAAUCCGCCGAAGAAACCCAAGGCUGGACCUAAGCCUGAAACAGAGUGCUUCUAUUGCAAGGGUAUGGGUCACUGGAAGCGCAAUUGCCCCAAGUAUCUGGCAGAUAAGAAGGCGGGCAAAGAAAAAUCAGGUAUAUUUGAUAUACAUGUUAUUGAUGUGUACUUAACCGGCUCUCGUAGUAGUGCCUGGGUAUUCGAUACCGGUUCUGUUGCUCACAUUUGCAACUCGAAACAGGAACUGCGGAAUAGACGGAGGCUGGCGAAAAACGAAGUGACGAUGCGCGUAGGAAACGGUUCCAAGGUUGAUGCAAUCGCCGUCGGCACCGUGUCACUUCAACUACCGUCGGGAUUAGUGAUGAACUUAAAUCAUUGUUAUUUAGUGUCUGCGUUGAGCAUGAACAUUAUAUCUGGAUCUUGUUUAUUGCGAGACGGUUACUCUUUUAAGUCUGAGAAUAAUGGUUGUUCUAUUUCUAUGAGUAACAUCUUUUAUGGUCAUGCACCGAAUGUGAGAGGAUUGUUCAUAUUGAAUCUUGAUAGAGAUACGCAUAUACAUAACAUUGAGACCAAAAGAGUUAGAGUAAACAAUGAUAGCACCAUAUUUUUGUGGCACUGCCGCUUAGGUCAUAUUGGUGUAAAGCGCAUGAAGAAACUCCAUGCUGAUGGACUUUUGGAGUCACUUGACUUUGAUUCACUUGACACGUGCGAACCAUGCCUCAUGGGCAAGAUGACUAAGACUCCGUUCUCCGGAACAAUGGAGCGUGCAAGUGACUUGUUGGAAAUCAUACAUACCGAUGUGUGUGGUCCAAUGAGCGUGGAGGCACGCGGCGGAUAUCGUUAUUUUCUCACCUUCACUGACGAUCUAAGUAGAUAUGGUUAUGUCUACUUGAUGAAGCACAAGUCUGAAACAUUUGAAAAGUUCAAGCAAUUUCAGAGUGAAGUGGAAAAUCAUCGUAACAAGAAGAUCAAGUUCCAACGGUCUGAUCGUGGGGGUGAGUAUCUGAGUUUCGAGUUUGGUACUCACUUAAGACAAUGUGGAAUUUUUUCGCAGUUAACACCGCCUGGAACACCACAGCGUAAUGGUGUGUCCGAACGUCGUAAUCGUACUUUAUUAGAAAUGGUGCGAUCUAUGAUGUCUCUUACUGAUUUGCCGUUAUCGUUUUGGGGUUAUGCAUUAGAAACAGCUGCAUUCACUUUAAAUAGGGCACCAUCGAAAUCCGUUGAGACGACACCAUACGAACUAUGGUGUGGCAAAAGGCCAAAGUUGUCGUUUCUUAAAGUUUGGGGAUGUGAUGCUUAUGUCAAAAAGCUUCAGCCUGAAAAGUUGGAACCCAAAGCGGAAAAAUGCGUCUUCAUAGGUUACCCAAAAGAGACAGUUGGGUACACCUUCUAUCUCAAAUCCGAGGGCAAAGUGUUUGUUGCUAAGAACGGAACUUUUCUCGAGAAGGAGUUUCUCUCUCGAGAGUUGAGUGGGAGGAAGAUAGAACUUGACGAGGUUGUCGAACCUCUCAUCCCUCUGGAUGGUGGCGCAGGGCAAGGGGAAACCUCUGUCAUUGCGACGCCGGUUGAGGAGGAAGUUAAUGAUGAUGAUCAUGAAACUCCAGUUCAAGUUUUUGUUGAACCACGCAGGUCGACGAGAUCACGCGCUGCUACAGAGUGGUACGGUAAUCCCGUCUUAUCAAUCAUGUUGUUAGACAACAAUGAACCUGCAAAUUAUGAAGAAGCAAUGGUGGGCCCAGAUUCCAACAAAUGGCUAGAAGCCAUGAAAUCCGAGAUAGGAUCCAUGUAUGAGAACAAAGUGUGGACUUUGGAGAUACUGCCUGAGGGCCGCAAGGCUAUUCAGAACAAAUGGAUUUUUAAGAAGAAGACGGACGCUGACGGUAAUGUGACCGUUUAUAAAGCUCGACUUGUGGCAAAGGGUUUUUCACAAGUUCCAGGAAUUGACUACGAUGAGACUUUCUCUCCCGUAGCGAUGCUUAAGUCCGUCAGAAUCAUGUUAGCAAUAACUGCAUUUUUCGAUUAUGAGAUCUGGCAGAUGGAUGUCAAAACGGCGUUCCUUAACGGUUUCCUUAAGGAAGAGUUGUAUAUGAUGCAACCCGAAGGUUUUGUCGAUCCUAAAAAUGCUGACAAAGUGUGCAAACUCCAGCGAUCCAUUUAUGGACUGGUGCAAGCAUCUCGGAGUUGGAACAAGCGCUUUGAUGAGGUGAUCAAAGCAUUUGGGUUUAUACAAGUGGUUGGAGAAUCUUGUAUUUACAAGAAAGUGAGUGGGAGCUCUGUGGCGUUUCUAAUAUUAUAUGUGGAUGACAUAUUACUGAUUGGAAACAACGUAGAGCUUUUGGAGAGCAUAAAAGGUUACUUGAAUAAAAGUUUCUCUAUGAAGGACCUAGGAGAAGCUGCUUACAUUCUAGGCAUUAAGAUCUAUAGGGAUAGAUCAAAACGCCUGAUAGGACUUUCACAAAGCACAUACCUUGAUAAAGUUUUGAAGAGGUUCAAAAUGGAACAGUCCAAGAAAGGGUUCUUGCCAGUGUUACAAGGUACGAGAUUGAGUAAGACUCAGUGCCCAGCAACUGAUGAAGAUAGAGAGCAUAUGCGCUCCGUCCCUUAUGCUUCAGCCAUAGGUUCUAUCAUGUAUGCGAUGCUGUGCACUAGACCGGAUGUUAGCCUGGCCAUAAGUAUGGCAGGUAGGUUCCAGAGUAAUCCAGGAGUGGAUCACUGGACGGCGGUCAAGAAUAUCCUGAAGUACCUGAAAAGGACUAAGGAGAUGUUUCUCGUGUAUGGAGGUGACGAAGAGCUCGCCGUAAAAGGUUACGUCGAUGCAAGCUUUGACACAGAUCCGGACGACUCUAAGUCGCAAACCGGAUACGUAUUUAUUCUUAAUGGGGGUGCAGUAAGCUGGUGCAGUUCCAAGCAAAGCGUCGUAGCAGAUUCUACAUGUGAAGCAGAGUACAUGGCUGCCUCGGAGGCGGCUAAGGAGGGUGUCUGGAUGAAGCAGUUCAUGACGGAUCUUGGAGUGGUGCCAAGUGCACUGGAUCCAAUAACCUUGUUCUGUGACAACACUGGUGCCAUUGCCUUAGCAAAGGAACCAAGGUUUCACAAGAAGACCAGACACAUCAAACGACGCUUCAACCUCAUCCGCGACUACGUCGAGGAGGAGGACGUAAAUAUAUGCAAAGUGCACACGGAUCUGAACGUAGCAGACCCGCUGACUAAACCUCUUCCACGGCCAAAACAUGAUCGACACCAGAACUGUAUGGGUGUUAGAUUUAUUACAAUGUAAUUCACAUGGUGAUGUGAGGGCUAGAUAAUUGACUCUAGUGCAAGUGGGAGACUGUUGGAAUUAUGCCCUAGAGGCAAUAAUAAAUGUAUAGUUAUUAUUAUAAUUCCUGUAUCAAGAUAAUAGUUUAUUAUCCAUGCUAUAAUUGUAUUGAAUGAAGACUCAUUUACAUGUGUGGAUACAUAGACAAAACACCGUCCCUGGCAUGCCUCUAGUUGGCUAGCCAGUUGAUCGAUGAUAGUCAGUGUCUUCUGAUUAUGAACAAGGUGUUGUUGCUUGAUAACUGGAUCACGUCAUUGGGAGAAUCACGUGAUGGACUAGACCCAAACUAAUAGACGUAGCAUGUUGAUCGUGUCAUUUUGUUGCUACUGUUUUCUGCGUGUCAAGUGUUUAUUCCUAUGACCAUGAGAUCAUAUAACUCACUGACACCGGAGGAAUGCUUUGUGUGUAUCAAACGUCGCAACGUAACUGGGUGACUAUAAAGAUGCUCUACAGGUAUCUCCGAAGGUGUUAGUUGAGUUAGUAUGGAUCAAGACUGGGAUUUGUCACUCCGUGUGACGGAGAGGUAUCUCGGGGCCCACUCGGUAAUACAACAUCACACAUAAGCCUUGCAAGCAAUGUAACUUAGUGUAAGUUGCGGGAUCUUGUAUUACGGAACGAGUAAAGAGACUUGCCGGUAAACGAGAUUGAAAUAGGUAUGCGGAUACUGACGAUCGAAUCUCGGGCAAGUAACAUACCGAAGGACAAAGGGAAUGACAUACGGGAUUAUACGAAUCCUUGGCACUGAGGUUCAAACGAUAAGAUCUUCGUAGAAUAUGUAGGAUCCAAUAUGGGCAUCCAGGUCCCGCUAUUGGAUAUUGACCGAGGAGUCUCUCGGGUCAUGUCUACAUAGUUCUCGAACCCGCAGGGUCUGCACACUUAAGGUUCGACGUUGUUUUAUGCGUAUUUGAGUUAUAUGGUUGGUUACCGAAUGUUGUUCGGAGUCCCGGAUGAGAUCACGGACGUCACGAGGGUUUCCGGAAUGGUCCGGAAACGAAGAUUGAUAUAUAGGAUGACCUCAUUUGAUUACCGGAAGGUUUUCGGAGUUACCGGGAAUGUACCGGGAAUGACGAAUGGGUUCCGGGGGUUCACCGGAGGGGGGCAACCCACUCCGGGGAAGCCCAUAGGUAUUUGGGGGGGUCACACCAGCCCUUAGUGGGCUGGUGGGACAGCCCACCAAAUCCUAUGCGCCAAGGAAGAGAAAAUAUCAAAGGAAAGGAAAAAAAAGGGAGAGGUGGGAAAGGGGAAGGACUCCCUCCCACCAAACCAAGUAGGACUCGGUUUGGGGGGGGGAGUCCUCCCCCCUGGCUCGGCCGACCCCUUGGGGUUCCCUUGGACCCCAAGGCAAGGUCCCCCUCCCUCCUCCUAUAUAUAUGGGGCUUUUAGGGCAGAUUUGAGACGACUUUCUCACGGCUGCCCGACCACAUACCUCCAUAGUUUUUCCUCUAGAUCGUGUUUCUGCGGAGCUCGGGCGGAGCCCUGCUGAGGCAAGAUCAUCACCAACCUCCGGAGAGCCGUCACGCUGCCGGAGAACUCUUCUACCUCUCCGUCUCUCUUGCUGGAUCAAGAAGGCCGAGAUCAUCGUCGAGCUGUACGUGUGCUGAACGCGGAGGUGCCGUCCGUUCGGUACUAGAUCGUGAGACUGAUCGCGGGAUUGUUGGCGGGGCGGAUCGAGGGACGUGAGGACGUUCCACUACAUCAACCGCGAUCUCUAAUCGCUUCUGCUGUACGAUCUACAAGGGUACGUAGAUCACUCAUCCCCUCUCGUAGAUGGACAUCACCAUGAUAGGUCUUCGUGCGCGUAGGAAAAUUUUUGUUUCCCAUGCGACGUUCCCCAACACUUCUCCUCUCUCCUUGCUGGGUCAAGGUGAAGGAGACGUUACCGGGCUGCACGUGUGUUGAACGCGGAGGUGUCGUUGUUCGGCGCUUAGAUCGGAAUCUUCUGUGAUCUGAAUUGCUAUGAGUACGACUCCAUCAACUGCAUUCAUAGUAACGCUUCUGCUUAGCAAUCUUCAAAGGUACGAAGGUGAUCUACCCCUUGCUCGUUGGUAGCAUCUCCUAGAUAGAUCUUGGUGUGUCAUAGGAAUUGUUUUGUAUUACUUCUAUGUUCCCUAACAGUGGUAUCAGAGUCGGGUUCUAUGCGUAGAUUCUAUGCACGAGUAGAACACACAAGUUGCGGGCGAUGAUUUUGUCAAUUGCUUGCCGUUACUAAUCCAAUCUUUUUUCGGCGGUAUUGUGGGAUGAAACAGCCGAGACCGACUUUACACGUACGCUUACGUGAGACUGGUUCCACCGCCUCACAUGCACUUGUUGCAUAAGGUGGCUAGCGGGUGUUUGUGUUGGAAAUAUGCCCUAGAGGCAAUUAUAAAAUGGUUAUUAUCAUAUUUCCUUGUUCAUGAUAAUCGUCUAUUGUUCAUGCUAUAAUUGUAUUAACAGGAAACAGUAAUACAUGUGUGAAUAAAUAGAUCACAAUGUGUCCCUAGCAAGCCUCUAGUUGGCUAGCUCGUUAGUCAAUAGAUGAUCAUGGUUUCCUGGUCACGGGCAUUAGAUGUCAUUGAUAACGGGAUCACAUCAUUGGGAGAAUGAUGUGAUGGACAAGACCCAAUCCUAAGCAUAGCACUAGAUCGUAUUGUUCGUAUGCUAAAGCUUUUCUAAUGUCAAGUGUCUUUUCCUUCGAACGUGAGAUUGCGCAACUCCUGGAUACCGUAGGAGUGCUUUGGGUGUAUCAAACGUCACAACGUAACUGGGUGACUAUAAAGGUGCACUAUGGGUAUCUCUGAAAGUGUCUGUUGGGUUGGUACGAAUCGAGAUCGGGAUUUGUCACUGCGUGUGACGGAGAGGUAUCUCUGGGCCCACUCGGUAGAACAUCAUCAUGAGCUCAAUGUGACUAAGGAGUUAGUCACACGAUGACGUGCUACGGAAGAGUAAAGAGACUUACCGGUAACGAGAUUGAACAAGGUAUAGGUAUACCGACGAUCGAAUCUCGGGCAAGUUCUAUACCGACAGACAAAGGGAAUCGUAUACGGGAUUUAUUGAAUCCUUGACAUCGUGGUUCAUCCGACGAGAUUAUCAUGGAGUAAGUGGGAGCCACCAUGGGUGUCCAGACCCCACUGAUGGUUAUUGGCCGGAGAGGUGUCUCGGUCAUGUCUGCCUGUCUCCCGAACCCGUAGGGUCUACACACUUAAGGUUCGAUGACGCUAGGGUUAUAGGAAAUUGUUAGAAAAGGUUACCAAAAGUUGUUCGGAGUCCCGGAUGAGAUACCGGAUGUCACGAGGAGCUCCGUAAUGGUCUGGAGGUAAAUAUUGAUAUAUAGGAGGGGCUGGUUUCGGACACCGGAAGUGUUUCGAGCGUCACCGGUAACGUAUCGGGACCACCGGAGGUGGCCCCGGGGGUCCACUGAAGGGGGGCAAUGACCCCGGGAGGCUAGAUGGGCUAAGUGGGGAAGGGAACCAGCCCCUAGGUGGGCUGGUGUGCCCCCCACCCAGCCCAUGUGCACCAGAUAAAGGGGAGAGGGGGAACCCUAGGCGCAGGGGAGGCCCAAGGCCCACCUAGGGCGCCCCCCCUUCCCUGCCCUGGCCGCCGCCCCCUCCCAUCUGGUGGUUGCCGCACCACCUAGGGGGAACCCUAGGGGUGGCACACCCCUCCCCCUCCUCCUAUAAAUAGAGAGGGUUUUUGGCCCUUGGGAGACAAACUUCUCCCUCUCCCUCGGCGCAGCCGUGCCCUUAUUCCUCCUCCUCUCUUCCGGUGCUUGGUGAAGCCGUGCCGGGAGACCUCGUCUCUCCAUCGACACCACGUCAUCGUGCUGUUGGAGUUCUUCCCCAACCUCUCCCUCCUCCUUGCUGGAUCAAGGUGCGGGAGACGUCACUGGGUUGCACGUGUGUUGAACGCGGAGGUGGCGUAGUUCGGCACUAGUUCGGAAUCGCUGCGAGUACGACUCCAUCAACCGCGUUCUAGCAACGCUUCCGCUUAGCGAUCUUCAAAGGUAUGAAGAUGCUCUUACCCCUCUCUCGUUGCUGGUCUCUCCAUAGGAAGAUCUGAAUAUGCGUAGGAAAAUUUUGAAUUUACGCUACGUUACCCUACAGUGGCAUCCGAGCGAGGUUUUCUAUGCGUAGAUUCUAUGCACGAGUAGAACACAAAAGUUGUGGGCGAUGAUUUGUCAAUUUGCUUGCCGCUACUAGUCUUAUUCUUUUCCGGCGGUAUUGUGGGAUGAAGCGGCCCGGACCGACUUUACACGUACACUUACGUGAGACUGGUUCCACCGACAGACAUGCACACCGUGCAUAAAGGUGGCUAGCGGGUGUCUGUCUCUCCUACUCUAGUCGGAUUGGAUUUGAUGAAAAGGGUCCUUAUGAAGGGUAAAUAGCUUUGGCAUAUGAUCGUUGUGGCUGUCACGUAGGUAAGAAGGCGUUCUUGCUAGAAACCCAAAUCAGCCACGUAAAACUUGCAACAACAAUUAGAGGACGUCUAACUUGUUUUUGCAGGGUAUGACAUGUGAUGUGAUAUGGCCAAAGUUGUGAUGUUGCAUGUAUGAUGUAUGAGAUGAUCAUGUUAUUGUAAUAGGUUUCACGACUUGCAUGUCGAUGAGUAUGACAACCGGCAGGAGCCAUACGAGUUGUCUUAAUUUAUUGUAUGAGAUGCAACGCCAUGUGCUUACUACUUUUACUUCAUUGCUAACGGUUAGCUAUAGUAGUAGUGAUAGUAGUAGUUGGCGUGACGACUUCACGGAGACACGAUGAUGGAGAUCAUGGUGUCACGCCGGCGACGAUGAUGAUCAUGCGAUGCCUGAAGAUGGAGAUCGAAUGGGCAAAGAUGAUAAUGGCCAUGUCAUGUCACUAUAUGAUUGCAUUGUGAUGUUUAUCAUGUUUUUCAUCUUAUUGCUUAGAACGACGGUACCAUAAUAAGAUGAUCCCUCUUAAAAUUUCGAGAAUGUAUUCCCCUAAGUGUGCACCGUUGCGAAGGAUCGUUGUCUCAAAGCACCACGUGAUGAUCGGGUGUGAUAGAUUCUAACGUUCGCAUACAACGGGUGUAAGCCAGAUUUACACACGCGAAACACCUAGGUUGACUCGACGAGCUUAGCAUGUACAGACAUGACCUCGAAUACAAGAGACCGAAAGGUCGAACACGAGUCGUAUGGUUGAAUACGAUCAGCAUGAAGUUGCUCACCUUGACGACUAGUCCGUCUCACGUGAUGAUCGGACACGGGUUAGUCAACAUGGAUCAUGUAUCACUUAGAUGACUAGAGGGAUGUCGAUUUAAGUGGGAGUUCAUACUUAAUUUGAUUAAAUGAACUUAAUUGUCAUGAACUUAGUCUAAAAGUUGUGUUUUUAAAUAUUGUAGAUGGCCAACGUCAACCUCAAUUUCAAUGCAUUCCUAGAGAAAAACAAGCUGAAAGAUGAUGGUAGCAACUAUGCGGACUGGGUUCGCCACUUGAAUCUCAUCCUUGAAGCUUAUGUCCUUGAUGCGCAGCUAGGUGACCCUCCCGCUCCCGUAGCAGCCCAGGACAUUUUGAACGUCUGGCAAACACGGAGUGAUGACUACUCUGUGGUUAGGUGUGGCAUGUUAUACAGUUUAGAAACGGGUCUCCAAAGGCGUUUUGAGCAACACGGUGCAUAUGAGAUGUUCCAAGAGCUGAAGCUAGUUUUUCAAGCUCAUGCACGUGUCGAGAUAUAUGAAGUCUCUGACAAUUUUUUUAGUUGUAAGAUGGAGGAGAACAGUUCUGUCAGUGAGCACAUACUCAAAAUGUCUGGGUUACACGGUCGUCUGACUUCACUUGGAGUCGAACUUCCGGAUGAUGCUAUAAUUGACAGAAUCCUCGAGUCUCUCCCACCAAGCUACAAAGGCUUUGUGCUUAACUACAACAUGCAAGGUAUGGAGAAGACCAUUCCCGUGUUGUACUCGAUGCUCAAGUCUGCAGAAGUAGAAAUCAAGAAAGAGCAUCAAGUGUUGAUGGUCAACAAGACCACUUGUUUCAAGAAAGGCAAGGGUAAGAAGAACUUCAAGAAAGACGGCAAUGUCGUUGCCGCGCCCGGUAAGCCAGAUGUCGGGAAGAAGAAAAAGAAUGGACCCAAGCCUGAGACUGAGUGCUUCUAUUGCAAGGGAAAGGGUCAGUGGAAACGGAACUGCCCCAAAUACUUAGCGACAAGAAGGCCGACAACGUUAAAAGUAUAUGUGAUAUACAUGUUAUUGAUGUGUACCUUACCAGCGCUCGUAGUAGCUCCUGGGUAUUUGAUACCGGUGUUGUUGCUCACAUUUGCAACUCAAAGCAGGAACUGCGGAAUAAGUGGAGACUGGCAAAGGACAAGGUGACGAUGCGCGUCGGGAAUGGCUCCAAGGUCGAUGUGAUCGCCGUCGGCACGCUACCUCUACAUCUACCGUCGGGAUUAGUUUUAAACCUUAAUAAUUGUUAUUUAGUACCAGCUUUAAGCAUGAACAUUGUAUCAGGGUCUUGCUUAAUGCAAGACGGCUACUCAUUUAAGUCAGAGAAUAAUGGUUGUUCUAUUUAUAUGAGUGAUAUGUUUUAUGGUCAUGCUCCGCUGGUGAAUGGUUUAUUCUUGAUGAAUCUCGAUCGUGAUGUUACGCAUAUUCAUAGUGUGAGUACCAAAAGAUGUAAAGUUGAUAAUGAUAGUCCCACAUACUUGUGGCACUGCCGCCUUGGUCAUAUCAGUGUUAAACGCAUGAAGAAGCUCCAUACUGAUGGACUAUUAGAGUCUCUUGACUUUGAAUCAUUUGACACAUGCGAGCCGUGCCUCAUGGGCAAGAUGACUAGGACUCCAUUCUCAGGAAUAAUGGAGAGAGCAACCGACUUAUUGGAAAUAAUACAUACUGAUGUGUGUGGUCCAAUGAACGUUGAAGCUCGCGGUGGCUAUCGUUAUGUUCUCACUCUCACCGAUGAUUUGAGUAGGUAUGGGUAUAUUUACUUGAUGAAUCACAAAUCUGAGACAUUUGAAAAGUUCAAGCAAUUUCAGAGUGAGGUCGAGAAUCAACGUGACGGAAAAAUUAAGUGUCUACGAUCUGAUCGUGGAGGAGAAUAUUUGAGUCACGAGUUUGGCACACACCUAAGGAAGUGUGGAAUCGUUUCACAGCUGACGCCGCCUGGCACACCACAACGCAACGGAGUGUCUGAACGUCGUAAUCACACUUUAUUAGAUAUGGUAUGAUCUACGAUGUCUCUUACCGACUUACCGCUAUCAUUUUGGGGAUACGCAUUAGAAACUGCAACAUUCACUUUAAAUAGGGCACCGUCUAAAUCCGUUGAGACGACACCAUAUGAACUAUGGUUUGGCAAGAAACCUAAGUUGUCGUUUCUUAAAGUUUGGGGUUGUGAUGCAUAUGUGAAGAAACUUCAACCACAAAAGCUCAAACCCAAAGCGGAGAAAUGUGUAUUCAUAGGAUACCCUAAGGAAACUAUUGGGUAUACCUUCUAUCUUAGAUCCGAAGGUAAAACCUUUGUUGCCAAGAACGGAUCCUUUCUAGAGAAAGAGUUUCUCUCGAAAGAAGUAGGUGGGAGGAAGGUAGAACUUGAUGAGGUAAUUACACCCCUCUCGAACAGGAUAGUAGCGCAGCUCGGGAAGUUGUUCCUGUGGCGCCUACACCAACUAAAGAGGAAGUUAAUGAUGAUGAUCAUGAAGCUUCGGAUCAAGUUACUACUGAACCGCGAAGGUCCACAAGGGCACGCUCCGCACCAGAGUGGUACGACAACCCUGUGAUGGAAAUCAUGUUGUUAGACAACGGUGAACCUUCGAACUAUGAAGAAGUGAUGGCGGGACCGGAUUCCAACAAAUGGCUUGAAGCUAUCAAAUCCGAGAUAGGAUACAUGUAUGAGAACAAAGUAUGGACUUUGGUGGACUUGCCCGAUGACCGGCGAGCCAUAGAAAAUAAAUGGAUCUUCGAGAAGAAGACUGAUGCAAACGGUAAUGUAACCGUUUAUAAAGCUCGACUUGUCGCAAAGGGUUUUCGACAAAUUCAAGGAGUUGACUACGAAGAGACUUUCUCUCCCGUAGCGAAGCUGAAAUCAGUCUGAAUCAUGUUAGCAAUUGCUUCCUUUUAUGAUUAUGAAAUUUGGCAAAUGGACGUCAAAAAGUGUUCCUUAACGGGAACCUUAAGGAAGAGUUGUAUAUGAUGCAACCAGAAGGUUUUGUCGACCCUAAGGGUGCUAACAAAGUGUGCAAGCUCCAGCGCUCCAUCUAUGGGCUGGUGCAAGCAUCUCGGAGUUGGAACAUUCGCUUUAAUGAGGUGAUUAAAGCGUUUGGGUUCAUACAGGUUUACGGAGAAGCCUCUGUGUACAAGAAAGUGAGUGAGAGCUCUGUAGAUUUCCUCAUACUGUAUGUGGAUGACAUAUUAUUGAUGGGGAAUAAUAUAGAGAUGUUGGAGAGCAUAAAGGCCUAUUUGAACAAGAGUUUUUCAAUGAAGGACCUUGGAGAAGCUGCAUACAUAUUAGGCAUCAUGAUUUAUAGAGAUAGAUCGAGACGCCUCAUAGGUCUUUCGCAAAGUACAUACCUUGACAAGAUAUUGAAGAAGUUCAAUAUGGAAAACUCAAAGAAAGGGUUCUUGCCAGUUUUGCAAGGUAUGAGAUUGAGUAAGACUCAGUCGCCGACCACGGCAGCAGAUAGAGAGAAGAUGAGUUAUGUCCCCUACGCUUCAGUCGUAGGCUCUCUAAUGUAUGCCAUGCUGUGUACCAUACCUAAUAUAAACCUUGCCAUAAGUUUGGUAGGGAGGUACCAAAGUGAUCCCGGUAUGGAACACUGCACAGCGGUCAAGAAUAUCCUUAACCUGAAAAGGACUAAGGAAAUGUUUCUCGUUUAUGGAGGUGACGAAGAGCUCGUCGUUAAGGGUUACGCCGACGCCAGCUUCGACACAGAUCCGGAUGAAUCUAAGUCACAGACCGGAUACAUAUAUGUUUUUAAUGGUGGGGCAGUGAGCUGGUGCAGCAGCAAGCAAGAAGUCGUGGCAGCAUCUACAUGUGAAGCGAAGUACAUAGCUACUUCAGAAGCGGCUCAUGAAGGAAUUUGGAUGAAGGAGCUCAUCACCGACCUUGGAGUGGUUCCAAGCGCGUCGGGUCCAAUGACACUCUUCUGUGAUAACACUGGGGCCAUUGCCAUAGCCAAGGAGCCCAGGUUUCACCGGAAGACGAAGCACAUCAAACGCCCCUACAACUCCAUCCAGGACCAUGUCCAGAUGGAGUAAUGGAUAUUUGUAAAGUACAAAUGGAUCUGAAUAUUGCAGACCCGUUGACUAAACCUCUUCCACGAGCAAAACAUGAUCAACACCAUAAUGUUAUGGGUGUUCGAUACAUCACAAUAUAACUAGAUUAUUGACUCUAGUGCAAAUGGAGACUGUUGGAAAUAUGCCCUAGAGGCAAUAAUAAAAUGGUUAUUAUCAUAUUUCCUUGUUCAUGAUAAUCGUCUAUUGUUCAUGCUAUAACUGUAUUAACAGGAAACAGUAAUACAUGUGUGAAUAAAUAGAUCACAAUGUGUCCCUAGCAAGCCUCUAGUUGGCUAGCUCGUUAGUCAAUAGAUGAUCAUGGUUUCCUGAUCAUGGGCAUUAGAUGUCAUUGAUAACGGGAUCACAUCAUUGGGAGAACGAUGUGAUGGACAAGACCCAAUCCUAAGCAUAGCACUAGAUCGUAUUGUUCGUAUGCUAAAGCUUUUCUAAUGUCAAGUGUCUUUUCCUUCGCCCGUGAGAUUGUGCAACUCCUGGAUACCGUAGGAGUGCUUUGGGUGUAUCAAACGUCACAACGUAACUGGGUGACUAUAAAGGUGCACUACGGGUAUCUCUGAAAGUGUCUGUUGGGUUGGUACAAAUCGAGAUCGGGAUUUGUCACUGCGUGUGACGGAGAGGUAUCUCUGGGCCCACUCGGUAGAACAUCAUCAUGAGCUCAAUGUGACUAAGGAGUUAGUCACACGAUGACGUGCUACGGAACGAGUAAAGAGACUUACCGGUAACGAGAUUGAACAAGGUAUAGGUAUACCGACGAUCGAAUCUCGGGCAAGUUCUAUACCGACAGACAAAGGGAAUUGUAUACGAGAUUGAUUGAAUCCUUCACAUCGUGGUUCAUCCGAUGAGAUCAUCGUGGAACAUGUGGGAGCCACCAUGGGUAUCCAGAUCCCGCUGAUGGUUAUUGGCCGGAGAGUGUCACGGUCAUGUCUACAUGCUUCCCGAACCCGUAGGGUCUACACACUUAAGGUUCGAUGACGUUAGGGUUAUAGGGAAUUGUUAUACGAGGUUACCGAAGGAUGUUCGGAGUCCUGGAUGAGAUCCCGGACGUCACGAGGAGCUCCGGAAUGGUCUGGAGGUAAAGAUUGAUAUAUAGGAUGGAUGGGUUUGGACGCCGGAAGUGUUUCAGGUGUCACCGGUAACUUACCGGGACCACCAGGACCACCGGAGGUGGCCCUGGGGGUCCACCGAAGGGGGGCAACGACCCCGGGAGGCUAUAUGGGCUAAGUGGGGAAGGGAACCAGCCCCUAGGUGGGCUGGUGCGCCCCCACCCAGCCCAUGCGCACCAGAGAAAGGGGAGAGGGGGAACCCUAGGCGCAGGGGAGGCCCACCUAGGGCGCCCCCCCUUCCCUGCCCUGGCAGCCGCCCCCCUCCCAUCUAGUGGCUGCCGCACCACCUAGGGGGAACCCUAGGGGUGGCGCACCCCCUCCCCCUCCUCCUAUAAAUAGAGAGGGGUUUUGGCCCUUGGGAGACAGACUUCUCUCUCUCCCUCGGUGCAGCCCUGCCCUUAUUCCUCCUCCUCUCUGCCGGUGCUUGGCGAAGCCCUGCCGGGAGACCUCGUCUCUCCAUAGACACCAAGCCAUCGUGCUACUGGAUUUCUUCCCCAACCUCUCCCUCCUCCUUGCUGGAUCAAGGUGCGGGAGACGUCACCGGGCUGCACGUGUGUUGAGCGCGGAGGAGUCGUAGUUCGGCACUAGAUCGGAAUCACACCGCGAUCGUAAUCGCUGCGAGUACAACUCCAUGAACCGCGUUCGAGCAACGCUUCCGCUUAGCGAUCUUCAAAGGUAUGAAUAUGCUCUUACCCCUCUCUCGUUGCUGGUCUCUCCAUAGGAAGAUCUGAAUAUGCGUAGGAAAAUUUUGAAUUUAUGCUACGUUACCCUACAGUUUGUCUCUCCCACUUUAGUCGAAUUGGAUUCGAUGAAAAGGAUCCUUAUGAAGGGUAAAUAGCUUUGGCAUAUCAACGUUGUGGCUGUCACGUAGGUAAGAAGCGUUCUUGCUAGAAACCCAAAUCAGCCACGUAAAACUUGCAACAAUAAUUAGAGGACGUCUAACUUGUUUUUGCAGGGUAUGCUAUGUGAUGUGAUUUGGCCAAAAGGAUGUGAUGUUAUAUAUGUGAUGUAUGAGAUUUAUCAUGUUCUUGUAAUACGAUUCACGAUUUGCAUGUCGAUGAGUAUGAAAACCGAUAGGAGCCACAUGAGUUGUCUUAAUUUAUUGUAUGUAUGAGAUGCAAUGCCAUGUUAGCCAUAGUAGUAGAAGUAAUAGUUGGUGAGACGACUUCACAGAGACACAAUGAUGGAGAUCAUGAUGAUGGAGAUCACAGUGUCAUGCCGGUGACAAUGAUGAUCAUGUCGUGCCCCGAAGAUGGAGAUCAAAGGAGCAAGUUGAUAUUGGCCAUAUCAUGUCAUUAUAUGAUUUGCAUGUGAUGUUUAUCAUGUUUUUCAUCUUAUUGCUUAGAACAACGGUAGCAAAGAUAAGAUGAUCCCUCAUUAAAUUUUGAGAUAAGUAUUCCCCUAAGUGUCCACCAUUGCAAAGGAUCGUUGUCUCAAAGCACCACGUGAUGAUCGGGUGUGAUAGAUUCUAACGUUCGCGUACAACAGGUGUAAGCCAGAUUUAACACGCAAAACACUUAGGUUGACUCGACGAGCCUAGCAUGUAAAAACAUGGCCUCGGAAAUACAAGAGACCGAAAGGUCAAACAUGAGUCCUAUGGAUGAUAUGAUCAGCAUGGAGAUGCUCACCAUUGAUGAACAGUCCGUCUCACGUGAUGAUUGGACACGACCUAGUCAAUGUAGAUCAUGUAUCACUUGGAUGACGAGAGGGAUGUCUAUCUGAGUGGGAGUUCAUUAAAUAAUUUGAUUAGAUGAACUUAAUUAUCAUGAACUUAGUCUAAAAAUGUCUUUACAAUAUUGUAGAUCCAAUGGCCAACGCUCAAGUCAACCUCAAUUUCAACGCGUUCGUAGAGAAAACCAAGCUGAAAGACGAUGGUAGCAACUAUGCGGACUGGGCUCGUAAUUUAAAGCUCAUCCUCAUUGCUUCCAAGAAGGGAUAUGUCCUUGAUGCACCGCUAGGUGACCCUCCUGUUCCCGCGGUAGCCCAGGAUGUUCAGAACGCCUGGCAAUCACGAAGUGAUGACUACUCCCUGGUUCAGUGCGGUAUGCUUUAUAGUUUAGAACCGGGGCUUCAAAGGCGUUUUGAGCAACAUGGUGCAUAUGAGAUGUUCGAAGAGCUGAAACUAGUUUCCCAAGUUCAUGCCCGGGUCAAUAGAUAUGAAGUCUCCGACAAGUUCUUUAGUUGUAAGAUGGAGGAAAAUGGGUCUGUCAGUGAGCACAUACUCAAAAUGUAUGGGUUGCACAACUGUCUGUCUCAGUUGGGAGUUAAACUUCUGGAUGACGCGAUUAUUGACAGAAUCCUCUAGUCGCUCCCACCUAACUAUAAGAGCUUUGUGAUGAACUAUAACAUGCAAGGGAUGGAGAAGACCAUUCGUGAGUUGUAUUCAAUGCUGAAAUCAAAGGAGGUGGAAAUCAAGAAAGAACAUCAAGUGUUGUUGGUGAAUAAGACCACCAGUUUCAAGAAAGGCAAGGGUAAAAAUAACUUCAAGAAGGACGACAAAGCAGUUGCCGCGCCCGGUAAACCAGUUGUCACGAAGAAGCCAAAGAAAGAACCCAAGCCUGAGACUGAGUGCCAUUAUUGCAAGAGAACUGGUCAAUGGAAGCGGAACUGCCCCAAGUACUUAGUGGAUAAGACGGCCGGCAACAUCAAAGGUAUAUACGAUAUACAUGUUAUUGAUGUGUACCUUACUAGCACUCGUAGUAGCUCCUGGAUAUUUGAUAUCGGUGUUGUUGCUCACAUUUGCAACUCAAAAUAGGAACUACGGAAUAAGCGGAGACUGGCAAAGGACGAGGUGACGAUGCGCGUCGGGAAUGGUUCCAAGGUCGAUGUGAUCGUCGUCGGCAGGCAACCUCUACAUCUACCUUCGGGAUUAGUUUUAAACCUUAAUAAUUGCUAUUUUAGUACCAGCUUUGAGCAUGAACAUUGUAUCGGGAUCUCGCUUGACGCGAGAUGGCUACUCAUUGAAAUCUAAGAAUAAUGGUUGUUCCAUUUAUAUGAGUGAUGUGUUUUAUGGUCAUGCCCCGCUGGUCAAUGGUUUAUUCUUAAUGAAUCUCGAACGUAAUGUUACAGAUAUUCAUAGUGUGAGUACCAAAAUAUGUAAGGCUGAUAAUGAUAGCCCCACAUACUUGUGGCACUACCAUCUUGGUCAUAUCGGUGUCAAGCGCAUGAAGAAACUCCAUACAAAUGGACUUUGGAGUCUCUUGAUUUUGAAUCAUUUGACACAUGCGAACCGUGCCUCGUGGGCAAGAUGACCAAGACUCCAUUCUCCGGAACAAUGGAGCGAGCAACCAACUUGUUGGAAAUAAUACAUACUGAUGCAUGCGGUCCAGUGAGCGUCGAGGCUCGUGAUGGCUAUCGUUAUGUUCUCACCCUCACUGAUGACUUAAGCAGAUAUGGGUAUGUCUACUUAAUGAAACACAAGUAUGAAACUUUUGAAAAGUUCAAGGAAUUUCAGAGUGAGGUAUAGAAUCAAUGUGACAAGAAAAUAAAGUUCCUACAAUCUGAUCGUGGAGGGGAAUAUUUGAGUCACGAGUUUGGCACGCACUUAAGAAAAUGUGGAAUUGUUUCACAACUCACGCCACCUGGCACACCUCAGCGUAAUGGUGUGUCCUAACAUUGUAAUCGCACUCUAUUGGAUAUGGUGCGAUCUAUGAUGUCUCUUAUUGAUUUACCGCUAUCAUUUUUGGGAUAUGCAUUGGAAACUGUCGCAUUCACUUUAAAUAGGGCACCGUCUAAAUCUGUUGAGACGACACCGUAUGAAUUAUGGUUUGGAAAGAAACCUAAGCUGUCAUUUCUGAAAGUUUGGGGUUGCGAUGCUUAUGUGAAGAAACUUCAACCUGAGAAGCUCGAACCCAAAGCGAAAAAAUGCGUCUUCAUAGGAUACCCUAAGGAAACUAUUGGGUAUACCUUCUAUCUUAGAUCUGAAGGCAAAAUCUUUGUUGCCAAGAAUAGAUCCUUUCUAGUGAAAGAUUUUCUCUCGAAAGAAGUAAGUGGGAGGAAAGUAUAACUUGAUGAGGUAAUUGUACCUCCUCUCGAACCGGAGAGUAGCGCAGCGCAGGAAAAUGUUUAUGUGGAGCCUGCACUGACUAGAGAGGAAGUUAACGAUGAUGAUCAUGAAUCUUCGGAUCAAUUUGCUAUAAACCUCGAAGGUCCACAAGGACAUGUUCCGCACUAGAGUGGGACGGUGACCCUGUCAUGGAAAUCAUGUUGUUGGACAACAGCGAAACUUCGAACUAUGAAAAAGCGAUGGUGGGCCCGGAUUCCAACAAAUGGCUUAAAGCCAUGAAAUCUGAGAUAGGAUCCAUGUAUGAGAACAAAGUGUGGACUUUGGUGGACUUGCCUGAUGAUCGGCGAGCCAUAGAAAAUAAAUGGAUCUUUAAGAAGAAGACUGACGUGGAUGGUAAUCUGACCAUCUAUAAGGCUCGACUUGUCGCUAAGAGUUAUCGACAAGUUCAAGGAAUUGACUACGAUGAGACUUUCUCACCUAUAGCGAUGCUGAAGUCCGUCCGAAUCAUGUUAGCAGUUGUUGCAUUAUAUGAUUAUGAAAUCUGGCAAAUGGAUGUCAAAACGGCAUUCCUGGACGACUUUCUUAAGGAAUAAUUGUAUAUGAUACAACUAGAAGGUUUUGUCGAUCCUAAUAAUGCUGACAAGGUAUGCAAGCUCCAGCGCUCCAUCUAUGGGCUGGUGCAAGCAUCUCGGAGUUGGAACAUGCGCUUUGAUGAGAUGAUCAAAGCGUUUGGGUUUGUACAGACUUAUGGAGAAGCAUGUAUUUAUAAUAAAGUGAGUGGGAGCUCUGUAGCAUUUCUCAUAUUAUAUGUGGAUGUGAUAUUGUUGAUGGGAAAUGAUAUAGAACUGCUGGAAAGCAUAAAGGACUAUUUGAAUAAGAGGUUUUCAACGAAGGGCCUUGAAGAAGUUGCUUACAUAUUAGGCAUCAAGAUCUAUAGAGAUAGAUCAAGACGCCUCAUUGGUCUUUCACAAAGCACAUACCUUGACAAGAUAUUGAAGAAGUUCAAUAUGGAUAAGGCCAAGAAGGGGUUCUUGCCUGUAUUGCAAGGUGUGAGGUUGAGCACAACUCAAUGCCCGACCACGACAGAAGAUAGAGAAAAGAUGAGGACCGUCCCCUAUGCUUCAGCCAUAGGAUCUAUUAUGUAUGCCAUGUUGUGUACCAGACCCGAUGUGACCCUUUCCAUAAGUUUGGCACGGAGGUACCAAAGUGAUCCAGGAGUGGAUCAAUGGACAGCGGUCAAGAAUAUCCUUAAGUACAUGCAAAGGACUAAAGAUAUGUUUCUCGUUUAUGGAGGUGCCGAAGAGCUCGUCGUAAAGGGUUACAUCGAUGCUAGCUUCGACACAGAUCUGGAUGACUCCAAGUCACAAACCAGAUACGUGUAUAUUUUGAAUGGUGGGGCAGUCAGCUGGUGCAGUUGCAAGCAAAGUGUUGUGGCGGCAUCUACAUGUGAAGCGGAGUACAUAGCUGCUUCGGAAGCAGCACAAGAAGGAGUCUGGAUGAAGGAGUUCAUCACUCACCUAGGAGUGAUUCCCAGUGCAUCGGGCCCCAUGACUCUCUUCUGUGACAACACUGGAGCUAUUUCCAUUGCCAAGGAGCCCAUGUUUCACAAGAAGACCAAGCACAUCAAGCGUCGCUUCAACUCCAUUCGUGGAUACAUAUAGGAUGGAGAUAUAGAUAUUUGUAAAGUACAUACAGAUAUGAAUGUCGCAGACUCGUUGACUAAACCUCUUGCACGAGCGAAACAUGAUCAACACCAGAACUCUAUGGGUGUUCGAUUCAUCACAAUGUAACUAGAUAAUUGACUCUAGUGCAAGUGUGAGACUGUUGGAAAUAUGCCCUAGAGGCAAUAAUAAAUGGUUAUUAUUAUAUUUCCCUGUUCAUGAUAAUUGUCUAUUAUUCAUGCUAUAAUUGUAUUAAGCGGAAACCGUAAUACAUGUGUGAAUACAUAGACCACAACAUGUCCCUAGUGAGCCUCUAGUUGGCUAGCUCGUUGAUCAAUAGAUGGUCAUUGUUUCCUGAUCAUGGACAUUGGAUGUUAUUGAUAAUGGGAUCACAUCAUUAGGAGAAUGAUGUGAUGGACAAGACCCAAUCCUAAGCAUAACACAAGAUCGUGUAGUUCGUCUUCUAGAGAUUUUCUAAUGUCAAGUAUCGUUUCCUUAGACCAUGAGAUUGUGCAACCCCCGGAUACCGUAGGAGUGCUUUGGGUGUAUCAAAGGUCACAACGUAACUGGGUGAUUAUAAAGGUGCAUCACAAGUAUCUCCGAAAGUUUCCGUUGGGUUGGUACGAAUCGAGACUGGGAUUUGUCGCUCCAUGUGAAGGAGAGGUAUCUCUGGGCCCACUCGGUAAUGCAUCAUCAUACUGAGCUCAAUGUGACUAAGGAGUUAGCCACGGGAUGAUGUGUUACGGAAUGAGUAAAGAGACUUGCCGGUAACGAGAUUAAACAAGGUAUAGGUGUGACAGCCCGAGAUCAACGUUCCAGAAGAUUCCCCCUUUAUUUCCGUUUCCAUCGUGUGGUUAGUUUUAUUUGGUGGCAUCGUCAUUUAGUUUGCAUCAUCGCAUCAUGCAUGGCAUCAUGUCAACUGUGUUUUGUCGGUGUUGCUUGUUGCCGUGUUGUUGGGUGUUAGUGCUUUGUGAGUGGCGUUGUUUUGGAGUGAUGAGAGUGGGUGCGCGAGAGCCACCUCAAAGCCGUGUUGCACCGCGGACCUAAAACCUUCUCUCCCCUCUCUUUUCAUUUUUGUGGUUUUGCUAAAGUUUCCGUUUUAUCCCCUUAAAAAAUAAACGUAUUCUUUUAAAAAGGUCCUUUUAUUAAAUGUGGGGGCAACCCUUGGGUUUUAUUUUAUUUCUCCUUUUGUUUUAUUUUAAAGCCGUCUCAUUUUCUUUUCUCUUUUAAAGAGCUUUUAUUUAAUUCUUUGAAUAAAAGAGGUUUUAUUUUUUUUCUUGUCAAAAAGGAGUUUAGAUUUUAUUCUUUUGUGAAAGGGUUUUAUUUUUCUUUUCUCUUUUAAAGAGCAGCUGUUUGUAGCUGCUUGCACGAGCUUAGCUGUUGCCGUUGCUCUGCUGCGUGUUGUCCCGCUACUUGUUGUUGCCUGCAUGCCGCUGCUGCCGAUUGCUGCUGCUGGCAGUUGUUUGGAGAUGCUCUUGUUGAUGCGGCCAAGUGUUGUUGCCUUGUGUUGCUGCCGAUUUGUAGAUGCUGCUGCUGUAGCAAGCUAGGUAGUUGUUAGUUGGUUGCAUGAUGCUUGCGUUGCUUGCUAGCUGCUGCUUGUAGAUGCUACUAUAUGUUGUCGUAGCUUGCUGCUAAUUGAUGUGCUGUGGCCGAAGCUAGUUGUUGUAGUUGUUGUCGGUCGCUGCCCGCUAGAUGUUGUUGCGUUGCCUUGCCCUAUCGCCUUUCGGGAACUUCGCCGAAGACAGCGUGCACCAUCCCCGCCACCGUGGAAUCGACAAGUUCGCCGAGUACCACGACGUCCUCGACGACCCUGACCAUCUAUGGAGCGUGUUCGACUACCAAUGCGAAGACCGUGUACCGACGCCAAGAGUACGACUACCCUUGACGAGACCCGAGUACCGCGACUUCCUCUACGACCACGACGAUCUUUUUUCUCCUUCACCGAACCGAUCCGCUCCGAUCUGCACGCUUCGAAGGUAUACCGAUGGGACGUUGUCCUGUACCGAACGUAUAUGAUGUAUUAGAUGAAUGUAUGUUUGUCGGGACCCCGAUCCUAAGUCAUAGGAAUCCAUCCUGUAACACAUCGCAUCUCUUUGCGGUCUCACGCACGGUUAUCCCCACGGCUGCAACCUUACCUUAGCCGGGACCGUUUGCGGCUUUUGACUCGCGUAUGCAAUUGUGUCGCUAGCAAUCCAGUGACAGAGAACCCGGAUCGACAUGUCUAGUCAUAAACCAAAGCGGCAGUUCCGCACAAGGACAUGCAUAAAUGACCCAACAAAGCAGCUGUCGGUCACCAGCGAAUGUAGACGAGUCGUAGCAAGCUACAAGGACUCCAUUACAUCGCGUGACAUUUUCCCAAGAGGGACAGACACAGCAGCUAAGAAGGAUACAUGCCGGUCAACCAAUGUGUCUAGAGCAGUGCGAACUACCAUGACUCGUUGGAUCACAAAGGGCCAUUUCCCUGUAAGGAAUGCUACUAAAGCCUACGGCUAGGUAAUCGAACCCCAUACAUAUCAAGUACACCACACGUACGCAUGGCAUACUGAUAUGUAUAGAUACAUCGAUGGCAUCAUAACAUAACCAUGAACAUACAAACUUUAUUUAAAAGGCUUGGAAGAGCCUCACACAUAAUAUUACAUAGUAGGGGUCUCACGACCCAUCAUAACAGUCAAUCAAGUUACAAGCCAGCGGAAGUAAUUAAACCGUCUGAGUACAAACAGGUGAAACUAGAAGGCACAUGGCCUGACUAUACUACAAACCCACCCUAGGGCCAGAUCGUAGCUGGGAUACCAGCUACUCGUCGUCGUCGAUGUCUAGGUAGAACCCUCCAUUAGGGUCAUUAACAACCUCUGCAACAAAUUAUUAAGCAAACGUGAGUACAAGGGUACUCAGCAAGACUUUAGGAUAGCUAUCUACUCAUGCAAUGUAUCAAAAAGGAAUUGUGGGGUUUCAUGCAGAAAGCAAGCAUUUGACUCGUGGCUAGACAACAUGCAUUUUUAAAUAAUUUUGACAACUUGAUUUCUCGCACACGAGUCCACUAACACCACAACAAUACUCCAUCCUGGAAUCAUUCCGUCUCCAUACGGAAAUGCCGUCCACGACACUCACGCUUAUCUUGACAAUUUUAUGAGUAGCCAUUAAAGUUAUCUAUGAACAACAUAUGUCUCCAAGUAGUCCAUAUCCGUGGACGCGGCUAUUCGAAUAGAUCAUAACCCUGCAUGGGUGUACUUCUUCACACACGCUCUCGCCACUCAUCUCCAUGUGCACGUCAUGCACCUCGGCAACUUUCAUGCGGAAGCCCAGCGAGGGAGUCGGCCACGACCGUUAACCACGCUAAUACUUAGUCGAGGUCUAUCGCCUAUCCGAGGGUAACCCGCACGGAAGUCCGACCGAGGUUUCCGCCACGGCCCCAAACGAUGUGCGCAGGGUUCCCAAGCCCACCAUCCGGGUGCCACUUGGUACACCGUGCCACUGCCUACCGCAUCACAUCCCACCUCUCAGGUCAGCGCUAUGCACGGCCUCCAGCAUGACUAUAAACACCAGAAACUACUUGCAACUCCUGGACCGAGUACUAAGCGAUUAAUAAGUCGAGAGGGUCAAUUAAGUAUCCCAACGUGUGGUAGUAUCUAGUCUUGGAUUACAUACACGGAACUCGGUUCCUAAGGACGGUUCCAAUGAAACAACCCGCCAUGUACUCCUACAUAGCCUUUCACUGGUACCUUUACCAAAUCAGGUUCAACACACAACCUUUACUUACUGAACACCUUCUCAUAAUUAUGUUCAUCACCCAGAUGACAGACCAUACACAACUCUAAGCAUAGCAUGCAUAGCAGGAUAAGGCACAUCAUGGCUCAAGCAUCUAUCAGGUAUGCUAGGUUGCAAGGUUCAGCUAUUUACUGUGACAAAGACAGGUCAUGCAAAGGAAGUGGGUUCAACUAACGUGGCAAAAGCAUUUGAAGCAUUUGAUCCUAAUGCAAUAAGUAAGUGCAGGAGCGAGAACAUGGGAUUUAUCGGGAUGAUCAAAAUGGUUGCUUCCUUGUUGCUCAAUAGAGGGACAAUAUCCGUUAGUCGGAUAUUAUGUGGAAUCCAGAGGAGCAGAGCCUACCAAUAGAAAUGACAUCAAUCAAUAACAAUAAUAUGCAACAAAAUGAUGCAUGAGCAUGGCAUGAAGAUGCAUGGUGGUAUGCUAAUGUAGCUACCAUUAUUAGGUUGAAGUGGAUUUAAAUCAGAUUCAAAUAUCACUUCAAACGAGGUAUUCUUGAAUACCAUUUUAAUUGAUUCGACCUGAUGCUCAAAUCAACUUGUUUUUAUCAUGCAUGGGAAUGAUAUGUUAAGUUGCUGGUUGUGAUUGAACAAUGUUUGAUCAUAGCAUUUGAAGUGGAAUUCAAAUGAUUUUCAAAUUCCAACUCCAAAGCAUUUAUUAAAUUUAACCUAUUCAUCAUUUUACAUGUUUGGUCCAGUAACAUUUUCAAAAUGACAUAUUCAGAUUCCUUGGAUUUUUCUGAUACUUCUUCAUAUAUAAAUUAUUUUCAUUGGAGUUAUAGAUUAAUUUCUAUGAUUUUUAGAAGUUUUGGGAAUUUUCUGAAAUUCUUUUAAAUCAGAAAAACUACUUAUUGCAUCAGGCCCACGUCAGCAUGGCAUCAGCCGUCGGCCGACCUGGUCAGGUCAAACCCGACAGGGGGACCCACUGGUCAGCCUCACAGGGUUAACCCCGCGCUAACCAGCCCCUGAUUGCGUUUGACUUGCGUCUCGGGCCCACUGUCAGUGACUGCUUAGAGUAUAAACCGGCAGAUUAGCGAGGCGAGGUCAGAUCCUGCCGGAACUGACCGGUGGCGACAAGAUCUGCGGCGGAUCUUUGCCGGAGAGUCGCCAGAGAUGGCUGUGGUGCUCGGGAACGAGGGCCGAGAGCACUCGGAGGAUCCCCAGGCUCGGCUGUCACGCCCAAGAUGCGACCCUAUCCUCAAUUUGGCACGAGGGCCUCGUCAGGGAUAGAAGCGCAUCUCGUCGCGUCGCAAGAAUGGAUAUCGUUACAAGUACAUGUACUGAAAAGAAGAGUUAUAUAGAAUUGGCUUACACUCGCCACAAGCUACAUUAGUGUCACAUCAGUACAUUACAUAAUCAUCAAGAGUAAGAGCAGGGUCCGACUACGGACGAAAAUAAACGACAAAAGAAGAACAACGUCCAUCCUUGCUAUCCUAGGCUGCCGGCCUGGAACCCAUCCUAGAUCGAAGAAGAAGAAGCAACUCCAAAUGAACAAUCAACGCGCUCGCGUCAUGUAACCUUUACCUGUACCUGCAACUGGUGUUGUAGUAAACUGUGAGCCACAGGGGACUCAACAAUCUCAUUUCCAAAGGUAUCAAGACUAGCAAAGCUUAAUGGGUGAGGUAUGGUUAAGUGGUGAGGUUGCAGCACCGGCUAAGCAUAUAUAUUUGGUGGCUAACUUACGAGUAUCAGAAAUAAGAGGGGGAAGAUCUACGCAUAGCGGGCGUGAACUACAGAUGACCAAACGAAUGAUCCUGAACACCUACCUACGUCAGUCAUAACCCCACCGUGUCCUCGAUCGGAGAAGGAACUCACGAAAGAGACAGUCACGGUUACGCACACAGUUGGCAUGUUAUAAUUAAUUAUCUUCAAGUUAUCUAGAACCAGUGUUAAACAAAGUUUCCACGUUGCCACAUAACCGCGGGCACGGCUUUCCAAAAGAUUUAACCCUGCAGGGGUGCUCCAACUAGUCCAUCACAAAUUACCACAAGCCGCGUAGAAAUCCUCCAUCACGAAGCUCGCGAUCUCGUCGGAUUCCCUAAUGGAAAACCUCAACUCUGAGUUUACCCAAAGCAUCACCGGAAUCCCGAUGCACAAGAUAUCCCGUCAAAGGUAAAACUAAUCCAGCAAGGCCGCCCGACGUGUCGACGAUCCCGAUAGGAGUCGCGUACCUCGUUCUCAGGACACGACGGAUGGGUCACACUAGGAGUACCAAACCUCGGGUUGCCCCGCGGUGGCCCCGUAGUCUGCCAAUUUGGACCAACACUCAUGAGGAGCACUGGCCCGGGGGUUGAUUAAAUUAUCCUCGGGGUCCGGAAAGUCCCUUUGCAAUUUUUAUUAGGUGAUUAGGCAAAUGUAGUACCAAAGUUGGGCCUUGCCAGACCAGCUUUAAUCUAAAACGAAUUAUCAAGGGGGUCCCCAUAACGGCCCCGAUCGUGUUAGGAGCGCUCAUUUAUGGAACAUAACACCGGUAGCCGAAACUAAGGGGGCAAAGGUGGAACAAAACACCAGGCUAGAAAGGCCGAGCCUUCCACCUUUUACCAAGUAUAUAGGUGCAUUAAAUUAAAUAGCAUUUAAUAUGGUGAUAUAACAAGGAACCCAUGCUAUCACAUGGAAGCAACUGCACCUGCAACUAACAACGCUAUCAACAGGGUUAAGCAAGUAGUAACAUAGCCAAACAGUGGUUUGCUAGGUUGAACAGGUUGAAGGUUUCAUGGCAUUGUUGAGAUGCUGAAAUUUAACAGGUGGUAGGCAACGAGACGUAAUCGAUAGCAUCGAAAUAACUAGCAUGGCAAUAAUAGUAAUGGUAUCUGGGGAAAUGAUCAUCUUGCCUGAGAUCCCGCUUGGAAGAAGAAUGCCUCCGUGAAGCAGACGAACCGACGUAGUCGAACGGGUCCUCACAUUCCGGCACGCGUGCGGAACUCUAUCGAGACGGGGAAACCGGAAACAAGCAUCAACACACGAUAUUCACCACACGAUAAACAACACAUAUGAUGCAUGAGCUACUGAAUACAUGCAGGUCACGGCAAGACAAAACACACAAUCAAACACUACACAUUAAGUGAAGUUCAAUAUGCAACGAGUUGCAUAUUGACGAAACUUCACGUUAAUUAUUUAGUUCACUCCCGGUUAUCUACACGCAAUAUUAAUGUGGUUAAACAUGCAAGAGGUGAAGCGGAAAUUAAACUACCUAUCUAGGCAUUUUAAGUGAGGUCGGAAAUGACAUAUAGCACCUCCGAAAUGACCACACAUGCUAAAUUACAAUUCUGUCCAGUUCUGAAUUAAUGCAUUUAAUUGGUUGUUAAACAGCAAAACAAAUAGUUUACGUGAUUCUACGCGUCAAGGCAAGCAACCUACACGUAGAGAACAUCUCCAACGGAGCUACGGAUCAAAAGUUACGAGCUCCGCAAGAUAUGAUGGCAUGAAUGCGAUAUGUGUGCAACGACGGCUACGAGCGCUUCAAAACAAACAACCCACAAGAGAAAAUGAAACUACACAAGAUUCUAAGCAAGUUUCAUGUAGGACACGAUCAAAACGGAGCUACGGUUCAACAUCUACAGGCAAAACAAGAGAUAACUACAAACUGCCCAAAACAGCUACAUAGCAACUUCUACGCCUCACAACUCCGGCUACACAACUCCGAUAAACUCAAGCAAGGCAUGGCAUGAAAGAGGGCAAGACGCACUACUACAAACAACUAACAACAACUAACAUGGCAGCAAGGAGCACUAGGAAAAGAAGACACAAAAUGACACCUCACGCACUAUUUCAGACUUAGUGAACAUAUCACCUUCUGAAAGUGCAGUUUUCAGCCUAAAGCAAUAUUGACAGCAGCAAAGCCCUAAGCUACAGGUCUCCAAAUGACAUGAAAUUUAACAGCAUGCUAGAGAAACAUAAGGGGUACCACUAACUCCAUUGGUCCAACCCCAAAAGAGCUACAGAUCACAAGCUAGAAGCAAAACAAAACAGCAACAAAAUAAUAGCAGAUUCCAGACUUAGAAAUAUUUCAGCUCCUCUGAAACAGCACUAUUCAAGCAACUUGAGGGAAGUCAAACAACACCUAAACAUGCAUUUCUAUUGCAACCAAAAAUACCAGGGACUAAACAAAACAUCCAAGAUCAACUCUGUAGUUGACAACUCCGUCAAACGACGCACGGAUUAAAUCCUACGAAUUAAUCAAAAGGGCAACGUAGCAAAAUAUCUCGCGAACUAACUUCCUCGAAAGCUAAAACUAAUUGCACAGAAAAAUCCACGGGAUUUUUCUACCCCGAAAACAUAUAAAAUAAGUGGGGUUUGCAACUCAAAAUAACGCUACACAAUAAUGCGAGAUAAUACCUCUAAACGGGAAAAUAAACUACCGGCAAAACUCUACACGGAAAAAUACGAGUGACCGCUCUAAAAUACGUAGAAAUAUGGUCCCUAAAACAUGGACAUUAAAUCUAUGGCAUACGGGCAAUCCGGAUACACACGAAAAUUAACUACGGAACGAAACCUAUUGUAACAGCACGCAAAACAAAGCAUUAGGCACCCUAAACAGCGUUAAACAAAUAUGCAAGGUGGAUAACCGUGUUCUACUCGCGAAGCUACCCCAAAACGAUAUAUAACACGCUGCGAUCCGACUAACGGAACUAAAGAUACGGGCGUUUAAAAUCUAACCUCUUAUCUGGACUUAUAUUAAUUCCAAAUCAAGCUAAAAUCACAAAUGGGCCGAACGGGGUUCACACAGGUAAGGUGCGCAGGGGGCGAGGGAUAGCUACCUUGGCCACUUGGGCCUGGCCGGUUGGACAGGAGGCCGGCCUGGGGCAGCUCUACUGGGCCGAGGCGAGGCGAGGCCUACCCGGCUGCUGGGCCCGGCNNNNNNNNNNNNNNNNNNNNNNNNNNNNNNNNNNNNNNNNNNNNNNNNNNNNNNNNNNNNNNNNNNNNNNNNNNNNNNNNNNNNNNNNNNNNNNNNNNNNNNNNNNNNNNNNNNNNNNNNNNNNNNNNNNNNNNNNNNNNNNNNNNNNNNNNNNNNNNNNNNNNNNNNNNNNNNNNNNNNNNNNNNNNNNNNNNNNNNNNNNNNNNNNNNNNNNNNNNNNNNNNNNNNNNNNNNNNNNNNNNNNNNNNNNNNNNNNNNNNNNNNNNNNNNNNNNNNNNNNNNNNNNNNNNNNNNNNNNNNNNNNNNNNNNNNNNNNNNNNNNNNNNNNNNNNNNNNNNNNNNNNNNNNNNNNNNNNNNNNNNNNNNNNNNNNNNNNNNNNNNNNNNNNNNNNNNNNNNNNNNNNNNNNNNNNNNNNNNNNNNNNNNNNNNNNNNNNNNNNNNNNNNNNNNNNNNNNNNNNNNNNNNNNNNNNNNNNNNNNNNNNNNNNNNNNNNNNNNNNNNNNNNNNNNNNNNUUGGUGGGGUGCGGAAAUUGAGGAGGAUUUUGAGGAAGGCUGUCUAAAAAUUAAGGAGGAGGGGGUUUUUAUAGACAAAUGGGGGGCUCGGUUAACCGGAAUUUCGUUCCGGAUCCAACCGCGGGGUCGGAUUCGGAUGAUUCCGAACGCGGGUAUGGGUACGCGGCCGUGUUGUGUAGAUAUACGGAGACGAGAGGGAGAACGGGCGGUGCGGCAUGGUUUUAAAAAUACCGACAAACGUCCGACGAAUAACCGAAGACGGUGCCGCUACGGGCGACCGUUCGGGUACCAGACGGUCUCCGAUCGCGACGAAAUUCGACAGGCGACCUAGCUAUAACUAAUCAUGACCGCACGUCGAAUCCCAACCCGAUCAGAGAAAGUUUUAACCGCACUUUAAAAACAGGGUUCCAACGGUGCCGCCGGCGCGUGCGUGUGCGUUUGAGCUCGGAUCGGACAACGACGAGAACCGGCGACUACUAACGAAUGCAAGUUUUGAAAACGGGCGGCAACGGAGAUGCUGAUGCAAUGCUGAUGAUGCGCAUGAUGCGAUGAUGAUGCGGCCACUGAAAAUACCCACACGACGAAAACGGAAAGUAAAGGGGAAGCUUCUGGAACGUCGGCACCGGGCUGUCACAUCGGCCUCAUCCAGUACUGGCCUCAGGGAGGACUCGGGAGGACCGGAGGUCACCGACGACGAGCUGAGGCGAUGGCCGGAGCUCGGGCUCGUCGGUCUAGUUGUUAGGGUGCACGAAACCGAGGGGAAGAAGAGGGAAACUGGCGCGAGCUCACGGUGAAGGCAGUGGAAGGCUCGGAUGGCUCGGGGAGGCGCUGUGGGCGACGAAUCCAACGAAGCUCGCCGGCGGCCGAAGCUUGAAGACGACGGUGCCGAGGGCGUUGUAGGGCUCGGGGGAUCUUCUUCUUUGGCAGGGACGACCAGCUUGUCGAGGCGGAGCGAAUGGAGCACUCGGGGGGAAGAACCUGUGGCCAGAGGCUCGGGCAGCUCGAGCUCGAGCUCCUGUCAAUGGCGGCAGGAGGAGAGGUAGGAACCGAGAGGAGAGGGGAGGAAUGGGUAGCGGGGAUGGAUAGGGACGUGCUCGGGGAGGUUAUCCAUGCUGUCGCGCUGUCCUAGGGAGCACCGGAGCGUGCCACGGCGAAGCACGAGGUGGAGGAGCCGCCGUGGGUGUUCGCUCCUCUGCUAGAAGGCAGGAGGAAGAAGACGCCCCUGCCCUGGUGGGCUGGGCCUCCUUAGGGCGACACGUAAGCUCAUUUUCAUUUUUUUGGUUUUGUUUUCUGGUUUGCUAACUAUUUUGAUUUGCUAUUUAUUUCAGCUCCAAAAUAGUUUAUAAAAUAUUUUGAACACACCAGAAUAAUAGUUGGAAUAUUUCCAACCAUUCCUGAAGUUUUCAACAUUUUUGAAAACUUAAAGUUUUUGAAUUCAAAUUUAAACUUGAAUUCAGUGGCUUUUUGCAUUUAAAUAAAAUGCCAAAUCUGUUUUAAAAUGGUUUUCUUCCCUGAUUAUUUGUUUUCAUGAAUUAUCAGAAAAGUUGAACUUUUCUUGAGGCCAUUUUGGGUUCAUUGAUUUUAACAAGUUUGGAAUUACUUUGAAUUGAGAAGUGGCUAUGGUUUUUUUAGUUUUGCUUCACCACUUGCUUUGAUCUUGUUGCAAUUUCUUGGAUGAAAUGCAAUGAAGAUAUGAGCACAAUGCUAAACCUUGGUUAGGAUUCCAGGGAUGUGACAACUCACCCCACUCAAAAGAAUCUUGUCCCGAGAUUUAGAAGUCGUCGGGAAUAACGCGGGACACUCAAGUCGGAGACGAUCCUCUCAUAAUGAUUUGACCAUUGAACUUUAAGAAACUUGAGGUUUCGACGUCGAGUGGUACGCUCAGCUUGAUCAAGAAUACGCACAGGGUAUUCUCGGUAUGAAAGGUUAUCUUGAAGAUCAAGCGUUUCGUGGUCCACUUCACGGAUAGGAUCCGAAAAGCAACGCCUGAGUUGCGAGACGUGGAAGACAUCAUGAACCUUGGAAAGAUGCGAAGGAAGUUCCAAUUGGUAGGCAACUUCUCCUCGUUUGGCAAGAAUGCGAAAAGGACCAAUGUAACGAGGAGCCAAUUUGCCCUUGAUACCGAAUCGAUGGGUACCCUUCAAAGGUGUAACCCGAAGGUAAGCCUUCUCGUCAACUUCAAAGGUCACAGCCUUAUGAUGACGAUCAUAUUGGCUCUUUUGACGAGACUAGGCUGUUUUCAACUUUUCACGAAUAAUGCAAACCUGCUGUUCUGCAUCCUGGAUCAUAUCCGGGCCAAAGAGUUUCCUCUCUCCGGUUUCUGACCAAUUAAGAGGUGUUCGACAUCUUCGUCCAUAGAGAACUUCAAAAGGGGCUUUGCCCAAGCUUGAUUGAUAACUAUUGUUAUAAGCAAAUUCGGCGAAUGGAAGGCACUUCUCCCAAUUCAUACCGAACAAUAUAACACAAGCUCGGAGCAUAUCUUCUAGGACUUGAUUCACUCUUUCUACUUGACCACUUGAUUGAGGAUGGAAAGCAGUGCUAAAAGAUAAGUGAGUCCCCAUAGCAUUCUGAAAAAUUUCCGAGAAACGAGAAGUAAAGAUACUCCCACGAUCUGAGUUAAUCUCCACAGGAACACCAUGAAGAGACACUAUUCGAGAGAUACAUAACUCUGCUAGCUGGCUAGCUGAUAUACUCUCUCGAACUGGAAGAAAAUGAGCUACUUUGGAGAGACGGUCAAUGAUCACAAAGAUAGGAUUAUUUCCUUUCUUUGUCUUGGGAAAUCCGGUAAUGAAUUCCAUACUGACUUUAUCCCAUUUCCAUUCAGGAAUAGCUAAAGGUUGAAAGGUGCUAGCAGGCCUGUGAUGUUCUGCCUUAACUCGACGACAAACGUCGCAGUUAGCAAUGAACUCAGCAAUUUCUCUCUUCAUCCUAGUCCACCAAAACCUGUGGCGUAGGUCCUGAUACAUCUUAGUACUACCAGGAUGAAUGGUGAGAGGAUAAUAAUGAGCCUCCUUAAGGAUCAACUACCGCAGACGUUUGCUCUUAGGAACCACUAAACGGUUCUGAAAGAACACAACACCUUUCUCAUUGAUGGAGAAAUCCCUAGCGUUUCCGCUAGCAAUAUUCUCCUUGAUCCGGGAUAUACCCUUAUCAUAAGCCUGCACGGCUAUGAUUUGAUCCCUAAGAGUAGGCUUCGCCACCAGGGUAGAAAGAAAUCCUUGAGGAACAAUAUGAAGAUUUAACUUCCGAAAUUCCUCAUAGAGAUGUGGUUGACCUCGUUGUAGCAUCAAGUUGUUACAAUAAGACUUACGACUUAGUGCAUCAGCCAUAACAUUGGCCUUCCCCGGGGUGUAAGUUAUCCCUAAGUCGUAAUCCGUGAUCAACUCAACCCACUGUCUUUGCAUGAGAUUCAAAUCCGGCUGGGUGAAGAUAUAUUUCAGACUUUGGUGAUCACUGAAUAUUUUGCAACGAUUACCAAGAAGGUAAUGUCGCCAGGUUUUAAGUGCAUGGACUACAGCUGCAAGCUCAAGAUCAUGUGUGGGAUAAUUAUCCUCAUGUGGACGCAACUAUCGAGAUGCGUAUGCAAUCACCUGACGAUCUUGCAUGAGAAUGCAAUCUAAUCCUUGUCGCGAGGCGUCGCAAUAGAUAACAAAGUCCUUAGAAAAAUCUGGUGGUAGCAACACAGGUGCGGAAGUCAGGCGUCUUUUCAGUUCCUGGAAAUUAUGCUCACACUAUGGUGUCCACUCGAACUUUUUAUCUUUCUUGAGGAGUUCAGUUAGAGGCUUUGCAACCUUGGAGAAAUUCUCGACAAAGCGGCGGCAAUAGCUCGCUAGACCAAGAAAACUCCUAACUUGCUUAACCGAUUCAGGUUGAGUCCAAUCAAGGACAACUUGAACUCUCUCAGGAUUGACAGCAAUACCCUUACCAGAGAUUACGUGACCUAGAUAGGUCACUUAUGGUAACCAAAAUUCACAUUUUGAAAACUUGGCAUAAAGGCGAUGCUCUCAAAGUUUCAUCAAUACCAGCCUUAGAUGCUCGGCAUGUUCUUGUUCGUUCUUCGAGUAGAUGAGAAUAUCAUCGAGGUAUACCACGACGAAUUUAUCCAAAUACUCCAUGAAGACUGAAUUCAUCAAGCGAGAGAAGGCGGCUGGGGCAUUGGUUAAAUCGAAGGACAUGACGGUGUACUCGUAUUGGCCAUAACGAGUGACAAAAGCCGUUUUUGGAAUGUCCCCGUUCUUGAUCUUGAUUUGAUGGUAUCCCAACCUCAAAUCCAUUUUCGAGAAGAUUGAGGAUCCAGCGAGCUGAUCAUACAGGUCGUUGAUCCUGGGGAGCGGAUACUUGUUCUUUAUGGUGACCAGAUUCACUAGUCGGUAAUCUACAACCAUCCGAUCCGUUCCGUCUUUCUUCUUGACGAAGAGGACGAGACAAGCCCAAGGAGAAGAGCUAGGACGAAUGAAACCUUUAUUCAAGGCCUCAUCUAGUUGCUUCUUAAGUUCGGCUAGCUCCAGGGGUGCCAUCUUAUAUGGUCUUCUGGCUAUUGGAACAGUUCCGAGAACAAGAUCUAUUACGAACUCUACAUCUUUGUCACGUGGAAUUCCUGGCAGUUCCUGUGGAAAAACAUCCGGAAAGUCACGGACUACCGGAAUGUCUUCAAGUUCUGGAAGAGGGUUGACAUUGAGGGAGUAGAGUUGGCAUUUGGCAACUCGAGUAGCGACAUUGACUAUCUCACCUGAGGGAUGGGUAAGCUGAACAUUUCUGGAAUGAGUAUCAAUCUUGGCAUAGUGAGCUGACAUCCAGUCCAUACCCAAGAUGAUAUUAAUAUCCGAAGAUUUCAGGGCUAUCAAUGAUGCUAGAAAAACUAGCCUGUCUACUAGAAUUUCAUUGUCAUAGGUUAUCCUAGAGGUUUUCCACAUACUACCAGGAGUUUGGACAACCAAUAGAAUUGGCAUAUCACAGAAAGACAUCUUAUGCAACUGUGCAUAACUUUCUGAAAUGAAGGAAUGAGAAGACCCAAUGUCAAAAAGAACAGACGCUGGGUGAUGAUUAACAAGGAGCGUACCCAGUAUGACGUCGAGAUCCUCUGCAACUUCUUCUGCUGAAACAUAGUUCACACGACCAUGUGCAGGAGUUGGCUUCACAUAGUAAGCUUUGCCCGACGAACUUUCUGGGUUGCUUGGCACCCACAUUCCGAGGACACUCACGGGAAUAGUGCCCUGGUUCUCCACACUUGUAACACAUCACUUGGUUGGCACGUGGUGCGGCAUUGCUAGCUGGACCACCAUAGGUUUUUUGUUGGAGGGUUGGACUGAUUCGUCUGAGGCGCCACAUAAGAUGGCGUCGGAGUGUAUCUUGGCGGCAGAGAACUGUUUGGAACCCACAACCUGCGUUUUGGAAAUGUGGAACCAGAUGACAAGCCAAAAUCACGGGAGUGCUUCUUUGUGGCUUCGUAGUCGGUAUGACCAGUCUCGGCACUGAUCGCCUUGUUGACCAGGGCUUGGAAACUUGUACACUCAUGGAGGCGCAAAUCACGACGAAGCUCAGGGCUCAGACCCUUACGGAAUCUUGCUUGCUUCUUGGCAUCAGUAGACACCUCCUCUGUUGCAAAGCGAGCGAGGUUACCGAACUCGCGGCUAUAGGCAUCCACGGUCAACUUUCCCUAGGUGAAUGCACGAUACUCCUCUCUCUUUCUGUCCAUCAGGCCCUCUGGAAUAUGGUGCACACGGAAGGCUGCACUAAAGUCUGCCAUGUGACUGCUGGUUCAACAGGACACAUAGCUUCAAAGUUCUCCCACCACAGAUUGGUGGGUCCUUCCAGAAAAUACGCCACAAAGGUCACCUUGUCGGCCUCACAAACAUUCGCAGAGCGGAUCUUACGUGAAAUACUGCACAACCAAUCACCAGCGUCGUGGGGAUCGACGGAGUGAUGGAACUUUGGAGGAUUCAGCUUCACAAAGUCAUUGAGGGACACUACAGCAUUCCUAGGCUGACGAGCCAUAUUUUGCUCAAUACACUCUAAUAGUCGGUUGGUCUCCCUUUUGUUUCUCUCUGCCUCAAGCAUAACUUCCGCCAGAGAGGGCGGGUGAGGCAGUUCUUCCUGCGACGCUUGACUACCCUCGCCUUGCUCAUGAGCAGGGGCACGGUUCAAGCUGGUGAACACCAUCCUGACAAACAAACUCACAGCUUAGACCAAUAUCAUCAUCAAUACUAGCUAUGGAUUAAGAAUGCACUUAACACAUGGAAUGCGUAAAUGAAUAUCCGAACAGCAUGGUAACAAGCAACUGCUAUAUAUACACCAUGGUUCAUACACACCAUUACAUAGUUCAGUACAACCUUAACCGAAGAGCAAACUACUGAAGUUAUGAAACUACUCGUCAGAGGCUUACAAGCUUCCUAUACAUUAUUUAUCUAUGCCUCCGGAAUUCAUUUCACGACACAAGCAUACUUCACAAGUCACACAGGACUGUGAAAGUACAGCUACUACCAUACUAUCCUUCCACUCACGGUUCAGGCAUCGGCAUAGAACAUCUCAUAAAGAUUGCCUCCAUGGCCUGGAAGCUCAACCUAUGGAUCAGGAAAUACUCUAGCCUGAGAUCCCUCGGAUCCGUAAGGACACGGAUGUGGCCUUGGUCCCCUGACUAGUGGUAGUAGAGGUCCCCGAAGAGGGGUGACUCCUCCUAUAGCAGGCCAGUCAACAUGAGCUGGAAGAUGGGUCCUAACAGGCUUCAGCAUCUCCAUAUCUCCAUACCCUGUCUGGACUACAGGUGCCAGCUGCGUCAAAGCCGUCCACAGACGGGCACGUGUAGCAUAAAGCUCCAUGCGGAGGGCACGAGCAUCUGUGUCUCUAUUUUCUAGCAUCUCAGCAGUGGACUGCCGCAGCGGAUCCUCCAUAGAGGAAUCAAAGUAGACCAUGCUGAGGUAUCCUUCUUCACCUGGCUGAGAGGCAGGAACAUAGCAGAACUCUGAAUUCUGCAGCAGUGCAUGCCUAGCCCUCAUGAUGCUCAGCAUUGAAUAGGCAGCAUCUUGUACUACCAUGUCAACAGUGACUCCCAAUCCAUAAGACCAAUGGAUUGGCUCCUCAGCUCUAGGGUAAUCUGGAAAUACCCUAACAGUGCAGAUAUACUGGCUCUGGUUGAAGUCUCGGUACUGUUCCUCCAUUGUGUACUCUGGGUACCAGCGGUAACCGCACACCGACAUCACCCUGACUAGCAUGGCCGUAUGACCCGGCACAUCAAUGCACCUAGUCAGACGAACCACCUGACGAGAAGGACGGCCAGGCAUCUGUAAAUAGAGAGUAAUGCAAAAGCAUUAGAACUCUGAAUGCAAAAUUGGGCAGCAUAACGGCUGUAAAUGCUCAAAAACAAUUUUGAGACAACCCAUAAAAUAGAAUAGCGUAACCACUCAACUAUCAAGUUCAAUUCUCUGAUCAUCAAACCUACUUCCUUUUCCUAGGGAUAAAAGAAACCCAAAAUAACUCUCGACCCGUUGUCCUAUAAUCUACCGAUCAAAAACACGAGCCUAGAAGAAGAUGAGCAACCUAGUCCUUAAUUCCCGCAGAAAAGACGAGGAUGACCAGAAUAGAAUAUCUUGAGAAGAGAACAAGAGUCUUACGUUCCCUUCCACAAACAAUUCCCUUAUAUAUAACUAAAGAAAUUCUAGACUCAACUUCGACUAGUUUGGCUUAGUAAUCCUACAGUCAGUCAGGCUCUGAUACCAACAUUGUCGGGACCCCGAUCCUAAGUCAUAGGAAUCCAGUCUGUAACACAUCGCAUCUCUUUGCGGUCUCACGCACGGUUAUCCCCACGGCUGCAGCCUUACCUUAGCCGGGACCGUUUGCGCCUUUUGACUCGCGUAUGCAAUUGUGUCGCUAGCAAUCCAGUGAUAGAGAACCUGGAUCGACAUGUCUAGUCAUAAACCAAAGCGGCAGUUCCGCACAGGGACAGGCAUAAAUGACCCAGCAAAGCAGGUGUCAGUCACCGGCGAAUGUAGAUGAGUCGUAGAAAGCUACAAGGACUCCAUUACAUCGCGUGACAUUUCCCCAACGGGGACAGACACAACAGCUAAGAAGGACACAUGCCAUUCAACCAAUGUGUCCGGAGCAGUAGCGAACUACCAUGGCUCGUUGGAUCACAAAGGGCCAUUUCCCUGUAAGGAAUGCUACUAAAGCCUACGGCUAGGUAAUCGAACCCCAUACAUAUCAAGUACACCACACGUACGCAUGGCAUACUGAUAUGUAUAGAUACAUCGAUGGAAUCACAACAUAACCAUGAACAUACAAACUUUAUUUAAAAGGCUCGGAAGAGCCUCACACAUAAUAUUACACAACAGGGGUCUCACGACCCAUCAUAACAGUCAUUCAAGUUACAAGCCAGCGGAAGUAAUUAAACUGUCUGAGUACAGACAGGUGAAACUAGAAGGCACAUGGCCUGACUAUACUACAGACCCACCCUAGGGCCAGAUCGUAGCUGGGAUACCAGCUACUCGUCGUCGUCGAUGUCUAGGUAGAACCCUCCAUUAGGGUCAUUAACAACCUCUGCAACAAAUUAUUAAGCAAACGUGAGUACAGGGGUACUCAGCAAGACUUUAGGAUAGCUAUCUACUCAUGCAAUGUAUCAAAAAGGAAUUGUGGGGUUUCAUGCAGAAAGCAAGCAUUUGACUCGUGGCUAGACAACUUGCAUUUUUAAAUAAUUUUGACAACUUGAUUUCUCGCACACGAGUUCACUAAAACCACAACAAUACUCCAUCGUGGAAUCAUUCCAUCUCCAUACGGAAAUGCCGUCCACGACACUCACGCUUAUCUUGACAAUUUUAUGAGUAGCCAUUAAAGUUAUCUAUGAACAACAUAUGUCUCCAAGUAGUCCAUAUCCGCGGACGCGGCUAUUCGAAUAGAUCAUAACCCUACAGGGGUGUGCUUCUUCACACACGCUCUCGCCACUUAUCGCCAUGUAUUCAAAUAGAAGGCAUGAGGAAGAAGACGCCCCUACCCCUGGUGGGCUGGGCCUCCUCACGGCGACAGGUAAGCUCCUUUUCAUUUUUUCUGUUUUGUUUUCUGGUUUGCUAUCUAUUUAGAUUUGCUAUUUAUUUCAGCUCCAAAAUAGUUUAUAAAAUAUUUUGAACACACCAGAAUAAUAGUUGGAAUAUUUCCAACCAUUCCUGAAGUUUUCAACAUUUUUGAAAACUUAAAGUUUUUGAAUUCAAAUUUAAACUUGAAUUCAGUGGCUUUUUGCAUUUAAAUAAAAUGCCAAAUCUGUUUUAAAAUGGUUUUCUUCCCUGAUUAUUUGUUUUCAUGAAUUAUCAGAAAAGUUGAACUUUUCUUGAGGCCAUUUUGGGUUCAUUGAUUUUAACAAGUUUGGAAUUACUUUGAAUUGAGAAGUGGCUAGGUUUUUUUUAGUUUUGCUUCACCACUUGCUUUGAUCUUGUUGCAAUUUCUUGGAUGCAAUACAAUGAAGAUAUGAGCACAAUGCUAAACCUUGGUUAGGGUUCCAGGGAUGUGACAAUGUUGCACCGUAUGUUUGCCCAUUGCACGGUGUCUCUCUUUCGUUGCGCCCUCGACACAUGGGAACCCGGUAACUGCGAUCACCCCAUCUUUAUUUAACGUUCUCGCACACGCUUCCAGUACGUUGGCACGAUAUCUCGACGAGUUAUCGGGAUGGAAACGUUGUCGUGGCUUCAUUUCCUUUUGCCGCCAUGGUUCCCUCUCGUUCGCCGUGGCGACACAUGUUUCUUUCUCGUCUUGCCGUGUCGUUUGAACUCGCAUGCAUGACGCAUUCAUGGCAUAUAUCGUGUGUUGCAUGUCUCUUGUAUCGUAGCUCCGUUCUAAGUCCCGCGUGCUAUCGACUAGUAUGUCUGGUAAAAUCACGCGCUUCACUCCUUGCCAUGUUAAAAAAACAUUUAAUAUUGCCGUGUAAAUUAACUUGACUGAACUAAAUAAUUAGUCGUGGAGUUUCGUCGAUAUGCAACCCGUUGCAUAUCGAGCUUCACUUAAUGUGUAGUGUUUGCAUGAGGUGAUUUGCCAUGCCAUCCCUUGUAUUUUGAACUCAUCACGCAUCAUAGUAGGUUGUGCAUCAUGUUGUGCAUCGUGUGGUGAAUAUCUGUGUUGAUGUUUGUUUCCGAUUUGCCUCGUCUCGAUAGAGUUCCGCAAGCGUGUCGGAAUGUGAGGACCCGUUCGACUACGUUGGUUCGCCGACUUCUCGGAGUUGUACUUCUUCCAAGCGGGAUCUCAGGCAAGAUGACCAUUUCCCCAGAUACCAUUACUAUCAUUGCCAUGCUAGUUUUACCGCUUCUAUCGUUUAUGUCCCGUUGCCUGCCACAUGUUAAAUAUCAGCCUCUCAACAAUGCCAUGAUAACCUUCAACCUGUUCGACCUAGCAAACCUCUGAUUGGCUAUGUUACCGCUUGCUUAACCAUGCUGUUAGCGUUGCUAGUUGCAGGUGCAGAUGCUUCCGUGUGAUAACAUGGGUUCCUUGUCAUAUCACCAUAUUUAAAUGCUAUUUAAUUUAAUGCACCUAUAUAUUUGGUAAAAGGUGGAAGGCUCGUCCUUUCUAGCCUGGUGUUUUGUUCCACCUUUGCCCCCUUAGUUUCGGAUACCGGUGUUAUGUUCCAUAAAUGAGCGCUCCUAACACGAUCGGGGUUGUUAUGGGGACCCCCUUGAUAAUUCGUUUUAGAUUAAAGCUGGUCUGGCAAGGCCCAACUUUGGUACUACAUUUGCCUAACAACUAAUAAACUGCAUAGGGAGUAAUUAACCCGAGGAAAUUUAAUCAACCCCCGGGCCAGUGCUCCUCAUGAGUGUUGGUCCAAAAUGGACAGACUGCGGGGCCACCACGGGGCAACUCGAGGUUUGGUACCUGUAGGCUUUUCCAUCCGUCGUGUCCUGAGAACGAGGUACGCGACUCCUAUCGGGAUCGUCGACACGUCGGGCGGCCUUGCUGGAUUAGUUUUACCUUUGACGGAAUAUCUUGUGCAUCGGGAUUCCGGUGAUGCUUUGGGUAAACUCAGAGUUGAGGUUUUCCACUAGGGAAUCCGACGAGAUCGUGAGCUUCGUGAUUGAGGAUUUCUAUGUGGCUUGUGGUAAUUUGUGAUGGACUAGUUGGAGCACCCCUGCAGGGUUAAAUCUUUUCGGAAAGCCGUGCCCGCGGUUAUGUGGCAACGUGGAAACUUUGUUUAACACUGGUUCUAGAUAACUUGAAGUUAACUUAAUUAAAACUUGCCAACUAUGUGCGUAACCGUGACUGUCUCUUUCAUGAGUUCCUUCUCCGAUCGAGGACACGGUGGGGUUAUGUCUCGCGUAGGUAGGUGUUCAGGAUCAUUCAUUUGAUCAUCAGUAGUUCACGUCCGUUAUGCGUAGAUCAUCCCCCUCUUAUUUCUUGUACUCGUAAGUUUAGCCACCAAAUAUAUGCUUAGCCGCUGCUGCAACCUCACCACUUAACCUUACCUCACCCAUUAAGCUUUGUUAGUCUUGAUACCUUUGGAAAUGAGAUUGUUGAGUCCCCUGUGGCUCACAAAUUACUACAACACCAGUUGCAGGUACAUGUAAAGGUUACUUGACGCGAGCGCGUUGAUUGUUCAUUUGGAGUUGCUUCGUCUUCUUCUUCAUCAUCGAUCUAGGAUGGGUUCCAGGUCGGCAGCCUGGGAUAGCAAGGAUGGACGUCGUUCUUCUUUUCUCAUUUGUUUUCCUCCGUAGUCGAACCCUACUCUUCUUCAUGAUGAUUAUGUAUUGUACUGAUGUGACUCUGAUGUAGCUUGUGGCGAGUGUAAGCCAAUUCUAUUUAUAUAUCUCUUCUUUUCAGUACAUGUACUUGUAACGAUAUCCAUUCUUGCGACAUGACGAGAUGCGCUUCUAUCCCUGAUGAGGCCUUCGUGCCAAAUUAAGGAUAGGAUUGCAUCUUGGGCGUGACAAGUUGGUAUCAGAGCAGUACCGGCCUAGGAGCCCUCUUGAUUGAUCGAACUUGGCCGAGUCGAGUCUAGUGAAAAAAUACUUUGAGUCUAGUUAUAUAUCGGAGAGUAGGAUUCUUUUUUCUCCUCUUCUUUGCUCUGGUGAGGAAUCUUGACGUAAUAAUUUAUUCUACUCCUCUUCUCACUCAAAAAAAAUUUAGGAUCACGCGGAUAUUUUUGGGAUCUAUAUGAUGCCAAUGUGACGGAGUUCUGUCUUGGUGCCUCCUGUCUGAUUUGAUUUUCUUCCGGGGAGUUGAGCUCCAGGGGAUUCUUGAGCACAUCGUUAUCAUUCAGGUUUCUUAGUAUCUCAGAAUGAAGGAUGUUCGUAAUUUCUUCAAUACUAGUAGUGGCGAGAUAACCCCGAUGUCCCCAAUACUGAUGCAGAUUGUUCGGGAGUACUGCCAUACUUUUUAUUGUUGUGAUCACGAGGGUCUGUUGUAGAUGAAGGUCCGAGAUUCUGGUUGUGUGUUGAGGGAUGUGAUACAGGUGACGGGUUAGUAUAGGAGUUGUGUGACAUUACUCCUUGUAUCCGUGUACCAGAUUGCAUGACCAUAUAUUUCGGGAAUUCUUAGGUGGGAAUUCAAGUAGUUACUUAUAGGACGAUCUUCCAACAAAUUCGUGUUGCUUCGAUGUCAAGUGGUGAUUUCAGAUCUUUCCUAAGUGGUGUUCUCAUAUUUUUAUGUGGGAAUGCAAAUUCUUUUGUUCGUUCAAAUUGUCAUAUCAAUUCUUGUCUACCGGAGUUGUCAUAUCAAUUCUUUUCCAACCGGUGUGCUUCUCUUCAGUGAAUUCAAUCCUCUCUAAUUUUGCAGGUCAUUCUCUCAAUUCUUUCCGGAGUUAUCUCAUCUGUCUCAAGUUGUCUUUGUUUUUCCCCGCCCUCCCACCUUUUUUCUUCAAUGAUUCAAUUUUCAUCCAAGAGUUUUCUUUUCAUUGUGCUUCCGCUGUCUGUUCUUUUCUCUCUUACCCGGUGAUUCAUUGUGAAGAUUCUCAGGAAAUUCGUAUCAUAUUUGUUCAUUUUUGUCAUCCUUACCGGUGAUUUAAUUCAGUUGUUCGUGUUCAUCAUAUCCUAUUCAUCCUUGUAAUUCUUUCCUGUGUUGGAAAUUCUUAUCAGCCUAUCUUGCUUUUCAUUCCUCUCUUUUCUAUCCGGAGUGUUGAAGACAGCCCACUAGUUUCUUGUUUUCAAUUCUUUCAAUUAUUUCGAGGUGCUAACCUCAUCUAGUUCUCUUCAUACCGGUGCUAUAUCAAUCUUUUCUAACGGUGGUUUCUUUGAGUGGGCCCAUAACCCACAUGUUUUCCCAGGAUCUUUCCUGGCUCUUUUAAUCUUUUCCUGGAGAUCUCUAAUUCUUUUCAACUAUGACGUAAGUAUGUUUUCCAUCAGUCAUAUCCCUUCGUCAAGAUCUAUUUGAAUUAAUUCUCAUAUUGGUUCAACCUUUCAUUCUUCUUUAUCCCGGAGUGUCUCAUUAAUUUUUGGUGGUGUUGUUCUCGUCAUCAUUCUCAGCUUGCAAAUUUGAAGGAGUGUUUCUCUCAGUCUUGUUCCAUUCUUGUGAAGACUGUCAUCUCAGCUUCGUGUAUCCUCUCAUUUGUUGUCAAUCAUGAGUGAUCCCUUUCUUGCUAUCCGGUGCAUUUCUGAGUUGUUUUUAUUUCUCGUUCCUCCGAAGGCCAUCAUUUUAGAAGAUUCUUCGUUCUCAGUUUGCAACUUUCGUUCUCUAAUUCUUCUCCAUUGUGGUUUCUUCGUUCGUCUCUCGUUUAUCCGGUGCCUUGUUCUAGUUUUCUCUCGGGUGGCUCAUGAUCUCUUCAUUCUCAUGUAUCUCCAUUAAUUCGUGGUGUUCCCAUUUAUUUGUGAAUUCUUACCGGUGCUUCCUUCAAUUUUGCCUCAAGUGGUGCUUAUCUCUCUUCCUCUUCAAGAUUCUUUCAAGAAUAAGUGGCAUGCUAAAUCCGUUGCUUGUCAUCAAUUAAACUUGAUGAAGGAUUAUCAUAACAUAAUUCUUAUUCUUGUUUCAUCAAAUGAUUUCAAUUCUUCUUCCGGAGUGGCUCAUGAUAUCAAUUCCUUUUCUCAAGUGUUCUUAUCUUUUCUUUUCCGGAGUUCCAAGUUUUAUCAAGUAUCUCUUUGUGAAGCUUCAUCUAAAUCUUGGCAAGGUCAUAAUCUUAUUCUUUUCUACCUUCAUAUCUUGCAACAUCCUUUUGUUACGGAGGUCCUUCUUGGUGGUUCAUCAAGAUUUCAUUCAUUUUGAAGUGUACUUCAACAUUCCUGUUGGAGUAUCUCAAGUUUUCUUCUCUUGCAUUUCCAAGUGCAUUGUUCUUCCUUUAUCAUUUGAGGUGGUAUUAUAGCAUUCUUGUUAGUGUAGGAGUCUCGAAGAGUUUUUCCUUUCAAGUAUGAGAUAAUUAAAUCCACCAAUUCUUUGGUCAUGAGAUAUUUUCAACCCAUGAUUUCUUCAUUGAGCUAUUUUGGGUUGGAUUUCACCUAAAGCUUUUCCUAUGGAUUAUGCUAUCAUGGUGCUUGUCAUUAAUCCCAGUUCUCAAUGUAUCCUCUUGGUGUAAGAAGUUUUGAUAUCUUUGCUUUCAUCUGUCCUUGUUUCUUUUAGUGGUUGGUGGUCACCUCAUAGAUGUUGAGAUGAUUUUCAUAAGCCCACUACUUUCUUGUUCUUUUCGUUGUUGGUUUUCCAACUACUACGUCAAUUCUCCGUCCGGAGGCUCUUCAAUUCUAUUGUGAUGAUAAUUGGCAUUCUUUCUUCAUCCUCUUCUUCUGCUUGAGCUAGUUCCUAUUCUAUUGUUCCGGAGGCAUUGCGUUGUUGCUCUUUUGGGUCAAUCAUGUUGUUCUAUCAAGAUCAUGGUGUUCCCUUGUUAUAUUUAGUUGUUGGCUGUGAAUAUUGUCUAUUUCUUCCAUCUUAUCGAAUUUUUUGUCCCUUUUUCCUACCGAAGUGCUACCGAAAUUUUCCGUGAAUUCUUUCUUCUUCUCAUAUCAUUCCUCAUCUCUUUGCAACCUUCAAAGAUCGUUGGUUUCACUCGUUUGUCAAGAUGCGACUUAGUUUUACCUCUUGCUUUCUUAUCCUCUCCCCCCUUUCAUUCUUGGAUCUCGGGGCGAGAUCCUCUUGUAGUGUAGGAGAGUUGUGACAGCCCGAGACCGACGUUCCAGAAGAUUCCCCCUUUAUUUCCGUUUCCAUCGCGUGGUUAGUUUUAUUUGGUGGCAUCGUCAUUUAGUUUGCAUCAUCGCAUCAUGCAUGGCAUCAUGUCAACUGUGUUUUGUCGGUGUUGCUUGUUGCCGUGUUGUUGGGUGUUAGUGCUUUGUGAGUGGCGUUGUUUUGGAGUGAUGAGAGUGGGUGCGCGAGAGCCACCUCAAAGCCGUGUUGCACCGCGGACCUAAAACCUUCUCUCCCCUCUCUUUUCAUUUUUGUGGUUUUGCUAAAGUUUCCGUUUUAUCCCCUUAAAAAAUAAACGUAUUCUUUUAAAAAGGUCCUUUUAUUAAAUGUGGGGGCAACCCUUGGGUUUUAUUUUAUUUCUCCUUUUGUUUUAUUUUAAAACCGUCUCAUUUUAUUUUCUCUUUUAAAGAGCUUUUAUUUUAUUCUUUAAAUAAAAGAGGUUUUAUUUUAUUUUCUCUUGUCAAAAAGGAGUUUAGAUUUUAUUCUUUUGUGAAAGGGUUUUAUUUUAAUUCUUAAAAGAAGGUUUCAUUUUUUUAUUUGUUUUAAAAAACCCAAGCUAUUUUUAUAGUUGGGGUAUAUUUUUCGAAGGUGCCAAAAGCAUUAUUUUUAUUUUUCUUACUUUGUUAAAAGCUUUUCUUUUGUUUGGGUUUUUCUGUUUUAAAAAAAACAGCAAAGAGGGAGAGGAGCCCACCCAGCCUUAGUGCCACCAGGCCCAAGGCCCAGAGCCAACCAGCCUCGUCAGCCCUAGCGACGCAGCCCCCUCGUCCCUCGUCCCUCGUCCUCCCCGUGCGCCGUUCCCUCCUCCUCCCGAUCUCGUCCCAUCUCUCUCUCCCCCGAUUCCCCUCUCCUCCACCUAGGUCGCCGCCGUGCUCGCCUCCCCAUGGCUCCCUCGCCGCGCUGCGCCCUGCCGGUGCCCGUGCGCGCCUACCUAUCCCCUCGACCUCGCCCCUCCNNNNNNNNNNNNNNNNNNNNNNNNNNNNNNNNNNNNNNNNNNNNNNNNNNNNNNNNNNNNNNNNNNNNNNNNNNNNNNNNNNNNNNNNNNNNNNNNNNNNNNNNNNNNNNNNNNNNNNNNNNNNNNNNNNNNNNNNNNNNNNNNNNNNNNNNNNNNNNNNNNNNNNNNNNNNNNNNNNNNNNNNNNNNNNNNNNNNNNNNNNNNNNNNNNNNNNNNNNNNNNNNNNNNNNNNNNNNNNNNNNNNNNNNNNNNNNNNNNNNNNNNNNNNNNNNNNNNNNNNNNNNNNNNNNNNNNNNNNNNNNNNNNNNNNNNNNNNNNNNNNNNNNNNNNNNNNNNNNNNNNNNNNNNNNNNNNNNNNNNNNNNNNNNNNNNNNNNNNNNNNNNNNNNNNNNNNNNNNNNNNNNNNNNNNNNNNNNNNNNNNNNNNNNNNNNNNNNNNNNNNNNNNNNNNNNNNNNNNNNNNNNNNNNNNNNNNNNNNNNNNNNNNNNNNNNNNNNNNNNNNNNNNNNNNNNNNNNNNNNNNNNNNNNNNNNNNNNNNNNNNNNNNNNNNNNNNNNNNNNNNNNNNNNNNNNNNNNNNNNNNNNNNNNNNNNNNNNNNNNNNNNNNNNNNNNNNNNNNNNNNNNNNNNNNNNNNNNNNNNNNNNNNNNNNNNNNNNNNNNNNNNNNNNNNNNNNNNNNNNNNNNNNNNNNNNNNNNNNNNNNNNNNNNNNNNNNNNNNNNNNNNNNNNNNNNNNNNNNNNNNNNNNNNNNNNNNNNNNNNNNNNNNNNNNNNNNNNNNNNNNNNNNNNNNNNNNNNNNNNNNNNNNNNNNNNNNNNNNNNNNNNNNNNNNNNNNNNNNNNNNNNNNNNNNNNNNNNNNNNNNNNNNNNNNNNNNNNNNNNNNNNNNNNNNNNNNNNNNNNNNNNNNNNNNNNNNNNNNNNNNNNNNNNNNNNNNNNNNNNNNNNNNNNNNNNNNNNNNNNNNNNNNNNNNNNNNNNNNNNNNNNNNNNNNNNNNNNNNNNNNNNNNNNNNNNNNNNNNNNNNNNNNNNNNNNNNNNNNNNNNNNNNNNNNNNNNNNNNNNNNNNNNNNNNNNNNNNNNNNNNNNNNNNNNNNNNNNNNNNNNNNNNNNNNNNNNNNNNNNNNNNNNNNNNNNNNNNNNNNNNNNNNNNNNNNNNNNNNNNNNNNNNNNNNNNNNNNNNNNNNNNNNNNNNNNNNNNNNNNNNNNNNNNNNNNNNNNNNNNNNNNNNNNNNNNNNNNNNNNNNNNNNNNNNNNNNNNNNNNNNNNNNNNNNNNNNNNNNNNNNNNNNNNNNNNNNNNNNNNNNNNNNNNNNNNNNNNNNNNNNNNNNNNNNNNNNNNNNNNNNNNNNNNNNNNNNNNNNNNNNNNNNNNNNNNNNNNNNNNNNNNNNNNNNNNNNNNNNNNNNNNNNNNNNNNNNNNNNNNNNNNNNNNNNNNNNNNNNNNNNNNNNNNNNNNNNNNNNNNNNNNNNNNNNNNNNNNNNNNNNNNNNNNNNNNNNNNNNNNNNNNNNNNNNNNNNNNNNNNNNNNNNNNNNNNNNNNNNNNNNNNNNNNNNNNNNNNNNNNNNNNNNNNNNNNNNNNNNNNNNNNNNNNNNNNNNNNNNNNNNNNNNNNNNNNNNNNNNNNNNNNNNNNNNNNNNNNNNNNNNNNNNNNNNNNNNNNNNNNNNNNNNNNNNNNNNNNNNNNNNNNNNNNNNNNNNNNNNNNNNNNNNNNNNNNNNNNNNNNNNNNNNNNNNNNNNNNNNNNNNNNNNNNNNNNNNNNNNNNNNNNNNNNNNNNNNNNNNNNNNNNNNNNNNNNNNNNNNNNNNNNNNNNNNNNNNNNNNNNNNNNNNNNNNNNNNNNNNNNNNNNNNNNNNNNNNNNNNNNNNNNNNNNNNNNNNNNNNCUCGCCCCAUGCCGAGGUGCUGCCACCGUUUUGCUGUAGCUGCUUGCAUGAGCUUAGCUGUUGCCACUACUCUGUUGCCUGCUGUCCCGCUGCUUGCUGUUGCCUGCAUGCCGCUGCUGCCAAUUGCUGCUGCUGGCAGUUGUUUGGAGAUGCUCUUGUUGUUGCGGCCAGAUGUUGUUGCCUUGUGUUGCUGCCGAUUUGUAGAUGCUGCUACUGUAUCAAGCUUGGUAGUUGUUAGUUGGUUGCCUGAUGCUUGCGUUGCUUGCUAGCUGCUGCUUGUAGAUGCUACUAUAUGUUGUCGUAGCUUAUUGCUAAUUGAUGUGCUGUGGCCGAAGCUAGUUGUUGUAGUUGUUGUCGGCCGCUGCCCGCUAGAUGUUGUUGCGUUGCCUCGCCCUAUCGCCUUUCGGGAACUUCGCCGAAGACAGCGUGCACCAUCCCCGCCGCUGUGGAAUCGACAAGUUCGCUGAGUACCACGACGUCCUCGACGACCCCGACCAUCUUCGGAGCGUGUUCGACUACCGAUGCGAAGACCAUGUACCGACGCCAAGAGUACGACUACCCUCAACGAGACCCGAGUACCGCAACUUCCUCUACGACCACGACGAUCUUUGUUCUCCUUCACCGAACCAAUCAGCUCCGAUCUGCACACUUCGAAGGUAUACCGAUGGGACGUUGUCGUGUACCGAACGCAUAUGAUGUAUGAGAUGAAUGUAUGUUGCACCGUAUGUUUGCCCGUUGCACGGUGUCUCUCUUUCGUUGCACCCUCGACACAUGGGAACCCGGUAACCGGGAUCACCCCAUCUUUAUUUAACGUUCCCGCACACGCUUCCAGUACGUUGGCACGAUAUCUCGACGAGUUAUCGGGAUGGAAACGUUGCCGUGGCUUCGUUUCCAUUUUGCCGCCAUGGUUCCCUCUCGUUCGCCGUGGCGACACAUGUUUCUUUAUCUUCUUGCGAUGUUCUUUGAACUCGCAUGCAUGACGCAUUCAUGGCAUAUAUCGUGUGUUGCAUGUCUCUUGUGUCGUAGCUCCGCUCUAAGUCCCGCGUGCUAUCGACUAGUAUGUCAGGUAGAAUCACCCGCUUCACCCCUUGCCAUGUUAAAAAAACAUUUAAUAUUGUCGUGUAAAUUAACAGGAGUGAACUAAAUAAUUAGUCAUGGAGUUUCGUCGAUAUGCAACCCGUUGCAUAUCGAGCUUCACUUAAUGUGUAGUGUUUGCAUGAGGUGAUUUGCCAUGACAUCCCUUGCAUUUUGAACUGAUCACGCAUCAUAGUUGGUUGUGCAUCAUGUUGUGCAUCGUGUGGUGAAUAUCUGUGUUGAUGUUUGUUUUCGGUUUGCUCUGUCUCGAUAGAGUUCCGCAAGCGUGUCGGAAUGUGAGGACCCGUUCGACUACGUUGGUUUGCCGACUUCUCGGAGUUUUCUUCUUCCAAGCGAGAUCUCAGGCAAGAUGACCAUUUCCCCACAUACCAUUACUAUCAUUGCCAUGCUAGUUUUACCGCUUCUAUCGUUUAUGUCUCGUUGCCUACCACAUGUUAAAUAUCAGCCUCUCAACAAUGCCAUGAUAACCUUCAAGCUGUUCGACCUAGCAAACCACUGAUUGGCUAUGUUACCGCUUGCUUAACCAUGUUGUUAGCGUUGCUAGUUACAGGUGCAGAUGCUUCCAUGUGAUAAAAUGGGUUCCUUGUCAUAUCACCAUAUUUAAAUGCUAUUUAGUUUAAUGCACCUAUAUACUUGGUAAAAGGUGGAAGGCUCGGCCUUUCUAGCCAGGUGUUUUGUUCCACCUUUGCCCCCUUAGUUUCGGCUACCGGUGUUAUGUUCCAUAAAUGAGCGCUCCUAACAUGAUCGGGGUUGUUAUGGGGACCCCCUUGAUAAUUCGUUUUAGAUUAAAGCUGGUCUGGCAAGGCUCAACUUUGGUACUACAUUUUCCUAACAACUAAUGAACUGCAUAGGGAGUAAUUAACCCGAGGAAAUUUAAUCAACCCCCGGGCCAGUGCUCCUCAUGAGUGUUGGUCCAAAAUGGACAGACUGCGGGGCCACCACGGGGCAACUCGAGGUUUGGUACCUGUAGGCUUUUCCAUCCGUCGUGUCCUGAGAACGAGGUACGCGACUCCUAUCGGGAUCGUCGACACGUCGGGCGGCCUUGCUGGAUUAGUUUUACCUUUGACGGAAUAUCUUGUGCAUCGGGAUUCCGGUGAUGCUUUGGGUAAUCUUAGAGUUGAGGUUUUCCACUAGGGAAUCCGACGAGAUCGUGAGCUUCGUGAUUGAGGAUUUCUAUGUGGCUUGUGGUAAUUUGUGAUGGACUAGUUGGAGCACCCCUGCAGGGUUAAAUCUUUUCGGAAAGCCGUGCCCGCGGUUAUGUGGCAACGUGGAAACUUUGUUUAACACUGGUUCUAGAUAACUUGAAGUUAACUUAAUUAAAACUUGCCAACUAUGUGCGUAACCGUGACUGUCUCUUUCAUGAGUUCCUUCUCCGAUCGAGGACACGGUGGGGUUAUGUCUCGCGUAGGUAGGUGUUCAGGAUCAUUCAUUUGAUCAUCAGUAGUUCAAGUCCGUUAUGCGUAGAUCAUCCCCCUCUUAUUUCUUGUACUCGUAAGUUUAGCCACCAAAUUUAUGCUUAGCCGCUGCUGCAACCUCACCACUUAACCUUACCUCACCCAUUAAGCUUUGCUAGUCUUGAUACCUUUGGAAAUGAGAUUGCUGAGUCCCCUGUGGCUCACAGAUUACUACAACACCAGUUGCAUGUACAGGUAAAGGUUACUUGACGCGAGCGCGUUGAUUGUUCAUUUGGAGUUGCUUCUUCUUCUUCUUCAUCGAUCUAGGAUGGGCUCCUGGCCGGCAGCCUGGGAUAGCAAGGAUGGACGUCGUUCUUCUUUUCUCUUUUGUUUUCGUCCAUAGUCGGACCCUGCUCUUCUUCAUGAUGAUUAUGUAAUGUACUGAUGUGACUCUGAUGUAGCUUGUGGCGGGUGUAAGCCAAUUCUAUUUAUAUAUAUCUUCUUUUCAGUACAUGUACUUGUAACGAUAUCCAUUCUUGCGACACGACGAGACGCGCUUCUAUCCCUGACGAGGCCUUCGUGCCAAAUUGAGGAUAGGGUCGCAUCUUGGGCGCGACAAUAGGGAUACCGACCAUCGAAUCUCGGGCAAGUAUCAUACGGUAGACAAAGGGAAUUGCAUACGGGAUUGAUUGAAUCCCUUACAUCGUGGUUCAUCCGAUGAGAUCAUCGUGGAACAUGUGGGAGCCAACAUGGGUAUCCACAUCCCACUGUUGGUUAUUGACCGGAGAGGUUCUCGGUCAUGUGUGCAUGGUUCCCGAACCCGUAGGGUCUACACACUUAAGGUUCGAUGACGCUAGAGUUGUAAUGGGAAUAGUAUGUGGUUACCGAAGGAUGUUCGAAGUCCCGGAUGAGAUCCCGGACGUCACGAGGAGUUUCGGAAUGAUCCGGAGGUAAAAAUUCAUAUAUAGGAAGUGGAUAUUUGAUCGCCGGAGAUGUUUCAGGGAUCAUCAGUAUUGUAUCGGGACCACCGGAAGGGUUCCGGGGUCCACCGGAAGGGGCCACCAGCCCCGAAGAUCCACGUGGGCCAAAAGUGGAUGGGAACCAGCCCCUAGAUGGGUUGGUGCGCCACCCACCAAGGCCCAAGGCGCAUAGGGCAACAAACCCUAGGGCGUGGUGGUUGUCUUGGGUGGCAAGCCACCCCUAGGGCGUCGCCCCUCCCCCUCUUCGGCUGCCGCCCCUCCAUCUAGGGUGCGCCACCCCUCCUAGGGUUUUCCUAGGGUGGCCGGCUAGCCCUCCCCCUGCCCCUAUAUAUACCCAAGGGUUUGGUGCUGCAAACACACAAGUUUUCUCUCUCUCUUGGCGCAACCCUGCUCUUCCUCCUCCUCCUCCUCCGUAGCGCUUGGCGAAGCCCUGCUGGAGUACCACGUAGCUCCACCGUCACCACGCCGUCCUGCUGCCGGAGCUCUCCCUCAACUUCUCCUCUCUCCUUGCUGGAUCAAUGUGAAGGAGACGUCACCGGGCUGCAUGUGUGUUGAACGCGGAGGCGUCGUUGUUCGACGCUUAGAUCGGAAUCUUCCGCGAUCUGAAUCGUUACGAGUACGACUCCAUCAACCGCGUUCACAGUAACGCUUCCGCUUAGCGAUCUUCAAAGGUACGAAGAUGCUCUACCCCUUGCUCGUUGCUAGCAUCUCCUAGAUAGAUCUUGGUGUGACGUAGGAUUUUUUGAAUUACUACUACGUUCCCUAACAUGUCCAGCUUAUAUAUAACCAUCUCUGGUAACAAGAACAUGGUCAUAUAAUAAAAGACAAUACUAGUAAGGGAGGAGUUCAUCAGAAUUAGUCUACCUCUCGAGGAUGCAACAUUACCAAUCGAGGAUUCACAACAUUUAGGAAAUCUAUCAUCCACAGACAACCAAUCCAGGUUUCGAAGAUUAGAAUAACUAAUAGGAUCCCCAGGUAUUUCAUAGGGAAAUGACCAAUCUGACAGUUGAACAAGUUUGCAUAGAAUUUUAAAGUGUCGUCAUCCCCCCAACACAACACAAAAGAUCUCACUCUUAACAAAGUUGAUCUUAAGCCGAGACAUGAGUUCGAACAUGUAGAGGAGUAAUUUCAGGUUAAUUGCCGCAUCGCUAUCAUGUUCAAAGCAGAUGACAAUGCCAUCUGCAUAUUGAAGAAUGGCUACCCCAUUUUCAAUCAGAUGUGGAGCAAGGCUAGUGAUAAGAUGCUCUUUUGGGACAUUAAGAAUCAUCUUAGACAAUAUUUUUACCGCAAGAUUAAACAAGAAAGGAGAAAAGGGUCUCCUUGGCACGUCCCUUUGUGGCUCUGAAAAUAAGACCCAUUUUCAUUAUUAAGCUUGAUACUCACGGUUCCGUUAUAAAUGAUAUUUUUAACCCAAUAACACGAGUUGUUACCAAAACCGUGAAUACAGUAAACUUUCAAAAGGAAAUCCUAGUUGAUUUUAUCGUAAGUUUUCUCAAAAUCCAACUUUAGGACAAUUCCAAUUUUCUUCUUACGUUGUGUGUGAUGCAAAACUUCAUGGAGGGAUGCCAUCCAUAAUGUUUCUAUGCUUUAUGAAGACAUUUUAAUGUCUACUGAAAAGGAUAUCGGUAUAGACUGCAACUCUAUUAUUCAACACUUCAGUAAUCAACUUGUAGGGACAUCACAACAAGCAAAAGGUCUAUACUGCUGAUUUUUUUAGCCCAUUCAAUUUAAGAAUCAGUUUUGAUUUAAAUACGGUGACCGUCAAUGUCUCACCAGGAAAGGAGGCAUGCGCGGGGCGAGGAAGAAGAUGAGGCAAGGACGACUGAUUGGAUUUGAUCGGACGGUUCCCAAGGGUAACGUUUUAGAUCUGGCGCCGGUCAUUGCUCUUUUAUUCGCCACUCUCUCUGGUCCCCGGUCCCAUUCGUCAGUACCGUGGCGCGGCUGAGAUUCCCAUCUCCGUCCCCUGACAACACUUUCCUCCCCACUUUGCCACCAACGGCGAACCCGCCAAUCUCCCCCGCCUCAUCCGGGCCAUUGGAGACCGGGGUUUCGCUUCGCUCGUAAAUCCCAAUCUAGUCCACUUCUCGGCAAUCCAGUCCAGCACCUCACGGUCAGCCUCUCCGAUCCCAUCCGAUGCCCCGACCUCGAUCCCGCGGGCGGGGCAAAACCAGAUCCGGCUUUCAAAGGAUGGAUCCCGAAGAGGGCAUCAUACCACCGGCUCCGGAACAGGCGGCGCGUGAUCCGACGGAAGAAGAGAGUACGGCGCCGGUGGACGAAGAGAGGGCAGACACUGCCGCGCUAACGGGAGAAGACGAAGGGGCGAGUGAGAAUGAGGCGGAACGGACACGCGAAGAGCUCGAGCGGACGGUCACGGAGCUCAGCAUCCAGAAUGAGUACCUCAAGUCCCAGAUCGCCGGCGCUCAACAGCUGGCGAAUAGCGCCGAGGUGGAAAUAGGCAGUGGUAGGGACGACGACGAUGACUCCGAACUCGUUAGGAGCUUGAAGGAGCAGGUCGAAAGGCUUAGCAAGGAGGUUCAAGAGCAAAAGCAGACGCAGAAGGUCGCGGAGGCGGCUCUCGAGCAUGUGAAUACGUCCUACGCCGAGGCGGACGUCAAGGCUCAGGAGCUCACGGCGAAGCUCAACGAAGGUUAGUUGCUACUCUCCCCGACCCUUUCAUAUUGUGUUAUUGCGGAACUUGGAAUGCCGUGGUUGAUCGACUCGAUUCUUUAGUUUUUCCUGCUCCAGUAUUCCAAACUUGUGUAAACCAUUUCUUGAGAUUUUUACACUUCUCUGAAUAAUGACAAUAUCGACUUCUGGACCUUUUUUGCUUGAUCAGAAUGCACCUUUUUACGUGUAAUGUGGCCAGUGCUUUUUCUGCUCACAUUUCCUUUUUUAGAAUCUAAAUCAUCAUUUGUUCCCAUGUAUGUAGCUCAACUGAAGAUUGAAAAAGAACUAAAGGAACGAGAUGACAAAUAUGUUGAGUUGGAUACUAAGUUCCAGAGGCUUCACAAGCGUGCGAAAAACCGUAUACAAGAUAUACAGAAGGUAACCACUUUAAGCUUUCUGUACAUUAACUUGACAAUAGUGGUUGCAUUACUUUCUAAAAUUUAUGCAGUUAGUUUGGAAAUCACUCACUGUCUGCUCAAGAAUUUGCGCAAGUUAUAAUUUUUGAUUAGUUUCUUAGUGACAUCUGUAAAGAGAGAUAUGAAGGACUGGAGUAUAACCAAAGAACUAGACAUGAAUAGGGGUGUAUGGAAGUUAGCUAUCCACUUGGUAGUACCACGAGUUGGUUUCAAGAUCUAAUGGGUUCCAGCUCUAGCCGACCCCAACUUGUUUGGGACUAAAGGCUUUGCGUGCUAGAACCAUGAGUUGUUGUUGACUUGUUGUUUCUUGUUCAUUCGUGACACAGUUUUGCAUUCUUGACAGGAAAAAGAUGAUCUGGAAGCUCGGUUUAAUGAAAUUAAUCAGAAGGCUAUGGAAACUGCUUCUCUACAGCUAGCGGCACAACAGGAACUGGAACGUGUUCGUCACCAGGCUAGCGAGGCUUUACGGGCAAUGGAUGCUGAAAGACAGCAACUGCGGGCUGUGAACAACAAGUGAGUACAUGUACUGGUCUCACUGUACAACGUUGUCGUGUAUACAUGACUUGAGGUACAACGGUGCUAGCCGCUAGAUGGUGAGGGGGCCAUCUAUUGAAUAAUGUACAAUUUAGAAUAUAGAGCCAGCUAAAGGGCAGAGACAUAGCAGGGAUUUGAGGGACUCGGGUAAUGUACUUGAUUUAUCUUUUGCUUAAUCUUCACUCACGAUAUGGCAACCUCUUACAUAGAGCCUCACUGCCUUAUAACCUCCUAACUACUGUAAAUGCCCUUUCAACUGCUAGAUAUAAGGUUAGGAAUGAAACCGAGUAGAUCUACUGGCCCAGUUCACUCAAGUGGUGGAUCAAUUCCCAAUUUAUUGAAGCAACUAAUUUGAGUGGAUCAGCCCACCGACUUGCAUCCGUAAACAAGAACAUUAAUGUUGCAACCUCUCUUAUAUAGAGCCACCCUACCAUAAACCAAGUAAAACCUCCCAACUACUAGAGAUGUGAUUCAACUGCUAGUUGUAGGUCGGAUGAAACUUUGUUGACCUAGUGGCCCAGCCACAACACUGCUGGAUCAAUUGCCACCCAUUUUUUUACUUUACUUUAUGAACAUGUUCAGUAAAGAAAUAAUUAGUGUCCAACCCGCCCAACUUUCGCAGUUAAAUAAGAUUUCAUCUUUUAAAGGGUAAAAUGCACUCGAGGUCGGUAAGCUCACCUUCCAAAUGUUUUGUUCUCCGCACGACCACCAUGUUGGGCACCAAGCAAGCCUGAACACGAGGCAAUCCAGCAGAAGAGAAGCCAGUGGUGAGAGCCCAUUAAUCGACGGAGGUGGUGUGACGACGUUAGCUGGCAGGCUUGAUUUGGAGAAGAAUUGGUCGUUGGCGAUGAGCGGCGCUACUCCCCUCUGUCGAUGGCAAUCCUGGAUCCUUCGGUGCUUCCAAAUUUGGUUGCUGCAGUCAAUAUCCUCUUCGACCAUGGAUUUGGGAGGUUGGGUGGUCACCUACAUCAGUGAAGGAAGAAAGGAACAUACUAAGACCGAUAGAGCAAGCAACCUAGCUAUCAGUUAGUGUUUAGUGGUAGUAAUUGACAUGAUGGUAAGUCAACCUGGAUUCAGAUAAAUGGUGUUAGGUGUUAAGCUUCAUGCACCAGCCAACGCAACCAAAAGUCCGAACUGAUGGAAUGAGCUAGGCAAUCCACAUAUACACUUCAACACCCCCUCUCACAUGUGACGCGGAAAGUCAACACGUGGACAUACUCAGAGGUAUGGCUCAAGAGGCCUAUACCUUGACAAAGGGGGGACAACGCCAAUUUUUUAGAUAAACUGCGAAGCCAGGACUUGAACUCAAGAUCUUGGGCUUUGAUACCAUGUUAAGCUUCAUGCACUAGUCAACACAACCAAAAGUGAUGGAAAGGGCUAGGCAAUCCGCAUAUACACUUCAACAUUAGGUAACUAGCAACUUGUAAUUCCGGGUGGCCCUAGGCCAGUAUAUAUAUACGUAUGUAUGAUACAAUAUGCAGAAAACCUCUUAUAAAAAAGGGCAGCCCGGUUCAUGUACCCUACUUACACAGGGUCUGGGGAAGGGUCCGACCACUUUGGGUCUUUUGUAUGCAACUUUUCCCUACAGUUCUGCAUGAGUCUGUUUUCAGGACUUGCACGCGUGACCUCAUGGUCACAAGGAGCAACUUCACCUCUACGCCAAGGCCCCCCUUCAGGAAACUUUCCUUCUAUAACGUGGAAAAUACAAAGGGUUACAUGACUAAAUAUAUAUAACUCUUAACCCCCUUGAAACUCAAUGGAUCAACAAUACUAACUUCUGAGAGAUAGAAGCUGUGUUGUGCUCUAGUUUCGGCCUUCAUAAACAAAUCCGCCAAUAGUAACUCGAAAAACAUGAAGGAGGUGACUAGCGAACCGAUGUGAGAGCAGAGACAAACUGACUCAAGACAUGAUGGGAGAUAUCUGGAUGAGUGACUAUUAGAUAUACAAGACCCUCGACAAGAUGACGUUAGCACGUCGGAUCAGACAAGGGGUAACCAUCAAUAGCAUAGAGGUGAAUGUUGAGUUCCAUGGGAGUCUCAACAGUGCGCUCAUCAGUAAGAGCAUCACGAGUAGGAAGAUCUUGGAUAUACUUUCUUUGGAAAUAAAAAAGCAAUAAGAGGUAGAAGAGACCUCAGUCUCAAGAAAGUAGCAGAAAGGGCCAAGAUCAGACAUUAGAAACCGCUCACUAAGCUGUGCCCUCACAAAGACGAUAUACUAUGGGUCGCCGUCGGUGAUGGUCAUGUCAUCAAAAUAUAGAAGACAAGUCUGACUACGAGCAUAAAGGUGACAAAUAGUGCAAGAUCAUGAGCACUCGUUGAAAAACCAGUGACAGUCACCAUAGAGGCAAAGUGUUCAAACAAGGUGCGAGGGGCCUUAAGGCCAUAGAGAGAGCGAUGAAGACGAUAGACCAUGCCGUCAAGAACAGAUUACCAAGGCGGUGGUUGCAUGUAAACUUGCGCACCCAACUCACCAUUAAGAAAGACAUUCUUAACAUCAAGCUGAGACCCGUGGCGAAGCGAGGCCAUGACAAUAAGUGUGCGAACAAUGGUCAUAUGGGCCAGAUGAGAAAAAGUCUCGUCGCAAUCACGACCGUGCUCCUACUAAAAGCCAGAAGCCACAUGACAAGCUUUGUAGCGCUUAAGAGAACCAUGAGAGCGAGUUUUAACCUUGUAGGCCCACUUACAAGUGAUGGGACAAACAUGAGAAGGAAGAGAAACAAAACCCCAUGUACUGGUGCGCUCAAAAGCAGCAAUCUCCUAGGGCAUCACAAACUGUCAUUCAUGAUGGACAACAACAUCAUGAUAAGAAGUCAUCUCAAGAACAACAACGCCAUCGCUUGGAAAACUAAGGCGGUUAACAGCAGAAGUGGACAAAUGCACAAGCCAUAAGUUGGCAGAGCCGAGGAAGAUGGCACAUCGGAGGUAGAUGUGCAUCAGUAGACUCAUCCACAAUACGCGGACGACGAGUAUAAAAGUGAGGAAAAGAGGGAAGAAUAUGAGGAUGAAUCAUUGGAAUAGACUCAGGUGAUGGGGACGGGGAAGCCAAUGGGGAUGAAGGUGUAGAAUCCUGUGACAUAUGAGAGGAUGAGCAAUGUGAGGUAGCCUUAGUUGACGAACAAGGUGAGGAAACCGUAGGAGAUGGCGGCAUCGGGUUUGCGACCGGUGGAUGAGUAGGAAGAGUGGGAUGGUGGGGCGAAGUGGGAGAUGUGUCAAGAAAAAUGAGGAAAGAGAUAUCCUACACUGAAAAGGUUGAAGAAGAUGAAAGCAUGUAGACGUGACGAGACUCAUCAAAAGUUACAUCCAAGAAAUAUGCAUCUGACUAAUGACACAAACCCACCAACGAUAGCCAUUAUGCUCAUCGUAUCCUAAGAAGACACUUGACAGACGAGCGACGAGUUUGGUUCAUUCACGAGGGGUAAGAAGAACAUAGCAAACAUAAUCAAACAAAUGAAGUGCUAAAUAAUCAGGACAAUGAUAAAAAAGAUGCUUGAAAGGAACGCUGCCCUGCAGAGCGGAUGGAUGAAUGUUGUUGAGAUGGGUGGGAGUGGAGACAACCUUAGCCCAAAAGUGAGACGGAGGAGAGGCGGCUACAAUCAACACACGAGCUGUCUGAAGGUGACGAUGCUUGCGCUCAGCCACACUGUUUUGAGCAUAAGCGCCAGGACAAGAGAAUUGAGCAGGAGUACUUGCUCAGCAAGGACUCCACAACAUCUUGGGAGAUGUACUCUCCAAGUCAACACGAAACACACGGAUAGGCGUAGAGAAUUGAGUGUGAACCAUGGUAGGAGAGCACUCACUAUGGGAAGACAUAAAAUAUACCUAGGUGUGCUGAGAGAAAUCAUCUAUAUGAAGAUAAUAUAGUAACUCUGAAAGGACCUUGAGACUCAAUCUUGCUAUGAGGAUAAGGUACCUGGACCUGUUUACCAACCCGACAACCCUGGCAGUCUAAAGACACCGUUGGUGACGGAUCCAAGAAGGCCACGUCGAACUAAAUAUGAUAGACGGGAGCUACAUAAGUAACCAAUACAAUCAUGCCACUGAAAAGAGUUGGUAGACAAGGCAAUGGAGGUGGAGAGUCUGACGGCCGUGACGGCGGAGGAAGGUGAAGCCAGUCAAGCUCUCAGAGGCCCUGGGAGUCACGACGUUGGGGCCAACACCAUGGAGAGCACCAGUGCGACGAUCUUGAACAAAACAAGAGUCAAAGUCCAGAAUGACCCUACAAUCAGAGAACAAUCUGACCAUCAGAAAAUAGUUGCAUGCUAAGUUGAGGAACAUGAGCAACAUCUAGAACAUUAAAAGCAAGAGUGCUAAGAAUGCCUUAGCCAUUAACCUGGAGGGAGGUACCAUCAGUGGUAAGAACAACAUGAGAAUCAAAAGGUCGAAUGGAGGACAAACGAGUCAUGAAAAGAUGCUCCAGUAUCAAGAAUCCACAAAGAUGUACCUACGCGUGUAAAAGGUGGUCUCUCCAUGCCAGAAGAGUCGCUAGCAGAACCAACAUAAUUUAGCAGUACCUAUCGAUGGAGAAUCAGAAUAUGCAACUAGCAUGCAUUGAAGUCGUCUAAUCUCCUGCUCAAGGAGGUUGACGUAGAGGCACUCGAUGAUUGAGAGCUUGAUGCAAUCAACACGUCGCGAAGUCGCACAAUCUCCUGCUGAGUGAAGGACACAACUGAAAUAGUCGACAUAGCAACAUCGGCAGAGGAGCGGCCACCACCUCCUGUAGCGGUUGCUGGAGGAGGCGGUGUAGCAUGGCUUGUAUCAUCUCCAAAAGCUGGUGCAGUAGAUGAGGUCGCAUGUAGACAAGCACCAAGGGCCAAGGGAAGGUGUCGGUGCACUAGAGACUGGGGUCGCCUGUGCCCCAGACUUGUGCACGGGCGCCGGCAACACCCUUGGCGGCAGUACGCGAAGAAGGACCGACGGGAAGAUAACCCAGGCUCGCCAAGAUCACACCCCUCCAAGGGUGUGAAGAACCAGCCCAAGCUACAAGGCCCCGGCAAGCCCUCCUUGCCGGGAAGACCCACAAGGCCCCGGCAAGCCCUCCUUGCCGGGAAGACUCGCAAGGCCCCGGCAAGCCCUCCUUGCCGGGAAGACGUCCAAGGCCCCGGCAAGCCCUCCUUGCCGGGAAGAGGGGUUAGGCCACCGGCAAGGACGCCAGGCGGUAGGCUCCCUUCGCCCGCUAGGUGUCCCUCCUGUCACAGUGCCACCGACUACCACCGCUCCAGCGCAUCCCUCAUGCGCCAGCACAAAGCCCAGGUGUCGAUACAAACAGUACAAACACCGUGUCCUGCGAUAAGAUGGUUAGGGCAGGGAGAGAAACAGUGGCAGUGCAUGCUGCGCAGGAUGCACCGUGGGUGGAAUAUUUGGGACUAAUCCCCUACUCGCCAGCCAACCGAGCAGUUACCAGUUAAUGAUCUCCUUAAUGUUGCAAGCAACUUCUCAUCAAAUCUCAUGCUUAUCUUCUGCAACAGGCAUGCUAAUUAUACAAUAUCUUUCUUACUACUAUAUGCAAAUCAUGCGUAGGUUAAGAUGUAAUUUUGAUGAGACACGGCUUGCUUUGGAGGCCAGGAAUAGUGCCCUUGAGAAAUUGCAACUGUCAAUGCUUGAAAAAGAGCAGGUACGUACAUGCAUAAAAAAGGCUUAAUAAUUUCUUGUUGUUUGAAUUGUGGGAAAUGUGAUCAUGAUCUUAAAACAGAAGAGAACAUAAUCAGUCACAUGAUCUUGAAGGAUAAAAGAGUUGCAGGGGUACACACUUCGAAUUCUGAAUCGUAGUAGUACUUGAAAGGAGUAAGUGCCAACUGCCAAGAUAUCCUACAAAGGUGGAGAUGGGGGAUAGGUGAUGCUGAAUGCUGAUCGAGUGAAAGUAAUUGCGUGUUUGGUUGUGUUGCUGAGAUUUGUGUAGUUAUUUCUCACUCUUUGAGUAUGCUGAAAUAACCAAACAAGAUAUUAAUAUAUGCGUACCUUCGGAUGUGUAUAGUUGAUGCUCAUGAUCGGAGUUAACAAUAGUUAUUCUGAUGAGCUAAAAUAACUGAAAUGGACUGAUGUGAUGUCUAUAAAGAUGCUAGAACAAAUCCAAAGAUCAAUGCAUUCUGCAGAAGAUAAGAGGCUUGCAUCAGUUUCAGAGCUUUCUGCUAAGCAUCACAAGGUAAGAAAGAGAAGCAAGAAGGAAAUUUGUAAAUGUGAAUUUGCAAAAGUAUUAGUAUUUAGGGUAAUCGAAUCUGGCUUCUUUCUUUUCUUAAGCAAUUAGAGAGCUUGGAGGCACAGCUAGCUGAGGUUUCUGCAGAGAGGACAAAGGCAUCCGAAACGAUUCAAUCACUGCAGGUAUUAAUUCGAGUGAAAAGUUAUCUUUGUGCAGCAUAUUAUGACAGACUAAGUUAUAUCUUGUGUCUGCCACUUAAAUGUUUUCAAGCAUUACUGUUUUCUUAUGUGAUUCGUUGUUGUCAAAGUAUUCUCUAGCUGAAGAAGAUAAGCCUCAACAUGCUGGGAAUAAGAGGGUAUUAAAUAGAAAUCCAUUAUCUGUUGGAAUAUUUAAUUUAUAGUUAAACUGCCAGAUGGUACUCGCGGAGAAAGAUUCAGAAAUAACUGGAAUUGAAGCAGUAUCAACCGGUGAAGCUGCCCGGCUUAACGCUACCUUGGAGGAGAUUAAAGGCGAGCUUGCUCAUUUAAAGGAUCAACAUGUAUGUCAGCCUAUCUUGUACUAACUCUUCCCAUUGAUAGUUUUUAAUAUAUUAGACACCAAACUUGGAGGCAUCUUCAAUAUCAAUAGCACAUAUGCUGAUUAUUAUCUCGUGGAAACAGUGAGCAUCCAGAAAUUGCACUGCUAAAAAAACUAUUUAUUCACAUAUGCUGACCAUUUCUAGUGGUUAGCCUCAAGUUCAAAUUUUGAAACAACUAUAGUUCACAUAAACCUGCCAUGUUACUUCAUGUUCUAUCCAUGUAACCUUGUUUCUGAGUAUACCUACCUGCCUGGCUUGAUAUAUAGUUUUUGUCUUGUAGAUUAACUCGCCCUAUGAGUUUUUUUUCAAUCAACUUAUUAAUAUGUCAAGUAGGCAGUAUUUUUUUGUCCCCAUGCGUCAGUAGCAUAUUUUAGACUUUCAGUUAACUUCCCUUAAAACAGCUUUACUGCUAUAUGGUUAGCACAUUUUUUUAAUGAUGUUUUGGAGUUGGAGGCACUAACCAAAAUUGUCUGACUGAUAAUCAUUCAGGAAAAAGAAAGACAAAGCUGGGAAGCCGAAUGCGAAUCCCUUCGAGAAAAAUUGGAAGCAUCGGAAGGUGCACACUUUAGAUCUGAGAUAGAAUCUACCAAAUUUAGAAGUAAGUCUGCCCCAAACUUUCUAUUUUGAUUUUGGAGUAAUACGUUUAUACAGAUAUUUGGAUACUCUGCAGAUCAACUGGAAUCAGAGUUAUCAACGCAAAAUCAGUUGCUUCAAAAUAAAGAUUCUGAUGUAAUUUCUGCGAAGGAGGAGGUGCAUUUUAUUUGAAAUCUUAUCUUUUCCAAAAGUUUGUACCUGCACUGGAAGCUUUUAGUCUCUACUCCCUACUCUGUAGAAGUUAGGUAUUGAUAACACAAGUCUUACCUCCUGGCACCACCAUUGGUUUUUAAGUUGGUGACAACAUAAUACUUUAUCUGCUGUUGUUUGGAUUUGCUGCGAAGGUCGUAUGGGUAGUUUGGUAGAGGAAACGGACACCCAGUUUGGCGAGAUUUACAAUAAGUUGGGGAUGGAAUAUAGAACGAGAUUGCUGUAGUGGAGGCCCUGGCAGUAUAAUAAGUAGGAACCCAAUUCAAGUGGAAUUGUACGUCCACUUCCCCAAGUGAGCUAGGUUCACUUCUUUAGAAGUGAUUUUUGGUGCUUGCCUCGUAAUUACAAUGCUGACUCUUUUGUAUGGAUCUAGGAUGCAACCAAUACACUGGACUCUUUAACACGUUCAAACUCCUAAGAUAUGGAUUCAUAACACUGUAAGUAAUUGACUUAGUUCAUAUUCCAACCGGACUCUGUCGGCCCAGUGGGACCCAGGGUACCACGACCCGUCUGUCGUUGGCCCGGAGGACGGCGCAUGCCCUGGCCCGAGUGACACAGCCAUACCCCGACCACUCCGGAGGAGGCCGCUUCGCGAGGGGUGUGUCUCACCAUGCCCCCUCGUCGCCAGCUCAGGCCUCCCUGAGGUCUUCAAGCCCCAGGGAGCCUCGCGAGGCUUGGCGUGCGGCGCUAACCCCAGGGCAGCAGACACCGUGCCGGCCGGACAUGCACGAUUUCUCCUCUGGUGAUUAGGAGGCAGCGUCAUCUGCUCCUCCAAAAACAGGUAGCAAAAGGUUACCGCUUCGGUGAUAGAGGAUGGGAGCGGAUCGAUGUUGCAAGAUGAAGGUCAUCGCUGAGCCCACAGACGUGUCACGAAGACUACUUUACCAGGCGAAGAUCGCCUUUAGUCAGGAUAGGCCUGGCUCCUGCCCCUCUUCGAAUUGCCGCUCUGUGGCCAUCCUUUCCCAUCGAUAUUUCCGGGGAAGAGGACCAAGGCACUACAAAGGGGGAAGGGCCACGUCCAUGUAAAGGAUCGAGCCAUUCUCUCCCCCAACCCCCCGUGUACUGGAGUCUCAAGCUCCUCUAUUUCCAAGGCAACCGAAUCACAAACAGGAGUAGGGUUUUACUCCAUCGUUGGCCCGAAUUUGGGUAGCUCGUGUCUCCCCGUCGUUUUCGGUGAGGAGAAGAGGGUUCGCCGUCAACCUUGCUGUGUUUGUCGCUGUGUUGCAGGUCGCAGGCCAAGCCUUCCACUGUUCGAACCUCGUUCUUGGAGAAGCUCUUGGACGCAGAUCCCAGACUCCGACAUUUGGCGCGCCAGGUAGGGGGACUUGCUGUCUUCCGUCCUCGACCUUGACACCAGCAUCGACAUGGACGAAGCCGCCCUUGGUGCACCUAGGCCGCGCCGACGUGCGGCGCUCGAGUCCCGGUGCGAGCAGGCGCCGGGACNNNNNNNNNNNNNNNNNNNNNNNNNNNNNNNNNNNNNNNNNNNNNNNNNNNNNNNNNNNNNNNNNNNNNNNNNNNNNNNNNNNNNNNNNNNNNNNNNNNNNNNNNNNNNNNNNNNNNNNNNNNNNNNNNNNNNNNNNNNNNNNNNNNNNNNNNNNNNNNNNNNNNNNNNNNNNNNNNNNNNNNNNNNNNNNNNNNNNNNNNNNNNNNNNNNNNNNNNNNNNNNNNNNNNNNNNNNNNNNNNNNNNNNNNNNNNNNNNNNNNNNNNNNNNNNNNNNNNNNNNNNNNNNNNNNNNNNNNNNNNNNNNNNNNNNNNNNNNNNNNNNNNNNNNNNNNNNNNNNNNNNNNNNNNNNNNNNNNNNNNNNNNNNNNNNNNNNNNNNNNNNNNNNNNNAAGCCUCUUCGUCCCACCGUCUCCUCAACCGUUCCUCGCGAGAGGCGAACGCUGCCCUGUCGGCUCCCCGGCCCGCGGGCCAACCCCGGAGGUCCGAGGGCCCGGUCGCUUGCGCCGCCAGCGACCAUCCCCGGUCUACCAGGACACCAGGCGCAUUCCCCCUACUAUGCACUCCCAUCAUCAGCGGUGUGGCGGUCUCCAGGACGCUCAUCGAUGGUUGAGCGGGCCUUAACCUGUUCCCGGUGGAAACUUUCCGGGCGCUCCAGGUGCCCUAUGAGCGCCUGGCUCCUAUUAGGCCCUUCGUGGGCGUCACCAGCAGUGCCAUCCUACCCUUGGGGCAGGUGUGUCUCCCUGUCACCUUCGUCACCCACGAGAAUUACUGGACGGAGUUCAUCGUCUUUGAUGUGGCCUCCAUCGGCUUGCCCUACGGUGCCAUCUUGGUCUACCUGACGCUCUCCAAGUUCAUGGCCGCGGUUCAUCACGCCUACGGCCACGUCAAGAUGCUAGGGUGCAGCGGCACCCUCACCGUCCGCUGCGACGAGAAGGACGUGACGCACCCCCUCGCGCGCGCCUACAAGGCGGCCGCCCCCAUAUCUUCGGGCAGGGAGGAUGCUCCAAAACCUGAUGAGCCGGCGCCAGCAAAGAAGAAGCUGUUGUUCUCCCAGGAGCGGGCCAGGACCAAGAAAGUAUCCUUGGACGUGAGCUGUGGGUCCCUUCCUCACCAUUGGCAGUGGCCUUACUCUUGAGCAGGAGAGCCCGCUCGUCGCCUUCCUUCGGGCGAACGUCGAUAUGUUUGCGUGGACGGCCUCAGACAUGCCGCUUGUGCCGCAAGGUCAUCGAGCAUCACCUGGCGGUGCGUCCCAACGCGUGCCCCGUCAAGCAGAAGGUGCGGCGCCAGGCGGCCGAGAAGCAGGAUUUUGUGAUUCAGGAGGUCGAGAAGCUCCAAGACGCCUGCGUCAUUUGCGAAGUAAUCCGCCUGGAGUGGGUUGCUAACCCCAUGGUUGUCGCCAAGCCGCACGGUGGCAAGCGUAUGUGCGUCGACUUCACCAACCUCAACAAGGCCUUCCCGAAGGACCACUUUCCGCUGUCGCGGAUCGACCAGAUAAUGGACUCCACCGUGGGGUGCGACCUGCUCUGCUUCCUGGACGCCUUCUCGGGCUACCAUCAAAUCAAGAUGGCAAGGGAGGAUGAGGAGAAAACCGCCUUCAUCAUCCCUUGCAGAGUGUUCUGCUACUUGUGCAUGGCUUUCGGCCUGAAGAGUGCGGGACCUUCCAGAGGCUGGUGGCCAUCUGUCUGGGGAGCCAGAUGGGGAGAAAUGCAGAGGCAUACGUGACGACAUCGUCAUCAAAAGCGUGAGGCGUGCACCCUCAUCGAGAACCUGGAGGAAACAUUUGCUAACCUCCGCAAGGUCAACCUUCAGCUCAACCCCGCCAAAUGCGUCUUUGGUGUUCCUUUCGGCAAGCUCCUGGGUUUCCUGGUCUCUCAUCGCGGCAUCGAGGCUACCCUGAGAAGAUCAAGGCCAUCGAACAGAUGCGGCCGCCUCGCAACCUAAUGGAGAUGCUGCACCUGGCGGGGUGCAUGGCCUCGCCCGGCCGCUUCAUUUCUAAGUAUGGCGAGCGGUCUCUACCCUUCUUCAAGCUCAUGAAGAGGUCUGGCCCCUUCAAGUGGGCCCUCGAGGCCACCGCCGCCGCCUUUGAGGACCUCAAGAGGUACCUAACGAGCCCCCUCGCAAUGGUCGCCCCGCGCCCACGCGAGCGCCUUCUAUUGUGCCCGGCGGCCACCCCUCAGCCGACCAACGCGGCCCUUGUAGUGGAGCGAGAGCAGCAGGCCUGCGCCAAGAGGAAGCCCGCUGAAUCCGCGCCUACGGGCACCAACCCUGUAGAGGCUUCAUGCGAGAGCCCCCAGGGCUCUGACGACGCCCCUUUGAGGGCCCUCCUCUAGACGCCUGGACCACCCUCAGGGGACCACCGGGGCCCCUCCUUCGGAGGCCCUCGGGGUGCAGCCGCCAGGGCCCCCUUAUGAGCACGACUCGGACACCACGAUCACGUGCCUCGUCGAACACCUCGUCUACUUCGUCAGCAUGGUGUUGCGAGACGCGCGAGCGGUACCCCAUGCAGCAGAAGCUCCUGCUGGUGCUCCUCAUGGCCUCUAGGAAGCUGCGACACUACUUCCUUCCAGGGGCACCCGGUCAGGGUGAUCUCCUCUUACCCAUUGGAGCAAGUCCCGCGGAGCCCGAACGCCACCGGCUGCGUGGUCGAGUGGACAUCGAGCUGAAGGGCUGGAGUUCCUCACCACCAGGACCACCAAGGGCGUGGCUUUGGCGGACUUCAUGGCGGAAUGGACGGACCCUCACCAGGACGAGCCCCACGAGUCGCCCUCGCCUGAGGAGGCCGUCUCUGGGGCUAGAGCAUGCACUUCAACGGAGCCUUCACGCACUAGGGCGCGGUGGCUGGCGUGGUUCUCACCACGCCCAUAUGUGAUAAGCUUUACUAUGCAGUGCAACUCUCUUUUUGGCGCACCAACAAGGUCUACAACAACAUCGCCGAAUACAAGGCACCUACCGCUGGGCUCAAGGCCGCCAUCGCGCUUGGAGUCAGGCGCAUCAUCAUCAAAGGGGACUCGUAGCUCCUCGUCUACUUCUCCAACAAGAAGUACAAGGCGAAGAAUGAGCACAUGACAACCUAUCUGGAGGAGGUGCGCAAGCUCGAGAAGCGCUUCAUGGGCAUGGAGCUCCAGCACAUCCCUCGUGGCGACAACAGCGAGGCGGACGAGACCGCCAAGCAUGCCUCUUGCCGUGCGCCCCAGAGCCCCGACGUCUUCGAAGAGCGGCUCCUGAAGCCCUCGGCAGCGACUUCCGGUUGCCGGCCCCGUGACGCCUCACAAGGAGCUCCCUCCCGCGUCACCCAUGGGCGCACCAGACUACGGUCCACCCUUAGGGAUCCAUCUCCUGCUGCCACUUGAGCUGCGGCCCGAGAGCUGGAUUGCGGAAAUCAAGGCCUACCUAGAGGGAGGCGCCCUCUCGGAAAUCGAUGCAAAAGCAGAGCGUGUGGUCUGCUAGGUCGCCCUCUACCACUUAAAGGAGGGUGCCUGUACCGCCACCGCUCGAACGGGGUCGCGCCGCGGUGCAUCUCCAGGGAGCAAGGAUGUGAGUUGCUCGCAGAUAUCCAUGGAGGUGACUGCGGCCACCACUCAUCCUCGCGCAUCCUCGCAGGCAUAGCAUUACGCAGUGGCUUCUACUGGCCCGUAGCGCUCGAGGAUGCUACGAAGAUGGUGCAGGCGUGCGAGGCUUGCCAGUUCCAUGCCAAGCAAAUCCAUCAGCCGACGCAAUGGCUCCAGACCAUUCCCCUCUCGUGGCCCUUUGCGGUCUGGGGGUUGGAUAUCCUCAGGCCCUUCCCUCGCGCGGCCGGCGGCUAUCGCUUCCUCUACGUCGCCAUUGACAAGUUCACCAAGUGGGCUGAGGUCUAGCCUGUCCGGACCAUACCGGCAGGCUCAAUGUUCAAGUUCAUCAAGAGCUUGGUGUGCCAUUUCGGCGUCCCCAGCCGCAUCAUGACGGACAAUGGCUCGCAGUUCACUAGCGGCCUCUUCAAGACCUACUGCGCCUCAAUUGGCACACAGAUCUACUUUGCCUUCGUGGCACAUCCUUGAAGCAACGGUCAGGCAGAGUGGGCCAACGUGGAGGUCCUCAAAGGUCUCAAAGACCAGGAGCUUCAAGAACCAGCUCACGACCCGCGACAAGGGCUGGCUAGACGAGCUCCCGUCGGUACUGUGGUUCAUCCACACCACAACGACCAAGCCUAUCGGUGAGACACCCUUCUCCCCUAAUCUACGGAGCGGAAGCGGUCCUCCCGGCCGAGAUUAAGCAUCGGUCCCCACGGGUUUUAGGCGUUUGACGAGUCUCGUCAAGACGGCCUUCGGGAGGACGUUGCUCUUCCACGAAGAGGCCUGCCGCCAGGCUGCUCUGCGCGCAUCGAGGUACCGGCAGGUGUUGUGUCGCUAUCGCAGCCGCAACAUACGCCCCCGCACCUUGGAGGUGGGCGACCUGGUACUCCGCCGAAUCCUCUCCAUAGAGGGUCUCUUUAGGGUCACACACAUCUCCAGGCCCGACGCGACACGACUCAAAACGACGGAGGGUGUUCCAGUGCAAAACGCAUGGAACAACCAACAUCUCCGCAAGUUCUAUACGUGACUCCACAAAUACGAGCAAGAUGGAGCUGUACACGCUUCGAGGUUCUCUCUACCCACGAUGCCUUCGGCACGUGAGAGUCCCUUCCCACUCUCGUGGAACCCCAUGCUCCACGCUGGUGGAAACUCCUGUUGGAGAACUUUGCAUGGGAAACAAAUUUUUUCCUACGCACACGAAGACCUAUCAUGGUGAUGUUCAUCUACCAAAGGGAGAUUGGAUCCACAUACCCUUGUAGAUCGCUAAGCGAGAAGCGUUAAGAAACGCGGUUGAUGUAGUGGUACAGCUUCGUGAUUUAAAUCACCGUCGUCGCACGAUCCGUUCUGAUCUAGCGCCGAACGGACGGCACCUCCGCGUUCAGCACACGUACAACUCGAUGACGAUCUCCGCCUUCUUGAUCCAGCAAGAGAGACGGGGAAGUAGAUGAGUUCUUCGGCAGCGUGACGGCGCGCCGGUGGUGGUGAUGAUCUACUCCUGCAGGGCUUCGCCCGAGCUCCGUAGAAAUCCGAUCUAGAGGAAGAACUACAUGGUAUAGGUUUGAGUUGCACGUGGCAAAGUUGUGUCUCAAAAGCCCUAAAACCACCAAUAUAUAUAGGAGGGGAGGGGCUAGCCUUGGGGCUCAAGGGAGCCCCAAGGGCGCCGGCCGAUUGGGAGGAGGUGGACUCCCACCCCAAUUCUGUUUGGGGGAAGGAGUCCACUCCUUCCUUCCCACCUCCCUCUUUCCUUGUUUUUUCUUUUCCUUUGAUUUUUUCUCCUUGUGGCGGCAUAGCCCACUUGGGCUAGCCUCACCAGCCCACUAAGGGCUGGUGCGCCACCCUAGUGCUACUGGGCUCACUCCCGGGUGGGUGGGCCCCUCCCGGUGAAUACCCGAAACCCAUUCGUCACUCCCGGUACACUGCCGGUAAUGCCCGAAAUCUUUCCGUGACCAAAUGAAACCAUCCUAUAUAUCAAUCUUUGUUUCCGAACCAUUCCGGAAACCCUCGUGACGUCCGUGAUCUCAUCCGGGACUCCGAACAACCUUCGGUCACCAACACAUAUAACUCAACUAUACUAAAACAUCAUCGAACCUUAAGUGUGCAGACCCUGUGGGUUCGAGAACUAUGCAGACAUGACCCGAGACACUCCUCAGUCAAUAUCCAAUAGCGGGACCUGGAUGUCCAUAUUGGAUCCUACAUAUUCGACGAAGAUCUUAUCGGUUGAACCUCUGUGCCAAGGAUUCAUAUAAUCCCGUAUAUCAUUCCCUUUGUCCUUCGGUAUGUUACUUGCUCGAGAUUUGAUCGUCGGUAUCCCUAUACCUAUUUCAAUCUCGUUAUCGGCAAGUCUCUUUACUCAUUCCGUAAUACAAGAUCCCGUGACUCACACUUGAAUCACAUUGCUUGCAAGGCUUGUAUGUGAUGUCGUAUUACCGAGUGGGCCCCAAGAUACCUCUCCGUCACACGGAGUGACAAAUCCCAGUCUUGAUCCAUGCUAACUCAACGGACACCUUCGGAGAUACCUGUAGAGCACCUUUAUAGUCACCCAGUAACGUUGUGACGUUUGAUACACAUAAGGUAUUCCUCCGGUGUCAGUGAGUUACAUGAUCUCAUGGUCAUAGGAAUGAAUACUUGACACGCAGAAAACAAUAGCAACAAAAUGACACGAUCACAUGCUACGUUCAUAGUUUGGGUCUAGUCCAUCACAUGAUUCUCGUAAUGAUGUGAUCCAGUUAUCAAGUGACAACACUUGCAUAUGGUCAGAAAACCUUAACCAUCCUUGAUCAGCCGGCUAGCCAACUAGAGGCUUGCUAGGGACAUUGUUUUGUCUAUAUAUCCACACAUGUAUCUAUGCUUUCAUUCAAUACAAUUAUAGCAUGGAUAAUAAACGAUUAUCGUGAAACAGGAAAUAUAAUAAUAACUAUUUUAUCAUUGCCUCUAGGGCAUAUUUCCAACAACUCCUACCCACUAUCGUGGAAGCCCCAUGCUCCGCGCUGGUGGAAAUCUCCUACCCACUUUCGUGGAAGCCCCGUGCACGGCGCUGGCGGAAACCCCACGCUCGGACAUGGCGGACCAUUUGACAAUGAGGGUGCCUUUCAGCUGCAUAAACCUCAGGCCGACCCAUGCCCGUCAUGGCAGCGCAUCUGUCAAACUUUGAGGGGCGCUUCUCGGCCACAGCCUCAAGCUGACCCGUGUCAAGCAUGACAACAUGUACUUUUCUGUUAUGUAAUGAACCUACUUCAUGAAUCGGUAAAGUUCAUUUCUCUCAAGAAUUUCUAUGCACUUGCAGCUGUGCGUCAAGGGGGGACCUUGAGCAUCGCUCCUUGGGGGCUCAUACCGGCCCCAAGAGCCCUACCCUGUUGGGUGUGCGCCCCAGGUAUACCAGCGACGGUUGUAGCCCGCCACGGGGGCUGGGUCCCGACGACGCAGGACGCAAAGGCAACACAAAGGAGAAAGAAGGGCCUCGAGAGAUAAAGCGGAAGCGCGCGAAAGUAGCGGGUGUUUAAAGACAUGACGGUGCCAUACAUAAUGUUUUUUUAUGCCUCACAGGGCUACGUCACUUGCGCAGGGGCAUAAAGGAAAGGAUCGUCAUCCGUCGGGGACCCGUCACAGGCAUCGCCCAAGCCUAGUCGGAGUCCUUGUCUUCACUCUUGACGCUCCGGGGGCUCCCAUCGCUGUCGCUUCCGCCGGACGAGUCGGAGUCGCUUUCGCUCUCCGCGCAGCACACCACGCGGCCACCGGCGACCCCGAAGAACUUCACGAAGAGGGUUGCAUCUCCGUCGAACCUGAAGCGCAGGACUUGCCCGCGCAAUAGGUCGUGGGAGCGGGCAAACGGUUUCCACCCCCGGUCUAGAAACAUGAACCCGGGCGUGUGUGUGGGGGGACUUCACCGCGACCUAGGAGGGACCGUUCCAGCAGCCGUCCGCUUGCAACCGCAGGCCCGAGGGCCCGCGGUCCACCAGCACCCUCGUGAAGGAGUCUGAAAGCCGGAGCCAGCUGCAGGGUCGGCGGUGCAGUCCCACGAUGAACUCGUGCGUGACCUCCGUUGCGUGGGUGUCCGCCGUGGGGGCAUCGUAUGGAGGAGAAGGGGAGCGCGCCGCGCCGCCCAUGACCUGUCUNGGCUAGUGCUCGGCCUCUAGGAGGAGUCCUCUUCGUCGCGGCCGAGGCGCGACCUCGGCCCCUGCGUCUCGCUGGCGUUAGCUUAGGCGGCCUCGCUUCCUCCGCCGCCCCCUGGCCUUUCUCGGCGGCCGAGUGUUUCCGUUUGGGAGCCAUGGCCGUGACGGCUAACGCCGGAUUGGGAGAGCGGAGGGGCGUGAGUCCGAGGAGUCGGUUGCGGACAGGAAAGGUAAUGGAGUUCCAGUACCCCGCGUGGCUUGGCUUUAUGGCCGAGGCGGCGGUUACCGAGGCGUCGCAAAGAGUGGAGGCACCGCACUCGCAGAAGCCGCCACACGUCGCCCUUGGGCCCGUCAGCUCGAUGGGGCCCCGCGCCGCUUCAUCCCGAACGGACAGAACGUGCACGCCGCAGGUCGGGGGGCUAAUGUCGGCCCAGUGGGACCCAGGGUACCACGGCUUGUCUGCCACUGGCCCGGAGGAAGAAGCACUGACUGUCCCGAGUGACACGGCCAUGCCCCGACCACUUCGGAGGAGGCUGCUUCGCGAGGGGUGUGUCUCGCCAUGGCCCCUCACCGCUAGCUCAGGCCUCACUGAGGCCUUCAAGCCCAGGGAGCCUCGCGCGCGUGAUGCUAACCGCAUGGCCCCGCGCCCACCACUUGGGCGGCGCGCUUGCAUGGAAAGGGCAGCAGACGCCGUGCCGGCCGGCACAGACAGGCACAAUUUCCUCUCUGGUGAUUAGGAGGCAGCGCCAUCUGCUCCUUCAAAAGCAGGUAGCAAAAGGUUACCGCUUUGGUGAUAGUGGAUCGGAGCGGAUCUAUGCUGCAGGAUGGAGGUCAUUGGCGAGCCCACGGACGCGUCACGAAGACUACUUUGACUACUUUACCAAGCGAAGAUUGCCUUUAGUCAGGAUAGGCCUGGCUCCUGUCCCCCUUCGAUUUGCCGCUCUGUGGCCACCCUUUCCUGCCGAUAUUUCCGGGGAAGAGGACCAAGGCACUACAAAGGGGGAAGGGCCACGUCCAUGUAAGGGGAUCGAGCCAUUCUCUCCCCCAACCCCCAGUGUAAUGGAGUCUCAAGCUCCUCUUUUUCCAAGGCAACCGAAUCACAAACAGGAGCAGGGUUUUACGCCAUCGGCGGCCCGAACCUGGGUAGCUUGUGUGUCCCCGUCAUUUCCGGUGAGGAGGAGAGGGUUCGCCGUCAACCUUGCUUGCUGUGUUUGUCGCUGUGUUGCAGGUUGCAAGCCAAGCCCCCCAGUGUUCGAACCUCGUUCUUGGAGAAGGUUGUGGACGCAGAUCCCAGACUCCGACAGACUCCUCUUGGUUAACACUUCCUAACAUGUGAUGGUUGGACCAGUUAGCUCUGCAUGUCCGGAUAUUUCUCUUUAUGGUAUGUUCUGUAGCUGACAGCUCUGAUAGCCAGAGUAUUAUGCAACAACAAUAUAAUGCAUCUUUGCCUCAAGCAUUGCAAGUUGGUUGUGUUCCAAAUGCUUGACCUGAGGACUUUUCAAGGGUUGCGAUUUAGGAUGGAGUACAGAGGCAGUAACACGAUAAAAUGAAAAUGAGAGUUCCUCUGAACUCAUCAAAUAAGUACUUAAGUAGUAUAAGCUGGGAUAUUUUUGUUUGGACCAAAGAUAGUGACCUGAUCCAGUUCUGCAGUUAGAGGUCAGCCAAGAAUAGCAGAGCUAGCCGAGGUGUUUACAAGGGUUUAUUCACACAUAGGCUGGUAAAAAAUAUAGCCGGAAAAGAGAUGAGUAGAAGUUGACGAAAUGUCUGAAAUGUCUGUCUAGUACUACCUCCGUCCCAUAUUAGUUGACUUAGAUUUGUCUAGAUAUGGAUGUACCUAAUUUAAACGUGUCUACAUACAUCCGUAUCUAACAAAUCUAAGACAACUAAUUCGGGAUGGAGGGAGUAUAACCUUAAUAGGCAACAAAACCUGACAGUACCUUACUAUGAGAGAUUGAACUAGCGAGGACUGAGGAACCACCGUGUCUAUUUUCCUCAGUGUUCUGGUUACACGAUGAUUCUUUUUAAGCCUAAAAUGGCAUAGGAUAUAUUAUUGACCCAGUUAUUACGACACUGCCUUCUGUUAAAGAGCUUCACUUUCAGAUGCGAAGACAUCAUUUAAACAUGCUGUAUCUAGCACUUAUGACGAGAACUCAAAGUUUAGCAUUUUGAACUUUGCAGAUCGGUCGACUAGAAAGCGAGUUUUCCGCGUACAAGAUCCGUGCACAUGCACUUUUGCAAAGGAAGGAUGCUGAGUUGAGCGCAGCUCAAAAUUCAGAUGUUCUUAAAGCACACGAAGAAGAAAUAAGAGUAUGUCAUCCAUUGUUUAGUAGACGUGUAAUGUAACCAAAUAUGACACAACUUAUUUAAUCAAUCACCAUUGCUGUAAUGUAGGAAGCUGAAAAGGAGGUGGCAGCUGCCUUAGAAGAACGAGAUGAAGCGAUCCAGGACCUUCAAGCUGCUCAAUGCAGGCACAGUGAAGAGAUCGAGGCAAGGUAUAUCAGCUUAACUUCGAUCAUUUCUUGAUGUUCUUGAAUUGAAAUGACGUCCAUAACUAAAAUGGUUAUGCUACCGGAAAUUCUUCAAAGAUACUACUUGGGAGGUUACUGAAUUUAGAAAAUGAACUAACUUCAUAGCCUGUGUAUACUAGCAGCCCACCUUGUUUGCAAUACUAAGGGGCAGCCCGGUGCAUGUAGCUCCCGCUUGCGCAGGGUCCGGGGAAGGGUCCGACCACUUUGGGUCUAUUGUACGCAGCCUUUCCCUACAUUUCUGCAAGAGGCUGUUUGCAAUACUAACUGUAACAAAAAAAAUCCGAAUGGUAUUCAGAGCACUACUAGAGUCGCUUGACUAAUCUAUGAGUCACUACUUGGGCCUCAGCUGGACAUCCCUACUUGACUGAUUGGACUAGUCGAGAGUUGUUGACCUGUUGCUGAUUAGUCAAGUUUUAGUAGUCGCUCGACAUUUUGUGCAGUGUGCUGAUAGAGUGAGUUCAUGUUGGUCCGAGCCCACUCCGAUGGAGAUACGCCUCCAAUCUAGCCCAGGGGAUCAAACUAAUGUGUUAGUAUCUUGUCUGUAGCAGACUAGCACUAUGUAGAGAUGAGCAGUAUCUAGUAUGUGCAGUCCGUACUUGUACUCAUAUCAGUUAUGUAGCAUAGCUUCUUAUGAAGUUAUGAUUUGCCUCUGGUUCCGCUUGAGCAUGUACUUUCUUACAUGUGCCUCUAAUAAUCUGAUAGCAAGAUGUUUAUUUGACGGAAAUAGCAAGAUGUGCUUCUAGUUCAGUCCCCCCUCCAGUUUUUCACUGUAAAAGACCAGCAGUGUGGAUUUGUAGCAAGUAUGGUCUUAUGACUGGCAGUCAACCAGUUGAGAUUGGUUAUACUAGUCAUCACGAGUCGAGACUAGUUUAGACACUUAGACCCGUCUACCUUGGCACUACUCCUGUAAGCUGAUGCGCGGUGAUACAAUCAACUUAUUUUCUGCAAGCAGUUUAUAAUUUGAGAAACUUUUUACCUUUACUUAAUUUCCUUUCAGGGAUUUGGGUCUUGCGGAGGUGGACAAGAAACUGAAGAAUGUCAUGAAAAAAUUAGAUUAUGUUACUUCUCAAUUUCUGUCAGAAAAAGAAUCAUGGCAGAAAAAAUUGGCAAGUGUAGAGGAAAGCUGGAGAUGUAAGAGGACUUCAGUGUAUUUCAGAAUUCUCUCCCUUUCUCUUUAAUGAGGUUCGAUGAUCAAACGUAUGAACAUGGAUAAUGCAGUAAAAUGUGAGUCUAUGAAGGGUCAAAGCAAUGGCCAUUUUGAAGACCACCUUCAGAAGAACCUAGGGGAAUGGACACUGAAAUAUGAAAAAUUGAAGGUUGUUUCCUGCCCUGUGGCAUGACUUGUAUUAUUGAAUGUGGUCUUUCGAUUCAGUAUUUUAAUAUAUUCUUGAUUUUUCUAGGAAGAGCAUGAAUCUUUUCGUGAUAUUUCUGAUAGAAUGAUUGAAGAGAAGGAACAGGAGAUAGCUAAACUUCUCAACGAAAACAAGGAUCUUCAUCAUUCUUUAGAGGCCAAAGCAGCAGUGAGUUAUUCUAUUAAACUCAUUCAGUGCGACCUUUGUUUGCUAUAAUGAAGCAAGAAAAAAGGAAUGAAUGGCGGCCACUCACUAUUAUGUUUAUUCUCACAUGUUUUUUUGUUUCUAUAUACAAUAACAACAACAACAGCAACAACAAAGCCUUUAGUCCCAAGCAAGUUGGGGUAGGCCAGAGGUGGAACCCAUCGGAUCUCGCGACCAACUCAUGGUUGUGGCACAUGGAUAACAAGCUUCCACACACCCUUGUCCAUGGCUAGUUCUUUGGUGAUAUUCCAGUCCUUCAGAUCUCUCUUUCCGGACUCCUCCCAUAUCAGGCUCGGUCUACCUCGGCCUUUUUUGACAUUAUCAACACGCUUUAGCCGUCCGUUAUGCACUAGGGCUUCUGGAGACCUGUGCCGAAUAUGCCAAAACCAUCUUAGACGAUGUUGGACAAGCUUCUCUUCAAUUGGUGCUACCCCAACUCUAUCUUGUAUAUCAUCGUUCCGGACUCGGUCUUUCCUUGUGUGGCCACACAUCCAUCUCAACAUGCGCAUCUCCUCCGCACCAAACUGUUGCACAUUGUCGGCCAACACUCAGCGUCAUACAACAUUGCGGGUCGAACCGCCGUCCUAUAGGACUUGCCUUUUAGCUUUUAUGGCAGUCUCUUGUCAUAGUUAUGUUGGAAAUAUGAGCGAUUUACCAAGUGAUUUUACUAGCAGAAAUAAUAAGUAAAUCACGAUUACCAUAGCAAACAUAUGAUAAGCCAUGCAAUUAUAGAGAAAAUAUGGAAGUUGCAUUUGAAAAGAUGAACAAGAACAGAACAUAUCUAGAAAAGAAACUACAACAAGAAGUUGAGGCAUGAACUCAAACAAGAAGAAUACGAGAACGUACUGAGUUGCAGCUGCAGCGGCAGUGGUGUUGGUGUUGUCGUUGGAAAUGUUGUCGAAGAGGUGGUUGACGUCCGGGAAGAAGUCGUUGUCCGGGAAGAGGUCGUUGAUGUCCGUGAUGAAAGCCAGUAGUCGCGCGGAGUGCUCCCCAAAAACCUUAUCGCCCUUCUCCUGUACAGGGCCCAAAGGGACAGAGUUUCGGAGGCCUACUGUCCCGACCUACGGUGCACGCCGCAAGCCGGGAUGGGGAAGAACGUAGCAGCAACAUAGAGUUUGGAACCGGUGGCGAGAGGAAGUUCUGAUGCGUAUCUUUGGAGAGGAGCGACCUCUCUUUUAUAGGCGCAAGAGAAGGAGGCGAGAGGCCAACGACGGGAGCCGAAGAGAAUGAGGGAGACGAAACGAACAGACAGUAGCCGAAGGGUGCAACGUUCGUGUUCAAUAUCCACUACAGCAAAACGUUCAGCUUCCAAGUGACCUUUGUAUACCAGUCGUGCGUGGCAAAAAAAUAGUUAGGCUCCGCUCAUUCCCGCAACCCGCGGCGCGUCGUGACGAGGCGAGGCGGGCGGCGGAGAAGGAGGAGUGCGCGUGUAUGUCUCUCUUGUUCUCAUGCUCAUACAUGUGUGGAAACAUCCUCCCUUAUAAGGAGGUCCAACUCCAACUAAACUAGCAAUGUGAGACUACACUUCUCCACCUCUUGCCUUGCACAAAUGGGCUGCGUGGGCCUCUAUGAUUUAUUUGGAAUUCCUGAAAUUGUAUCUUGGGCUGGUCCAAAAUAGGUAAAAAUUCCAGCAAUCCCCCACCAGAACCCAGAGGCACACAAAAUUUGCCUUUGGUUUCAAAACACUGUUUUAUAUACCGAUACUGCAGUGGAGACUGUUGAGUUGAACUUCCACCUAGAACUCUAUGCUACACUAGUAAGCAACUUGGACAGUGGACUAGGCCUUGAACUGCAAGUUUUCUACGAAUCUAGCUUCACACAGAGCCUUGACCGAUACUAGGCUACCGUGGGACUUCCCUGCGGAUGGAGCUUAUGCGACAUACUCUGAGACCUUUCAUGAGUUUACUAGAGAGCACCCUACUCUCAUAGAUUGCGACGUUAACAAUCAGACUCAUAUAGGUGUGUUCUUCAAAAGAUGUUCUGCAGGACAACAUCUCUUCUUUAAUAAGCCACUUAGAACAUAUUAAGAUGUACAUCAACCUGCCAUGCAGUUUAGGAAAGUAUUGCAUCUUCAUGGAGUGGUAUUGUUAAUGAUAAGGAUACUUUCCCCUCAGUUGACUAACCUCAGUUGACUAACAGCUUGUCUUCCACAUCUAAUUCACGGGAUCUCCGAUCACAAAGAAUAGGUUACCACUGUGAACAACUCAUAUUGUGGGUCUCAUACCCAUCUCCCUCGAUGCAUCAUCUAUCACAUUACGUGAUAGACCCUUAGUAAAAGGAUGUGCCAGAUUUUUAGAUGUUUGGAUAUAAUCCAAUGCAAUAACUCCGGAGUUUCUCAUUUUCCUGAUAGAUUUUAACCUUCUCUGAACAUGUCUUGAUGACUUCAUGUUAUCCUUUGAGCUGCUCACUUUCGUGAUCACAGUUUGAUUGUCGCAGUUCAUAAGGAUACCCGGUACAGGUUUCUCAAUAACCGGCAAGUCACUCAAGAGUCGACGAAGCCAAUCUGCUUCGACCGUAGCUAUAUGUAGUGUUGUGAGUUCUGCUUCCAUUGUUGACCUUGUUAAGAUCGUUUGCUUGCAAGACUUCCAAGAAACAUCGCCACCUCCAUGAGUGAAUACAUAUCCGCUCGUGGCCUUUAUCUCAUCAGCAUCAAAGAUCCAGUUUGAAUCACUAUACCCUUCAAGCACCUUUGGGUGUCGAGUAUAGUGAAUUCCAUAAUUUCACUAUAGUGAAUGACGCAAAACUCUCUCUAGAGCUUUCCAAUGCACAUCGCCUGGUUUUGAGACAAACCGACUCAGUUUGCUAACAACAAAAGAGAUGUCAGGUCUUGUAGCACUGGCUAAGUACAUAAGCGAGUCAAUAAUCUGAGAAUAUUUCAAUUGGUCUCUAGCAAUACUUCGAUUCUUUCGAAGCAGCACGCUGGCAUCAUGUGGUGUUGGAGAGGGCUUGCAAUCACUAUAUCCAAAGCGACUCAAGAUCUUUUCCACAUAGUGAGAUUGAAGCAAUGUAAUCCCACCAUCAUCGUCUCUCAACAACUUGAUGUUCAAAAUGACAUCAACCACUCCUAAAUCCUUCAUCCCAAAACAGUGUGAUAGAAAAUCCUUGACCUCCUUAAUAACAUUCAAAUUUGUUCCGAAAAUCAGUAUGUCAUCAACAUACAAGCAAAGGAUAACUCCCUCGCCCCCACCAUGGCGAUAAUACAUACAUUUAUCAGCUUCGUUUACAACAAAGCCUGCAGUUGUUAAAGUUCUUUCAAACUUCUCAUGCCACUACUUGGGUGCUUGCUUAAGUCCAUAUAAAGACUUCAGCAACUUGCACACUUUUCCUUCCUGACCAUCUACUACAAACCCAUCUGGUUGUUCCAUGUAAAUUUCCUCAUCCAACUCUCCAUUUAGGAAAGCAGUCUUAACAUCCAUUUGAUGAACGAGAAGACCAUGUGAGGCAGCUAGUGAAAGUAGUACUCGAAUAGUGGUCAGUCGAGCCACAGGUGAGUAAGUAUCAAAGAAGUCUUCACCUUCCUUUUGGGUAUAACCCUUGGCUACGAGCCGUGCCUUGUACUUCUCGAUAGUACCAUCGGGCCUAAGCUUCUUCUUGAAUACCCAUUUGCAUCCUAUAGGUUUACACCCAUAAGGACGAUCAAUUAUUUCCCAAGUUUCAUUUGCCAAGAUGGAAUCCAUCUCAUUACGGAUUGCUUCCUUCCAGUAGUCAGCAUCUUCAGACGCAUAUGCUUCUGAAAUAGAACUGGGAGUGUCAUCUAUGAGAUACACAAGAAAGUCAUCACCAAAGGACUUUGCAGUCCUCUGUCUCUUGCUCUUGGUAGGAACAUCAUUGUUCUCCUCCACAGGAUUUUCAAAGUUUUCCAUCGAAAUGAUGGGUUCAGUAAUUGUAACUAAUUCAUGACUCGAUGAACUAGGCAUCUCCUGAUUAGAUGAGGUAGCCAUAUCUUUCAUGGGAAAUAUAUCUUCGAAGAAAGUCGCAUCAUUCGAUUCCAUGAUUGUACCGACAUGCAUGUCAGAUACCUCAGAUUUUACAACCAAGAAUCUAUAUCCAAUGCUAUGAAAGGCAUAUCUCAGGAAAACACAAUCCAUAGUUUUGGUCCUAGCUUGCGCUUCUUUGGAAUUGGCACAUUGACUUUCGCCAAACAACCCCACGAUCGUAGAUAAGAGAGUUUUAACCUUUUCUUCUCCCAUUCCUCGAAUGGAGUUAUCUCUUUGUUCUUUGUGGGAAUUCGGUUUUGGACAUGACAUGCAGUCAAUAUCGCCUCCCCCCACCAUGCCUUGGAGAGACCCGAUGUGUCUAACAUGGCGUUAACCAAAUCAGUUAGAGUACGAUUCUUUCUUUCGGCUACCCCAUUUGACUGAGGUGAAUAUGGAGGCGUCCUCAUGGAUUAUACCAUGUUCCGCAUAGAAAGAAUCAAAUUCAUUUGAGAAAUACUCUCCACCAUGAUCGGACCUAAGCCUCUUGAUCUUUCGAUCAAGUUGGUUUUCAGCUUCAACUUUAUAGAUCUUGAAAUAGUUCAAAGCCUCAUCCUUAGACUUCAGAAGAUACACUUGGCAAUAUCAAGUGGAGUCAUCAAUUAACGUCAUGAAAUAUUUAUUUCCACCUUUUGUCAAAAUGCCAUUCAUUUCACAUAGAUCUGAAUGUAUGAGCUCUAGCGGUGCAAGGUUUCUCGUUUCGGCAGUCGUGUGAGACUUACGAGGCUGCUUGGCUUGCACACAAACUUGACACUUAGAUCCCUUGACGGUGGUGAAACUAGGGAUUAAGUUCAAUUUGGCUAGUCGCGACAUGCAACCAAAAUUAACAUGACAGAGACGCGAAUGCCACACAUUUGAUUCACUAUUGUUGCAAACAUGAUUAACAACUUUACUGCAAACAUCUGUCAAGGAUAAACGGAACAGGCCUCCUGACUCGUAUCCUUUACCAACAAAAGUUCCAUACUUGGAUAUUACAAAUUUAUUCGACUCAAAGACAAGCUUGUAGCCAUCUCUACACAGAAGAGAUCCGCUAACAAGAUUUUUAUUGACGGAGGGGACAUAAUGCACGUUCUUUAGCCGCACGACCUUCCCCGAAGUAAACUUCAGAUCGACCGUGCCAACACCACGAACAGAAGCACUUGAACCGUUGCCCAUCAGCACGAUGGAAGUCCCUGUGGUCUGAUAAGACGAAAACAUGGAAAUAUCGCCGCAUACAUGCACAUUAGCACCUGUGUCAAUCAGCCAAUCGGGAAAAUGACAUACUGAAAGGAUAGUGGGAAAUGUACCAUACCCAGCAUCCUUCACGUCAGUGUCACCAAUGACAACAUUAGCGGUCUUGCCGCCUUUCCCAUGUUGACACUUGUCAUAACGGUUAGGGCAGUUAGGUGCCCAAUGAUCAGGAUCUCCGCACACAUGACAAACACCUUUCUUCUUGUCAUUCUUCUUCUUGAAGUUGGUGUGCUGUAAAGCCUUGCUUCCCGUCGAACUUUGCUUUGCCAUCAAACUUGCCCUUGUUCUUGAAAUUGUGGGGCUGGAAGUUUUUCUUCUGUACCAGAUUGGCACUAGGUCCUCCCUCAAUACCUCGAGCACGUGUGUCUUUUGCUCUCGCCUUUUCUUCCACAUCAAGAGUACCAAUGAGAUCCGGAACGGAAAACUCCUGCAUCUUAUGCUUCAGUAAGGUAGCAAAGUUCCUCCACGAAGGAGGAAGUUUAGUGAUGAUGCCUCCGGCAACAAACUUGUCCGGUAACAUGCAAUUGAAGUGCUCAAGUUCUCUAGCAAAUGACUGUAUCUCGUGAGCUUGCUCAACCACGGAGCACUCUUCAGUCAUCCUGUAGUCAUAGAAUUGUUCCAUGAUGUACAGCUCAGUGCCAACAUCCGAGACCCCAAACUUGGCCUCGAGUGCAUCCCACAUAUCCUUUCCAUUAUCAAUUGACGCAUAAGCAUCAACUAUGUUACUCACCAAGAACACUCAAGAGAGCAGCCUUAAACAAGGUAUCCAUUUUCUGAAAAGCUAGUUCCUGUUGAGCAUCAUGAUCUCCUUCAUGUUUGCCAAGAGUGGCGUCAUAGCAGCUCAUGGUUUGGAACCAUAGAACGGCUCUUACGCGCCACCUCUUAUAGUGGAUACCCUCAAACAUAGGAGGUCUCAUGGAAGCAGCAAAACCACUCGGGGUAAAUUGCCUAUAAUAAGGUUUUUGGAUUGUAAAUAUGAGCGAUUUACCAAGUGAUUUUACUAGCAGAAAUAAUAAAUAAAUCACGAUUACCAUAGCAAACAUAUGAUAAGCCAUGCAAUUAUAGAGAAAAUAUGAAAGUUGCAUUUGAAAAGACGAACAUGAACGGAACAUAUCUAGAAAAGAAACUACAACAAGAAGUUGAGGCAUGAACUCAAACAAGAAGAAUACAAGCAGCAGUGGUGUUGGUGUUGUCGUUGGACAUGUUGUCGAAGAGGUGGUCGACGUCAGGGAAGAAGUCGUGUUCAAUAUCCACUAUUGGUGUUGGUGUUGGUGUUGUCGUUGGACAUGUUGUCGAAGAGGCCAGCGACGGGAGCCGAAGAGAACGAGGGAGACGAAACGAACAGACAGCAGCCGUGUUCAAUAUCCACUACAACAAAACUUUCAGCUUCCGAGUGACCUUUCGUAUACCAGUUGUGCGUGGCAAAAAUUUAGUUCGGCUCGGCUCAUUCCCGCAACCCGCGGCGCGUAGUUGUUAGGAAAGCAACUUGUAUUCCCAUGAGGCCAUAGGCCGGUAUAUAUACAUGUACAGGUGGUGGACUAUAUGCAGGAAACCCCUUAUAUAUUGGGAUAAUUACAGAAGGAUACAUGACUUGUAUUAUAAACACCCCCCCUCAAACUCAUGGUGGAUGAACAACACUGAGUUUGGAGAGAUAAAAGCCAUGUUGUGCUCUAGUCUGGGCCUUCGUCAGGAAAUCCGCCAACUGUAACUCGGAAGGCACAUACUGAAGAGCAACAACCUGAUCCUGCACAGCAGCGCGCACAUAGAAAGCAUCAACACCAAUAUGCUUGGUGAGCUCAUGCUUCACAGGAUCGCGCGCAAUGCUAAUAGCACCUGUACUGUCAGAUAAGAGCAGAGUCGGUGUAGUGACAGAAACACCAAAAUCCUGAAGUAACCACCGUAACCAAGUCACCUCUGCCGUCAAAAGAGCCAUCGCUCGCAACUCAGCCUCUGCACUCGAACGGGAAACUGCAAUCUGUUUCUUCGUCUUCCAGGCAAUGAGAGAACCACCAAGAAAAACACAGUAAGCAGAAAGUGAACGGCGAUCUGAAGGAUCACUAGCCCACGUAGCAUCCGAAUAGGCCUGAAGCUGUAAAGAACUGGAGCGAGGAAAGAAUAGACGGUGAGAGAUUGUGCCCCGAAGAUAUCGGAGAACACGGAGGAGAUGACUAUAGUGAACCGAUGUGGGAGUAGAGACAAACUGACUCAGAAUAUGAACCGGAUAAGAAAUAUCCGGACGAGUGACAGCUAGAUAAACAAGACUGCCAACAAGAUGACGAUAGCGCGUCGGGUCAGGCAGGGGAUCACCAUCAGUAGCAGAAAGGUGAACAUUGAGCUCCAUAGGAGUCUCAACAAUGCGCUCAUCAGUAAGAGCAGCACGAGCAAGAAGAUCCUGGAUAUACUUUUCCUGGGAUAUAAAAAAGCCAUCAGAGGUAGAAGAGACUUCAAUCCCAAGAAAGUAGCGAAGAGGUCCAAGAUCAGACAUAAGGAACUGCUCACUAAGACGAGCCUUGACAAAGGCAAUAUACUCAGGGUCAUCCCCAGUGAUGACCAUGUCAUCAACAUAAAGAAGAAGAAGAGUCCGACCACGAGGAGAAAGGUGAAUAAAUAAUGCUGGAUCAUGAACACUUGGUGAAAAACCAGCGGCAGUCACCACAGAGGCAAACCGCUCAAACCAGGCUCGGGGGGCUUGCUUAAGGCCAUAGAGAGAGCGACGAAGACGGCAUACCAUGCCAUCAGGAACAUAAUACCCAGGUGGAGGCUGCAUGUACACCUCCUCACGCAGCUCACCAUUAAGAAAAGCAUUCUUAACAUCAAGCUGAGAGAUAGACCAGUGGCGUGUAGAGGCCACGGCAAGAAGUGUACGAACAGUGGUCAUAUGAGCCACAGGAGCAAAAGUCUCGUCAUAAUCACGACCAUGCUCCUGCUGAAAACCACGAGCCACAAGACGAGCUUUGUGACGCUCGAGAGAACCAUCGGAGCGAGUCUUUACCUUGUAGACCCACUUACAAGUGAUGGGAUGGACUCCAGGAGGAAGGGAGACAAGAUCCCACGUACCUGUGCGUUCAAGAGCAGCAAUCUCCUCAGCCAUCGCAAACUGCCAUUCAGGAUGAACAACAGCCUGAUGAUAAGUAGUUGGCUCAAGAACAGCAGCUCCAGCGGUGGAAAAGCCUAAGCGAUCAACAGGCGGACGAGGACGAGAACGCAAGCCAUAAGUAGGCUGAGACGAGGAUGACGGCACAUCCAGAGAAGCAUCCACAGAACGUGAACGACGAGUGUAACACUGAGGAAAAGAUGGAACAAUGGAAGGAGGAAUCGCUAAAGUAGAAUCGGAGAGUGGCGACGAAGAAGUCACCGGAGAGGAAGGUGUAGAAUCCGGUGACAUGCUAGACGAGGAGACCGUGGAAGAUGGUGGCGACAAAUCGACUGGAGGUGGAGAAGCAGAGGGAGCAGAAUGAGUAGGCAAAGGCUCAACGAGUGUGAUAGGCGUGUCAGGAAAAGUGAGAAAAGAGAUAUCCUCUACUGAAAAAGUCGAGGAAGAUGAGCGUGGGUAGAAGGGACGAGACUCAUCAAAAGUCACAUCCCGAGAGAUACGUAUCCGACGACCGAUAGGAUCCCAACAACGAUAGCCCUUAUGCUCAUCACUAUAGCCUAAGAAGACACACUCAACAGACUGAGCGGUCAGUUUGGUGCGUUCGGGGGGGGCAAGAAGAACAUAGCAAACACAACCAAACAAGCGAAGCGUCGAAUAAUCGGGAGACCGAUCAAAAAGACACUCGAAAGGAACACCACCCUGUAGAGCAGCGGAAGGCUGGAAAUUGAUGAGAUAGGUGGAGGUGGAGACGGCCUCAGCCCAAAAAUGCGGCGGGAGAGAGGCAGCAAUCAUUAAUGCACGAGCCGUCUCAAGAAGAUGACGAUGCUUGCGCUCAGCCACGCCAUUCCGAGCAUGAGCACCAGGACAAGAGAAUUGAGAGAGAGUCCCUUGCUCAGCAAGAACACCACGCAGCAUCUUAGAGAUAUACUCGCCAGCGGAGUCAGCACGAAACACACGAAUGGGAGAAGAGAACUGAGUAUGAACCAUGGCAGCAAAACGCUUAUAAAUGGACAACACCUCACUACGAGAAGUCAUGAAAUAAAGCCAUGUGUAACGAGAGAAGUCAUCUAUGAAAAUAAUAUAGUAUUUAUGACCCCCUUUCGAAUCGAAGGGAGCCAGACCCCAUACAUCGGAAUGGACUAAAUCAAAAGGACGCUUAGACACUGACUCACUAUGUGGAUAUGGUAACUGAAUCUGCUUGCCAAGACGACAACCCUGACACUCUAAGGAGGCAUCUCCUGAGACAGACCCCAGAAGACCUCGACGAACUAACGACGACAAACGAGAACCACACAGAUGACCAAGUCGAUGAUGCCAUUGCUGGAAAGAACCAGUAGCCGAGGCGACCAAAGCGGAAGAAUUGGCGAGAGAAUGGGCAGAGGAAGGAACAUGAAGCCAGUCCACCUCUCAAAGACCCUCAGAAUCACGGCGGCGAGGGCCAGCCCCAACCAGAGUGUGCGUGCGACGGUCCUGGACAGAACAAGCGUCAAGAUCAAGGAUGACACGACAACCAGAAUCAGCAAGUUGAGCAGCGGAAAACAAAUUCAUGGUAAGUCGAGGAACAUGAGCAACAUCAGGAACAGAAUAAGAAGGAGUGGUAAGAGUGCCUCUACUAACGACAGGAAGGGGAGUACCAUCAGCGGUGAGGACAUGAACAGGAGAAUCAAGCGAACGAAGAGAGGACAGAGUGGAAGAAUUAGAAGUCAUAUGAAAGGAAGCUCCAGAGUCCAGAACCCAUGGGGAUGUACCUGACUGUGUAGAAGGUGGUUGCUCAGUGCGGGAAGCCUCAGUCACAGAACCAGCAGUACCCGUUGAGGAAGAACCGGAAGCAGCGAGCAGACGCUUAAGUCUCAGAAUAUCCUGCUCAGUCAAAGCGAUGGCUGAAGCUGUCGAGGUAGAUGACGAAGUCGCUGGAGAUGGUGACCGCGCCUUGCGCAAGUGUUUCUUCUUCGUGUAACAGUGCGGCUCAAUAUGACCAUCAUUGUUGCAGUAGUUACAAUGUGGACGGGGGUGACCUGAGCCGCCAGAAGGAGUGGGCAAGAGCGGCGGAUCACUCGAGCGAGAAGGGGUCGGUGCAGCAGGUGGCGUAGAAAAAGUCCGAGCAGCGAGCACCGAGGGAACCUCCAGCAAACCAGCACCACGUAGGCGAGUCUCCUCAGCACGAAUCUCAGAAAGCGCCUCCAUGAGAGAAAUACGGCCACGAGCAAACAACUGAGCACGCCGGGGCUCAAACUCCUUACGGAGCCGAGACAGGAACUCAUAGACCCGAUGAAACUCCAAGUCGGCCUGGACGGCCUGGCAACAGGCGCAAGUACGACAACCAGCACUGCGAAGAGAAUCAAGCUGGCGCCAGAUAGCAGAGCUUUGUGCAUAGAAGGCAUCAACAGUAGAGUCACCCUGUUGAAGAGCAUGCUCCUGACGGACCACAGAGAGGUAUAAGGCAUCACCAGAGGGCUCAUAGCGCUGACGAAGGCGGGUCCACAUCUCAAAUACAGUAGGAAGGCCCAGAAACUCAGAAGGAAACUGAGGCAGAACACUAGCAGUGAGAACAGCGGCAACACGAGCAUCAUCAUCAAGCCACUGGGUGUAAGCAGACAGAGCACCAUGAUACAGCUGAAGAGCCUCCUCAUAAGCCAAGACCUUCUCAUCAUAAGCACUCACAGCGGCCUCAUCAGCAAGCGUAGUCGCAUCCUUUGCGGCCUGAGAAACAUCCGCAGGAAGAGCCGGUGGGGUCGGCGGAGUGGGAGCCACGGGAGGAACCGGACAUGGCGGACAAGAGACCUCGCCGGAAAGAAAACCCCAUAGGCGGAUGCCACGCAUGUGAAUGCGCAUGAAGCCAAUGAACUCGGUGUAGUUAGUGCCAUCAAAGAUCACCGGACACCGAGGAACAGCAACAUAGCCAGUAGACAUUUUUUUUUUNNNNNNNNNNNNNNNNNNNNNNNNNNNNNNNNNNNNNNNNNNNNNNNNNNNNNNNNNNNNNNNNNNNNNNNNNNNNNNNNNNNNNNNNNNNNNNNNNNNNNNNNNNNNNNNNNNNNNNNNNNNNNNNNNNNNNNNNNNNNNNNNNNNNNNNNNNNNNNNNNNNNNNNNNNNNNNNNNNNNNNNNNNNNNNNNNNNNNNNNNNNNNNNNNNNNNNNNNNNNNNNNNNNNNNNNNNNNNNNNNNNNNNNNNNNNNNNNNNNNNNNNNNNNNNNNNNNNNNNNNNNNNNNNNNNNNNNNNNNNNNNNNNNNNNNNNNNNNNNNNNNNNNNNNNNNNNNNNNNNNNNNNNNNNNNNNNNNNNNNNNNNNNNNNNNNNNNNNNNNNNNNNNNNNNNNNNNNNNNNNNNNNNNNNNNNNNNNNNNNNNNNNNNNNNNNNNNNNNNNNNNNNNNNNNNNNACCUCCACGUGCGGGACGAGGCCGGUACCAGCGGUGGGAAAGCUAGAUCGGAAAAGGCACGAGUUGCGCGUGCAAAAAAGACCUAGGCUCUAAUACCAUGUUAGGAAAGCAACUUGUAUUCCCAUGAGGCCAUAGGCCGGUAUAUAUACAUGUACAGGUGGUGGACUAUAUGCAGGAAACCCCUUAUAUAUUGGGAUAAUUACAGAAGGAUACAUGACUUGUAUUAUAACUCUAACAGUAGUGACGAGGCGAGGCGGGCGGCGGAGGAGGAGGAGCGCGCGUGUAUGUCUCUCUUGUUCUAAUGCUCAUACAUGCGUGGAAAAAUCCUCUUUACUCCCUUAGGAUUUAAGAGUAUUGAUGUUGUUCGGAUUACCCCAAACUUUUUUUUUGGCUCACUUGACUUGUCCCAAGUUUUACACCGUUCCCUUGACCUCUCAUUUUACAUGUAUUUUCCAUGGCACCGUCUUUUGUCCAUGUAUACACAUCCAAGUCUCCGCCCACAAACACCGUCUUUUGUUCAUGCAUGAGCUCAACAGCAGGAGUUCCUCUAAAUCACACAAAUGAACAUAUUAACAACCAGAUCAUACCACACGAGAAUUGUACCAAUUGCAGAAAUUGAUUGCCAUCAAACACACAGGUCUACAAGCUGUUGUACAUACAAGCCUUCUAACACUCAAACUUACCAUCAAACACACAGUCAGUUUCUUCCUUCUCAGAUCAGACUUGCUAGUUUUUUGCUGCCUUGGUAGUUGGUAGAGAUGGUGUUCAUGCAUUCUGUGUGAAGCCGGAGACAAUGUAGAGACGUAGAAUGGAGAAAAGGUAGAGACGUAGAACAAUGACAAGGUAGAGACGUAGAAUGGAGCCAAGGUGGUGGUGGAGACGGGGUAGCUAGAAGUGGGGGAGCAAGCUAGCCCAUGGAGGACAUAGGAGGUCCUGGAGCUGCAGUUGGGGCGGCGGCCAGUUUUUGUGGAGUCAAGAUUCGGGGAAGAGCUGGGCCGACGCAGAUCGGAACCGGGAAAGAGUGGUCGGUGCAGAGCAAGGGCGGAGCUGGCCAUCCUUGAGACCGGCGGCAUACAGGGGACCGGAAGUGCAGGAAGAGAGAAGGAAGGAGCAGAAAGUGGGUGCUUGAUGUGGGAAGUGAGGAGGCCGCGGCAGGGAAGAGGAGGGCUGACUAGUGAACAACUAUUCGGGGUUUCUCAGCUGGGCAUAGCUGAGGGCCUUUUUAGCAUGAGUUGGGCAUAGCUGAGGAGAGCCCAUACAUCCUACCAAACAGUUAAAAAUUGGUCGAGUUGGGAACUUUUAAGCCCCCACACCCUCCAUGCACCCUAACAAACACACCCUUAGUCCACUUAUGAUGCCACAUGCAUAAAAUCACGUUAGUUGGCAGCCACAUGGACAAAAUGACCAUAUAGAAAGUUUAAGGGUGAAGUAACAGUAUUAAUACUUGUGGAAGUAUACUGAGCAAAAAUAAUACUAGUACUGAUGGAUAUCCAAACAACACGGUUGUGAGUAGAAAUGGCUCCUAAGUAAAAUUAGAAUCACAUUAUCAUCUCCUAGUACAAUUUUGUAAUAAUAUGUGCAAUGUUCAGAAAAGCGGAAAGCUUAAGCGAAGCGGAAGGCCACAGCUUAGAGCAAUGGAUGCUUAAGCGCAGCUUAACCGCACUUAAGCGUUUUCUGAAAUUGGCUAGAAUUUGAUAGAUUUUGAAUAAUAUACACAGGAAAAUAGGAAACAUGGCACAUGUGUAAUCGAAUAGCCAUCUAAAAUACAGUUCAUACCAUAGCGAGUACACAUUAAGUUCACAUGGCAAGCAAAAUAACAACUAAAAUGCAGUUCAGUUCAAAUAGUCAUAGCCUAAUAGAGAUCACGUGGCCAUAAUUUUGUCAGCAUAUGAAGGAAAUAGUUCCCAAACAGAGCCUAGUAAUAAGAUAAAUGGGAUAUUGCCAUUAUUGCGCAAGCAGACAAGCAAAAGUACUUCAAAAACAGUCAAAUUCUGGCCAAAUUUAAAAAAAACGCUUAAUCUACCGCUUAGGGCAAAAGCGAAGCGCUUAGCGUCGCUUAAAAACGCUUUCUUGAACACUGAAUAUGUGACACCAUCAGUUAAUGUCACUAUGUUCUUACAUUCACGUACUGUAAGAUGUGAAUCCCCAUCAGUAUGAUGCCCCAUGAUGUCCCAUAGAUAAAGAGAACAAAAAGUGCAUGGAAGAGGUGUUUUUUCCUUGCAAAUAACUAAGGGCCUCUGUGAGGACACAAAUGGUUUUCUGUCUGAAAUAUAUGUACAGCUUGUUUGGCACCUCUCAUUUCAUUUCAUUUGGUAGAAAUGAAAUGAAACCUUUGUUAGAAUUUCAUUUGGUUGAAAUGGACAUCCUAUUGCAAAUUACAUGUUUCGCAGCCACAUGGAUUUCUGAAUUGAAAUGAUUUCUAUAUCAUGUAUGGCUGCCAUUUUGGCAUGAAUUGAUAAAUCCACACCAAGUCUGGCUUCAAAAAUGAGCUUUAUAAUAGACUAAAGUCAUCUUUCUAAAAUUUAAGAUUUAUGCCAAGAUAAAACAAGUUUAAACUCAUGGGUGGGAGGUAUCCAUGUCGUACUAAAUCUUCUAGACAGAAGACGAAAGACUACAACUUGGCAUAACCUGCCUUACUCCUGGGUGGGAGGUAUGCAUGUCGUACUAAGGGUUUGUUUGUUUCAGCUCUAAAGAGCCCGCUUCUACGGCUUCUCGGGCUGUAGAAGCCGUAGCCGCACCAAUGGGUCGUUUUCUAGGCCGGCUCCACGCAGCUGUGAGGCGGAGCGCUCCGCAGAAAUGGCCCAGAAGCCGAAGCAGCUAUUUUGGGCUGGAGCUCCUCGUAGCCGGCUCCAACCUGGACUUCUACCGAUUUAUCCUCCUGCAAAUCUCCAUAAUACAUCAACAAUGCCACAAAAUGUUUUGCCUCGUGUUUCCCCCCUCACCCCUCACCCUGACAGAAUGCCUGAGCCGCCUCUCGCGCGUGGUCGAAGCUGCUCAAUUUGCUGGAGCAGGAGGCCAGGUGUGAUGCAAGCGUCGAGUGGCAUCAGUGGCGAGAGGAAUCAAUAGCAGCAGAAGUGGGCUUGUGGCUCCAGACAGUGAAUGAAAAAGGGGAUCAGGAGAGACGACUAUGUGCGUAUGUGUGUGCUUUGUGCCAGCGACCAGCAACAACACGUGCACAUGCGUGUGUGUGCUUAAGUGUCGAGCAGCAACUUAAUCAUUUUAACCUCUCCAAAAGCUUGAAACGUGUCCUGUUAUGUGAUUUUAACCCCCUCCCUCCUUAUAUAGCAUGGCACAUGAUGCCAAGCGACAACCUUCGCUGCGAAACUCACGCCAGGUCUGAGUGCCGCGUGGAUCCCGGGCACGGGAAAUGAUGCAUAAUAAUAGCGAUGGAACAAAACCUUCAAUGGGACCGGCAUUGCCUGGGGACCAGUCCCUAGACAAGGUGGUUGGGAGGCGUGACCUCCGAUACCCUUAUCGGCAUUUGGCUUGGCUGAAGCCCGAGUUGCGGAAGCCAGAUAACUCCAUGAUUGGCUGAAGGAACCGACGGGCAAUAUGACCAACCACAAGGAGGAGAGCUCAUCAAGAUAUCAUCACGGCGACUCAAGACAAAGUUACAAUUGAAGGCUAAGCGGAACUCCUGACGAGCUUGGGGGCUACUAAUGGUGUAUGAUACCGGGGGUGGCCCGUCGGUUGGCAAGUUUCAUCAUUGUGAUGCAUCAAAUAGGCACAUGUCAUACGUGAGUUGCAGCCAAUAAAGGUCACAAAAUACUUUGCACUACUAACCGACACCACAAGACUUGUCCACAGAUCCGAGCGAAUAAGCAUGAGUGAGGUGAAUAAGAGAUAUAUUUCUAAGUUCCUUACUCACAUAAGACGUCAGUGUGUUUUGCAAACUCACACAUCACAUUUCAGCUUGUUCUUAUCUACUCGGUGCAUUACAUAAGGAAAUAACUUGUACAUUUUAUCAAAUGGUACAUGCCCCAUUCUGCAGUGAUGUUUCAUCGCCACGGACUCUCUUUCUUCCACAAUUGCCGCAAACACUGAGCCGCAUCUGACCAAGCCCCUCAUGGUCCAUGUCCCAGAAUCCUCUAUGCCUUAUUCCAGCCCCCAUCCUCCUUCCAGUCGGCCUGUCCUGAAUCAAGCACAUUCCUCUGUCAAGUGUUAUCCUACAGUCCACCUGUCGAUUAGAACACUAAGAGACAGCAGAUUGACCGGGAAAGCUGGCACAUGUAGGACCUAAGAUAACUUCCUAGCAGGUGUACAUUGAACUGUCCCAAUACCCUUAAUAGGCUGCAAUGUCCCACCAGAUGUACAUAUAGUGUUACUUGGAGAGGGAGUGUGCUGAUCAUAUGACUCAAAUUCCAUGAAGUCACCAGCAACAUGUUGAGAUGCACCAGUCCGAGUACCCAGUCUGGAUCAGUUCUGUGAGCAGCUAUUGUGGCCUUUUCAGUGUUGCUUAAUUUGUACAGAUAAAAUGAGCCAAACUUGGAAGACUAGCAUCCUCUUGGCUAUCUUGUUGUUCGAUCUCACCUGCAUCCUCUACUUCCUGCAUCAUUUCGCCGAGGGGAAACAACAAAGCACGCUGCCACAUACUUGCCGCACAUGUCCACAGCUCACAUCCGCCUGACACAUGUGUCCUCUUCAGGUCAUGGUCUCCUCUCAGCUUUUCAUCUCCUACAUGCCUUCCUCCUUCCUCCUCUGCGUCACACGGACAUCCAUCAUCUGGCCGUCCGAAUACGUGACCCUAGUCUGCUCUGCCAAGUCGUUGAACAUAUCCACGACCUCACCACCUGCCAUCUUCCUCCCAGGCAGCCACACACAGCAGCUAGCCCUCCUCUUCGAAUAACCGCACGCAGCAGCAACACCUCAAGCAGAAGCAGCAGCAACACAUGCACCACCAGCUCAUACUCUACACUUCAAGACAGCAGCAACAGUAGUUAAGCCCUCAGCAGUGCACACCACCAGCAGCAGCAAUAAAAGCAGCAGCAACUCCUCCUUUUUCUCCAAUCAGCACAACAGCAGCAGCACCAGUCACACUCGAUUUUACCUUCUCCACUGUUUUCCUUCUCCCUUCCUCAGCUGCUCCAGCAGCUCCUCGCGCACACACCACCGCUCCAGCAACAAGAAAAGUCAAACUCAAGCCACCGGAAAAGAGAAGAGGAGGAAGAUGUCGGGCCACGGCCACCAGUGUUUCCCCACAGCUCGCAUGCAGCAGCGCCGCAUGCUCCUCACCAGCCGCUCGCCCGAGCUUGCCUGCUGCAUGCCGCAGCUGCCCUGCCGUCACCCAAGUCCGCCGCCGCCUUCCCCCUUCUUGUCGGGCCCUGCUGUCACCGGCGACUAGACCGCCUCCUGGUCUGAUACCAUGUUGAGAGAGGAGAGGCGAACCCUGUGGCUUCAAUGUGGUGUAGCGGUGCUUAGCUCUAGACAAGAUUGAGUUCCUCUCCUUUUAGGUCGAAUAUGGACCUGGGAUAUGGACCUGGGCCUCCUGGGCCAACAGUGAUGGGCCACACAUUCAACAGUUUUUUUGUUUCGAAAAAAUAGCUUGCAGAGGUGUUGUGCUUUGAAUUUUGUAUGGGGUUGCUGUGCAUACAAAGGAAAAGGAUCCGAGAGAAGACCAAGGGAUUGAUCCAACAAAAUAUACUGCCAAGCAAACAAUUCAGCAUGAUGUGAUCGAAUUUCAACAAUGCCGCCACCCUGCAGCUUGAGGGCAUGCUGCUAGUCUGGGAAGGGUGUAGUGUUGUGGACACUAGUACAGUGGAUAAGCCAAGCAGGCUGGCAAGAGGGUCAGGGAUAUUGCAACAGCAGCAGGUCACGUGCCGGGGAAGGAAGGGAGAAGAGUCCUUUAGGUAAUAGCAUUGUAUUAUGACGUUUAAGACUAAAGUAGUAUAAUUCGUUAGGAAGUCACUAGCAAAAAAGCCCGUGCGUUGCAACGGAAGAGAAAAUAACACACGCUUUGAACGUAAUAUAUUUUCACAUGGCAUCACAUUUGUGUUGUCGACGAUGGCCUCAGUGCCCACACAACGAAAACGCGUUUGAAUGUACAAUCACUCGGAAUAAGAUGAGAAAUAUGUUGUUUCUCCCCACGAGAUUUUCCAAAGGUGUGCAUGUGUGGUUAACGAUGUAUUCUUUCCUCUCAAUUUGGUUUUAAUUUGAUAGAUAUUUAUUGCAAUUCGUAUGGUCGUCGGAAAGAGAGAAAAAAAAGACGUGCACUACAGAUUAAGUUUGCACCAAAAAUAAUAUUUAAGAAGUAUUCCACAGCUAAAAAUAACAUCCUAUUUAGAUUCUACACAUUUUUUCAAUCAAAUUUCAUAUAUAACAUGUUAAAAUCGGAGUUAUGGUUUAAAAGAUAUGGAUAAUUUUGUUUUAGAUAAAAUAUGGAUUGAUUAACUGAAAAGUCAGGUUUUUUUUGUUAAAACAAAAAAACGUUUCGGCUGACUUAAAUAGGGACGGCGGGUUGAUUACCUGAAACAUCAGGUUUUUUUUGUAAAAUGCAAAAAACGGGUCGGCUCUGACUAAGAGAUGGACCGCGGGUUGAUUAUCUAAAACUGUGAGGACUUUUAUGUAAAACGACAGAAAACGGUUCGUUCUGACUUAAAGUUGGAUUGCGUGUUAAUUAACUGAAACUGCGAGGGCUUUUUUGCAAAAGUGUCGACGACGGACGACAGAAGCGCUGCGCGCUUUAUUAUUAGGGGAGAUAUUGUGUUAGGAAAGGUCAAUGGCCUAAGCAUCUGCUAUAAAAGGAUGACAUGUGCCUAAGGUUAAGGCAAGCAAGAACAAUCAAUCUUAUCUCUCCAGUUUAUUCUCUUGUCCCAACCUACGGCAACCCAAUUUGUCGCAGCCAUGCCGCCUGGCUAUCUUCAACACUGUAGUUAUCCCACUGCGAAUCAAGGUUCACAAUGUUGAAGUGUAUAUGUGGAUUACCUAGCCCUUUCCACCAGUUCGGACUUUUGCUUGCGUUGGCUAGUGCAUGAAGCUUAACAUGGUAUCAGAGCUAAGGUCUUGAGCUUUUUUUUCGGGAAAACGCAAUGGACCUUUGCGUUUCAUUCCAUUGAGAAAAGAGAGUUAUGAAAUUACAGUCCUCCUAGGAGAUGGAUACACAUAUCGGAUGGCCACUAGUGCACACCCCAUGAAGCUGCCAGCACAACCCUAAGCCCUUCGGCACCAGCAGUGGCCCAAAGCCUGGCCUCAUCUUUGAUCCUGCCCACGAGUGUGUGGACGGACGGCUGCGCACGAUCGAAAAGGCAAUCGUUCCUAUGCUUCCAAAUCAUCCAAGGCGUCAGGACUCGGGAGCGUCACAGAUGCAAGUCCCUUGCGCAUCAGCUGAGGGGUGUCUUGCCUAGCAUGGUGCCACCAGUUGAGCAGGGAGCUUUCGUUGUCGGGCGGUCUGCAGGUCACGUGCAUCCAAGCAAGGAUCUCAUGCCAUACCUGCCGCAUGGAGGUGGUGCAGCGUCUCCGGGGCCUGGUCGCACAAGGGGCAUGCCGCAUGGUGCUGCAUUCCAUGCCGAGCGAGUUGAUCCGCCGUCCAGCAACGAUCUAAGCCGAUGAGCCAGUGGAAGAAUUCCACUCUCGGCGGCGCCCAACUCUUCCAGAUGAGCUUCCAGUCGUCGGAGGCGAUCGAUCCGUGGAAGGAUGCGUGGUAGGCAGAUCUAGCGAUGUAGGUGCCGGCCUCGUUCCACUUCCAAACCAUCUUGUCAGGCUCAAUGGAGAGUGACACGCUCUCGAGGAGACGCCAAAGCAGCAAGUACUGCCCGAUUUCAUGGACUCCUAGGACGCCGUGGAUGUCGCGCGCCCAAAGGUGGGCCUGCGAGCCCUCAACGACUGUCCUGUUCUUCCUACAUCGCUUGGGGAUGCAGGCGUGGAGCAGGGGCGCGAUCUCGUAGACGGAGCACCCAUUGAUCCAUCGGUCCUUCCAGAAUCUAGUGCUCUCGUCGUUCCCAAUGAUCGUGUGGGUGCUCGCGAAGAAGAAGGCUCGCUCCUCAGCAGAGAACUGGAGGUCGAGUCCAACCCAUGCACGACGGUCAUCGGUUUUGCUGAACCAUAGCCAACGAGUCCUCAGUGCCAUGCCGGUGCGCUCCAAGUCGUGCAACAGUGGGAGUUUCCUUCAUAACAUGCAACAGUGGGAGUUUCCUUCUCAUAUUUCACAUUGCAUUACUUGUAAAUAUAUGGAGUUAUGUUUUGAAACUGCUGAUGAGAGUAUUGCAUUGACGCUACAGGUGAGCAACAGUGACAAUCAAAGUCCAGGUAAUUGGUUUUCUCAAUACUGUGUCAUUUUCUAAUAUUCCUAUGUUUUCUCCAUCAAUUGAAUGGUUAAAAUUUGGCACCGUUGACACUAUUUGUAUUUGCAGGAUACGUUAAACAGGAUGCACUAAGUAUUGAAUUGGCUGAGCAGCAAAUUCUGGUAAUGUUAUGUUUCAAAUAAACUAUUCGAAAAUGUUAAGUAGGAAAUCGCUAGUAAAAUGUUGCAAAAAUCUUGUGGAUAUUAUAAAUUUCUAACCACUGUUCCUGUAUUUGGCUAUACGAGUGGAUUCUCUACCUGGUGGGUAGCUAAGCACGAGCUCUAUAUCAUUUGAUAUUCUCCGUCUCACAUUGGCAACUAACGACUACUUCAAGGUCUUGUUAUUGGUCAUGUGCAUGGGCCACGUGGCCACAGAGGGGAAGAGCUGGUCAUCAGCUGCAAUGUACAUAAAAAAGAUCAACUAAAAUGGCAUCAAGGAAAAAAUAGUCAAAUAGAACCUUGUCAGGAAUCCAUCACACAGCUUAAUUAAAUCAGCUGAACAAUCUAUCACACAUUCACUCAUAGCUAAUCCAAUCAAACUAUUGAAUUCAUGCACCAGCCAGUUACUAAAAGAUCCGAACUGAUAGAGAAUGGCAGGCAAUAUAUUUCAACACAAACAAGAUCCGGAUGAGCAGCCACGCACGGGUUGCCAGCAUGGUUCACAAGCUCAGCGUCUGCCCACCUAGUCCAGGACCGGUGCUGAGUCUGUGCUCACCAGGGCCUCAUUGGUGCACGCACCCCACCUUGCUUCCACCGUAGCUUCUGAAAGGUUAUGCUGGGUAGCUGCUACUUGGGCGGAUGCGGCUGGAGCUCGUUGGCUUUGGAUGGCAGCACCGAUGCCAAUUUCCUCUCCGGCUCACUCGAGCUCCAGCAAACUUCCAAGAAACCAAAGUCCAAACUAGUUACUUGUAUUUAAUUGGACAUUUGAUCUGUAAUGUUGCACCCUUGAGAUGGUGUCCUAAUGUCUUGCCCAUUCUUUCUUUUGAGUUACCCGUCCAACUUAUAACACCUUGCUAAUCAACUGGGAUAUGACAUCUCACAGGUUUCAGCUUACAAUUUGUAAAUUUCAGCUUCUUGCACGGCAACAAGCACAAAGGGAAGAAGAAUUGGGUCAGUCACAGAGGCAUAUCUUGGCGCUUCAAGUCAGUUUCAGCUUAGCAGACAUUUUCGGUUCUUCUGUUCUUUCCUUUUUGGUGUGAACUAUUUUUUUUUCUUUUCAUUGUUCAGCAAGAAAUUGAAGAUCUUGAGCGUGAAAACCGUCUUCAUGAUCAACAGGUGGCUACUUUGAAUCUUUCCCUUUUCGCACCUAAAUUAGUUGCGUCGCAUUGUUUGGAUGUGCUGAUUAAUUUAUACAUACAGUAUGAUCAUUCUAGUCAUGAUUUACUUUUGCAAAAUGUGUACAACUAUUUUCCAAAUAUAGUGUAGGGUAUGUGAGUUCACUAUUCAUGGAGUAAAAUCAGCAAAACUACGUCUAUAAUGAACUAUCGCAAAACUGCACAUAUUGAUGUUUUCAUUUCUGAAGCACAUAUCGAUUACAGGAUUUUAUUAGUCAGGGGCAAGAAUUGAAAUCACCUUAUUUGCGACCAUGCUAUAACAUAUAGUUUAAGGGGGAGGCAGCACAUGAGAGGGGUUAUUAAGGAGGACUCUCGGGAGGAAGGAGGUGAUGCAAACAGUAUGUGGAUGAAGAUGCCGACUUGCGUUUGGAAGGUAGCUGAAACAGCACAAAGUCGUGGAGGAGCAACUCCAACUUGCUUCUACGAAGUGUGCAACACUAGAGUUGAAGGAGCCACUUCAACGUGUUGCGCUAGAUAUCGCUCUAGAGGCUAAUAUGGCAGCAGGAGUUCAAUCCAAAACUCCUAGACCACACGAUCUAGUCCAAGAUCUUAGAUAGGAAGAACAAGUUCUAUUAUAGAUAGUGGGUACCACAAACUAAAGGCGAGGACCUCUAUUUAUAGGGCUUUGGGAAGCCUUCACAUACUUCUACUUAUGAAUAGAACACUCCAGAAAACAUUACUUAAGAUACACCAUUCUACUCAUGGCUACUCACAACUAGAGGACUCUAGAAAACAGUAGGCAGGUUAGAAAAGAAGAGAAAUACUACACUAGACUCGAGGUAUCUAGAAGUAGCCAAACAAAUAUGGCAUGUGUUUUUCUUUUUUCUUUUAUCCUCAACUAUUGUUCCUCAUCAUUCUCCCCUGGUUGUUUGGAACUUUGCCCUCGAGUUAUCUUCAUAGAGCGUUUCUUCUGGAUGGUAGAGGGUCAAGCCCGUAACAUUGAAAGUUUUGGACAUACCCAUGUCGCUUGGGAGAUCUAUCACAUAAACAUUAGCAUUUAUCUUCCUCAUGAUAGAGAAGGGCCCAUACCUUCGCUGCCUAAGCUUCCCUUUAACACCUAAAGGCAGCCUCUCUUUUCGAAGGUAGACCAUCACCUUAUCACCAACUUGGAAUGAUUGUGGCCUCCUUUUGCAGUCAGCAAGUUGUUUAUAUUUCUGAUUUUGUGCUUCCAAAACACCAAAAUCUCUUCAAAUAACUCAGUAUAAUUAUUGUUAAGUUUCAUGCACUAGCCAACGCAACCAAAAGACCGAACUGAUGGAAAGGUCUAAGGCAAUUCAUAUAUACAAUUCCAACACCCCCUCUCACGUGUGACGUGGAAAGUCAACACGUGAAUAGACUUAGAGGUAUGGCUCAAGAGGCCUAUACAUGGACAUAGAGGGAGCAACAACAAUCUUUGGACAUAAAUUGCGAAAGCCAUGACUUGAACUCAAGACCUUAAACUUUGAUGCCGUGUUAAGCUUCAUGCACUCCCCUGGUUGUUUGGAACUUGCCCUCGAUUUAUCUUCAUAGAGCGUUUCUUCUGGAUGGUAGAGGUUCAAGUCCGUAACAUUGAAAGUGUUGGAUAUACCCAUGUCGCUUGGGAGAUCUAUCACAUAAACAUUAGCAUUUAUCUUCCUCAUGAUAGAGAAGGGCCCAUACCUUCGCUGCCUAAGCUUCCCUUUAACACCUAAAGGCAGCCUCUCUUUUCGAAGGUAGACCAUCACCUUAUCACCAAAUCGGAAUGAUUUUGGCCUCCUUUUGCAGUCAACAAGUUGUUUAUAUUUGUGAUUUUGUGCUUCCAAAACACCAAAAUCUCUUCAAGUAACUCAGUGUAAUUAUGGUUAAGCUUCAUGCACUAGCCAAUGCAACCAAAAGACCGAACUGAUGGAAAGGUCUAAGGCAAUCCAUAUAUACACUUCAACACCCCCUCUCACGUGUGACGUGGAAAGUCAACAUGUGAAUAGACUCAGAGGUAUGGCUCAAGAGGCCUAUACGUGGACAUAGAGGGAGCAACAACAUUCUUUGGACAUAUUAGUAUUAGUAUUAGUAUGAAGGGGGGGGGGGGUUUAGGAAGUAUUAGUAUUGGUCUAGGAGUCCCUAUUAGUCUAUGUUUGCUUUCUUUCCACCUCAAGUCUUGUGUAAUAUAUAUAUGUCCCUUGGGCCUUCAAUAGAGAUAAGUUGCUUUCCUAACAAUAUGGAGGUUGACCAGAAAAGCUAUUUUCCGGGGUAUGACAACUUAUGGAGAGAUACAAGGAGCAAAAGAAGGACUGCUUACGAUGUUCAUUGACUUGGAGAAGGCCUAUGGUAAGAUGUAGCGAAAUGUCAUGUGGUGGGCUUUGGACAAACACAAAGUCCCAACAAAGUCCAAUAUCCUCAUCAAGGACAUGUAUGAUAAUGUUGUGACAAGUGUUCAAACAAGUGAUGGCAACAUUGAUGACUUGCCAAUUAGAAUAGGACUUGACCAAGGGUCAACUUUGACCCCUUAUAUAUAUUUUUUGCUUUGGUGAUGGAUGAGGUCAAAAGGGAUAUACAAAGAGAUAUCCCAUGGUGUAUGCUCUUUGCGAAUGUCGUGGGUGCUAGUCGAUGAUAGUCGGACGGGCGUUAAUAGAAAGUGAGAUGUGAAGACAAGACUUUGGAACUGAAAAAAUUUAGGCUUAGUAAAACUAAAACUUGACGUGCGGUUUCAGUGCUACUAGGCACGAGGAGGUUAGCCUUGAUGGGCAUGUGGUACCAUAGAAGGAUACCUUUUGAUGUUUGGGGUCAUUUCUACUGAAGAAUGGUGAUAUCAAUGAAGAUGUGAGCCAUGGAAUCAAAGCCGUAUGGAGCUAUUGGCUUCCUCCGUGACGAGAGCACCACAAAAGUGAUAUGUCCAACUAAAAGGUUCAACCUGCGAAUUUAUAUUACGCAGAAUGCUGGCCUACUAAAAGGCGAUUUGUCCAACAGUUAGGUGUAGCAGAGAUGAGUAUGCUGAGAUGGAUAUGUGGCCUCACAAGAAAAGAACGGUUUCGGAUUGAUGAUAUAUGUGAUAGAGUUGGGGUAACACCAAUUGUAGAGAAAUUUGUCCAACAUCAUCUGAAAUGGUUUGGGCAUGUACAACACAGGCCUCUGGAAGCGCCGGUGGAUAGAGGAAGGAUAAAGCAAGAGAGAUCAGGCUGGACCAAACUUGACAUAAGGGGAGUCCGUUACGAGAGACUUGAAGGAAUAUCACCAAAAACUAGGCCAUGGACAGGGAUGGGUGGAAGUUAGCUAUCCACAAGUAAGAGCCAUACUAGGUUUUGAGAUCUUAUGGGUUUCAACUCUAGCCUACCCCAACUUGUUUGGGAUUGAAAGGCUUUGUUGUUGUACAUCAUAACAUACCACAAUUGAUAUAGGAAAUAAUGGUUUUAAUAAACAAAGUUUCUUCAAUUCAUGCCACAACUUUUUUGCGAGUUUGAUUUAAUUGUCAAACAUUGCUCGUCUCCUAGUUAGCUGGAAUUCUGAUUACCGCAGCAAUAAAGCAAGCAGAAUAAAAAGCACAAUCAACAUAAUUGAGUUUGGCAUGAAUUAGCCUCAGAUGCAGGCCGAAGCCUUGUAGGCGGCACACUGGAUGUGCGAGUGGCAGUUUUCUGGCCAAGUGGUUUUAGUUCUUUGGAAUAUGACCUUCAAUAAGUAGUUUUCUGAAUAAAAUCUUCAUUCAUACUUUUGCGACAGUUUUCCAUCAUAUGUGUUAUUUUUUGUGGAAUUUAGUCAUAUUUAUACUGUUGUUCCUAAAUCUGAAAUACCGCUCAAGCCUAUUUGUCUCUAACAGUAGUUCUGCAGUAACUAUUACUCGUGUGCUGCACUCAACUGAGACAGAAGUCAUGCUCCUUUAUCAUCUGUUCCUUGAUGCUGUUCUGGUUAAAAUUUAUUUAUCUAACUAACCUUGCUGAAAUCGAUAGUGAAAACUUUGGUAUGAAUUGUUGUCACAUUAUUUGUGAUGAGUAUGUGAUUAAUUUUCAGGUCAUUAUUCUUCGUGAUACAUUCUUGAAAGUUCUAAAUAAGCCCUAUUCUUAUUUUAUCACGUGAACAUUAGGGUGCAGUUGGUUAAUAGAAGCUUCGUCUUUAAGCCAUUAAGUUGUGCAAUAUUCCUAGUUCUGUGGAAUUCUAACGGAAUCUAGCGAUGGGAGUUUUAUGAGUCAUCGAGUCCUGAACACGUAACAACAGUUUAUGUACAUGUGUUGUGUACUGUUUAAUCAUUUAUAAUUGAUUGAACAAGAUACAUGCUUCCUGCACUUUGAAAAUUUAUAUACACUUAGUUUCUGCUCCCCUUUCCCUUCUGUAUGUGGUCAAUGCAGUGAUGAGUUGAAUAAAAUACAGAACUAAGAUCUUGUAUUUAACAAAAAUAUCUUUCACGCUUUUUGUGUUCCGAUGAAAUUUGUAGGGUUUUUACAUAUAUGUCCCUAACUCGAACCCACUACUCAGAUUUACCCCUAAUUUUGAAGUGUGCUUAAAUUUGUUCCUCUUCUGUUAGUUCCUCUUAUAGAAAUGACCUUCCGUGCCGUCACCAUCCUGUCAACGGGUUUUGACCGUCUGGUGAACAGUAACGUGAUGAAUAGUAAAUAAAAAAAUAGCAAACAAAUUCAAAAAAAUCUGAAAAUUUGUGUGAUCGAAGGUACUUGGGUGCGCAAGGUGCGUGUAAAUUUAUAUGCUAUUUCGACAUUCUAGGAGCUCGUACCAAAGGAAAAAAUAAAAACUGUACGCCUGUGAACAAAAAAUUCAAAAAAAAGCAAACAGAUUCAAAAGAAUCUGAUUUUUUUUGGCGUCCAAGGUGCUUGGGUGCGCAAGGUGCUUGCAAUUUUUUGUAGUGUUUCGACAUUGUCGGAGCUCGUGGAGAAAAAAAGUAAAAUUUGGCUCGGAAAAAUCUUUGAAAAAAUGCACUAUGUUUUUUGCUAGAGCUCCUCACAUGUCAUUUGAUCACAAAAACUUGGAACCACCUUGCGCACCCAUGCCUCUUUGAUGCCAAAAAAAAUCAUAUAUUUUUGAAUUAUUUUGCUAUUUUUUCGAAUUUACUGUUCAUAGGCAUACAUAUUUUUUUCCUUUGGUACGAGCUCGUGGAAUGUGUAAAUAGCAUGAAAACUUGCACGCACCUUGCCCACCCAAGUAACUCUGAUCCCACAAAAUUUCAGAUUUGGUGUUAUUUUUUAUCGAACUGUUCACCGAGUUAUUGUUCACAAGACGGUCAAAGCCCGUUGACCGGACGGUAACGACAUAGAAGGGCAUUUCUAUGAGGGGCAAAUUUGAGUAGGUGGUUGUAGUUAGGGACAAAAAUGCAAAUGACCCAAACUUGUAAUUGUUAGGAAAGCAACCUGUAUUCCCAUGAGGCCAUAAGCCAGUAUAUAUACAUGUACAAGUGGUGGACUAUAUGCAGGAAACCUCUUAUAUAUCGGGAUAAAUACAAAAGGUACAUGACUUAUAUUAUAACUCUAACACCCCCGCCCCCCUCAAACUCAUGGUGGAUGAACAACACUGAGUUUGGAGAGAUAAAAGCCAUGUUGUGCUUUAGUCUGGGCCUUCGUCAAGAAAUCCGCCAACUGUAACUUGGAAGGCACAUACUGAAGAGCAAUGACCCGAUCCUGCACAGCAGCGCGCACAUAGAAAGCAUCAACACCAAUAUGCUUGGUGAGCUCAUGCUUCACAGGAUCGCGCGCAAUGCUAAUAGCACCUGUACUGUCAGAUAAGAGCAGAGUCGGUGUAGUGACAGAAACACCAAAAUCCUGAAGUAACCACCGUAACCAAGUCACCUCUGCCGUCAAAAGGGCCAUCGGUCGCAACUCAGCCUCUGCACUCGAACGGGAAACUGC